ACUCAAUGCAGGGGGUGUUGGGCGUAAAGCCUCAUGUUCCAAGAACAAAAGAGCUCGAAAAUUUCAGAGUCCGAUGGAAAAGGAAGUUCCGGCAAGAUCAUCCCUGAGCUGAACAUUUUUGGAUUAUGGGCUUAUGACGCUGCUUCUGCACUAGCCAUGGCUGUUGAGAAAGUUGGGGCAACAAACUUCAGCUUCCAAAAGACUAAUAUUUCCAGCAAUUCGAUGGUUCUUGACACCAUUAGAGUCUCUCAAAUUGGUACAAAUCUUCUCCAGUCACUGUUAAGUACCAAAUUGAAAGGUCUCAGUGGAUAUUUUCAAAUAUUUGAUGGGCAACUUCACUCGACAGCCUUUCAGAUAGUUAAUGUGAUUGGGAAAGGGGAAAGAGGGGUAGGAUUUUGGACUCCGAAAAAUGGAAUUAUAAGAAGACUGAAUUUCUCACACACAAAUUCAAAGACAUAUUCCACUUCUAAGGAAAACCUAGGAACAAUUAUAUGGCCUGGAGAACCUACUUAUGUCCCUAAAGGUUGGGUGCUUCCAGUAAAUGAGAAGAAGUUGAGAAUAGGAGUUCCAGUGAAGAAUGGUUUUAGUGAAUUUGUAAAUGUGACAUGGGAUCCUAUUGUGAUCCAUGCAACGAUUUAAUGGAGAAAAAUAAGGAAAGCGAGAAAGAAGAACACGCAGAUUUAGCGUGGUUCGACUAAUUGCCUACGUCCGCGGGAAUAGGGAAAAAGGAUUUUCACUAUGUAUCAAAUUAGGGUUACAUAAAAAGGGUAUUUAUACUAACCCUUAGGAAUGAAAAUUCCAAAAAUACCCCUGAACCAUACCGCGGGGGGCCUUGCCCCCCACACCCCCCCCCAAUCUAUCGUUCACCCACAACAAUCUCCAAUAUGAGCCACAUACUACAACAAUCUAUGUGUUUGGUUCUUUCAUGAUACACUUGGUUCUUUGCCAAAUAAAUGGCACCCUAACUAUCAUAAUAUAAUUGAACUCUACCUUGCUGAAUACCCAACUCCUUAACUAAACCUAUAUGCCAUAAUGAGUCAUUUACAACCUCAGCUAUUAUCAUAUAUUCUAACUCAGUAGUAGAUAGUGCAACUAAAGACUGUAUCAUAAACUUCCAACAAAUAGGUCCCCCACCAAGAGUGAAUACAUAACCUGUGGUAGACCUCUUGUCAUCCAAGUCUCCUGCAUAGUCUACAUCAACAUAUCCUCUAAUUGAAGAAUCACUCUAUUGUUUGCUGAACAUAAUGCCAUAAUCACCACACUAACAGCAUGCACCAAAUCUGGUCUUGUACAAACCAUAGCAUACAUCAAGCAUCCCACUGUACUUGCAUAUAGAACCUUUAACAUGUCUUUCACUUCAUCAUCUGUCUUUGGACAUUGAUUAGUAGACAACCUAAAAUGAUUUGCCAAAGGUGUAUGUGAACCCGCAUUUUUCACGUGCGCCCCCACUCGAUCGGCGAGACUCGCUUUUUAUUUGUGAAAAAUUAAUUUUUGGAAAAAGUUGGAGUCGCCACUUAUUUUAUUUUUAUUUUAAAGGGAAAAUAAAACAAGAAAGAAAAACCCUAAAAUGUGACUCCAUAAUUUUUGGAAAAAGCAUGUCUUUGAAAAACCCAAGUCUAAGUCCGGGGAUCAGGUUACCUAUUGGGAAGGUACCUUUAAAAGGUAGCACCCCUCUAAGCCCUCUAAAGGUCUCUACUAACUAAGUUAAGGGGAAUGUGGCAAUUAAUCAGUUUAAUUAUGGAUACCUAAGUAGGCUAGAUGAUUUCGAAUAUUGCAUGCCUAACAAGAUCGAAUAACAAUGAAGGAAAGUUAAGGAUGCGUACCUGGACGGCUUCCCAAGCGCUAUCAUAAAACAUGAGAGAUUAGUUUGGAAAUAUGACACAUAAUAUGUGUUUUGUCAAAGAUGAUCAAACAAGCAUCAAGGCAAUCAAUCAUGCCACCAAACAGGAUCAUAGCUCAUGAUAACGUACACAUUCAUAGAAUUUUAGAGUUGUAAGGUGAGAAGAGCAUACCUGAUUAGCGAACAUCCACACGUCUUAUGGGAAAAGGGUAUCUCAACAAUAAAUAUUAAGUGAAUUCAAAUAUUUCAUCAAGAAGAAUCAAAAAUCAACAUAUCAAGCAAACAAUAUUGAAGAAGGUAUCAUGAAUGUCAGGCCCCCACCAAAGCCCUAAUUAAUUUCGCAUGAGUUGAUUCCAUAAAUUCCAUGACUUGGAAUUAUGGAAUUUGUUCAUGCUUGAGAAAAUCGAAAAAAACAAGAAAAUGGUUGAAAAUAAAAAUAAAAAUAAAAAAAUAGUGAAAACUUGUGCCAGAAGGAAAAUGGUAGCUUAAAAGGAUUGGAAAUGAUGGAAACUGCAAUUCCAAAUUGCUGAAUUAUGAUUUACCCAUUUUUAGUUAUAUCACUACAUUUACCAAUUUCAUAUGAAUUACAUCAAAUCAAUUACUUUCGUAUAGUUAGUUCAUAACCACCUAAUUGUCAAACUUUAACCACAUUUUCCUUUAAUUAUAUCCGGAUGCGCAACUAUUUUUUGGACAUGAUAUAAAUGAAUCGGUUUCCCAUUUCACCAAUCAUUUUACCACUUGUUAUCAAUUAAAUUAUAAAUCUAGAGGAUAAUGCAUUCUAUCAAUCAACUUGACUCUUGUUCGGAAUUCAAACUUUUCAUUAAAUACUUGGUUUAAAAGUACAUAUCAGCCAAAGUGAUAACGUCAAAUGAUAGAAACACCAAUUUAAUGUCUGCCAUCCCUUACUCUGUUAAGGAAUAACAAAAAGGUUGCAUAUCCUUUUCAUUUGGAGUAUUGUUUGGAUCUCCACCUUCACAUGGUGUUGUAAUAAUUUGUUCAUGUUACUGAAAUCCUAUUAUCUACACAUGCACAUUCCAUGGUUAAAAUUGAGUCGUCCAAUUCCAACUUCAAAAAAAUCAUUAAGUAAUGCAUAGUUAAAAUUCAUGUCCAAAAUGUUUUCAAUUCCCGAACUUACAUUGCCAAGUACACCAAAAUCUAUAUACAUAUCAUAUGGGUCAUUCCACAAAUGUUCCUCUCGCAUUCCCUACAUUUUCAAAGAUUAAGUGUUGUCAAUUACUAUUGAAUUAGAUGUUAUCAAAGUUUAUGUUGUUAUAUAACAAGCCUAUUGUACAUGAGGUAAGGUUGCAAACAUGUCAACUAAUGAAUUUGUUCAAGACAUCUGUAGACCCUCAAUUUUGUCCCUUUAGCACAUGUCUUUAAAUUUUGUUUUUAGUAUUCCAUAGUAGUUCCUUGGUGGCCCAUUACUACUCGUGCAAUUUACCUUUUUCUGAGUCACCUCGGAAACUCUGGUUGAGGGAUUGCCUAACCCCUUAUUGUGACCCUUGGUAGUUUUGAUUUAGACUCAGGUUUUUCCUUUCUUUUUAGGAUAGCUCUUAGGCACCCUAGGCCCAUUUAAGCACUCUAGGCCCAUUUAGGCACCCUAGGUCCACUUUAGGACACUUAGUUCAUUAGGCACCCAUGUAGGGCCAUUUAAACGCUUCAUUAGGCUUAACUUUUUAUAUAAUCUUUUUAUUAUUUUUGCAUGAAUUCGAUAAUUACAUUUAUUCUGUUUAUUCAUUUUCAUUUUUUACUUUUUAUUUGUUUAUUAUUAUUUUUAUUAUUAUAUUUAUUUAUUUAUUUAUCUAAUAGAAAAUUGCUUAAAUUGUUUAGACUUUAAAUGCGCAUACGACCCCUUAUUAAAUUAUGGAAUUAUAUAAUACGGUCUCUUUUGUUUCCUUUUCUUUUAAUCAUCUUUUAUUUUAUUACCAAUCUCGUAAUUUUCAUGAGUUACUUUUCUUUUAAUUUUUUUUUUUAACCUUAUUUUAUUCUGUUUUGGCAUGAGGAAACGGGCUGCCAUCUAUUUGGAAUGAGAACUUCUCUUUUAGAAAGUAGUUCACGGUCUUUGGAGGCAAGAGAGGAUAUUCAUGGGAUUUUUUAGAGGAUUCUCCAUGCGUGAAAAUGAAUAGAAUUCAUGCCUUAAAAGAGGAACAACUGUCCAUUAGAGGAUGCAGCAGCCACAAUUGGGGAGAUUUUCCAACAAGCAAUAUAGAAAAGGUGAUCAUGCAGCCACAUAUGGAAGGAUGAGGCCACUUUCCAAAGACUGGACACACCAAAAAAAGGAAUAGAUCUCCACGCAUUCUCUGGGGGGAUCACACGUUGCUAAUGGGAGUCUUUUUCUCAUAUUUUUAAGAAAGGAAACAAGGCGCACAAAAGGAAGAUUAGGGAUGCGCAGGCGAGGAUGAAGGGAGAACCACCAAAUUUCUAAAGAAAAAGGCGCAUUCCAUAAAAGAACCACCAUUAGAAAGUGAUAACCGGCCACUUAAAAUCGAGAACAUACAUUCACCAUUGGGGGGGGGGGGGGGGGGGGGGCCCCCCCCUGGGGGGGAAAAAAAGGGGGACCCCCCUUUUAUUUUCUAAAGAAACCCCCCAAAAUUCCCUUAAAAGGGGGGGCCCCUUUUCCCCCCCCUUUGGGCCCCCCCCCCCAACCCCCCCAAAAAAAAUUUUUUUUUUUGGAAAAAAAAGAAAGAAAACCUUUUUAAAAAUUCCCCCCCCGAAAAAACACCCCCAAAUUUUUAGGGAGGGGCCCCCCCCCCCCCCGGAAAAAAAAACCCAAACCCCCCCCCCCCACCGGGGGGUUUGAAAAAAAAGGGGCCCCCCCCCGGCCAAAAAAACCCCCCCCCGGGCGGCCUUUGGAAAAAAAAACCCCCCCCCCCCCCCCGGGCCGGGGGGGCCCCCCAAAUUUUGGGGAGGGGGGGGCCCCCCCUUUUUCCCCUUUUUCCUCCCCCCCCCCCCCCNNNNNNNNNNNNNNNNNNNNNNNNNNNNNNNNNNNNNNNNNNNNNNNNNNNNNNNNNNNNNNNNNNNNNNNNNNNNNNNNNNNNNNNNNNNNNNNNNNNNNNNNNNNNNNNNNNNNNNNNNNNNNNNNNNNNNNNNNNNNNNNNNNNNNNNNNNNNNNNNNNNNNNNNNNNNNNNNNNNNNNNNNNNNNNNNNNNNNNNNNNNNNNNNNNNNNNNNNNNNNNNNNNNNNNNNNNNNNNNNNNNNNNNNNNNNNNNNNNNNNNNNNNNNNNNNNNNNNNNNNNNNNNNNNNNNNNNNNNNNNNNNNNNNNNNNNNNNNNNNNNNNNNNNNNNNNNNNNNNNNNNNNNNNNNNNNNNNNNNNNNNNNNNNNNNNNNNNNNNNNNNNNNNNNNNNNNNNNNNNNNNNNNNNNNNNNNNNNNNNNNNNNNNNNNNNNNNNNNNNNNNNNNNNNNNNNNNNNNNNNNNNNNNNNNNNNNNNNNNNNNNNNNNNNNNNNNNNNNNNNNNNNNNNNNNNNNNNNNNNNNNNNNNNNNNNNNNNNNNNNNNNNNNNNNNNNNNNNNNNNNNNNNNNNNNNNNNNNNNNNNNNNNNNNNNNNNUUUUGAUUUUCAUUGAGAACUUUGACUAAAUAAUAUUAAUUAUUAUAUUCGAUUCGAAGUUUCUUUUUCUUCUUAGUUGAUUGAGUUUAAAUUUAAGAAUUUGUUUAAUUGUAUGGAUUAUCAUUGUCUUGAUUCCAAGUUUUGAUUUUUCUAGGUUGUUAUGUUUUUAGAAUUAUAGUUUAUUAUUCCUAUUGAACCACUUGAUUAAAUCCAUGUUUUAAUUUUUUAACUUUAGUUUUGAUUGAUCUUAUCUAGCUUAUGUGUUUUUAGAAUUUUAGUUUAUUAUUCCUAUUGAACCCAUGUGAUUAAUUCCAUGUUUAAAAUUGUUAACUUUAGUCUUUGAUUGACCCUAUUUAGUUUAUGUGUUUUAGAUUUUUAGUUGAUGAGUCUAUUACUUUCUCAUGUCAUUAUAUCCACGUUUUGAGCUUGUUCGUUUUAAUUCUCGAUUGAUCCAAUUUUAUUUUGUGUGUUUUUUAGAGUUUUAGAUAUUUAAUUUAAAAGUUACUUUUCUCAUGUUGUAAGUUUGUUAAUUUUAAUUCUUGAUUGACCUAAUUUUAGUACGUGUGUUUUUUAGAGUUUUAGUUAAUUAGUUUAAUCGAUGCUCAUGUUUUAAAAAAAGUUUGUUAAUUUUGAUUUUUGACUGAUCUUGUCCUAGUUUAUAGUUUUUCAAAAUUUUAGUUAAUUAGUUUUAUCCCAUGUUAUUAUACUCAUGUAUUAAAAAUAGUUAAAUUUAGCUUUUCUACUUAGUUGAUGUGUCCUUUUUUUAAAUUUUGCUUAUCAUUUUGCUUAAUCCCUUGUUACUUAGUUUUGUUUUUGUUUUGGAAGUUAUUAAUGUCUAGUUGUUGAUUAGUUAAUAUGUUUUAGAAUUCUAUGUGCUUAUGUUACUAUAUUCACAUUCUUAUAAUUACAUGUUUAUGUGUUUGGUUGAUUUUAAAUUAGUUCUUGAUUGUUUAUCUCAAUUUAUGUGUUUGAUUGAUCCUUAUAAAUUCCCGAUUAAUAUUUCGUUAGUUUUAUUUGAUCUAAAAGUCGUUUGGUUUGUUGCUUUGAUGAAUAUUUAUUAAAUUUGACUUUUAGAGGCCAUUGGAAAAUCAUGAAGAUUGGCCUCUACCAUCACCAUUAUCAUUUUUGUUAAUUACUAAAAAAGUUUACUUUGAGGUUUCAUUUUUGUUUUGUUUGGUAUUUUUCUUAUAUUUUAUUUUUUCCCAAAUUAAUUCCUUUUAUUUUAAAAUAAAAUACUUUUCUCAAAAAAUCAUUUUAAAAAUCUAUUUCAAAAACUCAUUAGAGUCCUCAGGAUCAAAAUCUCCUUUUUUUUAAUUUAAAAAUAAUAUGCAACCAUAUCUUGUUCGGUUUGCAUCCUUCUUGGUUUUCAACAAAAACUUUGGUUUUGAACAAAGACACGAAUCAAAGCUUGCGGUCCCACAUAAAUGGGAUAAUUCUGAGCUAAACUCGUGUAUAUCAAUUGGGGAAUUGGUGAAACCCCUACAUAAGAAAAUCUUUUCAAAAAUUAUUUUUGUUGCCACUUUUGUCACUUGUUGAAAUUAUGUCUAUCUUUUUUUUAGGAAUUGUAUAAAAGAUGAGUGUGAUAAUUAGUGUUUUCAUAUACUUUGAUAAUUUCUGCUAUGAUAAUUAGAUAACGCGCAUGCUAAGAUUUCUAUAUUUCAUUAUUUAUUAUCUAACCCCUUGCAACUUGAGGAAGCAUGUUACAAAUUAUCUAUGCUAUCCAAGUAUGUCCUCUAUCACCUACUUUCUGAAUUAUGUGAAUAUGCUUGUCAUUGUGAAAUAAUGCUUAUGUCUAAUAAUGCUUGAGUGUUCUGAUAUACAUAUUUCAUUGUUUGAUUAUUUCCAGUAAAAUACAUGUUGGAUGAUAUAUUGUUUAAAUUAACCGUUUAUGUUUUAUGAUAGCGCUUGAAGAGCGGUUCAGGUACGCACCCUAACUCUCUGUUUUUUGUGAUUUGAUCUUGUUUAGCAUGCAAAUCUUUUGAAAUCACCUAGCCUACUUAGGUAUCCGUAAUUAACCGAUUAAUUGCCAUAUUCCUCUUAACUUAGUCAGUAGAGACCUCUUUAGGGCUUAGAGGGGUGCUACCUCCUAGAGGUACCUUCCCGAUAAGUAACCUGAUCCUCGGACUUAGACUCGGGUUUUUCAAAGACACGUUUUUCCAAAACUUAUGGAGUCAUUUUUUUUAGGGUUUUAUUUCUUGUUUUAUUUUCCCUUCAAAAAUAAAAAUAAAAUAAGUGGCGACUCCAACUUUUCUUCAAAAAUCAAUUUUUCACAAAUAAAAAAAAACGAGUCUCGUUGAUCGAGUGGGGACGCACGUGAAAAAUGCGGGUCCACAACAUCAUUUCCAUUUGAAUGUCACAUUGGGAAGACAAAUUAGUUUCCUGCAACAUACUUAUAAUGCAAUGGAAACAAUUAUGUUAGUUAUUUAUGUAAGUACACCUAAAAAGCUUCGGAUUAGCGGCAAAUUCUUAUUCAAUCUCACAUACCAUAUCACGCUAAUUACCGGUAUGAAGGAUUGUAGCUUCUGGACACUUUCGAAUUGUGUGACCUACUCUUUUACAACGACUACACUAUCUCCCCUUUUGAAAAUUUGAUGCAAAUUUGCCUGGAUUUCCUUUAGUCUUUACUAUAUUUGGAUCACGAACUUGGUGAGGACUUGUGGCUCCAUCUGCUGCUACUUUCUUCCCUUUCAAAUUACUCUUAUAGAGUUCCUCCAUUCUCAUUGUUAAAUUUUCUAUUUCAAUUUUCACUUCUAUAAAUGAAGAUGACGUAUAUAACGCAUAGUAGGGGAGCUUGUUGCACAUCGAACACAAUGAACCGUAUCAUGCAAACCGAUCCAUGUCAUUAUCCGUCUCAUUCACCGAUGCUGAUCUUGGAUGCACCUUUGCUAACUUUGUCCACCUCUUCAAAAUACAUGAAAGAGGAAUCUCUUCCAAAUGCCACACCUUCAUAACAACAACCAUGUGGCAAAAAGGGAUGCCAAUUGACUCAAACAUCAUGCAUGAGAAUUUUAAUGUUACAAUAUUCGGCCAAAAUUGGACUUCCCAUUUUAAGUUCGGUUGUUUAAACUUGGAUAAUGUGUAUGCCCGCAUUGAAUCAUCACUUACAAGCCCUACCACAAAGAAUAACUCUGUAUUCUUCAUCUCCUCACGAAAUUUAAGUUAGGAUUCUUUCAUGUAUACAAUUAUAGCAUGAUUUUCAAGUGUGGAUAGUUUGGUUGAAAGAAUGGUGAAGAAUUGUUCAGCUCGAACUCUACCUUUGCCUCUUUUGUCGUAUUCUCCUUAUCACCCUAUCAAAUUGUUGUACAAACUAAUACAGUCACAAACGAAUUUUCAAGAAUCUAUUUAGAUACGCAUUCAUACUCUCACACCUUUGUGUGCUUCUCAUCACUCCAAAGAAAUUUCCACAUAAAUAAGCCUUAACCCAUCUUUUACAUUUCCCAUAAAUCUCGGUGACCCAACGAUUCUCAUUAAGAUCCAACUUUUCAACCAUUUCAUGCCAAACCUUUUCGAAUUCUUCUGGAUUCCCUCACAUGAACAUGCAUCUUGCAAAAAUGCUUGUCAAGUCCUUAACAUGCACAUUCGUGAAUGCAUUUCAUUGCAAGUGCCAUGAACACAUGUGAUGAUAUGCAUCGGGAAGGACUUUUUUAAUUGCUUUAUCCUUAUCAAUUACUAUGGAUACGUGUUUCUUAUUCAUCAUUGCAAUAAGAAAUGUCUCCAACACUCAUUCAUAUGUACCAAUAUUUUCAUCCAUCAAUAACGCACAACUAAAUACCACGUUUGGUGAUGAUGAUUAACACCAACUAACAUGACUAGGGGCUUUUUAUAGGCAUUUUUCCUAUAGGUUGUAUCAAAUGUUAAGACAUCUCCAAAACACGCAUAAUUCAUUCGAGCAGUUGAAUCAGCCUAAAACAAGUUAGCUAGUCGACUUUCUUCAUCAAAGUUGAAUUUAUAAAAAGAAUGAAGAAUCCAUUUGUCUUUCCGCACAAGUAAGCCAACGUAACUUCUGCAUCACCAUCUUCAAUUUCAAUUCUAUGCAUUGCAUCAACGUGAUUGUAUACAUCUUUUUAGGUGAAACCAACAUACUGAUGUCCUCCUGAUUGUUUGACCAUAUAGUCCAUAAUUUAUGUUGUUUUAACACCAACUUGAUGCAAAACAUCAACUUAUGCCUUAUCUGGAUUACUUAUUGUUUUAUGAGAGCGAAGGAAUUGUGUGUUGAUAGCAUCAACCAAAUUAUGAUUAUAUUCUCCUAUAAAUUCCUUUACAAUCCACUUUCCAUCUUUUCUAUUGAAGCCUAUACGAAAUGCAGCUUCACAUCCAACUCUAGUCAACGAUCAUGGCUCACAUUGUCGCUCGUCAUUUUGAAUAAACUUUGUCGUUCAAUGUCCUUCUUUGAAACACACCCACUUUCAAGAUAUUAUAUCUCCAUUCUUGUCUCAUUUCAAAUAAGCUUUUCUAAUACUAAAUUCGGUUACUUUGGCAAACAUGUUGUAAAAUGUUUCAGCCUCAUCUAUGCAAUUGAAUUGCAAUUUGUAGACUUUUUCAACUGAAAUACCCUUCAACACCUUCUCUUUCAAACCGUUUCCAUCCAGCUAAUAAGUGCCACUAGUAUAUGUAUCGUCAUUGACAACAUCCUCAUGUUUCACUUUAAACUCUUGCUUGAUUGUUUUCUCCAUCACCAAUUGCAACACCUUCAUUUUAUAAAUCAUGUAAAAAAUCGUUGGAAUAAUACCUUAACAAAUAAUCGUAGCACUUUCGUAUAAAUUAAUUGCAUACUUUCAUAGAAACCUAUAAUGCAUACGUCAUCAAUUAUUCAAGUUUGUUAGUACAGGUUGCCAUCGACAAUUCGACCGGUUUCAAUUUGGUCGACCUAUUGGUCUUUAUAUUGAAAAUGCUCCCACUUUGCAGUGUCUAUUGACUGAAGAAACAAUUCAACCGGUUGAGAAAUUAUUCAACCGGUAUACACUGCACAUGUGUAUUUCCCCAUGAUUUCAAAAUUAAAAAGUCUUUUGAUGCAUAUUACUAACAAUGUGCUAUAGACAAUGAUAAUCUUCACUUUUUAAAAACAUUAUAUAUAAUUUAAAAAUCAGAAUUAGGUUUUGGGAAUAUUUUCCCUAUCUAUUUGAAGGUUGAGGGCAGUCACUUUGAAAAAUAUAUCAUGGAUUUGUUUAACAAAUCUUUAUUGAGUUAAAGACGAUACCUUAACAAUGGAAAAUGCAAGUGUGAUGCAGCUUCAACUGAAGAAUUGUCUUCUGGAUGUUUUUUUGUAAGCUAUGCUCCAAUAAAUAGAAGACCUCGUUCACUCUCCAGCUUCCUUAGAAUAUGUUCCUUUCCAAAUAACUACUAACAUAUCUAUGUGGUUGGUUGCUAAAGUUAUUGCAUAUUUGAAUAGGUUGCUGAUUACUACCAAAAAGUGCUAUUUUGUAGACCUAAUAAUAAUGGUUUUAAGAACCUUUGAGUAGUAAUCAUAUUCAUUUAACCCAAUUAAUUCAUUAAGGUCCUUAGUAAUUGGUUUUAACCAUUUUUGUGGCAAGUUUACAUGUUUUUAUCAGCUUAUGAACCAAUUCAAGCAUGCCAAUUGAUGGAGGAGCUAUUUGGGCGAGUUAAGCAAGGAUUUUGGAUGAUUACAGGCUUGAAUUUCAAGUGGAAACACGAGCACAAGCAAUGGAGAAGAGGAAAACAGAGUAAAGAAAACAGCUGCAGUCUUCUUUCACACUUUUGGAGCACUUCCCGAAGUCCAUUUUCUACAUGCUAUAUACCAUUUGAAAGCUUAGGAAGUCAAGAAUCCAACGCUUCAAACCGUGUAUGAUUUGGAGCUGAAAUGAGGAAGAUAUGGCCUUCGGAAGGCAACUGCAUCAUGCCAAAUGACCAAUUUCGCAAGGUGAAUUUCACAUUGCGAAAAUUUCGCAAUGAGAUUUUCUUCAUGGUGCGAAAUUUUGCCAUUUCGCAAUGUGAAUUUCACAUUGCGAAAAUUUCGCAAGGUGAAUUAACUCAUGAUGCGAAAAUAUGGCACUUCGCAUCAUGAGUAAUUCACAUUGCGAAAAUUUCGCAAUGUGAAAUUCACAUUGCGAAAUUCCUUUGAAUCCUCUGUUUCUCCACGCACGCACCACCGACUUCCCAAAUAUUUUUAGCUUGAUAUUUUCUCAUGUAAAUUCCUUUUGUAACCUUGUAUUCAGCCGACAUAAAUCUUUAUCUUGUAAUUUUGCUAUAUAUAGAGGUGCACAACACCUCCAACAGGGGAGAAUGGGAUGAUUGGUGAUCGAUCCUCUGUACAUUAACUUAGAAAUAUAUAAAGCUUUGUUUUUCUCUUUUCUCCUGUUCUUCUCCAUUUCUAUUUUCUUAGUAGCCAAACAGCCUCUAAGGGCUUUUCCUCAGAGGAUGAUUGGCUAAAACUUUUAGUUUCUCAAAGUAUGGAUGUUAUGUGAUGGCUUGGAUGCAAUCCCAUGGAAAUUUCUCGCACCUGGAAGGUAAGGUAGUCGUUUUUCAUUAAUGGUUCAUUAAUGCAAAGUUUGGUUUUUAUUUCCUUUGGACAACUUCCAACGGCCAAUACUUGAUAAGCUUUUGGAUUUCUAUCCAUUAGUUAUCUCCUACGAGCUAUUGGAAAGUGAGGUUUUCAAUUCCAAGUUUUGCAUUAAUCCGUUAGAACCAAUUUCAAUGGCCAUUGAAAGGUGAGUUUAUCACCUGGAAUGACUUUGAGUUGCCAAUAUUUGGUAAGCUUUUGGCUUUAGACCAUUAGUUAUCUCUUACGAGCCAUUCAAAGGAAGUCUAAGGUGAAUAACCAUUGAUGAAAUUCACUACCAUCUGUUUUGCCAUUUUAAAGGAUUAAAACUUGAUUUGCUAAAUCCAUACCGGUUCGGGAAGCAAGCAUCACCAUAGUUGCAACCCCAACGCGAGGAGCCUAUCCUUAGAUUUCCAAUUUGCAUAAGAGCCAGAGCAUAGCUAUCCUAUCUUUGAGAAACUUGCUUUUACACCCUUUCAUUUUAGUCUUUAAUGUUAGCUUAGAUUAGUUUAAAUCUUUCUAAAAACAUUUGCAUUUUCUUUUAAAGCUAACAUCUAUAAGAAAAUCACCUAUUUUCCUAAUUUGAAUAUCACUUGUGUUUGCGAAAACCCUUCCCAGUGAACGAUCCUAGAACCACUAUGCUAUAGUAGCUUGGCUACUUUAGUAAUAGUAUUUAAGGUAUAAAUUUUGUUGAUACGCCUUUAAAGCUAAGCUACCAUGAGUCGCAUCAGUUGCCACAUGUAGAAAACCAACUUGCACAAUGGUACACUUGGUGGUUGAAAGUUACCUUUCUUGCUUCAUUUUAUUAGGUGAUAUUAAAUAGAACAUUUAGCAGGAGGGAAAAUCAACCUAAUGUGGAUGAUUACACCCAUUUAAAAUGGAUAUAUGUAUAACUUUACAAAAUAUAAAGUGGGGAUAUGGACUUGAUUGAUAAUAUUUAUAUUUCUUAAUGUUGUUUACCCUUUCUAGUUUAAUUAUGUUUUCAUGCCAUUUCCUACUUAGUUUAGAUUUUCAUCAAUUAACGUGUUUUAUUUGUAAUUAAGGCAUCAUACUAUAUCCUACAUAUGAGAAAGGUUAGUUAAUUAAACUUAGUUACUUAAAUCAGCUAUGUUACGAUAUCCUAAUUAUGACAAUUUUUAAUAAAUUAAGCUUAAUUAAUUUAAUUCACUGAUGAUGUUAUAUCCUACUUAUUCAAAAUGUUUGUGAUUUAACCAGAAUUAAUUUAAAUGUUGCUAUCGUACUAUAUGGUAGUUAUUCUAAAUUCUAAUAUAUUAACCUAACUAAAUUUUAAUAAAAUCAUCAUACUUAGUUACUUAAAUCAACUAUGUUACGAUAUCCUACUUAUGACACUUUUUAAUAAAUUUAGUUUAAUUAAUUUAAUUCACUUAUGAUGCUAUAUCCUACUUAUUCAAAAUGUUUGUGAAUUAACCAUAAUUAAUUUAAAUGCUGUUAUUGUACUAUAUGGUAGUUAUUCUAAAUUCUAAUAUAUUAACCUAACUAUAUUUUAAUAAAAUCAUCAUACUAUAUCCUACAUAUGAGAAAGGUUAUUUAAUUAACCUGAAUUAAUUAAAUUAAGUUUUCAUAUUAUAUUGUACUUAAAAUAAUUUUUUUUUAACUAACCUCAAUUAAUUUAAUUAAGCUAGAUCCAAAGAUUUUUUCAUAUAAUUGAUUAUAAACUAAAUGAGUUCAUAUGGAAAAUAUUAAAUUAAUAAUGUAGCAAAUAUAUUGUUUCAUCUAUGUAGAACAUUAAUUUAAUUAAAAUGUAUCAGUUGAUAAACUAUAUGCAUUUCCAUAUAAUAGCAAGGUCGACCGAUCUGGGAAACCCACUCCUAAUCUUGAACCCUUUCGUCUUCUCUUUCCUUCAUCUUCUUCAUCUUCACGAAAUACCUCAAGCCCAAACCAAAUAUCCAUGGCUUCAAAACAAGCACCGGCUGAAGUAAGCUCCACUGGCAGCAAAGGGAAGAGAACGGUGGUAGCAAAGAUGGUCGGGACCAAAGGAAAGAGAUCUGACGCAUAAUGGACCAACGACAGCAAAUAGAAGACCCCGGAGGGAGCACAACGCAGCGACAACAAAGGGAAGCGACCGAUCAUUGAUGAAAAUAUUGAGGUUCAUAAGAAGACCACCUUUGAUCGAGCUUUGUUCACAACCCCAGAGCUAGCACAAAGAUUUAAUCUUCAUUUUUCCAAUUGGAUCGUAAUCCUAGGUAAGAACAUUGAUUUUUCAAAGCUCAGUUAUUUCCAUUUUGAUAUACUUUUUGCAAGAAUGGGUUGGUUUCCUAUUGUGUCCAUGAAAGAGUUUCUUUAUCCUAAGGUUGUGAAAUGUUUCUACUACAAUAUGAAAUUUGAAGAUGAAUGACCUAUUAGUACAACCAUUAAUGGUGUACAAAUCAAUUUUGAUGUCGUUGAACUUUGUCAAAUUUUAGACAUUCCAAAUAAAGGGGUUUGUUUAUAUGAAGCAAAGAAGUGGCCAAAAGUGGAAGGUUUCAAAGAUGUAGAAGCUAUACAAAGGCUCUGUGGUUAUCCGAAAUCUAGUAGACCAACUUCUCAUUCAUUGACUGUGUUGAGUCGCACCCUACAACACAUGAUCUCGUAUAUUUUUAUCCCUAAAGGAGGCCAUCGAGACAAUGUAUCUUUCUUAGAGGCGUUUUUGGUUGAUUGCAUUCUCACAAAAAGAAAGGUUAAUAUAGGUUACAUAAUUUUCCGCCAUAUGAAAGCUUGUUCAUUAAGCGAAGAUUCAGUGCUCCCAUAUGGCAUGUUUAUCACAAAGAUUGUCAAAUACUUCAAUGUGAAUUUGCGGAAUGAGACAGUUGGGAAGAAACUCAAAUCAUUUGAUACAUAUGAUUGGGCUUCACUUCGGCGCAUGCAUUUUGUUCGCAAAAAUAAAAAAGGUUAGUGGAAAGGAAAGUCUUCUAUUGCUUAUUCAGAGGUAGAUGUGUCUUUAGACAAUGGGUUCUCCCAGGAUGAGGAAUAUGAAAAUCAGGAUAUAGAGGGAAGAUCUUCGGAAAAUGCAAAUGUGACACCAAUACCGUCAAAAGAUGGUAUAAGAGCUACAACGGUUGCAGAUCAUCCUUCACAAAAUUGGUAGGAACGAGGCUGGGGCAUUGAAUAACCUAAAUGCCUAGAUUAACUCCCUUGGUACCCGCUUAGAGGAGAUGUCAUUAGCCAAUGAUUGACGUUUCACAUCUUUAGAUAAUUGCAUUGAUGGUUUUCAAGAGGAAUUCAAAUCAGGUAUGCAGGUUAUAUAAGGGCAGCAUAAUGAGAUGAUGGUAUUAUUACAAGCCCACUUCCCGCUUCAUGGCCCAAACCAUAUCUAACCCCUUCUACAUUUUCCACUAGUUAUAUAGUUAGUAAAGUUUCGUUUUUUUUUUUUUUUUUUGGACAUUUGGGUAAUGUAAUUGACACUUUUUAUUUAUGACUUCCUCUAAUGACUUAUUUUGGUACUGAUAGGCUAUUCACAUAAAUGACAUAAAUGUUUUCCCUCAAUGCUGAAGAUGGUAUAUGGAUGAUGUAGUUACUUAUACAUUUAUGGAUUAUAUUAUGCAUCCCUAGAUUUAUCAACUAAUGUCAUUCUUUUACCUUAAUUUGAUAUGUGUCAUGAGAAAAUUGGAAUUUCCAACUCUUUAAGCUUCUUUAACACUUCUUUUCUAUAUUUAAAAUUGUGGGUGGACAUGAUAAAAUAUGGGUUUCCAAUCAGAUGCCAUGAAUUUUUAACUCUUAUGUUAUUGAUUGUCCAAUCCCUAUUGAAGGGUUUUGUCCUCAUCACAUUAGGGUAAUGGUAGUUUGUUAACCAUGGCUGAGCGGGCUUGAUCCUUAAUACUACUAUAUCCUACAUAUCCAAGACUUGAACUCCUGCUUUCAUGUUUGUAAACUACAAAUAUGUUUUCGAUCAGUUGUUAGCACUCAUAAGAAUUGAUGGAUUUUGUCUUCUUUUUUCUGCCUUUACUGCUUAUUUUAUUUCCAUGUGCAUCAAGGUUCUUUUUUAACUACAAAAUAACAGCUCCAACAAGAAUAAAAAGCAGGACUUUGUCAUCUCUAUACGAAUUACAGGAAUACUUCUUUUAAAGUGUGCUCCUAACCUUGUAUGUGCUGAAAAUGAAGAAGCAGCUAAGGAAAGAAGGCAAGUCACAGAUCAUACUGCUGGUAUCACCAUGUGUCUUACUCAUCAGUACUUCCACACCCUCUCUGCUUAUGUCUUACCCAUACAAAAGGACCAAGAGAGUGGCCUAGCUUAUUAUGAUAAAUGUAGAAAUGAUCUAGGCAUGGAAAUAGAUCAAGUUCAUGAUUUUUGUAUAUAAUAUUUAUGCAUUAUAUAAUCUUUCUUUCAAUUCCCCAUCACUCAAGAUACAUAGGACACAAUGCUAUAUGAAGUGAAACCAAUGAAUGUUGGAAGUGUGUAGAGGAAUAAUUAGUUGUUACUGAAAUGUUGUGUAAGAUUUAUGCAUAACUCCAUCAUCACCAGAUCACAUAGCUAAAUGACAAAAAAAGGAAAAUCCUAUUCCGGGUGACCAACAAAUUAACAGGCUGCAUUUUUUUUUUUUGCUACCGGUAGCCACUGCCCAUUUUUGUGCUUUAGGGAAAAAAAAAAAAAGGCAGUGUCUACCGGUUGAGAAUAUUGCCAACCAGUAGCAUAUAACUAGUCGACCGGUUCAUGUAUACUGUUAUAAAUGGGUUAACUACUUGGCUUCCUGCAUAGAUUGUUCUGUUGUUAUUACAUAGUUAUUUUUUUUGGCCUUAUGAUCAGGUAAACCCUGUUAACUGCUUGUAGCCUCUUCUGAUUCUUGUGAUUUGUGUGGUAAGCUUAAUGCUUUUGCUUGUUUCUUGUUAUGUAUUGCUGUCAUUGUAUAGAUUGAACAUAUGGUCUACUUCUAUGUUGAACUUGGCUUGGCUAACUAUGCCACAAUGAUGUACUGCUCAUCUAUGCUAGGUGCCUCAUCAGUGUAUGCUGCGCAGUGUGCCAUGAACAGAAGCCCUGUUUGGGAUGAAAUAGUAAAACCCUACACUAGUUUCUCAUAGGCACAACUACUGUAAGUGAAUGGUACUGCCUUCCUCUCUCUUUAGUUUGUGAAAUACGAAUGUUUUAACAUUUCUCCCCAAAUCAGGGAUUGUGCUAAUCUCUUUGCAAGUUUCCACUCGAUGGGUGCAAAAAACAAGUUGAUCAAGGCAGUGUAUAGGUAGUGUGGGGGAUCAUUGGUCUGUGAUGAUCUGUUUCCAUAAGCUUUUAUGAAAGUGUCUAAAACUCUAAUUUCCAGGUAUUUAAAGUUAUCUCAAUGAUAAGAACUUGCAACUCCAAAUAUUUGCUAGAAUUCUUAUUAUGUGUUUCUCUUUACUAUUAUUUUGUUAGAAUUCUCAUUCUUUAUUAUUCUUUAUGGUUCAUAGAACCUAGUCUUUAUAUGAAUUGAUUUCUAUUACAAAUUUGAUUGCAUAGUCACCUCUGAAUGUGAUUUUAAUUCCUGAUGAGAUUUACUCAUGCAACUUGUUUGCCAUGCUACUUAUUUGAAGGAUUACUCUACUUAUUGAUUGAAAUAUCUCAAGCUGGAAUUUAAAUGCAUUUUGUUAGACCCUACAAAGAGAUGCAUUGGUUGAUUUGAUGGCAAGUUCAUACUACAUUAUAUGGAAAUCAUAUUUGCAUUAAUUUCAUGGGCUACACAUAAUAUAACUUGAUUGAGACUUGUGCCAAAAUUGGUAUGUCUCUAAUGAACUAUUUAGGAAAAUAUGUUCUUCCAUUUCCAUUAUUUUAAUCUUUGGUGUGCCUCUAAUCAAAUUUUGAGGAAAAUAUGUUCUUCCAUUCUUGAUUGGCCAACUUCCACCUAACUAGCCCACCUAAACAUUUUCAACCUCACUUGUUGAGUUAGACCCUAACCCAUUCUGUUGGCCCUCCUAUUUGCUAGUUUUAUCUCACCCUUGUGCCCAACCACCAUCAGAUUACCUACCUCUGAAACAUGGGUCCUCUCUAGCUAUUUAAUGCCAGAAUUCUUGGAAUAACUCAUAUCCUUGUUAGCCAACAAAACACCCUACAAUUAAAGGAAGUAGAUGAAGUUAAGAAUAUGAGAAAAAUGUUGGAAUUGCCUACUCUUCUCUAGGAAUCCUUCAAGGGUCUUAUGAGUGCAUCAAAAGCAAUAAAAUAAAAGGAAUUUGACUUCCUUUCCAAGAAAAUUAGUCAGGAAACAACUUUGUCUCAACUCAAACAUCUUCCCUUCUAGACUCUAAAAUACAUAUAUAAGAUAUUAAAAUAUUUUCUUCACAUGGAUGUAAAAGUUUCCAACUUAUUCUAAAAAUUACUAUAAGAAUAGGAAAUGUUCCAAAAAUUCUAGAACAUUUUAACUUACUAGCCAAUUAAUUAUACUUAGAAGAGAAAAUUAACUUGCUAGCAAAGUAAAAAGGGAAAUGCUUCAUUUCACACAUUUUUGCCACUUCACUAGAUUGUGAACGAUGAUUAGAUAAUUUUUUUUUUCAUAUUAUUUACUUCUUUUCACUUUUUCCUUUUUUUGGUCACCAUGUGCUGUUAGAACAAUGGUAAAAAGGUGGUUAAGGUAGCAUUACUCAAGGGAAAAAAAUGAUAUAUGUCGUUAGGAUGCCUAUAAAACAGGUUUAUAUCAUAUAUUUGAAUUAGGAUUGUGAGUCCAUGUGGAUCCUGUGAUGCUCACAAUUGAGAGAUUUUUCUUUUUUUGACAGUCCUUAAUCAAGAAACUUUUCAAACCUAGUAAAUAAAAAUUAUGAGCUAAGUUGUAGAAAGGCCAUUUAAAUGUUGAAACUCUAGUAUGCUCUGUUAUGUAGGCCAAUUGUAAGACCCAAUAAAUGGUUUGAGAGUUUUUACUUUUAAAAGAUACUAAACUUCCAGUUGUACUCAAUAGGAGUAUCAACUUGGAAGCAAGCAUGACAAUCUUUUUGAAUGAUACACUUGUUUCUUUUGAGCUAUAAAAGUUUUUUGAUCUAGUUACCUCAAAAUGCAGAAAGUAUAGUAAUAUGAUAUUCUUAAUUUUCCUAUCAUUUACAACAUUUCUUCAUUUUUAGAAUAUCAAUCAAUCCUAUAUAUCUUUUUUUCUAGAAGCCGUAAUUUCCUUGACAUACAUUUUUUUUUUUCCAGGUUUCAAUAGGGUAAAGUGGCAAUAGGAUUAGAAUGUAGUUCAUCUUGGGUAGCUGCCAAUGCCCCUUGAUAAUAUAUUUGAUAAGUUUGAAACCUGCAAUUGGGUCCAAGUCUCUCUUAUGGUUGUUAAUAGAUCACUCUGUGAUGUACUGGGUUAAGUCCUGAAUUGCAUCCCAUGUAUAUCGUUUUUUUUUUUUGUUUUUUUAAAUUUCUUAUUACCUCCCGCAUAGCUCAAUUCCUUUUGCAUGAAGUAAGGUUUAAAAGCUUAGAAUUUUAAGUAAAUAUGGACAAGGUAAGGGAAAAAGGGAAAUGCAUCAACCACCACAUGACAAAGAUAAAGAGCAAUAAGAAUCAUUUUUUUACUAUGAGAUGUUGGGUACAUAGAAAAACACCUUUCUAAUUGCCAUUGGAUUAAUCAUCACUUGUAGUUGAGCAUAUCUCCAUGAGGAUUACAUCAUCGACUGAUGCUUUCCUACAUGUAUCAAGCUGAACUACUAGAAGUUAAUAUAAAACAAAAGUAGAAGUAAGAUAUCUAAUAGAAUGGGAAGUUUUAGAAAAGGAGUGGAACAUGAUCUAAUUUCUCUUGCUUUAAAGAGGCCUCAUUUUGCCAAUCCAACAUCCAUAGAAACCAACAUUUAGUUGGGUGGUAGCAGUUAUAUUUAUUAUGACUAGGUGCAUAGAUAAUAAAACUGCCAUUCAAGGCCUUAAGGUUGAUUUUCUGUGCUCCAAGGAAGGAAGUUGAAAUACAGUAGUACACAAGGUAGGGAUAAUCCUGUGGAAAUAGGUAAAAGAUCAUGGUGAAUGCAAUGACACUAGACUGACCUGGUGGUGAACUCUAUCAGUUAAUACAUGCAAAGGGAAUAAAUUUAUUUGGGUUAAAUGGUAUGAAUCUUAUUAUUAAAAAUGUUUGUUCUUCUAUUCGGCAAUCCCUAUUUUAACAUUGUGGUUUUAUUAGAGGCUUUACUCUUUUGUUAGAGCUUUGAGGUCGGCCAUUGUUUAUGUACUCAACCCCAUUCGUAGAUGGAGAAAUUUGUCUUUUGCAUUUUUUUGGACCAUGCCAUUUUAUGGAAGAGUGAAAUUUUUUUACUUAUGGGGAAACUUGUGAUUGAGGUGCUGAAAGUAGUUAUUUACUCCAUUUUAUUUUUACCUGCAUAUCUUUACUUAUGACUGCAAUCUGAAAACAAUAUUAUUUCAUUCAAUUUUUGCUGCCCUACUGGUGACUAUGGACUAAGGUUAUGGCUUUCAUGUAAUUUUCUUCCACAAUAGACAAGAAUGUGUAAAUGUGUUAUAUUAGUAGUACAGGAACUAAAUAUUGAUGGAAGUAUAGUCACAUUAGCAAUGGAAGAGGCAUGUGGGAUAAGCAGGUUUAAAAUAAGGGCCAUGUACAAUAGCUUAGGUGAUUUUGGUAGGAAGAGAUGAUUGCUGUCAUAAAUUUUGAAUUGUUCUGCUAAACUAUUCUCUUUUGAUAAGUUUCCAUAAUGUAAUUAACCUUCUAUAAAGGGGAUGUUGCUCAAGUAUGCCGACAAACACAGUCAUUCUUUCCUCCUCCUUCACCGCUAUUAAUUAAGGAUGUGUUUUCCAUGCUCCGAAACAUAAGGUAUGAACUAUUAAACUUUAGGUCCUUUUCAUGGCUUCACCGCUUCAGGAACCUUUUUUUUUUUUACUAUAUAAUAUUGGGUUACACAGUUCUAUUCACUGCAAAGCUGGUACCAGAAACGAAGGGACGAAUGCUUCAAGAAAUACAAGCAUCAAUGGCUCAUUUUCUCCACUAAAAUAAACUCUUCAUGUUCUAUGGGAGAAAAUAUCAUGUAUUGGAACUUUUUUCUGAUUUGUGUCCUGAAUUGAAGAAAUAAAGUAAGAUUGUACCUAUGCAAUUGAGUUACACGUUUUGAUUAAUAUUUUUGUUACAAAACUACUAAGAAAGAGGAUAAAUUGAUAGUGGACAAUACUAAGCCCAAAUACUAUAUCCCAAACUAUAAUUUUGAGGUCUUAUAUAUUUUGAUUGAUUCAAUCAAAUCAAUUUUUCCUUCUUCAUUACCUCUAUAAGAGAAUUAGUAUAGACUUGAUAUAUCAACAACUUUUCAAUCGGUGUGGGUGUGGGUAGAGACACCAAAUUGGCCUUUCAAUCAACAUAAGGGACAUAAGAUAGACGUGGAAAAUUACUUACAGAGAUUAUCUCAAUAUUUGAAAAUGUAAAAAGCACAAGUCUAUCGGACCAAUAAUCCAUUACAUAUGAAAGAAACAUGCAUGGUUUUACCUAUCUUGGGAGCUAGCUCCUCACAAGUCUUAUAGUGACCAACACCUAUAUGUCUAGAUGUAUAAAGCUUUUUUUCACACACCAAAAAUUAGUUUUUCAAUUCUUUUUAUACCAAAUCCCAAGGUUUUUAGUGGUGUCAAACUAGGAAAACAAAUGACAUUCUCUAAACAUUAACCCACAUAAACAAUUGAUAUGGAAAUAAAAAUGGUAUGCAUUAAAAAAAAUAAGUAGUCCAUAAAUUCAAUAACUUUAUAACCAAAAUUGUUUUAAUGAAUAUGAUAACCCCUUGAGCUGAAGUGCACUUUUGUAUUUGCACGUUUAGGCCUACAUUUUUUUUUACUAGACUUGCGUUUUUAGGCAACUUUUUUUUUUUUUUUUUUUUUUUUUUUUUGUGCGAGUUUGCAUGCUUGAAUGUGCACUUUUAGACAGUUCAUUUUUGGGUUUGAAUGCUUAAGUCUAUACUUUUGGAUUGGACUUGCACUUCUAGGUAGUCCAUUUUUGUUUGAAUGCUUAAGCCUACACUUUUGGAUUGGACCUGCACUUUUGGGCAGUCCAUUUUUGUGUUUGCAAGCUUAGGCCUAUCCUUUUAGAUUGAAUUGCACUUUUGGACAAUUAUUAUUAUUAUAAACAAUAAAAAAAACUUUAAUUAAUGGAAACAAAUAUUUAUUUAUUUCAAAUAAAUAAAUAUAAAUAGAGACAAAAACAAGCAUGAUCUAACUAUGAUACCGAUGUAAGAUAAAAAUUAAAACUAUAAUCCAAAUAAAUACCUAAGAAAGAUCUUUGUAACUUGAAUUAUUGAUCUUAGUAACAGAUUCUAGGUGUAGAUGGGCACCAUGAAGAACUUCAUCAAGAAAAAAUAGAAGAGAUAUGAAGAAACUCAAACCUUCUGAAGAAAAGAUUGUUAGGUUUAGAGCUUACCAUUUAUAGGCAACUUUAUUAGUAAAAGAUAAGAAUUUCAAAUUGAAUGGAUAACUAUUUUCAUUCUAUUUUUAAACAAUUUAAUUCAAAAACAAAUUUUGAAUUUCAUGUAUCUACUUAUUCAUCCUCCUUUUAUUUGACCCACACGAUGAUGAAUUUAAAAGAAGAAAUUAAAUUCUAACCAUGUAAUUAUUGGUUUCUAAUUAUGUGUAUUUGUUAAGAAAAAUAUAACAAUUUUCUAGGUUAAGUUUCAUUUAUUACUUAUUAGGUGUUAUGUGAUUCAUUUUUUAUUUAUGGAAUUGUGAUUGAAUUAUGUGAAUAAUUAUUCAGGUUAAUUAUUUAUUUUUUAGAAUUUCAAUUUGGGAAAAAACAUAAAUUCUAACUUGAAUUUUUCAAAAUUAUUUGAAAUCAUGGGUUUUAUUGGAUAUUUAGAUGACUAUGAAUUAUGUUUUAAAACCAUAAUUUGAGAAAUUCCAUGGGAAUUUAUCAUAGUAAUUAAUUUAUUUUUGUUUUCUUAGUUGGAUUUAAAAAGUUAUGGUAAAUUUAUUUCUAAUUCAAAUUUUAUUAUUUUAGUAUUUAUUUUUUCAUUUUGAAUCAAAGAUGUAUAAAAAUAUAUAAAGUUUAAUUAUAUUGAGAAUUAGAUGAGUUAUAAGAAAAAAAUAUUGACAAUUGUCCCUCCUUUAAGAGGGUUUUUCAUGGUAUAUAUAGUGUCACCUUAUUGAUAUAUCUUUGGAUAAUAAUUGCUUUGGUGAGGUUGUUGUGAUUGUGAUGGAGUAAAUUAGAUCGAUCUAGCAAAAAACUAGUUAUUCUGCUUAUGCAGCUAACUAUCCUUUGCAUCCUUUCUCUAUCCCCUACUUAUUCCUCAGCUCAACACUUGUCGGGACAAGUAUGAGACCAGAUACGAUCCUAUGCAUAACUCGGCACUGAAUCCGUAAGACUUGGUUGGAUCGACUGAGAUUCUGAGUUAACUAUAGGUUGAAUCGGUUGAGUUACAAAAAAUUUUCUAAUUCAAACCAGAGAUAUUUUUCUUUCUUUUAAAUCAGAGUAGAGAGAUCAAAUAUUUUUUUUAUAUAUAUAUAAAAAAAAUCAUAGAUUCACGCAAAUGUUUCUAUAAUGGGUGAAAUGUGCAAUUCUAAGAUUUUUAGUUUCAACCCAUCAAUCUCGUCUUAUGAAGAUUAAAGAAGAAGAAGAAAUAUUCAAGUUUAAUGCAAUCGUGACUUCCAUUGAAGUCUAUAAGGGGAGAGAUUAGAUGGAUGAGAGAUCGAUUACCUCACCACAAUCAAUGGAGUGUGGGAGUUUUGGUGCCAACUGGUGACUCAUCAACGUGUGAUUUGAGUGGACUGAAAAUUACAUUCCUUCUUUGACGAUGGCGACAACAAUGACGACCACUAGGGGAGAGCUUUGGGGGAGAACAUCUUUUGUGGGUUUGCAGUUGGGUGGUUGUUAACCAUAUUUGGUAAAGUAAAAUUGUAAUUAACAUGAGAUUUAAUGGUAAUAAGAUAGAUGUUCUAAAAUGCAUUCUCAUCUUGAUCAACUUCAUAGGCAUGUAUUUAUAUGAUAGAUUCAGCUUACAUUUGAAUCAUUUUUAAUUUAUUAUACCAUAUAAAUUUUUUGUCUUUUAAUAUUCUAAAUUAUAUUAAAAAAUUAAUAAUUAUUUAAAACAAACAUUUUUAAAAGAAUCAAUAAUUUAACAACACAUUUAUAUUAGGAAAUCAAUAAUUAUUUUUGUAUGUUAUAAAAAUUAUAUUUAUAUUUGAAUCAUUUUUAAUCUAUUAUAUCAAAUAAUAUUUUUUUACCUUAUAAUAUUGUAAAAUUAAAUUACAUUAGGAAAUAAAAAGGUGUUAACUAUAAGAUAAUUUUGUUUGAUUAAUUUUUUGAGCUUAUCUAAUUAUACUUAUUUUUCUGAUAACUUACAUCAUAUUUUUAUAAUUUUUUGAACUUUCUAAUUAUCUUAUUUUGUGUAUUGUCCGAUACCGAGCCAAGACGUUGAGACCAAUAUUCUUCAGAAUCCUUCAAGUCAAUAACCAAUAUCACUGACUUUGAACCAUGGUUUAAGAGUCAUAGCUCUUUUAGAGGUGUCCAAGCUGGGAAGUGGUAUAUAUAUAUAUAUAUAUAUUUUUUUUUUUUUUUGCUUAAAAUUUCCUCUGGUCAGUCUCCUUGCAAUAACAAACAGAGAAAAAGAAAAAGAGGAAAAAAGAAAAUACCCAUAUUCAUUUUCUCAUACUCUCUCUCUAUAUCUCUCUUAAGUACAAUUAAUUAAUCUAACAUAUAAUAUACGAUCAAUGCCCUACCAAGACGCCAAGUGAAUCUUAUUUCCAGUUUCUUUUCUCUGAAUGGAACUCAAGUUCAACACUUGGAUCUUAGACCCUGAUAUUUUAUCUAAAGUUCAUGAGUUUCAUAGACCCUGUGCUUCAUCAUCUGGACUAUCCAAUACAAUAUUACAUGAAUUCGAAGAUAUUGAACCCUCAAUUCCAUGCUUAUUACAUGGAGGUCAUCUAGUGUUUUGUCGAAAAAUUAAUAUUCCAAGUUGAUGCGUCUACGGUUUACACUAGGCUUUUGAGUCUUUGAGUUUUGACUGUCUCUGCCUGAAAUGCGGGAAAUGUAGUGAAAUAUUUGCUCUCAUGGUUGUACAUUUGGGACAAAAAUAACCUCAAACUCUGCCAAAUGCUGCCAUCAAGAGCUGGAAAUGUUGAAAUUUCCUACCAGCUAAUACGCGGUUCUCAUGCCAGAAGCUGGAGAUAAAGAUUGAUAGAGAUUCAACCUCAUAUCAUACUACAACUAAGCACCUCCACUAGUUAUGAAGAUUGAAGAAGUAGUCUAUUUUUGACGCGACAAGGAAGCUAUGGCAUGAGUUUCCAUGAAGGAUACCAAUGAUUUUUUGUUAUAAGCUACCCUUUGUUUCUUAAUUAUCAAGGAAACAAUAGCUAAUACUUUAUUAUAUCACAUGUAUUUUUUGAAGUCUUGAUUAAAAUGACAAGACUAUUGUUUAAUCGCCUCUUGGUUUGAUAGGAUUGACUGCGACUUUCUUCAGAAAUUUGUUGUGAAAGGAGCAUCAUCUUCUUUAUGGUUUGUAGAAUGAUGUGAGUCCCACAAAACAUACUUUGAUUUGGUCAAGGUAACUGAAUUCAACACGAGAAAUCUUAUCUAGUUGUACAGUUCCCACUCUUACGGACCACGCUAAAUAUGAUAUUAUAUGGCUGCCUUUGCUUCUAGGACAUGCAAGUUAUAUGGAUAUUUGGUGCAAUCGUUAUGGACUCGGAACAUCUCCAAUAAGAACUUUUCAAAGUUACAACUUUACAUGGUUAAUCUAAAUUUAUAAAUCAUGAAGUAGUUGAAAUAUUUAGAGUUUUAGAAUUGUUUUGGGAAGAAAGAAAAGAAGAAAAUGAUUACCCUUUAAUCUUUGACAAUAAUUAGAGUUUUUUUUUUAUUUUUUAUGUGAAAUAUAUUGGAAUAAAUAUCAAUUCGAAUUAAAAUUGAAUGAAGAUGAAUGUUAUUAAAUAUUUAAUAUAUUUGUUUUUUGUUUGAAUUUGAUUUAUAUCUAAAUAAGGUUUAACAUUAUUGGGUGUUUAGACAAUUUAUUUCUUAGCAAUGUCUAAAUACUACUAAAUGGUGAGUUGUAUAUUUUUAUUAAUGUUUGCAUACUGUUAGUGUUAAUUAAUUCUAUUUAUUUUUACAUAUUAAAAAUAUUUAUUAUAAUUAUUAUUAUGUUUCCUUUUAUUUUACAUAAUUCAUAUAAAAUAUUUUAAAAAUAACAAAGAAAUUGGUCAUUGAAUAAUAAUUAAGAAUUUUUACAUUUUAAAAUGAAUUAAAAAUUGGCAACUAAAUGAUAAUUAGGAUUUUUAAUUGUAUUUGAUUGUUAAGAAAAUAUUAGAAUUUUUUAGGCUAAGUUUCAUAAAUACUCAUUCAUUUAUACCUUGUGUUUAUUCAAAUUAAUGAAUUUGUGAUUAAAAGGUGGAAUUCUUCACUUGGUAACAUUGAUCAUAAGGAUAACAAUGAUACACUUAACUUAGAUAUGAAAUAAUUAAAUCAACCACCAUGGUCCUACUUGCAUAGUCUAAGAGUUAAAUUAUAAGUGGUAUGUUACCCUUACCUUAGGGUUAAAUAAGACAAGAUCAAAUCAAUUUGAGAGGGUCUUUACCCGGUAAUAAAAUCAUGACCUACCCAAUAUAUGAUUGAUUCUUAUGAUACUAGGAUACUUCACAAAAUAUAUGUAGUCCUUAGAGUUCUACAUUUUGCUAAAUGGAUCAUAUAAUUUAUUUUAUGGUGAAUGCUAAAUUAUUAAUGGAUGUUUAAUUUCUAUAUAACAAUCAUGUUGUAUAAUUCAGUCACUUUCAUUUUAACAAGACAUAAAUUGAUCACAUCUAACAAUGUGGAUUACAAAAGAAAUCUAGACAUAGUUCUCACAUAAGAAGAAUUAAAAUGGGUAAAAUGCCCCCAAUGAAUAAUCCUCACAUGAAGAAAGGGAUGUUUAUUAUAGAUGACAUACUGCGGAUCAAAAGGUUAAGUGUAUCAUACUUUGGUCUUUAGAUGACAUGUUGCAACAUCAACAUGUGUCUUAUUCCAUGACUUAUGAUAUCUCUUCAGUCUACAAGAGAUCUUUGGGGACAAGGGUAAGUACAAGCUACUUUAAGGAUUAUCAUGAACACUAGGAUGACAUAAGGAAUUUUUGUUAGAAAUCAUAUGAUACAUAUGAUCAAACUCUUCCAUCUCAAGAUUAACAGGAAAACCAAGAUUGAUUUAGAUGUGAUGUACUUAAAAUUAUUUUAUUAUGAUUCCUUUUUAAAAAAAAAUAUAAAUGAAAAAAACAAAUCAGAGCCAAAAAAAAAAUAGGAGUGACUUUCUUCCAUCUCAAGGAGCAUAAAAGUUCCACGCAUCCGUAGUGUACUGAAGCAGUAUUCCUUUCUCUUCACCAGUCUAGUUGGGUCCUUGCUUACGUUGUAGUGUGGUCUUUCUUGGAUGCUGCUGAUUCCUACUUUUCAAAUUCUAAAUACUAUAAAUAAUAUCUUUAUUCUCCCAAACAUUGUGAAUCCUAAAGCCUCCCAUAAAACUUUAGAAUGAGAAACAACCUUACCAAACUCCCUUUUUGUCUCUUGUGUUGUCUGUCUUUAUGGAUUUUCUUCAUAGAGAUUACCAUAUCACAGAACACAACAAUACCAGUUAAAGUGGGAGUGGUUCUUGACAUGGAUACAUGGCUGGGGAAGAUGGGCUUGAGCUGCAUCUCCAUGGCCCUCUCAGACUUCUAUGCCUCUCAUGGGCACUACAAGACUAGGCUGGCUCUGGAAAUCAGAGAUUCCAAAAGAGAUGUUGUGGGUGCAGCUGCAGCAGGUACUCUCGUUUCAUAAAACUUAGAAUAUUUAUCCAUCCAUUUGGAAAACAAUUGCAUUAUUGAGAAAUAUGGAAGCAAAAGUUUAAACUUGCCCUCUUAUUUUCAAGCAAUUAGAUCUUUUCAAAUAUAUGAGCAGACACAGGUGUGGGAGAUGUUGGGUUUUUAUCGGUUCAGAGUUUCCAAAAAUAGGAUCUAUCAAUUAGAUGAGUGACUGAUCAUUAACUGUAGAAAUAAUUUGACCACCUCAUACCUUUAAGAUAUAAUAUGAUUUCAUUUUUUCUGUAGAGGAAUUAUUUCUUUAAUUUCUUCAUAAUUGCAAAUUAACUUUUCUAUAGUAAAAUUACGUUAUAUUGAAAUAUGAAUAGUAAAAUUUUUCUAUUUAAUUAUAAUGUUAUUAUGGAAUUAUUGUGAAUAGUAUUGUUUUUAAAGAAAAAGAAUGUUAAUAAAAUCACUGAAAUGCAGCACUGAAUUGAACAGUGAAAGAAAUCCAGAAGCGUCCACCCAGAUUAGAAUUAAUUCGAAUUUUUUACAUUAAGUAACUUGAUUUGUAGACCAGUUAAUUAAUUUCUUUCUUUAACUUUAGCUGAUGGGAGUUAUUGUUUGAUAAAUAUAAGUGUAAAGACAUCAUUAAAACAGAAACUGCUGCAGAUUGGGAAUGAUAACUAUAAGAGAAGUUGUUGAGGAAAAAGAGUGUUCACAUUGAACCGAGAUUAGCAUGCCCAUCAAAGACGGCAAAAGGUCUCGUUAAACCACACGUUUUCAGCUAAGCAACAUUUAUUUUCUUGGCUAGGAGGACGUUUCUUUGUUAACCACACGAUGGUUCAAAGACGCAAAAAGUCUCCAUAAAUUUAUUUCCUCCUUUGUUUAAAAGUCAACUGUAAUUUUGUGGCCAUUUUAGAGAAGCAUGGGAAGUUACCAAAAGUGACGCGUAUGACCUAUGGUAUUAAGAAAUAAUGGGAUGUAAAGUGGAAGGUAUAUAAAAAAAUUAAUGUUAUCUCCAAGAAAAUCUCAACAUAUAUGAUCCACCUUUCUGGUUUAACAAGACGAUUGAUAAUUUUUUCACGAAUUCUAGAAACCAUGGGACCAAGGGGAUGUAUUUUCUUUGUUUUUUUGUUCAUACCUUGUUUGAUUGCUGAUAAUAUAGUAGAAAUUGAGUGAAACUUUAGAAUCAUUAAAUUUUAAUUAUCGUGAAAUUCAGCUCUAGAUUUAUUACAAAAUGAGGAAGUUCAAGUCAUCAUAGGACCAGCAACCUCCAUGCAGGCCAAUUUUGUGAUUUAUCUCGGAGACAAGGCUCAUGUGCCCAUCAUUUCAUUUUCUGCAACUAGUCCUUCUCUUUCUUCGCUCCAGAGUCGAUAUUUUGUCCGAGCCACAUUGAAUGACUCAGCUCAAGUACCAGCCAUAAGAGCUAUUGUCCAAGCCUUUGGGUGGAGACAAGUUCUGCUCAUUUACUUGGACAACGAGUACGGAAAUGGAGUUCUACCUUAUCUUACUGAUCCCUUGCAAGAGAUUGACACCCGUAUCUCCUACAGGAGCGUCAUUCAUCCAUUAGCCACUGAUGAUCAAAUCCUCGAAGAGCUUUACAAGUUGAUGACAAUGUCAACCAGAGAGUUUUCAUUGUACACAUGUUUACACCUCUAGGCCCACGGCUUUUCACCAGAGCGUAUGAGAUUGGAAUGAUGGAAGCAGGUUAUGUUUGGAUACUAACUGAUGGAUUAACUGAUAUCUUGAGUACCUUGGAUGACUCGGUCAUUGAUUCGAUGCAAGGAGUGUUGGGUGUAAAGCCUCAUGUUCCAAGAUCGAAAGAGCUUGAAAGUUUUAAAAUCAGAUGGAAAAGGAAAAUCCAACAAGAAUAUCCAACCAAUGAAAGCUUUGAGCUGAACAUUUUUGGACUCUGGGCUUAUGAUGCUGCUUCUGGGCUAGCCAUGGCAAUUGAAAAACUUGGGGCAACAAACUUCAGCUUCCAAAAGUCUAAUACUUCCAGAAAUUCAACUGAUCUUGAUACUGUAGGAGUCUCCCAAAUUGGUCCAAAUCUUCUCCAAUCACUAUUAAGUACUAGAUUUAAGGGCCUUAGUGGACACUUUCAAAUUUUUAACAGGCAACUACGUUCAUCAGCUUUUCAGGUAGUCAAUGUGAUCGGAAAAGGGGAAAGAGGGGUUGGAUUUUGGACACCAGAGAAUGGAACUGUAAGAAAGUUACAUUCCACUUCCAAGGCCAAUCUAGGAACAAUCGUAUGGCCAGGAGAAUUACCCUCCGUUCCUAAAGGUUGGGUCCUUCCAACCAAUGAGAAGAAGAUGAGAAUCGAAGUACCAGUCACCAAGGGUUCUGGUAAAUUCGUAAAGGUGACACGAGAUCCUAGCACUAACGCGAUGGAGGUCACUGGAUUUUCCAUAGCAGUCUUUGAGAACAGAUAUGACCAAUAAUUACUGCAAAAGAGUCUCCAUUAAUUGUGCCAUGUUUAUUUGUUUUAUUGUUUCAACUAGAUAACAUAUCUUGGGGAAAUGACCAAGGGGUUUUCAUAUUCACCACAUGAUAUUUAAGGGGUAGCAAACAGUGUUAAAAAACUAUAACAGUGUCGAUUUUGACAUUAUUUGUGAAUAAAUAUGAAAUUAGUGGAAUUAGGCUAACGGUGAUUGCUCGUUUUCAUAUUCGUGCUGAUUUAUAGAUUUUAAUUUUUUUAAUAGGACUUUUAUUAAUAAAUUAUAAUAACUGUAUUAUAAUUUUGACAAAUUAUUUUAAAAUUUUAUUAAUUUAUUUAAAUCCUUGUUUAUUGUUUGAACCUGCAUGCUCCUGAACUCAGCUGUAGACCUCUUACAAAAUGAGGAAGUGGAAGCCAUAAUAGGGCCGAGAUCAUCGAUGCAGGCCAACUUCAUGAUCGGUCUUGGAAGCAAAGCUCGGGUGCCCAUCAUUUCCUUUUCUGCAACAAGUCCCUCUCUUUCUUGGCUUCAGAGUCAAUAUUUUAUUCGAGCUACCCUAAAUGACUCAGCUCAAGUACCGGCAAUAAGGGCAAUAGUCCAGGCCUUUGGAUGGAGAGAAGUUGUGCUUAUUUACGUGGACAACGAGUAUGGCAAUGGAGUCGUACCGUCUCUGACUAGUGCCUUGCAGGAGGUGGACACCCAUGUGACCUACCGGAGCGCCAUUCAUCCAUCGGCAACUGACGAUCAAAUCGUUAAAGAACUUUACAAGUUGAUGACGAUGUCAACUAGGGUUUUCAUUGUGCAUAUGCUUACACCUCUUGGCUCCCAGCUUUUCACCAAAGCAAAUGAGGCUGGAAUGAUGGAAGAAGGCUAUGUUUGGAUACUAACUGAUGGGAUAACUGACUUCUUGAGUACUUUGGACGCUUCAGCCAUUGAUUCGAUGCAAGGGGUGUUGGGCGUCAAGCCCCAUGUUCCAAGAACCAAAAAGCUUGAAAGUUUUAAAAUCAGAUGGAAAAAGAAAAUCCAAGAAGAAUAUCCAACCAAUGAAAUCUCUGAGCUGAAUAUUUUUGGACUCUGGGCCUACGAUGCUGCUUCUGCACUAGCCAUGGCAUUUGAAAAACUUGGCGCGGGAAACUUCAGCCUCCAAAAGACUAACAUUUCCAGAGAUUCAACCGGUUUUGAGAGUAUUAGAGUUUCCCCAGUUGGUCCAAAUAUUCUCCAUUCACUAUUGAGUACUCGAUUUAGAGGCCUUAGCGGAGAUUUUCAAAUAUUCGAUGGGCAACUUCACUCGACAGCCUUUCAGAUAGUUAAUGUGAUUGGUAAAGGGGAAAGAGGGGUAGGAUUUUGGACUCCGAAAAAUGGAAUUAUAAGAAGACUGAAUUUCACAAACACAUAUUCCACUUCUAAGGACAACCUAGGAAUAAUUGUAUGGCCUGGAGAACCUACUUAUGUCCCUAAAGGUUGGGUGCUUCCAGUAAAUGAGAAGUUGAAAAUAGGAGUUCCAGUGAAUGCUUUUAGUGAAUUUGUAAAUGUGACAUGGGAUCCCAAAACUAAUGCCACAAAGGUCACUGGGUACUGCAUAGAUGUAUUUGAUGAGGUGAUGCGUUCGCUACCAUAUGCUGUUCCUUACGAGUACAUUCCCUUCGGAACCCCUGAUGGCAAGUCUGCCGGUAGCUACAAUGAUUUGAUAUAUCAAGUGUUUCUAAAGGUCAGUCAUACUUUUCACUCUUUCUAGUAUCUUCAUUUUGUUUUUAUUGGAUACACAAAAGAGCACCAACAUUAUCAACCUAUUCAAUGAAAUAUACAAGAAGAUUUCUAAUUCCCUCUUUUUUAUAACAAAUAGAAUUAUGAUGCCGUGGUGGGAGAUACUACAAUUGUAGCGAACAGGUCCAAGUAUGUAGAUUUUACAUUACCCUACACUGAAUCUGGCGUAUCAAUGAUCGUGCCCAUCAAAGACAACAAAAGCAAAAGUGCAUGGAUUUUCUUGAAGCCAUUGACUUGGGACCUCUGGGUGACUAGUGCGUGUUUCUUUGUUUUCAUCGGCUUUGUAAUUUGGGUUCUUGAACAUCGAAUAAAUGAAGAUUUCAGGGGCCCUCAUUCACAUCAAGCAGGCACCAUCUUCUGGUUCUCCUUCACAACUAUGAUGUUUGCACAGAGUAAGUUCUCUUCCCUCAAAUUAACUUCAUUUGCUGAAAUGAUGUUGAUUUUCUGGUUCUAUGUUUGUAGAGGAGAGAAUUAUGAGCAACUUGGCGCGGUUUGUGAUGAUCAUAUGGUUCUUUGUGGUGCUCAUUCUUACUCAAAGUUACACCGCCAGCUUGACAUCAAUGUUAACUGUCCAACAGCUCCAGCCAACCGUUACAGACAUAAAAGAGCUACAAGCGAAACGGGAGUAUGUAGGUUACCAACAAGACUCUUUCGUUCUCGAAUUCCUGAAAAGGAUGAAGUUUGACGAAUCCAAGUUAAGGAUCUAUAGUUCUCCAGAAAAAUUAGCUGAACUAUUCUCGAAAGGAAGUGCAAAUGGAGGUAUUGCUGCUGCCUUUGACGAGAUACCUUACAUGAAGCUCUUCAUUGCACAGCAUUGCUCGAAAUAUACCAUGGUUCAACCAAUAUACAAAUUUGAUGGGUUCGGAUUUGUAAGUGCUCUCUCCUCUCACAAACAAACACUCAUUCCCAAUAUUUAUGUGCAUUUCAUGUGUAAGCUUUUCUUUUUCUUUUUUGUUUGUUUGUUUGUUUAUUGUUGUUUUUUUUUUUUUUUUUGGAAUUUCAGGCCUUCCCAAUAGGUUCUCCUCUGGUACCCGAUGUUUCAAGGGCAGUCUUAAUUGUGACUGAGGGAAAUGAAAUGGUAAGGAUUGAGAAAAAGUGGUUUAGCGAAAAAACUAGUUGUUCAGAUGAUAAUGGAAGCUUACUUUCUUCUAACAAUAUCAGCCUUGAUAGCUUUUGGGGCCUUUUCCUCAUUGCUGGAGUCACUUCAUCUUUAGCUCUGAUCAUAGGUAUUGCCAUGUUCCUGCAUAAACAUAGAGUUGUAGUAAUGGGCAAAGAUUCGGCAUCGACAAAGAUUAAGACCUUGAUGACACUUUUUGAUCAAAAAGACCUCAGCUCUCAUACUUUUAGAAUAGCUGACCAGCCAUACAGCGGUAGCAAUGAGCCUAUAGCUGCAGUUGGAGCCUCUCCCUCAGUGACUAACAGCUCGCCAAGGCCAUCAACCUUUUCCAACCAAACCAAUAAUGAUAUUCCCCUCUCCGGAGAACAAGGAACCUCUUCUUAAUUCAGAGCACAGUGGUUGGAGCUCAAUCACAACUGGUGGGCAAUCAUCGCCAGAGAUAGUAGCUACUAAUUUAAAUCAAGAGAGAACAAAUAUACCUGUAACAUCACAUUAGAAUAAUCGAACUUCAUUGCAGUAGCAUUAUCAUUAUAUUUCACAGCAUGAUAGGAUUGUAAUCUUGCUGAUUGUUGACAGGUUGAAUUUAACUCCUGUACUCCACAUUUUCUAACUGUCAAAUUGGUUGUUAUCUGCUUGUUUAAAUAGUUUAUGAUCAAGGAGGAAACAUUACAUAAAUUAAUAUACUUAUUUUGGAAGUUCAUUUGGUUAUACUGUCAAUAGUACUGUUAAACAGAUCACUCUUUUUAUUGUCUAUAAUUUUCCUUUUCAAUGAAGAUGAGAAUAUGUAAAUAGAAUAGUUAUUUUGGGCUUCAACGGAUUUUAAGUACAAGGGUUUUUUUUUUUUAAUUGAAAUAUAUGUUUUGUAAAGUUUAGACUCAAAACGGUUUUUUAAUAAUUUAUUUUAAAAACAAGUUGUUUUGUCAUAAUGAAUUUAAAUAUAAUUUUAUGUUUUUUAUAGAACAUUGUAAAAGACCAAAGUCCAAAUUAUUGAAAACAUAUUAAGUAAUAAGUAGCUAAAAUAAAUAAAGAAAUAAUAUAUAUAUAAAUUAAAACUCACAAAUAAGAUUGAUAAAAGCUAAAGUUUGCCUUGCUCAUGUGCUUAAAAUUUAGUGACAUUCAUCUCUCAAGAUGCAACAAUAUAAGAAAUGAUAAAUAAUGUUUAUAUUUUCUAUAAAAGCCUGGAUGCUUUCAAAAUAUACACUUAUCACUCAUACAUGACUUGGAAUGGAUUAGCCCACUUAGGAAUGACCUGGAAUGGACCACCCACUUGGAGAUGACUUGAAAAAGAAUGAGAAAUUGAUGUUGUUGGAAUAAAUGAAAUGUCGUGGAAGGGGUCUCUUUUUGUAGGUGGAGAUUUGCCCCUAGAAGAGAUGCUUCCACCAAAGGGUCACAAGGGUCACACCUAUCUAAAAAAGAUGUCUCAUAUCUGUUUUAGACAAUCUGUAUCUUAAAUGGAAAAAUUUUUGUACAAAGAAAAAAAAAACACUUUAUGCCAUUGGGCUUUUCUGGUUAUGUCCAAAAGCAUAUGAGCCAAGGUGAGGCCUGAUUACUACCAAAAAGUGCUAUUUUGUAGACCUAAUUAUAAUGGUUUUAAGCACCUUUGAGUAGUAAUCAUAUUCAUUUAACUCAAUUAAUUCAUUAAGGUCCUUAGUAAUUGGUUUUAACCAUUUUGUGGCAAGUUUACAUGUUUUUAUCAGCUUAUGAAUCAAUUCAAGCAUGCCAAAUGAUGGAGGAGCUACUUGGACAAGUUAUGGCAAAGCUUUUGGAAGCUCAAAUUCAUGAAGAACCAAGCUUUGGAGCCUCAUAUUCCUUUGCCUUAGUCGUUCAAAGUAUGCAAGGAGAGAAGCAAGGAGAGAGGAAAAACAGAGUGAAGAAAACAGAGGAAAGCCAGCUGCAGUCUUCUUUUGCACUUUUGGAGCACUUCCCGAAGUCCAUUUUCUACAUUCUAUAUACCAUUUCAAAGCUCAGGAAGUCAAGAAUCCAAUGCUUCAAACGGUGCGCGAUUCGGAGUUGAAACAAAGAAGUUACAGCCACUGCAAGUCAAUCACUCUAAAGUGUUGCGGAAUCAGCCUUUUGUUGCGAGAAUUUCGCAGCCUUUUUGUACAGUGUUGUGGAUUUCCUCCUGAAGUUGCCCGAUAUAUGCCGCAAGCUGGGAGCUGAGAACCUCAAGGUGGAAGCCAACUUCGCAGCCCUGUGAAGAUAGCUUGAUGUUGCGAAGUGAUUUCGCAGCCCUCUUGGGUGUCUGCGAAAUCUCGUAGACACCAUUUUUCACCUGCGAAAUGGUCCUUAGAGCAUCCCGAUAUUUGUGCACCGACUCUUUUAGAUCUUUUCUUCAGAUAUUUUUGUAUAAAUUUCCAUUUUCUCCUUGUAUUCAGCCACUCAUGUAAUUCCUUAGCUAGGAAGUAUCCAAGGAAGGGUAAAUUACCUUCCUAUAUAAACUCUCUUGUAAACACUCUCAGGAGACGCUCGGAAAUCAUAUAAUGUAAUAUAGAAAUAGAUAUAUCAUAUAUAGAAUCAACGAACAGAGCACUUGCUCUGUUUUUCUUAUAUAUUCUUGUUUUCUCGUUAGUUUUCUUGCUAGCCAAACAUUCUCUAAGGAUUUUUCCUCAGAAGAUGAGAGGCUAGGCUUUUUGUCUCUUGGAGUAAGGAAAGCCGGGUAAGUUUCCACAUGCAUAAAUUGGAAGUUUUGUUGUUUUAGUUUUUAAUGAAGAGAAAGUGUGACCCGUUAAUGGUUUUUAUCUUUUUAGUUAACUUAAAACGCCUUUAAAUCACCUAGGCCAACACUUGGUAAGGCAAGUGAUAUCCGUCCAUGGAGAUUCACUAGUUUACCCCUUGCGAGCCUUUGGGAGGUGGUUUGAAGGUAGGAUUUUCUAGAAUAGCCAACACUUGGUAAGCUUUUGGACUCCAAGGAGACAUCCAUUAGUUAUCUCUUGCGAGCUUUUGACGGGUAAUCCAAGGUUAAAGAUCACCUUGAAUGGCAAGUGCUAGGUGAGAGGUAUGAGUCAUUGCAAGUUGCAUCAGUGAGAGGGAUUUAGUGUUUGAACCCAUUAAUGGGAAGCAUUUGUACAACACCGGUUGGAGAAGGAACUAUAUGUUAAUUCUCUAAUGCGAGGAAAAGAAACAAGUGACCGGAACUCCCUUUUUGUAUGAGGAAUCUGAGCCUAGUGAUCUGAAACUCCAAGAAACAUUUUUCUUUGUAAGUAAAAUCAGUUAUUAUUUGUGGUUAGUUUAAAACCAAACAUUUUCCAACUCAAGUUUAUGUUUUCUUUUAAAGCUAACCUUGAAAUGAAAAGGCACCAAUUCAGCUUUGGAUUAAUAUCAUUUGCAAAGUGAAAACCCAUCCCAGUGAACGAUCCUAGAGCCACUGUGCUAUAGUAGCUUUGUCUUUGCUACCCUAGUAUAUGGUGUAAUAGGUUAUAAAUUUUGUUGAUUACUCCCUCAAUCAAAGAGCACCAACUGGACACGAAUCAGCCGAGACACCAAUUGGGCAUGAAUCAAGGCCCAAGUCCACUCCCAUCUAGUUAAACCCAAGCAUAUAUGAGUCUAGGUUCAAGCCUACACUACAAGGAAAAAGAUAUAUGGUGACAUUUAUAACGAGUCACCAUAAACAUAGGAUGUCACUACAACAUAACGUCACCUUUUCCACUGACACCAUAGAGGGUACCAAUUGGUGACGUAUUUGGAAGUAAUACCAAAGUAGAUAAAUGGUGACCCAUUCGGAAGUGACACCAUAUAUUUCUAGUGAUGAUUGGGUGUCACAUUAAAUGCAUCAUCUUUGAGUUGUGAUGUCACAUUAAAUGCAUCACCUUUGAGUUAUGGUGUCACAUCAUUGUAAAUUACUGUGGAAGAUAUGAUUGCUUUUAGUUGUAGAUUUUUGUAAUGCUUAUGAAUUAAUAAGUAAGAUUAACUUGUUUAUCUUUUGUCCAUAAAUAUAACAAUCAUAUUACAUUUAACUCAUUUUUCUAUAAUAUUUUUAGAAUAACUCAUAAUACAUUGAUCAUCUAAUAAUAUUUGUAUAUCAAAUGUUCACAAAAAGAUAGUACAUCCAAUAUAUCAAACCCAUCAAAACUUAAAAAGAAGAGUGAAUACAUACCAAAACAUGAUUUAGAAAUGUUAAAGAUUCCAAGAUUCAUGUAUACCUCCAUUUCAUAAUCAUAAAAUUGGCUAACUAUAAAAUGACAUAAAAGUCGCAUCUAAAAAUCUAAAAUUCUCAGUACCAAUUAAAGUAACGUUUAUGUCCUACAACGUAUGACAUAAUAGUUGAAUUUAAAAAUCCAAAAUCUUGUUGCCUUCUUCUUUCUUUUUGUUCUCCAUUCCACCAUCCCAAGAGUGUAUACCUGUAUUUCAUAAUUUAAUGAGUUUUAUAGAUUUUUAUUGAAGAAAAUAAACAUGGAUUCAUGUUAUCAUAAAUGAACAAAUCUAAGAACUAUUUUUUUUUUCUUUUUUCAAAUAGAAACAUUAUUCAAAGAAUAAGUAAUACUAUACAAUACCUAUGGAAAAAUUCAUGUAGUAGCUAAGGGACCCACCAUGCAUGGUGAUCAAGAUGCAUCAUGUGUUAUGUGGUUCAUUUUUUGGAUUUAUGGAAUUGUGAUUGAAUUAUGUGAUUAAUUAUUCAAAUUAAUUAAUUAAUUUUUAGAACUUCAAUUUGGAAAAAAAAACAUAAAUUCUAACUUUUAUUUUUCAAAAUUAUUUGAAACCAUGGUUUAUUGGAUAUUUUGUUGACUAUGAAUUAUGUUUUAAAAUCAUAAUUUAAGAAAUUUCAUUGGGAUUUAUCAAAGUUAAUUUAUUUUUGUUUUAUUAGUUGAAUUUUAAAAAAUUAUGGUAAAUUUAUUUCUAAUUCAAAUUUUAUUAUUUUAAUAUGUACUUGUUCAUUCUAAAUCAAAGAUGUAUAAAAAUAUAUAAAGUUUAAUUAUAUUGAGAAUUAGAUUAGUUAUAAGGAAAAAAUAUUGACAAUUAUACCUCCUUUAAGAGGGUUUUUCAUGGUAUAUAUGGUGUUAGAUAUAUCUCUGGUUUAUAAUUGCUUUAGUAAGGUUGUUGUGAUUGUGAUGGAGAAGAUUAGAUCGGUCCAACAAAAAACUAGCUAUUCUGCCUGUGCAGUCAAGGGUCUCCAAAAAGCCAGCGGCCCGCUUUAGGCCCAGCCCGGCCCAAGCCCGCCAGGCCCGAGCCUGGCCCGAGCCUGGCCCGAGCCCGUUUCUGGGCAGGCCGGGCCGCGGGCCUAAUUUUAGGCCCGGCAGGCCAGCCCGGCCCGUAGGCCCGUAGGCCUACCCUUUAAAAAAAAACUACAAAAAUAAAAAGUAUUAAAAAAAAUAUUCAUUUCAAAAUUUUAUUCAUUGAAUGUAUAAUUACAUUUGAAAAUGUGGGAAAAGUUUACAUCACUACAAAAUAAAUACAUCCCAACUAGGUUGGCACCUAUUUAUUUGUCAAUCAUCUGUAUUUUUCAACCACAAAAAAUAAAAAUAAAAAUAUAAUAUACAUUUAGUCAUUAUUUUCUGGCAAUGAUGGCCAACUAUCAUGCAUCCAUGAAGAUCUUGAUAAUUUUAAAGAUUUCAUAUCGACAAGCAUCUCUGUUUCUCAAAUGGAAUCAUACAUCCUUUUAUUUGCUAUUUCCCAAUCUUUCACACAUAUCCCUGCUUCAAUAACAUCUGGCGCUAAGUUGCAUCAUUUUUUACUAACUACUCUUCCACCUGCACUAAAAGCAGCUUCUGAUGCAACUGUACUCACAGGAACUGUUAGUACAUCACAAGCAAUUAUAGAAAGCACAAGAUAUUUGUGUUGAUGUGAUUUCCACCAUAUUAAAAUAUCAAAAUCUUCUUGAUCUUCAAAUGAAAUUAUAUCAGUAUUAAGAUAUUUAUCUAAAUCAGAUGUAUUAUUUGGAGAACUAUUUGUUGUCUUUUUUCGACUUUUCAACAUUUCUAGAGCUCUUUUAUAAAAAGAUGAGGAGUUUGCAGAUGUAGGUGGUAAUUUAAUAGUAUUAAUAUCAUUACCAUAUUUUUCUUUAUAAUAGUUAUAUAAAUUAUAUAAUAAUGAAUUUAUUUCAUUUUUAAUUUCUUCAAUUUUUAUUUGGUCAUUAAAAUAAAUAAUUGUUAACCAUUCAUCCAAAGCUUCAAAUUUCAAUCUAGGGUCCACAAUUAAAGCAAUAUAAAAAAUUAAAGGUAUUUCUCCCCAAUAUUUUCUAAAUUUUUCUAUCAUUGCAAAUAUUGUAUCAUUAAAUAUUUCAAAACUUAAAUAUUUUUUAAGUACAAUAAAAAUAUUAGUUAUUUGCAUAAUAACUCGAUUUGAAGUUGGAUAAUAUACACCACAAAAAAUGUUUGUUGAAGUAUCAAAAAUUUCAAAAAGAUCUCUUAAAAGAUCCGCAAUAUGCCAAUCAUAAUCAUUUAAUGCAUAAAUAUCUACUUCACAAUCAUUGUUAAUUAAUUGUAUUUCAUAUAAUUCGACUACUUUUCUAUAUUUUGUAAUAUUUUGUAAAAGUUUAUAUGUGGAAUUCCAUCUAAUGGCCAUAUCCAAAUUUAUAUUUUUUCUUUUCAUAUUUAACAUUUUGCAAUAAUAAAAAAAUAAUUCAUGUUUUGCUUGAGAACUAUUAAUACUAUAUGCAAUGCCUCUAAUUUUUUCCAAUGUACUAUCAACAUUUUUUAAUCCAUCCUUUACAAUUAAAUUUAAAAUAUGUGCACAACAACGCACAUGAAAUAUUUUAGCAUGAUCUUCUUUUACUUGCCAAUAUUGUUUUAGCCUAUGUAUUGUUGCAUCAUUAUUAGCAGCAUUAUCUAAUGUUAUUGUCAAUAUUUUAUCACGAAUGCCUAAAUCUAUAAUUUCAUCAUUUAUUAAAGAUGCUAUAUUUUUACCACUAUGUGGAGCAUUUAUUAAUUUAAAUGAAAUUAUUCUUUUAUUUAAUUUCCAUUCAUUAUCAAUGUAGUGAGCAGUUAUACAUAAAAAAACCAGUGUGAGUUAAAGAUGUCCAAAUAUCAGAUGUUAAACAAAUAUUUCCUUUAAAAUUUGCAAAAAAAAAAUUUUUAAAUUUCUUUUUGUGUAUAAAUUUUUUUCAUAAUAUCUCUUUUAACUAUAUUUCCAAACCAACCUUUAAAUUGAGGAUUAAUACCUCAUUGAAUUGUUCCUGCAAAAUCAUGAGUUUCCAUCAUGUUGAAAGGUUGUUCUGUUCUUAUUAUAUAAUCAAUCAUUUCUUCACGACAGUUGAAUUCAUCAUAAGAAAAUGUUUUUAAAUUUCCACUUUCAUUUUUACCUAAUUGCAUAUAAUUUCUAAUAUCUACAUUAUUUUUAGUUUUACAAUUUUCAUGAUGUAUUUUUAAAUGACUUGUGCCUGCAUUUGAGCCACCAGUAAGAAAUUUAUUACAAAUUUUACAUUUUGCUUUUAUUUCUUUUUUAUUAUUUUCUAAAAUUAUUUCUAUUCUAUCAAAAAAAUUCCAUAUAUUUGAAGUAAAUUUUUUGUUUGAUGAUAUUUCAUCACAUGGACUAGAUGAAGAAGCACUUGCCAUAUUAUAAUUAUUGAUAAAAUAUUAUGUCAAAAAUAAUAAAUUAAUAAAUAUAAAAAAAAAUGUAACAAAAAAAUAAAGUAGUAGGAGUGAAGUAUGUUACUCAAUUAGAGAACCGAUGCAGAAAUUCCUAGCAAAUUUGAACUCUUGGAGCCACCAAUGCUUGUUUUGCACCACCAACAAUAUUGUAUAAUUUGAGGGAAAAAUAAAAGAAUUCAAAAUAUUGUAGAAUGUGAGAGAAAUAGAGAGAAUUUGAUGAAAAAAUGAAAAGGAAGAAAAUGUAUUUAUAGGAAGGUUAAAAAAAAAUUCAAAUUUCAAAAUAAUUGGCCAUGUGACCGUUGGAGGCUUAGCUCCAACAAUCACAUGGGCUGGAGCUAGGCUCCAACGGUCACAUGACUGAUGGAGCCUUUAAUUUUUUUUAAAAAAAUAAUAUACUUUAUUUAUAUAUAUAUAUAACUAACUCAAUUAAUAAACAUAAAAAGAAUGUAGUUUAGUUGGUUAGAAGCUUAAAGUUUAAACAUGAGGGGAGGGGUUCGAAUCCUCCCCUCUCUCUUUCCUUGGCUUUUUUGAAAGCCAUUUUGGCUUAAUUCAAAAAGCCCGCGUGGCCCGGCCCGCCUGCCAGCUCGCGGGCUCAUAGGCCGAGCCGCAGGCCUAGCAUUUUAGCAUGGCCCGGCCCGACCCAAGCUAGGUCGCGGACCUCCUAUUUACGGCUCGGCUCGGCCCAGCCCGCCCGUUGGAGACCCCUGUGUGCAGUUAACUAUCCUUCACAUCUUUUCUCUAUCCUCUACUAACAUUAGUUAUACUCCUUAUUCAAUCCCCAACUUAGUUUGUAUCUCUCUUUACUAUUAUUGUAUACAGGUUUGGGUGUCAUAACUCUUUUAUAGGAGUCUAGGUUGGAAAAUGGUACAUAUAUAUUUUUCUUAAAAUUUUCUCCUCUCCUCGCAUUAACAAACACAGAAAAAAAUAAAAAUAAAAAUAAAACACCCAUAUUCCUUUUCACAUUCUCUCUCUCUCUACUAUUAUCGUACGCAGGAUUGGAUGUCACAGCUCUUUUAUAGGAGUUUAGGCUGGAAAAUGAUACAUAUAUAUUUUUCUUAAAAUUUCCUCCACUCUCCUCGCAUUAACAAACAAAGAAAAAGAAAAAGAGGAAAAAAGAAGGUACUCGUAUUCCUUUUCUCAUUCUAUUUCUCAUAAGUAUAAUUAAUUAAUCUAACAUACCAUAUAAAAUCAAUGCCCCACCAAGACUAAACCAAGCGAAUAUAAUUUCCAGUUUCUUUACUCUAAAUGGUACUCUAAAUGAAACUCAAGAUCAACUCUUGGAUCUCAGACCAUGAUAUUUUAUCUCAAAUUCACAAGUUCCAUGGAUUAUGUGCUUCCUCAUCUGGACUAUCCAAUACAAUACUACGAAUGCAAAGAUAUUGAACCCUAAAUUCCAUGUUUAUACAUAGAAGUCAACUUGUGUUAUGUAGAAAAAUUAACAGUCCGACUUGAUGUGUUUACAGUUUGCUCUAGGCCGGCUUUUGAGUUUUGAGUUUUGACUGGCUCUACUUGAAAUGCGGGAAAUGCAAGGACAUAUUUGAUCUCAUGGUUGUACAUUUGGUACAAAAAUAACCUCAACCUCCUGCCAUCAAGAGCUAGAAAUGUUGAAAUUUCCUACCAACUAAUACAUCAUUGUCAUGCCAGAAGCAGGAGAUAGAGAUCCAACCCUAUAUUAUACUACAGCUAAGCACCUCUACUAGUUAUGAAGACUAAAGAAAUAGUCAACUUUUGACCCCACAAGGUAGCUAUGACAUGAGUUUCCAUAAAGGAUACCUAUGAUUUUCCGUUAUAAGGUACCCUUUGUUUCUUAAUUAUCAAAGAAACAAUAGCUAGUACCCUAUAUCAUAUCACAUCAUAUUUUUUGAAGUCAAUGGUACAAGGAAACAAAAAAUGCAAAACUUAGAUUUUUAGUAUCUACAAUAAAAAAAAUUUAAAAAAAGAAAAAAAUUUGCCAUUAUUUACUCAUAAUUUGCUUGGCAAGUGGGCUAAAUACUUUCUUGCAAAGGCUUGACUAAAAUGACUAGACUAUUGUUUAAUCGCUUCUUAGGUUUGGUUUGAUAGGAUUGACUGCGACUUUAGAAUUUUGUUUUGAAAGGAGCAUCAUCUUCUAUAUGGUUUGUAGCACGAUGCGAGUCCUGUUGAUGUCGCGACCCACUAGGAUUACUGUGUCUCCUUGACACUAGCACUUGAUCAACUAAGAGUGAUGUUUCCUUCCUCUCUCCUACAAAAGAUGUCCGGACAAGUUGUCCAGACAUACCUUCUGAAGCUCUAGUUAAAUUGAAAGUUCUAUAUGUUUUCUCCUUUUGGGAGUGAUUCCGAAGUCUGUCUUACCUCCUUUUGUUGGGUUCCUUGAAGGAUUUUAUAGUAUCUGGGGUUUUUUGUUGUCACAUCCAGGCUAGUGGGGUCCUUUACUUCCACAACCAUCAUGGCUACUCAUAGGGUAGCAAUGCAAUCAUAACUUUUUAGGCAGUGAAUAGAGAUUGCUAGUGAGGCGAUCAGGCGGCACAUCCAUCACUUCAUUUUGCAGGCAGUAGAGUGCAGAAUAUGGCAUAUGGCCUGAAAAGACAUGAAGAUGUCCCAACUAGCACGCCUUUAAUGGAAGGCGAAUGAUGGAUUGUGGAGUAUGGUCAGAGACAUUGCUUGGAGCAUGUCCUGCAGUCUCGUAAGAGCAUGGGCACCUAGCCAUUGACUGUUAGAUCUGGAUAGGAUGGAUCCGGAGUAUAUGUUCCUAGCUAAUGGAGCAUGUUCGGAUAGAGGCGAAGGGCUACCACGUGUUUAUAAAAGGUUUGCCUAUGAGGUUAAGGCAGGUCGCCACAUGUUAGCUCAAGAGUAGGGUCCUACAAUGCCCCCUUUUAACUUGUUUGGUUUGUCCAGUCAUAAAAGGCAGGUUAAAAUGAUUUCUUCAUAUUUUUCGGGGAUUAUGCGACACAUGGCACUUGAGCGGGAUAUUUAUGACAAGACGUCGUUCUUGAAAUUGUUACUAGGCGGCGUGUCGUUUCGAAAGCAAUGCGGUUGGGUGCUUUGUCGUUUGGGGUUCCUAAGGAUUUUAUCCUAUAAAUAUGAAGCCAAUCCCCCCUGACAGUACUUUUCUCUCAUUUCGCCUUUUGCUUCUCCCUGGACCAUUCCAACUAUCCAGAAGUAGUGGUUUUGGUAUUCACUUAGCAACACCUUCUCUAGAGAUUCCUUAAUUAGUUAACUCAAGUGGUUGUAGUUUGGUUCAUCUUCAUCUUGUAAGCAUUCGCCAGGUUUGCUUCUUCUUUCUCUUCUGCAUCUUCUACUCUUUAUUUUUCAUUGAUUGGAAUGCUUGUUUGUGGUUAGGGGUUUGUGGCGACACUUGAGAGAUUCGGUGAGUCAAGGGAUGACAUUACUAGAUUUUCCUGAGAAGGGCAUAGGGCGAUUCUGGGGUAAUAUACCUCGUCGGGGUCAUCUCCUGGUGGGCCUUGUUAAGGUUUAUGUUAGUUGUUUCUGCGUUUUAAGGCCCUACCGAGUCUGCUAGAUGUGUGCCUUCCUUUGGUGUGCUUGUAAGUCGCAAGGGGUCAAUCCCUAGCUAGGGUUAGGAAUUAGUCAGUGGAACUAGAGUUCCUAAUUUGGGACACAGCUGAAUGGGGCGUAUUACCCAAUAAGAUUUCUUGAGGGCGUUGCUCUUGGGGCAAUAAGGUCGGGUGAUUGCUUUCUAACUAUCGGAAUUGUGCCAUGUAGGUUUGACUCGGCCCAACGUUCCAAGAUGCCUGCAAAAAGGGACACUACCUCAUCCAGUGCAGUUGGGCAAGGUGGGAAGAGCGGUUGAACCUAUGAAUCCCAUAAGGCCCUAUUUGGGGAAGCCUACUAAGCUUCUCAACAAGCGGGAGUUUCACGACCAUUUCUAUUUUCCGAACGGUAUCUCCAUUCAGCUAGUAGAGAGAGAUCCAAUGCUUACAGAAAAGGCAGGACACAACGCUAUUUAUUUCACCAAUGAGCAGUUCAACGCGGGGCUCCGUUUUCCCCUUCCAUCCCUUUUCAAGCAAUUCCUUUACUACACCCAAAUCUCUCCAACCUUCAUUCAUCCUAAUAUCGUUCAGGUACUGAUGGGGUGCUGCAUUCUGAAUAUGCUAUUCCACCUAGACCUUUUCUUACUAGAGGUCAUUUUCAUCUAUACCAUCAAAAAGGGCAAGAAGGAUAUCUUCAGCAUGUUCGCCCAUAUCCCGUCCCUUCAGCUAGUGACGGGCUUCCCUGAUUCGAACAAAGGGGGAGCCAAGGGGCACGAGUUGGUCAGGGGGCUAUGGGUAGGCUUGAUGAAACACCCAGAAAUGGACUUUUGCCCUAACCAUUCUGAUUCACGCCCAAUUAGUGUUCCAAUUGAUUCAACUCAAUUGAUGUGCUUUGUUCUCAAUCCUCAGACGGGAGUAAUCAACAAAAUUUAUAAACCUAUUUCACCAUAUACCGGGGUAGCAUUUAGCUAGCAUAGUAUAGUGGCUCUAGGAUCAUCCACAGAGAUGGGUUUUCACUUCGCAAUUGAUAUUAGUUCAAAAACUGAAUUGGUGCUUUUUCUUUUCUUUGUUAGCUUUAAAAGAAGACAUAAGUUUGAAUGAAAACGAAUGGUAUUAAGCUAACCUAACAUAAAGUAACUAAAAUUAACUAGAAAGAAAGGUGUUUCUUGGGAUUUCAGGUUACUAGGAUCAGGUGCCAACUACAAAGAGGGAGAUUCCGGUCACUUGAAUCUUUUCCUCGCAUUCGGAAUUUGACCUAUAGUUAUUUCCCGAACUGGUGUGAUACAAAUGCUUGCCAUUAAUGGUUUCAAUGCUAAAUCGCUCUCACUAAUACACCUUGCAAUGGCUCUUACCUCUCACCUAGUAUUUGCCAUUCAAGGUGAUCCUUACCAUCGGAUCAUCCUUCACAAGCGAACAAGAGAUAACAAUUAGACCUCCAUAGAGCAAGAUUGCAAGCAAUAAGAAUCCAUGGAAUCCGAAAGCUUACCAAGUAUUGGCUAUUCAUGGUAAUCCUAGUUAACUAAAAAUAUAAAAACCAAAAACGGAUCACACUUUCUCUUCAUUAAAAACGGAAACAACAAAAUCUCACACUUAUGUAGCCGGAACCUUAGCUUCCUUCACCUAAGAAACAAAAAGCCUAGCCACUCAUCCUCUGAGAAAACAUCUUAAAGAAUGUUUGGCUAGCAAGAAAAUGAAAAUGAAAGAGAAGGAAAAACAGAGCAAGGCUCUGUAUAUUUUAUAUAUUGAUCGAUUCUACAUACUUAUCUAUCUCUCUCUUUUACAAUGGAUGCAAGGGAAUAUAUAUAGAGAAGUUUUUCCAACCUUCCUAGCUAAGAAAUCUUAUGGUUGGUGGAUUACAAGGAGAAGAAUGGAAAUUUAUACAAAAAUAUCUGAAGAAAAGAUCUAAAAGAGUCGGUGCACAAAUAUCCCAGUUCGCAUGUAGAUUUCGCACGUUGCAUGGUGACUUGCGAAAAUCUCGCAAGGUGAUUUCGCAACUUGGAAUCCAUUUUCGCAUGUUGAGCUCCAAGUUCACAAGUUGUAAAAUCACUUUCGCAAGUUGGGCUUCUUUGUGACUGUGCGGCUAUAUUCCAUUUCCAUUUCGCAAGGUAGGCUUUAAUUUCGCACGUUGGAGUUCCAAAUUCGCAAGAUGCGAAUUUGUCCUUCAACUGGAUGCAGUUGUCUUGAGAAGGCCAUAUCUUCCUCAUUUCAGCUCCAAUUCGUACACCAUUUGAAGUGUUGGAUUUUUGAUUUCCUGAGCUUUGAAAUGGUAUAUAGCAUGUAGAAAAUGGACUUCGGGAAGUGCUCCAAAAGUGUGAAAGAAGACUACAGCUGCUGUCCUCUGUUUUCUUCACUCUGUUUUUCCUCUCUUCGUUGUUCUUUCCUUGCAUACUUUGAACGACUUUGGAAAAGGGCUAUGGAGCUCCAAAGCUUGGUUCUUCAUGAAUUUGAGCUUCUAAAAGCUUUGCCAUGAACUAUAUACAGCUCUUUCUCAUUCUUGGAUUGCUUUGGUGUAUCUAAAAGCUAUCAAAAACACCAAAACUUAACACAAUUUGAUUAGAAACGAUUGCAAGGGUCCUUAACAUGUCAAUUGAGUUAAAAGGUAAUAAUUACUACUCAAGAGUGUUUAAAAGAGUUAAUUACAAGCUACAAAAUAGCACUUUUUGAAUAGUAAUCAUAUUCAUUGAAGAUUCCGGGUAGGGGUGGCUCCGAACGCCCCCUCCCUAUUAAUAUUUAGUAUUGGGUUAGUACCACUAGGUUUCUAACAUUCUCUGUUUUGGUUGCUGCAGGCUCAAAUUAUAGGGGUCGUUUGGUCGAGUGGGUAGAGAAAGCUUCGUUCGUCCGCCUGAACAAGCUGUUCGAAAUCACUGCCAACGAAAGAAAUUAUCAGAUGCUUCUCUCUACCCGGAAUCUUCUAAUAGUUGUUCAAGAACCUCAACCAUACGUCCUCAAUAUCCUCCCUAGAUGGUUACCUAAGGUUUUGGUACCCGGGGAGCAUUUUUUCUUGCAAGACCUUCCCUUUUACGAAGAGGCACGCGAGGCGGAUAUGAAGGCUCGCCAAAAGUGUCUUGAGCAGCCAGAGGAGAGAAUGUAGGAGAGGACACUACGGAGGGUGCCCGAUGAGAAGGGUCGCGUGCAAUCAUUUGUGGCUCAUUCUCUAGCAGAGAAGAAAAAAAAGAAGACCCUUGUAAAAGUGACCAAGGCCCCAACUCCGGCUCCUGCAUCUCCGUCUACCUCUUCUCUCUCUGCCUUGGAUAGUUCCGCCCACAUUUCCGAGAGUGUUUCUAGCUCCACGAGGCUUGAUCCUAGCGAUCUAGGGACUUGCCCUUCCGAGCCCGAGCUGGAGCCUAUAGCUUUUAGAGUUAUACAUGAGUCAAAAGAAGAAGAAGAAGACAAGUCAAACGACUUGAGAGUCGGCUUCAAAGAAAGGCACUACAAACGCCUCUAUGAAGCCAUUGACAUGGUUCCUCCCCCAACUAAGAAGGUUUGCCCGGAGAAGGCUCGAGAGGAACCCGGGAGGGAGGUUCCUUCAAUGCCAGUGGCUCGUCAGAUGUUAUGGGGCCUAGCAGUGUGCCUGCUGCUGAGAAAGAGGCUGGCUGGGCCCUAAGGGGGGCCUCUGGUGGCGCCACUCCUACUGAGGAAGUCUCAGACCAAAAAGACACUCCUGCACCCACUUUUCCUCCUAGCUGGGAUGAAAUGAUAGAGAUGCUGAAACACGUCCCAUGCUUUACCGAUGUUGAACCGUCCUCUACUAAGAUGUCCGACUUCUUCCUUCUCACCAAGCGGAUAUCAGUGAACCUUGGUGGCGAUCCCCCCUCCUUUGUUUCAACCAAGCUUCCCUUUGGCAUGCCUAAGUUCGCAGUCACCUGUAUUCAACAACUUCAGGACUAUACUGUGUUGAAAAUUGCAAAAGUGGUACUUUUUCAUACUUUGCCUCCUUUCCAGAUUGAUGCACACCCCACUUAACUGAUGCUAAUUUUGUUUUUGUUGUAGUUGGUGGUCAGCAUUCCCAACAUAGUGCGGCAACGCACUCUGUUUUUCAAGCGGCUAAAGAUUGUUGAAUCUAUGCGGUCUUUUAUUCCUCAUUGCCUGGGUGGUAGAGAGGAUUUGCACUCAAGGCUAGAGUGAUCAAAGGCUGAUCUCGCCGCUACCCGGAAAGCUGCUGCAGAUGAAGUUGAGGCUCUAAAAAAGACUGAGAGGGAGAGGGAAGCGUUCUGGAUUGAGGUGGAUAAGUUAAGGAAGGAGGGAAAUUCGUGAAGGCCAACCUUAAGGAGGCUGAGCGAGAGAAUUCUCAAUCGAAGAAGGAGAUAGAAGAGCUUUGGAUAGGGCUCGUGGCUUAGAAAAAAGAAAUAAAGAAGUUACAAGUGGGUUUUGCCUCUCAAAAGAAGAAACUAGAGGCUGAGUUCGUUGCUCAAAAGAAGGAGCUGGAAACGGAGUACCAAAAGCAGGUGGACAAGAUGUAUUUCUUCGGCUACCGUUGUUGUAUGAAGAAAAAUGGUAUCAUGCAUGAUAUUCCCUCUCUUCCGUCUGAUGACGAGAAUGAGAUACCCGGUGGCCCCCCUCAAUGAGACGGUGCCCUCUUUAUGUAAUUUCCUUUUAUAACUUGCCGCGAAGUGGUCUGACUGAAUAUUUGUAAAGAUAAUUUUUAAUAUACUUAAGCUAUGAAUAUAAUAUUGCUCUACUUUCCUUUUUUCCUUUACUGAUAAUAUUGCUUUAAGUUAGCUAUAUUCCAUGGGUAAGGGGUUAUGUCUAGUUUCUACAAGUGAUAGGCUCCAUUCUCACUUACCUUUGACACAAAGUAGGGACCUUCCUAAUUUUCUUGGAGUUUUUCAAAUCCUUUUUCAGCCGUAUUUUCAAAGACCUUCCUAAGGACAAGUGUUCCAACUUUGAAGGCGCGGGGCCGCACCUUACCAUUGUAGUAUGCAGUUGCCCUUUGCUGAUAGGUAGCCAUCCGAAUGGAUGCGUUUCCUCUUAUUUCGUCCACCCAGUCCAAGUGCUUUGCAAGUUCCAGAUCUUCGUUUCUCUUAUCCUGCACGGCGGUCCGAGCCAUGGGCAUGCCUAUUUCUAUGGGGAUAACUAUGUCCAUUCAGUAUGCAAUAGCGAAAAGAGUGUUUCCUGUUGGUCAUCUAGGCGUCAUCCGAUAGGCCCAUAAGACGCCAGACAACUCUUUUGCCCAUUUUCCCUUGGCUUGCUCCAACAUUUUCCUUAAUGCGGAUAACAUGGUUUUGUUGGUUGCCUCUACUUGUCUGUUGCUUUGGGGGUAUCGAGGUGUGGAGUAUAAGUUCUUGAUCUUGAGCUCCAAACAGAAAGCUCUGAAGGUAACACUGUCAAGCUGCAGGUCGUUGUCAACUAUGAUUGUUUAGAGGAUUCCAAAUCGACAUAUGAUGUUCUUCCAAAUGAACUUCGUGACAUCUUUGUCCUUGAUGCUAGCAUAAGCUUUUGCCUCUACCCAUUUGCUGAAAUAAUCAGUGGCAAUGAGCAAGAAUUUCUUUUGUGCGGUUGUGGUAGGCAAGGGUCCCAUUACAUCCAUUCCCCAUUAUGCGAAUGGUCAAGGGCUUGUUACCGAAUUGAGUGUUUCGAAAGGCAUAUGCGGGAUAGGCGUAUACCUUUGGCACUUGUCACACCUCUUGACAUAUGGUUCUGCAUCUCGCUUCAUAGUGGGCCAGUAAUAACCUUGCGAGUGUGCACGAUGCGCUAAAAAUCGGCCUCCUGAGUGGUUGCCACAAACACCUUCAUGUAGCUCUACCAACACAUAUAGAGCUUCCGAUUAGUCUAAGCACCUAAGGUAUGGGCCUCUGAAAUACCUCUUAUGAAGGUUAUCUCUAAUCAAGGUGAAGCGAGCAACUUGUACCCGGGUCCUAUGUGCAUGCUUGGGAUCUUCAGGCAGGGUCCCUAUCCGGAGAUAUGUCAUUAUGGCGCUCGUCUACUCCUGACUUUCCUUGAUAGUGCUGCAGACGGGCGGCUUUGCUAUGGAGGGAGUGGUUUGGACGUAUAUGGGUAGCAAUAUAGAUUCUUUUAAGGGAAGUGAGGUAGUUAUUCCUGCCAAGGCGUCGGCCUACACAUUAGUUGCCCAAAAAAUCUUCUCGAUAGCCCACUCGUCCAAUUGUUGCAAGGAGUCUCACACUUUCAUCAGGUAUUGGGACAUGUGUUCUUCCUUAGCUUCGUAUUCUUUUGGUAAAUGCCCCACGAUGAGCUGAGAAUCACUGUAGAUAUCGAGUUUGGAAGCGGAGAGUGCGGACGCUAGGUUUAAUCCGGACAGAAUGGCCUCAUACUCAGCUUCAUUAUUAGAUGCAAGGAAACCUAGUCGGAUAGUCUGCUUCAAUUGUUCACCAGUUAGAGAUUUUAGGAGGAGGCCCACUCCUGAUCCCGACGACCAGGAGGCCCCAUUGAUCUACAAAAUCCACCAUCCUGCCCUGUCAAACUUUGUGCUUUGGGUAGGCUAUUGGGGAAUCUUGGCUAUGAAGUCAGCCAUGACUUGCCCCUGUAUGGACAGCCUAAGCCGAUACACUCACUCAACUCUAUGGCCCAUUGGAGCAUUCAACUUGAUAUGUCUGGUUUAUGCAAGAUACUCCGAAGGGGUUGGUCGGUGAGCACGACUAUUGGAUGAGGUUGGAAAUAUGGUUGGAGUCUCUAAGCAGCAUUUUACAAAGCUAAAGUCAUCUACUCCAUUUUUGAGUACCUGGUCUCUACAUCAGCCAUCGCUCUACUGAUGUAAUAAAUGGGUCUUUGUUCCUUGUGCAAUAGGAAAUGAAAUAGUACAACGCUGACCGCCUAGUUGGAUACUGCUAAGUACAUGUACAACUACUCGCCAAGUUGGGGGUUGCUCAAAAUGGGGGGUUGUGUAAGGUAAUGCUUGAGUUUCUUGAAUGCAUUCUGGCAGUUGUCCGUCCACCUUGUCGCAUUGGCUUCUCUGAGCACUAGGAAGAAAGGUCGCAGCUUGUCCGUGAAUCGGGCUAUGAAGUGUUUGAGUGCAACGAGCUUGCCGGUGAGGCAUUGUAGCUUUUUUUUGCUCCUAGGCGUGAGUGUAUUGAUGACUGCCUUGAUUUGGUCUGGAUUAACCUCUAUUUCCCUCUAGGUGAGCAUGAAUCCUAGGAAUUUUCCAGCGCUUACACCAAAUGCGCAUUUAGACGGGUUGAGCUUCAUGUCGUAUCUUCUGAGUAGGUGGAAGACUUCCUGCAAGUGUUGGGCGUGCUCUUCCUGGAUUUUGCUUUUGACCACUAUAUCGUCAAUGUAUACCUCUACCAUGUGAUCGAUCAGAGGUAUAAAGAUUUUAGUCAUCAACCUUUGGUAAGUGGCUCUAGUGUUUUUGAGCCCAAAUGGCAUGACCUUGUAACAGUAGAGCCCAUGCGGCGUUAUGAAGGUGGUCUUUUCUUCAUCCGCUGAAGCCAUAGGGAUCUAAUGGUAUCCAAAGAAGGCAUCUAAGAAAGAAAGCAUCCCAUGUCCGGCGGUGAAGUCUGCUAUUUGGUCUAUCCGUGGUAGCGGAAAGCUAUCUUUGGGGCAUGUGUCGUUAAGGUUAGUGUAAUCUAUGCACACUCACCAUUUUCAUUCUUUCUUGGAAACUACCACUACAUUCGCCAACCACUCUGGAUAAUCAACUUCUCUAAUGAAUCCAGCUGCCAGUUCUUUUCUAUCUCAUUUGGAAUGAUCUUCUGUCUAUCCGGAUGAAAUCGCUGAACCUUUUGUCGAGUAGGUCUUGAUGAGGUUAGGACGUUGAGUCGAUGGGAGGCAAUCGACAGGUGGAUUCCAGGCAUGUUGGAAUGCGUCCAUGUGAAAACAUCUUUGUUUUGCUGAAGUGUGCCUUGGAGACGUUGUGCCUCGCCUGGCUCCAAGAGGGAACUGACAUACGUAAAGUGAGUUUCUCCCUCCAAAAUCUGAAUGGUUUGUAAGGGAUCUGCUAUUGGGGGAUCCUUAUUCGUCGAUACUGUAAUUGCUAUUGGUCAACCUUGUCUGACUGCUCAAAGGGAGAUUCGCGAUCAUUGUUGGAUCUAGUUUCCCGUGCAGCUUGGUAGCAUUGAUAGGCAACUAGCUGGCUACCGUAGAGGUCGAUUUGUCCAUCUUUGGUGAUGAAACUCACCAUCUGAUGAUAUGUGGAAGGGAUGACUUUCAUGUUGUGCAACCAAGUACGCCCCGGGAUAGCAUUAGAGGGGGAUAAAUCUCCUACCACAAAUAAUUGCACAUUGAGGGUGACUGGACCUGUUUGGAAAUGUAGUACAAUAUCCCUAAGAAAUGUUGUUGAGGCCCCAUUGAAUCCUGACAGUAUCUGACCCGGGUUCUCGAGGUUGGAGAGCAUAAAUCCCAUUUGUUUAACUACCGAUACUUGUAAGAGAUAUGUCAAGCUACCCAGGUUUACCAAAAUCCUUCUUACGUCAAAGUCACCAAUUCCUAGCGUCAGGAUGAGGGUGUCUCGGUGUGGCUGCAACACCCGGGUAGGGUCCAUUGGAGGAAAGAGGAUUACUCCAUCUAUUAGGUGAACGCUUCUGCUGAUUAGUCUAGGCCGGAUAGAGUUAACACGUUAUCAGACCGUGGUGGCUCGUAGUAGUCUUUGCCUCUUUCUCUUGGAUUUGUAUUCUUCAUCCAAGAUCCACCAUGGAUGUAGUUGAUUAUGGCUCUAGGAGUGACAAGAACUAAGGGGGCUCUAGGGGCCUAAUUGCGGGAAGUUUCUCCACCUCUGGCUCCUGAGCAAACGUACUAUUUUAGAUGUCUUGUUUUUAUGAGUUUUUCCACCAGGUGAUGGAGACUUCUACAUUGCUCCAUGGUAUGUCCAUGCUCUUUAUGAUAAGCGCACUUUUUGUUGUGAUAUCUUUUGGUUGGAUCCGUUUUCAGUGCCUCUAGCCACCUGAAAUCGGAUAGCUCGCGGAUCAAGAGGAAUAGCUUUUCAUAUGUAAUAAUGAGGGAUGUAAGCUAGGGUUGGUUAGGCUGGCGUUACUUGCUUUGUCCCCUGUUGUGAUGCCUACGUUGACUUGAAGGCUUGAGGUUCCUUGUCACGUCGUUUCUGGCCAACUGGCUAGUGACUAAGAUUUGUUGGGUGGUCGUACGGACAUCAUCUUCCAGCAUAGAAUAUUUGUUCGCGCACCAAAACAAAUCAUCUAUAGUUAUGGGGGGUUUUUUGGCAAGGGAUUCAAAGAACAUCGUACCCGAACAUAUGUUACGCUUAAAAAUUUGGAGGACAACAUCCAUGUUGUAUGAUUCUACUUGUAAUACAGCUUGUCCAAAACGCUUCAUGAACUCCCUCAGGGACUCAUGCUCCUGUAUUUUUAUGUUUUGCAGGGUGUUGAUAUUCUGCUUAUGUCGAACUGAGCACAGGUAUUGCCCCACAAAGGCUUCUGACAGAUCCUUCAAAUUGUCAACCGAAUUCAUGGGGAGCCAAUGAAACCAUGAGAGAGCUUGGCCUUGGAGGCUGACGGGGAAGACUUUGCAUAAUAACAUGUCAUUUCCUAUAUCCAGAGUCAUGAGUUGUCGGUAGUGCAUGAUAUGAUCAAACAGAUCACUGGAUCCAUCAUACGCAGAAAAUUUCGGCACGAGGAACCCUCUUAGGGGUUCGUAGUUGAUAAAACGAGAAUUGAAAGGUGUGGAGAGCAUGUCAUCCAAUUGCUUGCUAAUGGAGCCUGGGGGGCUUCAUUUGUUGAAUCUCCUCCAACUCGUUGUAAUGGUUGGUGUGAGAGAUAGCCCUGUGUGAUGGAUACGACUGAGGAACUAGGGUAUGUUCCCUAUGUUAUGGCCAUGUGCGGCCUAUCUUUGCCAGGUGCUUGAGGUCCUAACCUUGGGCGCAUCGUGUCAGAUAACCGGGGCCUUUUAUCACGUUGCCUCUUUGACGAGACACGAGUAGAGUCAGAGCUUUCGUCCUGCGGUGCACGAUACGAAGGUAAAGAUCAUUCGUUAGGCCACACCCCACAUGCAUCAAGGGGAGUGUGGCCCUCAAUUUUGUCCUUUGAAACUUGCAUUUAUCCUAUGAGUGUCACAUGCACCCCUGUUUCCAUGUGGCACCACUAAGGCCUCCUUUUGGGCUUAGUCGAUAUUUGAGUCUUGUUUAGGUUCAUAUGUGGUUCAUUGUGGUGCAAGUAUGGUUCAUUUUGGAGUGCCAUCAUGGCCAUUUUCCUAGUUGUUGGCAUUGUGCCAUAGAAAGGAAGUGGGGUCGUCCCGAAAUUUUAGCUCAGCUGGAGCUCAUUGGAGUGUGUUGAAUUCGGAGCACUCAGGCUUGUUUUGAUCAUAUCUCCCUCAUCCGAACUCAGAAUCACACACCAUUUUUUUUCAUGGACUCCUUGUUCUUUAAAGAAUAUUUUAUCAAAAUUUCAAAAUUUUUCUCAACCAGCUCGACCAGUUCCUAAAGUUUCAGUUUGGGCAGAAUUCAUUGAAGCAUGUUUGAAUUCAGAGCACAUGGGUUUGUUUCGAUCAUAUCUCCCUCAUCCGACCUCGGAAUUGUGUACCAUUUUUUUCAUGGACUCCUUAUUAUUCAAGGAACAUUAUUUCAAAAUUUCAAAAUUUUUCUCAACCAGCUCAACCAGUUCCUAAAGUUUCAGUUUGGGCAGAAUUCAUUGAAGCAUGUUUGAAUUCAGAGCACAUGGGCUUGUUUCGAUCAUAUCUCCCUCAUCCGACCUCGGAAUUGUGUACCAUUUUUUUCAUGGACUCCUUAUUAUUCAAGGAACAUUCUUUCAAAAUUUCAAAAUUUUUCUCAACCAGCUCAAUCGGUUGGCACCUAGUUCAGCCGGUUUAUCGAGUCAGCUUGUAUGGAGCACUGAUUUUGGUGAUUUUGGAGCCCAAUUCCUACAUGGCUUGGGUCCAUAAACUCCAUAUCAGUUUUGGGCUGUAUUUUGGGUCCAUUUUGGGCCUUAGUUAGGAUUCCUUGCAGCCCACCAUGAAUCCAUAUGGAUCCUUGGUGGGGAAGCAAAUUGGAAGCUAAAGAUAGUCAGCUUGCAUGGAAAAUGAGGAGGGGAGUUAAUAGGGGAGCUGAUUUCGAGACUGAUUGGACCUCUUUCCAAAGCUUGAAAGAGAGAAAAACGAAGAGGCUUUGAGGGCUGGAGGUUUGAGACUAUAAAAGAGGAAAAAAUCAGGAUAGGAAGGGACUUCUUCUUCUUUUUUUAGUGAGAGAAAAUUUUGUGGAUUUUUGAGGGAUUUGAGAAGAGGCUUUUGGGAGGGUUUUUGUUUGUGAGUGGUCUGAGGGUGUGGGGGAAGCUGAAGAUAUCCCUGCCAUGCCUUGCAUACAACUAGAGAUGAUAGCAGUCUUGGAAGCCAAGCAGAUCUCUACUUGAGGGGAGUAUAAUUUGGUAAGCGUAAAUUGUGGUUUCAUGCAUGUUAUUCCCUUUCCCAUUGCUCUAUUCUCUCUUUAAUGUGAUGGCCAAAAAUUCCAUGGUUGUUUUGAAUGCUUGGGGAAUGGGGUAUGGUUUUCCUUUGCUUACUCUUGGUUUAUAUUUUAGUCUAAUGUUUUGGUUGAUGUGUCUCACUUUUCAUCGAUUUAGAGUGGCAUGACUCUGUCAUUUAUAAGGAACACUUGGCUUUGUUUUAGUUGGUUUUCACUCGUCCAGACUUGGAAUUGAGCACCGUUGCUUUUUUUAGAUUCUUUAUUCAUUUAGAAAUUUUCUAACAAAAAUUGGGAAUUUUUCUCAAUCGGAUGAACCGGUUCAGCACUACAGCUCACUAAUUUUGUCAGCUAUGAGGAACACCAGACCUUGUUUAAGUUGGUUCUCAGUCGUCCAAGCUCGGAAUUGAGCACCGUUACUUUUUUUAGAUUCCUUAUUCAUUUAGAAAAUUUUUGAAAAAAAUUGGGAAUUUUUCUCAAUUGAAUAUACCAGUUGGGAACCGGUUCAACCGGUUCAGCACUACAACUCACUGACUCUGUCAGCUAUGAGGAACACUUGGCCUUGUUUUAGUUGGUUCUCACUCGUCCGGGCUCGGAAUUGAGCACCGUUGCUUUUUUUUUUUAAUUAUUCCUUAUUCAUUUAGAAAUUUCUAACAAAAUUUGGGAAUUUUUAUCAACCGUAUGAACCCUUUGGGAACCAGUUCAGCAUUACAGCUCACUGACUCUAUCAGCUAUGAGGAACACUUGGCCUUGCUUUGGUUGGUUCUCACUCGUCCAGGCUCAGAAUUGAGCACCGUUGCUUUUUUUUAUUAUUCCUUAUUCAUUUAGAAAUUUUAUGACAAAAUUUGGGAACUUUUUUCAAUGGGUUGAACCAAUUGGGAACCGGUUCAACCUGUUCUGCAAGAGAACUAUUGGCAGCCCUUAGUUUUGGCAUUUUUCGAGCUCGUAUCCAUUGGGGCUCAAACCCAUUCGCUAUGGGGCACUUGUAGGCCAUCUUGAAGGUUGGAGUCUGUGUUUGGUUUUAGUUAGUGUGGGCCCAUUUUGAAGUUAUGGGCGGUGUGGUCUAGGUAAGGCUAGUUUGAUUUGUAUGACAUUUAAGGAGUCACUUACCUCAUUUCAACCAGUUUUCCUUCCCUUUGGCACAAACUUUAAUGCUUGAUUUUGAAUACAUAUUGUAUGGUUGACUCACCAUUUGUUGUAGUGCAUGGCUAGGGACCACAGAUACGUGCUUUGAUUUAAGAUUGAUGAAUUCAUAUGCAUGCAUGGUGCUUAAUCUUGAAUGCUUGUUAUGUGUUUAUGUGUGCUUGACUAAUCUCUUCUGUAGCGCAUGGCUAGGGACCUCAGGUACGCAUCAUUGGUUUUGGUUGAUGAAUUCAUAUGCAUGCUGAUUACUACCAAAAAGUGCUAUUUUGUAGACCUAAUUAUAAUGGUUUUAAGCACCUUUGAGUAGUAAUCAUAUUCAUUUAACCCAAUUAAUUCAUUAAGGUCCUUAGUAAUUGGUUUUAACCAUUUUGUGGCAAGUUUACAUGUUUUUAUCAGCUUAUGAAUCAAUUCAAGCAUGCCAAAUGAUGGAGGAGCUACUUGGACAAGUUAUGGAAAAGCUUUUGGAAGCUCAAAUUCAUGAAGAACCAAGCUUUGGAGCUUCAUAGCCCUUUGCCAAAGUCGUUCAAAGUAUGCUAGGAAAGAACAAUGGAGAAGAGGAAAACAGAGGACAGCAGCUGCAGUAUUCUUUCGCACUUUUGGAGCACUUCCCGAACUCCAUUUUUUACAUACUAUAUACCAUUUCAAAGCUAUGGAAGUCAAGAAUCCAACGCUUCAAACCGUGCACGAUUUGGAGUUGAAAUGAGGAAGAUAUGGCCUUCGGAAGCCAACUGCUCCAGGUUAUGCGAAAAUUUCGCAUAACACAAGGUGUUAUGCGAAAUUCGCAUAACAUUCGCAUAACACCUUCAAAAUUCGCAUAACCCAUGCGUGUUGCGAAUUUUGGUCUGUUUUUUCCGACUCCACUUUAGAUAUUUUCCUUUGUAUUUUGUGAUGUAAUUUCCUUUCUUAUCCUUGUAACUAACCAAUCACAAGCUUUUGCUUUUGUAAAGACUAUAUAAGGGGUGGAAAUCACCUCUUGAUAGAAUAUAGAACAUGCGUGUUACGUUUUACACGGAGCUCUCUCAUUUCUCUUUUCUCUUCCCCAUUUCUAUUUUCUUGGAAGCCAAACAGCCUCUGAGGGGUUUUCCUCAGAGGAUGAUUGGCUAAAACUUUUAGUUUCUCAAAGUAUGGAUGUUAUGUGAUGGCUUGGAUGCAAUCCCAUGGAAAUUUCUCGCACCCGGAAGGUAAGGUAGUCGUUUUUCAUUAAUGGUUCAUUAAUGCAAAGUUUGGUUUUUAUUUCCUUUGGACAGCUUCCAACGACCAAUACUUGAUAAGCUUUUGGAUUUCUAUCCAUUAGUUAUCUCCUACGAGCUAUUGGAAGGUGAGGUUUUCAAUUACAAGUUUUGUAUUAAUCCAUUAGAACCAAUUUCAAUGGCCAUUGAAAGGUGAGUUUAUCACUUGGAAUGACUUUGAGUUGCCAAUAUUUGGUAAGCUUUUGGCUUUAGACCAUUAGUUAUCUCUUACGAGCCAUUCAAAGGAAGUCUAAGGUGAAUAACCAUUGAUGAAAUUCACUACCAUCUGUUUUGCCAUUUUAAAGGAUUAAAACUUGAUUUGCUAAAUCCAUACCGGUUCGGGAAGCAAGCAUCACCAUAGUUGCAACCCCAACGCGAGGAGCCUAUCCUGAGAUUUCCAAUUUGCAUAAGAGCCAGAGCAUAGCUAUCCUAUCUUUGAGAAACUUGUUUUUACACCCUUUCAUUUUAGUCUUUAAUGUUAGCUUAGAUUAGUUUAAAUCUUUCUAAAAGAUUUACAUCUUCUUUUAAAGCUAACAUCCAUAAGAAAAUCACCUAUUUUCCUAAUUUGAAUAUCACUACUGUUUGCGAAAACCCUUUCCAGUGAACGAUCCUAGAACCACUAUGCUAUAGUAGCUUGGCUACUUUAGUAAUAGUAUUUAAGGUAUAAAUUUUUUUGAUACGCCUUUAAAGCUAAGCUACCAUGAGUCGCAUCAAAUGGCGCCGCUGCCGGGGAUCGACCAUGAGUUGAAUCAAAUGGCGCUGUUGCCGGGGAAGGUGCCACAAGCACAGUGAAACAACCAUUAAGGGUAACUUGUGAUCUUCAUCACAAGUUUGGUGAGUUUUCUUAUAAUUUUUUUAGUUUAGUUUUUAUUUAGUUAAUUUUUUUUUUAUUCUCUUUUUUUUUUUUUUUUUUUUUAAUUUCAAUUUGUGCAUUCCUUGUUGGAUUCGAGACCAAGAGGGAACCCUGGUACAAGUUGAAAAAAAGAGCCUUAGUUGAAUAUCAUUUUUUUUAGAAAUGGAAAUUCCACAUGAAGAUCAAAGCUCUCAUUAUGAUCAUGAGAAGGACAAAUUUGCAUACCUAUCCAUGAGGGAUCGGAUUGAAUUAGGGAAAAGGCAAGUUCAACAAAGCCAAUGGGGUAGUAAGUAUGCUUUGAAUGGAGAUGAUUCAUAUGAGCAUACGGUAGGGGAGUGCCCUACCAUUCCAACUAUGAGAGACAUGUACGGUUACCAAAGCUCCUACACCUCAAGUUGGAAUAACCAUCCCAACCUUACAACCCAACCUCAACCUCAACCAUCAAUGAGUACAUCUUCAUUGGAGCAAGCCAUUUUCAAGAUAAGCAAAGUCAUGGAGGACUUUGUAGGUGAGCAACAAAAGAUCAACUCUCAUCUUAAUGAAAAGAUUGAUAAUAUGGAGAGUUCAAUAAAUGUAAGAAUGGAGGGGGUUUAUAAUGAUCUAUCACUAAGGAUAGAAAAAGUUCAAGACUCCAUUGAGAAGCUCACCAAUCUCGACAUAGCAAGGGGGAAAAGGAAGCUUCCUCCUCAACCCCACCAUAACCUUCAAGGAACCAAUGCAAAAAGAUCAAGGAAAGUGUUGAAGAUCAACACUUUGGUGGGGGAUUGCUAUGACAACUCUAUGGACCAACCUUCCAUUGAAAAUCAUAAGGUUCAAGAUGACAAAGGGUUACCUGAACCCUUUAAAGCAUCCACUUCUCCAGGGAAGAGAAUAGAAACGAAUUCCCUUGGACCAAAUGGGAAGGAUGCCAAUUUUGUUUGGGAUCCAGGGGGAAUUCAGCAUGAAGUGGGUGUGUGAGUGAGGAUGAGCUAAAUAGUUCAUCUUCUUUUUGGGGUACAUGCUAUCAGCUUCAUUUAAAUUCUAUGCUUUCUUUAAAUUUAUGCAUGUUUUAAUUUGAAUUUUUAGCUUUAAUUUAGUUUUAAUAUGUUUUUAAGAUGAGUUUUGAAGUGUUCAUGCAGGUAGGAAAGCUUGAAGAAUGAAAUUAUGGUGAAAACAAGGGAAAAUGGUGAAAGCAAGGCAAAACAGGGGAGAAAAAAACCAAGUCUCAGCCAUUUUCGCACAACACUUCCUGUUAUGCGAAAUUUUCGCAUAACACACCCCUUAUGCGAAAAUGCUUUUGUGGCAAUUAAAAAAAAAAAAAAAAAAACAUGCUCUCGGUCCCUUCCCAAAAUCCCUUAUGCGAAUUUCACAGGAAUGCGAACCUUAUGCGAAUUCGUUUUUGGGACAAAUUUUCAAAACCAUGCUCUCUGUCUGGGUACUCAUAGGAAUGUGAAAUUUUCGCAUAACACAAGGUGUAAUGCGAACUUUGCAUUUCCUCUUUAAAGACCGUGUUCUCCUCUUCCCAUGCUCACUUUCUUCUUCAUUUCUCUCAACAUCUCUCUUCCGAUCACCCAAUCCAAGCCUUGCAUUUACCAAACCAAAGCCUCAAGCUAAGGAUUCAAGCCACGUUUUCUUCAAAGGAAACCCAUUUCCGCCGAGUAGAGGAGCUCCAAAUUUCAAAUUCUCUUCAUGAAAAAGCUCCAAUUUCCAAGCCUAACCACCAUGAAAAAUCCUUUUCCUACCUUAGCCAGCAUUUCCCACCCUCAAAAGCCAAAAAUUUUCACCAUUUGAACGAGCUUCAAAAUUGAAAAAAGGCGGGUGAAUAGUGCUUGUGCGAAAAUUUCGCAUAACACCCCCCCUUGUGCGAAAUUUUCGCAUAACACCCCCCCUUGUGCGAAAUUUUCGCAUAACCCUUCCCUUGUGAAAAUUUUUCAAUUUCUUCAUCCAUACCCUUCCCAAUCCCAACCCUUUGAGCCUUGUCCUCAACUGCUUAAAGUGGGACCCACUCAUCAUUUUUGUAAAUAUUUAGUAUAAAUUCCUCUCUCAUUCAAUUUUUGAAUUUUGAAAUAGGUGGUUCAACCUUCUCAACUCCAAGUCCACAUCACAUGAGGUACCACUUCCUUCCUCCUUAUUUUUCGAUUCAAACAUUGAGGACAAUGUUCAUCUCGGUUGGGGGGAGAGAUGAGGAAGUAAGUAUUAGUUUAAAUUUUUAUCAUACUUAGUUAAAUUAGCUACUUUUUGUUUAAAUUUUAAAAUUUUUGCUUUAAACUCCAUGGAUAUUAAGGAUUAACUCUCAAAAUUAAAUGAGAGAAAUCGAGUUUCAACUUGAUUACAUGAGUCUUAGAGUUUGUAUUAUGCUCUUCUAAAAGUUGAUGAAUUGUUGAAACUCCCAUAGCAUGCAAACUUAUCUCUUCCACCUUAAGCUAUUCGCACACACAUACAUUAGAUUUCGGUUAUAAGAUGUGAAACUAUCUCACCCUCUAAGCUUGAGAAAUCAUAAUUUGACACCUUUAACCUCUCUUUAAUAGUGUUGGGACACCUCAUAAAGACCAAUGAGUCUUUAAAAAAAUAAAAUAAAAUAAAAAAAGAAAAAAAAAAGAAAAAAAAAUAGAAUAAACUUCUUUGCUUGCCUUGAAACUUGAGCAUGGUCCGAAGGGGUGGCGAAAGCCUUUAAAGCCUGGUGCCCUAAGCCUUUAUUGGUUGGGAGUCACCGAUCCUCUGCUUGUUACAUGGGUGAAUUGGUUAAGUUUAGUAAGUGAAAAGAAUUGUGAAUAAAAGGUGCGUUCCUAGCCUAUCAAGAGAUGGUUAAUUUUGCUAAGCUUAAAGAAAGACUUAGGUUGGGGGGAGAUGAUGGUUAUCCAUACUAUACUCGGAAGCUAAUCACAUUAACACUUAGCUUUUAGUGGAAGAAUUUGAUUUGGAUCUUUUGAAAGUGGAAAUUCUUUUGAUGCUUAAACUUGCAUAAUAUCCAUUCUUUGUACUCUAUGAUCAAGUGAAUGCUUUGACAACUCUUAUUAUAGGUUGAGUUUCACAUCUUUAUUGAUCCAUGGAUGUCCAUCAUGCCACUCAUAUCAUUUUUUGGAGUGAUUUUCAUGAUCCCUUUUAUGUAUAUUAUUAUAGUUUACUUAGUUUUUAUCUCCUCCAUUGCUAAGGGACUAGCAAUGAGUCGGUUGGGGGGUGUGUCCUGCCAAAUACCAAUUAGGAUUGUGUGAUUCAUGUCAUCUAUUUAGCCUAGGGUUUUGUUGGAUCUUUGACCCAUAUGCUCCUAUGUGCCAAUUCACUAGUAGAGACCGAGUUCCGAGUUUAGAGGGGUGCUACCUCGCAUGAGGUACCUUCCCGAUAGGUAACCUGAUCCCCGAACCUAGACUCAUGUUUCGCAGACAAUUUUUUUCCUAAUUGGAGUCAUUUAGGGGUUUUUGGUUCUUACUUAAUUUUUCCCAUUGUAAAAACAAAAAUAAAAAGUAAGUGGCGACUCCAAAUAACACCGUUCCUCAUCGGGGACGAAUUUUUCAAAACUUGAAAACACAACUUUUCUUUUUUUUUUUCUUUUAAAAGUGAGUAGCACCGGUCUGCGUGGAUGGGGUGAGGGUCCACAAAUUAGCGACUCCUCUGGGGAUCGAACCCAGAAUCUCUGGUUUCAUAAGAGGAUCAAGCUUGAACUUGAGUUAGGUAUAUUGGAGCACAUGGUUCAUUGAUCAGUAGACUCUUAGUCUACAUAGAUGACUAAUGAUUACGUACUUGGUUGGUAUUUGACUUUAACAUGCUUGCUCAUUGUUGAUUGGUAUUUAGCUAUGACAUUUGGGAUUAGGCUUAGAUGAUCAAAUUAUGUGUAGAUGUGUGGUAAGCUAUCUCUUUGUGCAUGACUGCUCAUUCCCUUGCAUGACUGUUUGCUGCUUGUGUUUGUGGGGCACAUGUGUAUCCCCUUACUUCCGAAUCACUAGUCUUGGUCGACUAUUCCUCAUGGAUUGCUUAUGUUGCUUGGGAGUCAUUCCCAAUUGUUCGCCUUCGACCAAGCUAGGGGUUUGGAAUAGGGUCUAGCAUAAGGGCUAUAUCGAUGUUUGGGAGCACUAUGGAGAAGGUGGAUAUCCGAGUAAUGAAGACUUGUAUAGUCCUAAGCUGGAUUUCAUGGAUACAUGCAUGGCCAAUGUGUCACUUUGAUUGUUGGUUAGGAUCUCAGGUUAUGUAUCCUUGUGGGUACAGUCAUCUAGUCUUUUAGGACUUGCAUUUUUUCCUUGUUGGCUUCUGAGCCACCUUACCCUUGAGGUAUUACCAUGUCAGAAUCCCGCUCCUGCCUAUGAAGCCAUAUAUCAGAUUCGCUGUUGACAUCACACAUCAGCUCAUUCCUUUAGAGGAUUUCGUGGAUUGUUGAUUGAGACCGACCUGGGUACCCGAGCUUGGAUUCGGAUCAAAGGUAGACUUGUUAGAGGUUCAGAUCCACAUAGUCAGUUAGAGCAGACGUUAGAUCAUAGAGAUAUGGACCCUCAGUACGCUAGUAUCGACCAGUUGGGUGAGAUUACCGAUACCAUGGCAUCACUCUGGGAUGCUAUAUCAGGACUGGGAUAGAGGAUAGAUGGGCAUCAGGUCCCACCAUUUUCGAUUCUGAGGAGCAUCCCUCAUGACUCUACUGCACCCCCACUUCCACCACCGCCAUCUGGGUCUAUUGUACAACAGGAUUAUACAGUUUUACCUCUACCACCACCCCCAGUUCAGUCAGCCUCACAGGCUAGAGCUUUUGUUCUGCAUGGUCAGAUUGAGACCAUGCCACAUUCUAUUGUGGCUCCUACACCAAUUAUUGAUGACACUCAGGCCAAUAUCGAUAGGAUUGAGAAGAGGAUCAGGUCUCUGCAUGUUUUUGAUGGAGUUAUAGGUUGGGACGGGUACGAAGACCUUCCAGUGGCAGCUUUGCCAGUUGAGUUCUACAUGUCGAACAUUGAGAGGUACACGGGGAUAGGGUGUCCCCGUAUUCACUUAUAGUUGUAUAGCGCUGUUAUGCGCGGGCAUAGAUUGGAUGAGGCAUAGAUGAUCAUGUUAUUCCCUCUGUCAUUGAGUGGUGCCGCUCAGUGUUGGUUUGCCUCAUUGGACCCUUCGAGGUGUAGGACAUGGGCUAAUUUGGGACAGGAGUUUAUUAGACAAUAUUCUUUUAAUAUUGUAGUGGAUGUAUCCCGGAGGGAGCUAGAGGCCCUCAGGCAAAGGCCAGAUGAGUCAGUUACUUCAUUUAUCUCUCGCUAGAGGGAGAAUAUAGCAUAGAUUAUAGAUAGACCCUCAGAGCAUGAUCAGAUCAGCAUGAUUAUGCGAAGUUUGCAACCUCGCUUUGCCAGGCAUCUCAUGGGUUUCCCACAGACAGACUUUGGAUCAUUGGUUCAAGCCUCUAUGGCAUUGAGGAGGGCAUAUCUAGAGGAAUAUAGGUAGACUCUUCCCCUUCAGACUCAAAGGAGAAGAAGUUGGGGCUAGAACCCGGAUCAUCAUAUAUUGGUGCCAUUGGCGCGAUUGAGCACAGGUCCCCUCGUGGCCUUCCGUUUCAGAUACCGUUUUCAGACACUCCUUACCAGAUGAUACAAUAGGAUCAGUACAGACCAACUGCUCCUUUCAGGCCUAUAGGGCCUACUUAUCUACGUCCGCCACCACAACCAGUAUAUGCUACACAAGCGACUCAAAGGCCACUUGUACAGUACCAUCAGCAGCAUAGAGCACCGCCUCCACCGAGAUCGGCUAGGCAGUUCACACAGCUCGGGAUAUCUUUGAGCCGAGCAUUCCAGAGAUUGGUUAAGGGAGGAUUGAUUGCCCCGAUACCACCCAAACCACCACUACAACCUACCCCACCCAGAUUCAAGACAGAUCUUCACUAUGCCUACCAUUAGAGAGUGGGUUAUGAUAUAGACAGUUGUGCAGCACUGAGGCAUGCUAUUCAAGACUUGUUUGAUCAGGGUUUGGUUGAUUUAGGAUGUCUUGCAGUGACUACAGACCCACUACCUGCUCAUGACACUAGAGUUGUACCUCCACCCCCGGGGAGUGUACAUUUGAUUGUGGACCCGCAUUUUUCACAUGCGUCCCCACUCGAUCGGUGAGACUCGCUUUUUAUUUGUGAAAAAUUAAUUUUUGGAAAAAGUUAGAGUCGCCACUUAUUUUAUUUUAUUUUUAAAGGGAAAAUAAAACAAGAAAUAAAACCCUAAAAAAAUGACUCCAUAAUUCUUGGAAAAAGCAUGUCUGUGAAAAACCCAAGUCUAAGUCCGGGGAUUAGGUUACUUAUUGGGAAGGUACCUCUAAGAGGUAGCACCCCUCUAAGCCCUAAAGAGGUCUCUACUGACUAAGUUGAGGGAAAUAUAGCAAUUAACCGAUUAAUCAUGGAUACCUAAGUAGGCUAGGUGAUUUCGAAAAAUAGCAUGCUUAUCACAAUCAAAUCGCAAUAAAGGAGAGUUAGGGUGCGUACCUGAACCGCUUCUCAAGCGCUAUCAUAAAACAUAAAAGUCAGUGUAGAAAUCUAUCACACAACAUGUGUCUUAUCCAAGCAAAUCAAGCAUAUAUUUAAACACCUAAGAAUCACAUCAUGCAUGGAUAUAGUCAUCAAUGGCAUACAUGUCCAUAGAGUUAAAAAAAUUGGGUGAGAAGGAGCGUACUUGGAUAGUAAGCUAAAGCGCGUUUAUAGGAAACAAGUUUGCAUAAUAAUAAGUGCGAAAUAAUCUCAUAUGCCACAAAGAGGAAGCACAAUCAAUCAAAUAUCAAGCAAACAAUAUUGAUGAAAAUAUCAUGGAUGUCGGGCCCCCACCAAAGCCCUAAUUAAUUUUGCAUGAGUUGAUUCUAUGAAUUCCAUUGUUUGGAAUCAUGAAAUUUGUUCAUGCUUGAGAAAAUCGAGAAAAAUUAAGAAAAUCAGUUGAAAAUCAAAUAAAAUAGCAAAAACGCGUGCCGGAAGGAAGAUGGCAGCAAGAGUGUGUUAGAAUAUGGAUUUUAUAUUUAGAAAGGACCUAAGAUGAAUUUUUCAAAGCCAUGAAUGUUUAGUUGAACAAUGGUUCAAAAAUUCAAUUUAAAAUAGUAAGUUCCCAAUCAAAUAAGCAAAUAGAGGAGAAGGUGUGUAUAGCAAGGUUGCCAUGAAGUGAAGCCGGGAGAUUCUGGAUAGAGGGGACCAAUUCACUGCAAAAGUGUUCAAUUGUCAAAUGCUUCAACUUAAAAGACAUCUUGAUUUGUAAGCUCAACUAGAUUCUCCUCAACAUGAGUGAGAUACUGAAUAGAAGGUUUAGAAUUUCCAAUUUUCUACAUUGAGAGGUUUCCUGUAUUCUGCUAGCUUUCAAUUGAUUAAGCCUUUCAACUUUUACCUCAAUCUGCCAUAAUAGAGUUUGAUUCAUGCGGUCUGUGGUCAAAUAAACCAUUUUCUGCAUACUUAAGCUUCCUGUGUGAAGACUUCGUUACUUGGAGAGACAUCCUAACUACUUCGAAUACAUGAUUCAAAUUCUGCUGUUUGCUGAGGGAUUCCAAUGGAGAGCAAGAAUGCUUGGAUAUUGUACUUAACUUCUGACACACACGGAGACCAUCUUAAACAAUCUGCACUGAACUUGGUUUUCAUCUUUAAUGAUGGCGUUUGAUCUGUAUUUUUAUUAAAAGCUCUACUAAUUCCAUAACAGUUCCAGAAUUCUGCAUCAAUUGGUCUCUUAGAUGGACAAACAAACAAAGUCGAUAUGUGCUUCCUAUUUAUUCAUCAAGAGCAAACUAAGGAUACCCUUGAUGUGAUAGGCAGCUAGAUCAGUUUCAAUUUCCACAGGUAUAGAGUCCUUUUGCUGUCCUGAACCCCAUUGCUUUGAGAUCAAUAUGCUUGAUAGCAUUUGAUUUGGCUGUAACUCGAUUUUCAAGUUCAUAGUUUUCUUUUGCUGAAGCCAAGAUUCAUCCGCUUCUCAAGUAUCUCUAGAAAUUAAUCAUGCAACCUCGAAGCUCUAGUUUGUCGUGUGUCUUGCUCUUUCCCCUCCCCCUUCUUCUUACUCUGUUUCUGCCAUGAAUCAAUCGUAAGUGAAGUAUGUCCAGUUCUUCACAAUACUAAUGACUGGUGGGGCAGGCUGAUGUUGAGUGAAGCCUUCUGUAGACAAAGGUAUUAUGUAGAACAAAUAGACAUUACUUCAGAAGACUGGGUGAGAUUAAAUCAUGGCAGUAGCCUGAGUGGAACUUCAAUCCCUGAUUUUUCCACAAUUAAUCAGCAAGCUUCAGAAUUCUCCUUGUUCUAUGAACCGGGAUCAUCACAUAAAAGGCUCAAAGUUGGACGGUCAGAUGGACUUGGAGACAUCAAGUGCUGCAAAAGGGAUGCUUGUUCAGGAAAUUCAGCAACCCAAGAAGAAGGAAGUUCUCCCUCCUACUUCAGAUUAUUAAGAACGAUGCUUCUCUCCAUUGCUAUUCCAAACGAGUGCCAUAGUUCAAAGAAUACAACUCCUAAAGCUGUACAUGUCAGCCUUCUCAUCAAUCUUUGACCACCGGACAGUAUUCCAUCUAUAUAUAUAAAUAUGUUGAUUCAAGCUUAGUCUCAUGCACAUUUAUAUCUGCCGAGUUUGCACCUUUGUUGCAAAUUGACAUAUCUUGCAGAAACAAUUGGCUGUUGUCAUCUGUAUUUGAGCAUGGAACAGCAGCGUGUGAUUGACCAAUUGGAACAAUUUCAGAUAGGAACUCUCGAGAGGGAGCUUGCUUCUAUCCAGACCAUUCCCCUUUUGUUUAUUAUGUGAAACAUCAUUAGCCGAAUCUUGACCAGCACUGUCGUGUGUUAUUGGUGAGCUUGUUGGGAUCUUGUUUUGGGCAAGAUAAUGAGAUCCCUCAGUUAAUUCGAGAUCCAUAUCAAUUAAAACGCCAGAAUUACGGAUUUCCCAUGCUUUCUACUAGGCAGCGGUUGUCAGUUCUUUCUCUUGCUCACUUCUACUGGCAGUGGCCUGACUCCCCAACAAAACCCCUGAUGCACCCUGUAGCUUCUCAUUUAAUUCUGGAUUCUUAUCAGCAUCACUUUCUGUCAUUGAUGAGCUUCUAGGAUGUUUAUUUUUGACAGGAUUCUCUGACUGCUCAUAAUGAGUUACAAAUUCCCCAUAAUAGAAUAUUAUGAUCGUCGGCCUUACAGUAUUGUUCUUUUAAAAUUUUCUGCUCACUGGAUAGUCAUAGUUCAAACCAUCUAUAUCAAAAGGCUUUCCCAGGCACUCAUCUUCAAAACCAUAGAUCCGGCAAGUCUACAACCGUCUGAGCAUACUCUUCAAAAAUCCAGUCUCCCAGCAUGGCAUAUGACACUGAUAAGAUUGAAUUUUCAAAUUUCCGACUUAAAAGUCUUGGGCAUUAGCUGGAAGUUAUGAGGUGGCAUACGUAAACGGGUAAUGGACGAAAUAACGCUUGAAUUCCUUUGAACAUUCCAUUUCAAUAGUUGAAGAGAAAUGUGUCUUCGAAUAACUCUUUUGCACUAUAGAUCAAAUCGACCAAUAUUCUGUAAAGCUGAACAUUUAUCAAUAACUGCAUCGGACGCCUCACAACACUCCACUGCAUUAUGGAACAAACUGGUUACCCCGGUUCUCGUCAUUGACCAUAUCCAAUCAUUGAGACUCCCCGAAUCACUAUGCAUAGGAGAGCCAGCAUGCGCUGAGGACAGCUUCACAUACUCAAUAAUAAAAUUCCUUGCAUUCAGAUUCAUACAUCUUUCUAUAGGACUUGUAAAACUAUUAUUGAAAGUGAAAGGCCCAGGUUGCUUUCAGAUGACGUUAAGGGAACCUCUUCUCAUAGAUCCGGUGGAAAUAUAGUAAUCACUGAGACAAUAUCCAUUUCAGUUGGUUGACUUUCCAGUUCCUGUGAUUGAUGCAGCCUUUGUGCUUGAAAGUAAAGUACCACAAUAUCGCUCAAGUUGAACAUUAGAUAAUAGAAUAGGAAGCCAAUACUCAACAAAUCUAGAAGAAUCUGACUUGCAAUCAUAUGCAGUAAACUGUGACAACCUCUCUUUUAAUUUACUAUCAUGGUCAUCGUAGUCAAUUUUCGUAACAUUGCCACUAUUUACAUUAUCGCCAGAGUCAAGACAUGACAGGAGAUUCACAAACUCCAACGUAUUCUCCUUUAUCUAACCACUGAAAAGAAGAAGCCUUAAAUCAGCCACAAGCAUCUUAUAUUCUGCGAAGUGUGAUAAAAAUUGGGGUGUUUACCUUCAUCAAUUAUGACAGCUUCCCACUUUGAUUCAUAUCUCCAUUCACUCUAUCAUUGACAUUGAAAAUUGGGUGUGAAAUCUUUACAAGGGUAGUAGAUGGCACAUUGGCAAAAUGAUCAAAGUCAAGAAGGUAAGCUGCCACUUUUCUGUUCCGCCUUAAAAAUUUCAACUAUGUGAUGGUGUGAUGUAUUUGAUUCUCUACUAGAGAAAAAGAACAAGAUCUGCUUUAUUAACUGUUGGUCUCUGUCUUGCUAGUACUUUUUCAAAAUUAGUCCUUGAGAUGGGCGGAGGGAGGACCUUUGAAGCAAGGCUUUGCACUUCAAUCUCCUGCAAAGUAACCUGAACAGCUCCGCGUUGAAUAGGGUCACAAGGGACCCAGAUGUUAUUGGAAGUUUUUACAAAGUAAGAAGCAUCCUUAAUUUUUAGAAUAGGUUCAAAUAGUACAUUAUUGACACAAACAUAAAUAUCUGAACCAGAGAAUCCAUCAGUUCUAUAAGCCAGGUGUUCAAAAUCACGUUCAGUCAAGUUAUGAGGAGUGUCUCCCAGAUGAACCUUAAACAUGUGCUGCCUUGCUUUCAAAUCUGGAAGAGGAAUGUAGAUUCGCUUGUCAAAUCGCCGUCAGAUGGCCUGAUCCAGGGAAUAGAGAGUGUUUGUGGCUGUAAGAACAAGAACUUUCUGAUCAUUGUGCCCUACACCCUGCAUCUGAACAAGAAGCUCGGUUUUAAUACAUCGAGAGGCUUCGCUCUCAUUGCCUUCACCUCGUUGGCCAACAUAAGGAAUCAAUUUCAUCAAUGAAAAUGAUGGAAGGAGCACUUUCACGAGCCAUUUGAAACAGAUUUGAGACUAGCUUUUCAUUUUCACCCGUCCAUUUUGAAACUAGAUCAGAUGAGGGCAUAUUGAAAAAUGUUGAGUCUGCUUCUGUUGCAAUAGCUUUGGCUAAGUAUGACUUCCUGUUCCAGGUGAACUAUAUAAUAGAAAAGCCCUCUAGGGCCGUCUCUUCCCAGUAAAGAACUGUGGGAACUUAACAGGCAAUAUGAUAGCCUCUUGCAGUGCCUGCUUGGCGUUCUCAAGCCCAGCCACAUCACUCCACUGCACAUUUGGCUUCUCAGUGAUUAUAGCAGAAUUAAGCCCUACCCUAAGCUUGGCUUGCUCCACAUCAUCCCCAUCUCCAUUCUUGGGCUGUCGUAUUCAUCAUUGUAAAGAUUGCUUCCAGCAUCUCAUUUUGUUCAGCCAAACCAUAAAAUUUACCUUGAAGCUCCUCAUAUUUUCUUUUCAAAUCAUCACUUGGAUUUGAGCUUGCCUGCACAUCAUCUUUCCAGGCAUCCAUAACCACAAAACCAGCAUCAAAGUAUGACCCUCCCACUGAACUUUUCUGAUCUCAAUCAGUCAUAGGCAAAGAGUUCCCAGUAAUUGACCUUGCCAACCAAUCAAUGCAGUCUGGAAUAAGAGUGCUCUGGCAACUCUAGGUCUUCUAAGAUCUCUUCUAUUCUCUGAAGCACAGAAUCUUUCAGAAGGAAUGACUCUCUCAAUGUAGUUGCUGUGUUGCGAAUAUAUAUGAAAGCUCAGAUUCUAGGGCUUCCACAGUUUCUUACGAUCAACUCUUCCUCUCCAUACACACUGUGUGGUGACUGCCGCUUUCUUUAAUCUCGUAUAAUGCAAGUGAGCUAAGUAUUUGCGGCAUUGACUUUGGAUAGCAAUUGCUGCUCUUGUCUACCUCCUGGAGCGAAACUCAUUACGAGCAGCCAAGCCACGCAUACCUCUCUGAAUGCAAAGAGCAGAGGAGCACAAUUCUCUAUAAGCUUUCAUACGCAAAUCUUUCUGGAUCCUUAGAACAGAAACUUCUCUCCGCAUACUCUCGUAAACUUUGCGAGUUAUCAUCUGUAUUGCAGAAUGACGCAUUGAGAUGAAACUUCUGUGAGACAAAUAGGAACAAACUUUCUUCUGGAUAAUGCUGGCAAGUCUUCUUAAAACCCCACUCAUUCAGAACUGCCAUCCAAAACUUCAGGUAUGGUACUAUAACAGUUUGCUGGCAAUCUUAAGAAAUUCUAAAUCACAUCUGCGCAAGGCUCAUUAACCCAGUGAUCAUUUGUGAUCCUUUCAUCAAUAAACUAUAUCCUUUAAUGAAGGCUUCGUUUCUAUAAUCUCCUCAACGUUGUCCUUGUCUUCUAUAACCCCUUGAGCUAAAGACGUCUCCUUCCUUCUAGCCAGAGCCUUUUCCACCUCUGUAAUUCUAUGGCCCUAAGCAAUCCCAGCAAUAGAACACUUGAUAAUUUCUAUUGAGUUGCAGGUCGAGGUUUCUGUUUUUAUCAGGAAAUAUGGUAUCUACUUGGCUAAGCUCCUCAUUCAAUUUGUUUGCGAGAAAAUUGGUAAUCUCAGUCUUUAAGGCCUGAAGUGAUCCAUCAGUAUCCAUCACAUAGUCCAUACAACUGAGAGCAAUCUUCAGAAGGUCAGACACACAAAUUUGGACAUGGGGGAUAAAUUUUGAAACACAUCAGGAAUGGUGUCUGACGCUUGUAGAUGGAGUGGAAGAAAUUGCUUCAACUGCUUUAAAACACAAACUGAAUUAGACUAGCAGCUCGGCUCUCACCAUACAAUCUACCAUGGGCCAAAGUACAAACUGCUUCGAAGAGACACUUAUUAAUUGUAUCCGAUGCUAUUGAAAAUGCUCCGAUUCUCUUCUAAAUUUCUAUAGACCGGUCAUACAGCCUAGCAUCCUGACACUAGUGAGGAGCUCCAAGCAGAAAUUGUUAUCUCGCUUUUACAUCAGUCAGAAAACGAGCCAGUCCACCUUCUUCUCCAGUUCCUCUCAGACCAAGUAAAAGAUAAAUCCCACCAUCCCUUAAUAACAAUUCUGUGAGGAGUGGCUUCAGCAUCAAAUUUCUCUGCCAUUGCUGGUCUAUGUUGCCCCUUCCAGUUCAUGACAACUAUCCACCUCCUUCUGCUACAGCAGCUUAUGUAUAAUAUUCUAAUGCUGUAAAAUAAAAAUAAAACUUCACCAGCAUGUAAAUGCACUGAUCCAUAUUGUCGGAUUAUACUAGAUGCCUCUGCAAAAACAUCCAUCACUCCUAAUUUCUAUCUUUCCAGCUCAGUAAAUCGAACAUAUUGUUUAGACUUUCUAGCGAAACCCUAACAAACCUCCUCAAGAAGUGCGAAGGGAAUCAAAGAUAUCAGAGAUGCCCUUCAGUGCAUUGAAUAUGAAAUCAUAGUGAAAUAGCAGAGCCUUUCCCCGAUUAUAGGUCUGAAACGAUGCUGAAUCUCAACUCAGAGUUUUCAUGAUUCGUUUUUCAGAGUGACCGCUGCUUCAUACCACUGCUUCCUACCGUUGCUGGUGAUGAUAUUGAUGAUAGCAAAUUGAGAAGAAGGAUUAGAGGGCAUAGUAGGCGAUGAAAUUACGGAGAGGCAGAAAGGGACUGAUGGGGGAGGAAUCUUGGCCUCCUCUCUCUCUGUUCUGCUUCUUCCCGAUAAUAUAUAUAUAUAUAUUUUAACACCAGCCCUAGAGUACAAGCCUCUCUUUAAAUUCGAGGCAGAGAUCUCUAUAGCUUACUCUGUUCCUUUAUAAUUUAAACGAUGAGCAUUAUCGAACAUCAUCAAAGUACACAUCUGAUGUAUGUAAACACUCAGUUUAUGCUUCUGACCCCUAACAAAAGUUGCUCUCAAAUCAGCCAUACCCAUAUCCGUUUGCCAAGACAAUCUCCUCCCAACGUGGGUCCUGAGGAGAUAACCUCUAAAUUCGUCACAUCUUUCCCAGAUUUCUACUGGGGGAGCUGCGCAUAUCAAUUGACUGAAUUGACCAAGACCUUCGCGGUAAGAAUCUGGGCAACAAGUGAGGAUUGUCCCCUGUUUCAGCAGAUGAACUCGCAUAGAAACCCUACAUCUUCUUUCUAUCUCAUCCUUCCAAAUUCGAACCCCCACUCCAGCAAUUCUUAGAAGAAUCUCAUAAGCAAGCAUCGGAAAGAGAGAAUGGUAACCGAAAACAGAGUACCAAAUGAGAAGAAGAAAGGAAAGAAAAAUAAAAUAAAAUAAAAUAAGAACAGAACUAGGAAGAGCCACGUUUCAUAUUUCGAAUCAACGGGCUUUGAAAAGGUGAGGCAAGCAUAAAAAAGAGAUAUUUGAUCAACAAACACCAGACUCAAGAAUGAAUCCGACUGCUCAAAAGGAGAAGAAAAAUCCAAAUUCAGCAAACAAGCAGGUUAGUCAUCGUGGCAUUCAUACUGAUACAAACGAUGUUUUGGAAUCAGCAAGAGAAUCAAAGAGAACAAAAUGCGAAUGAGAGUAUAGUAAAUAUCAGGAACCGACCUCAACACAACAAUUUGUGGCCCUUUCCGUCCACACCAAUCAACAAUAUAAGAGUAUUCAGAAACGAACACACGAAAAAAAAUGGCUAAGAAUUCCAAGAGUAAUCAGAAGCAUACCUGGAUGAACUCGAUUAGACUUGCUCCUUUCCCGCUCCUUUGUGCUUUCUCCUCAAAAAUCCUCAGAAUUUCUCUCAAUCCUCCAAUGCGUGCUUCCGCCCCCCUGUUCUUUUCCUUUUCUCCACCUAUAUAUAUCACCCCUCAAGACCUAAAUUUCUUUCCAAAAAGGAAAAUUCUCCUAUCUCCUUUCUUCUUCUCUUCUUUCUUUUAAAUCUUCCAAUCAAAAGCCAUCUUCUCAAUUUCAAAUUCCCCUCCAAAACCUUCCAAUGAGAGUCCCACCUUCCUUAAACUCCAAUGGUAAGUUUCCUUGCAAAAGCAUGAAAUUUUUGAAAGUAAAUAAUUGAAUGAGUAACUAAAUAAGUAAACAAACUAGAGGACAAUAAAAAAAAAAUAUAAUGAAUAAUCAAGUUAAGAAAAAUAAUAUAAAGAGGAAGAAAACAAAUAAAAAUAAGAGUGAUUGAUAAUCAUAAAACUAAAACUAAGAAAUAAAAAUAAACAAAUUAACAAAAACUAGGCCCCAUGAGUCAUGCAACCGUGUAAGUCAUACAAAAAGUGAGUCUAGAAGUGCCUAAUGGGCCAAGUGUGCCUAAGUGGGCCUAGAGCGGUGCCUAAAGGCUAAGUGUAUCUAAAAGCUAUCCUAAAAAAAGACAAGAAAAGCCUAAGUCUAAGUUAGGGCUGCCAGGGGUCACAAUAAGGGAUCAAAUAAUCCCUCAACCAAAGUCUCCGAAGUGACUCAGAAAAAGGUAAGUCGUACGAGUAGUAAUGGGCCACCAAGGAACUACCGUGGAGCACUGGAAGUGAAUUUAAAGACAUGUGCUUAAGGAACAAAAUUGAGGGUCUACAUUGAUUGAGUUUUCAGGAGAUGAGAUAUUUAUGAUGCGAUGGGAUGGGAUGGAGAGGCUCCUCAGCCAAUUAGUCUAUACGAGGACUUAGAUUUUAGUGGAUAUAUCCAUGGACAGUAGGUCCUCAGGCUUUUUAUAUUGAUUCCAGAUGAGGUUCCCCGACAGAUAGCAGUUUCACUAGUAUACUUGCAGCAUGUUCCACCCAUGACACCCUUCAUUUUGUUCCCGAAGGAGUAUGGGCCAGUACAUAGAGAUGUUCAGAUUGUUACGAGAAAUGAGAGGGUAGCUCAGUUCCCACCUGUUGAUAGACCUUUUGUUGGCAUUGAUGCUAAAGAUGAGAUUCAGAUGGAAGAUGAUGAGAUUUUGUGCCAGCUGCGCACCACUCAGGCCCACAUUUCCAUUUGGAGUUUAUUGGCCUCAUCCAGCACACAUAGAGACGCAUUGAUCAGAGCUCUUAGUCAUAUUAGAAUUGAUACUACUACCACCCUAGAGGGACUGAUCCACUUUCUGACAAUGAAUAGGGCUACAUGCAUAGUGUUUUCUGACGAUGAUUUACCACCUGAGGGAUCAAACCAUGUUCGUCAUUUGUUCAUCAAUGUUGCUUGUUUAGGUCGUAGGGUGUCGUCUGUCCUGCUGAACAACGGCUCCGCCCUGAAUGUUUGUCCAUUGGUUACUGUCAUUGCUUUAGGAUUGUCACCAUCCGAUUUUGGGCCCUCCACACAAACCGUUAAAGCUUAUGACGGGACUCAAUGGACAGUUAUGGGUACUCUCGCUACACAUGUCAUGAUAGGGCCGGUCAGAUACUCUGUGUUUUUCCAAGUUCUGAGGAUUUAGUCAUCCUAUAACCUGCUUUUGGGUCGCCCUUGGAUUCAUGGGGCGGGUGUUAUACCAUCUUUCCUUCAUAAGAAGGUGAAGUUCAUACACAAGGGGCGCAUUAUCACGAUACAGUCUGACAGAGACGUUGUUACCUCUUCCGAGCUAGUGUUACAGAUCAGUCACAAUGAGAAUGACCUACAUUUGACCGGGUUCACUUUUGAUGAGGUUCAGGUUGUCAGUUUAGAGGAUGACAGCAGAGACAUGGUACCUAUGUCUUUUGAUUAGUACAACAGCACUUUGGUACUCAUUAUGAUGAGAGACAUGUCCUAUAUGCCUGGCAUAGGAUUAGGUCACCGCCAGUAGGGGUCGUGUGAGUUUGCUUUCACAGUUGAUCAUGACAUACCAUAUGGAUUGGGUUACACUCCUAUGGAGGACGAUGCAUGACACAUGGCGCGGUUAUGCCGGGAUAGGGUAAGAGCUCGCUUGUCCGGGGUUCCAUUUGAUUACCCUCUUCGCUGAUUACUAUUCAAAAAGUGCAUUUUUAUAAGCUUAAACUUAAUUGUACUAAGCACUUUUGAGUAGUAAUUAGACCUUUUUAUCCCAAUUGACAUGUUAAGGACCUAGCGAAUGUUACUAACCAAUUUCUGGUAAGUUUUAGUGUUUUUGGUAGCUUUUUUAUCACCGAAACAGGCCAAGAUUGAGGGAGAGUUUUGUGCAAGCUAUGGCAAGGCAAGUUGAAGAUCAAUCACAUGAAGAAUCCGAGCCUUGGAACACUUCAAAACCCCUUGCCAAACUUGGAAAGGGGUUGGAAAAGCUAUCAGUAGUAAGAUGGAGGAAAACAGAGCAUUUCGCAAGACAAAAUCAUCAAUUUCUCAAGGUAUGCCAAAAUUUUGGCAAGGUGUGCCAAAAUUUUGGCAAAGUGUGCCAAACUUUCGCAAGGUGUGCCAAAAUUUCGCAGGGUGUGCGAAAAUUACUUUGUGCCCACCGACCUUCUGGAUUUUUCUCUAGAAUUGUAAUUUUUCCUUUUUACUCAUUUUGUAAUAGAUAAAAAACAUUAGGGUUUGUUUAGGAACUAUAAAUAGGGGUUGGAAAACCUCUCAUAUGAUGUUAGAUAUUAUGUUUUAGAUCUUUUAUAAAGUCUGGUUUUUCUCGGUCUUUCCUUCUCAUUUUCUCUUCACUUCUCUUUAGCCAAACACCCUCUAAUGAUGAUUUCUCAAAGGAUGAGUGGCUAAGUUUCACGUUUCUUGGAGUGAUGGAAGCUAGGUAAAGGACCCGAAUGCAAAGGUGGGAGUUUUCCUUAUUUUAAAUGAAGGUAGUUAUGUAUCAUUAAUGGUUGUAUUUCAAGUUUCAGCUUUAGUCCCUUAGAAUCACCUUGAAUGUCCAAUACUUGGUAAGCUUUUAGGAUUCUAUGGAUGCUUAUUGCUAGAUCCAUGGAUAUCCAUUAGUUAUCAAGUACGAGCCAUUAGAAGGUGGUUCAAGGUGAGGGUCUUUAGUGUUUAGAGCCAUUAAUGGGAAGCAACUAUCAUUUUUCAAGAAUCCUUUGGAUCAAAACUUAUUUGCUAAAUACAAAUCCGGUUCGGGAGAUAACCAUCCUUUAUGUUAUUAUCCCCAAUGCGAGGAGAAGAUCCGAAAACUUCUCUUUAUAGUAAUUUCAGUUGUUUAUGUUUGCUUAACUUAAAAUCACACCUUCCAAUCAAUCUUAUUUUCAUUAAAAACUAACUUUCAAAAAGGAAAUCACCAUUUCUCCUUUCAUUAAAGUCAUGUGUACAAUGAAAACCCAUCCAUGUGGACGAUCCUAGAGCCACUAUACUAUAGUAGCUUUGUCUUUGCUACCCUAGUAUAAGGUGUUGUAGGUUUUAUAAAUGUUUUGAUAAACACCCAAUUGGGCAUGAAUCAAAUGGCGUCGUUGCUGGGGAUGGUGCCUAAGUACAUAAAUGUUACCCUUUAUGAGUACUUGUGAUCUUCAUCACAAGUUGGUGAUUUUUCUUUCACUAACUCGUUUUCUUUAUUUUUAUUUGAUCUUAUCUUUCAUUUAAUUUUUAGCUAACCUUAAAUAUUUUCCUAGAAUUGUAGUCCUUUUUGUUUUCGUUGUUUUUGUUUCAGUAAUCUCGAGUUGUGUAUGCCCUAUUGGAUAAGACAUGUUGAGGGAAGACUUGUGAAAAUUGAAACUCCUCAAGAAACUGAGUUGGAAGUGUGCUUGAACAUCAUGGAUUGUCCACUUGAAGAUCAGCAUAGCCAACAUGGGCAAGAGGAGAAUCUCAAUGCAUAUCGAUCCAUGAAGGACCGCAUGCAUCCACCUCAAAUGAGUGCACCUUCAUGCAUAGUGCCUCCCACUGAGCAGCUAGUGAUCCGACCUCAUAUAGUGCUGCUUCUACCUACUUUCCAUGGGAUGGAAAGUGAGAACCCCUAUUCCCACAUCAAGGAGUUUGAAGAAGUGUGCAAUACAUUCCAAGAAGGAGGAGCUGCAAUUGACUUGAUGAGACUCAAGCUAUUCCCUUUCACCUUAAAGGAUAAGGCCAAGGUUUGGCUUAAUUCUCUAAGGCUAAGGAGUAUCAGAACGUGGAUUGAUUUACAAGCUGAGUUUCUUAAGAAGUUUUUCCCUACUCAUAGGACCAAUGGCUUGAAAAGGCAAAUUUCGAACUUCUCAGCAAAGAAGAAUGAGAAAUUCUAUGAGUGUUGGGAGAGGUACAUGGAAGCUAUCAAUGCUUGUCCUUAUCAUGGCUUUGAUAUAUGGCUCUUAGUGAGUUAUUUCUAUGAUGGUAUGUCUUCCUCUAUGAAGCAACUCUUAGAUACCAUGUGUGGAGGAGACUUCAUGAGUAAGAAUCCGGAGGAAGCUAUGGACUUCUUAAGCUCUGUUUCUAAAGUUUCAAGAGGAUGGGAUGAACCGAAUACUAGAGAUGUGGGGAGGAUGAAGUCUCAGCCCAAUGCUAAGGGUGGAAUGUAUGUGUUGAGUGAAGACAUGGACAUGAAAGCAAAAUUUGCAACUAUGACAAGGAGAUUGGAAGAGCUAGAACUGAAGAAAGUACAAAAAGUACAGGCCAUUUCCGAGACAUGAGUGCAAGCUAUGCCUUGUUCCAUAUGUCAGUCUUAUGAGCACUUAGUAGAGGAGUGUCCAACCAUUCCGGCAGUGAGAGAAAUGUUUGGUGAUCAAGCAAAUGUGGUUGACUAAUUCAAGCCUAACAACUAUGCUCCUAAUGGAAGCACCUACAAUUCUAAUUAGAGGAACCAUCCAAAUUUCUCAUGGAAGCCAAGGCCACCUCAAUACACACCACUAGCUCAAGCACCUUAACAAGCUUCAAGCCUUGAACAAGCCAUUGUGAAUCUUAGCAAGGUUGUGGGAGACUUUGUGGGAAAGCAAAAGUCAAUCAACUCUCAAUUGAAUCAGAAAAUUGAUAAAGUGAAGAGUACAUUGAAUAAGAGGAUGGGUGUAAUGCAAAAUGAUCUAUCUUAGAAGAUAGAUAAUGUUCAAUACUCCAUCUCAAGGCUAACCAACCUCAAUACUGUACAAGAGAAAUGAAAGUUUCCUUCUCAACCUCAUCAAAAUCCCAAGGGUAUUCAUGAAGUAGAAGCUCAAGAAGGAGAAUCUUUAAAGGUGGGGGAAGUGAAGGAAGGUGAAGGAAGUGAAUCAGAAAGAAGUGAAUCAUGAUGAAGGAAGUGAAUUAGAAAGAAGUGAAUCAUGAUGAAGGAAGUGAAUCAUGAUGAAGGAAGUGAAUCAUGAUGAAGGAAGUGAAUCAGAAAGACAUGGGUGAGAAGAAUUCAAAGGAAGGUGACCAUGAUUCAAGUGUGAAUGAAGAACCAAGGAUAGUCAUCAAGGAAUAUAUGAUGAAAAAACACAUGCCUCCACCUUUCACUCAAGCUUUGCAUGGUAAGAAGGGAACCAAGAAUACAUCAAAAAAAUUUGAAGUGUUGAGGCAAGUGAAGGUCAACAUUCCUUUACUUGACAUGAUCAAGCAAGUUCCAACUUAUACCAAAUUCUUGAAGGACUUGUUCACUGUAAAGAGAGGGUUAAAUGUGACCAAGAAAGCCUUCUUGACUGAACAAGUAAGUGCUAUCAUCCAGUGCAAAUCUCCAAUGAAGUAUAAAGAUCUAGGAUGCCCCACCAUUUCAGUAAAUAUUAGAGGGACAUGUGUGGAGAAAGCUCUUCUAGACUUGAGAGCAAGUGUGAAUUUGCUACCCUAUUCAGUUUACAAACAAUUGGGACUUGGGGGGUUGAAGCCCAUGUCCAUUACUCUCUCCCUAGUUGAUAGAUCAAUGAAAAUCCCAAGGGGGAUAAUUGAGGAUGUCUUGGUACAAGUUGACAAAUUCUACUAUCUAGUAGGUUUUGUUGUUCUUGAUACUGAUCCAAUUGUCACAAGGACAAACUAUGUGCCAAUCAUACUUAGAAGACCAUUCAUCGCUACUUCUAAUGCAAUCAUCAAUUGUAGGAAUGGAGUUAUGUAACUCACGUUUGGCAACAUGACCUUAGAGCUAAACAUCUUCCAUUUAUGAAAGAAGCAUCUCCAUCCGGAAUAAAAGGAAGGGCCAGAGGAAGUGUGCAUGAUUGACACUUUGGUGGAGGAGCACUGUGAACAGAGCAUGGAGGAAGAUUUGAUUGAGAAUCUUGGGGAUCUUGAUGAAAGGUUACCUAAACCCUCAGAUUCGCUAACUACCAUGUCUCAUUAGAGGAAGAUGGAAGAGAUUCUACCUUUGUUCAAUGAGGAGGAGUCACGCAGAGUUGGUAAGGAAGAGCCCCCAAAGCUUACUCUUAAGCUUCUUCCUACUGGGUUGAAAUACGCAUACUUGGAGGAAGACAAGCAGUGCCCUAUGGUGAUCUCUUCAGCUCUCACCAUUCAUAAAGAGGAUUGUCUAAUCGGAGUCCUUAGAAGAUGUAAGAAGGCCAUUGGGUGGAAAAUUUCGGACUUGAAAGGGAUCAGCCCUUUGGUGUGCACCUAUCAUAUCUAUAUGGAGGAGGAAGCAAAGCCAGUUCGCCAACCGUAGAGAAGGUUGAACCCUUACGUGCAAGAGGUGGUGCGAGCUAAAGUUUUGAAGCUACUUCAAGCCAGUAUUAUUUACCUCAUAUAAGAUAACUUAUGGGUGAGUCUAAUCCAGGUUGUCCCAAAGAAGUCUAGGAUCACGGUGGUGCAGAAUGAUAAGGGAGAAGAUGUCUCCACACGCCUUACUACUGGUUGGAGAGUGUGUAUCGAUUAUAGGAAAUUGAAUGAGGUGACAAGGAAUGACCAUUUCUCGUUGCCUUUUAUUGACCAAGUGCUUGAAAGGGUUCCUAGGCAUCCUUUCUAUUGUUUUUUGGAUGGCUACUCUGGCUACUUUCAAAUAUAGAUUGAUUUGGAAGAUCAAGAGAAAACCACUUUCACAUGCCCCUUUGGUACAUUUGCAUAUAGGAGAAUGUCUUUCCGUUUAUGCAAUGCACCCGUAACUUUCCAAAGAUGCAUGCUAAGCAUCUUUAGUGAUAUGGUGGAGUGAAUUUUGGAAGUCUUUAUGGACGAUAUCACCGUUUAUGGAAGUGCAUUUGAGGAUUGCUUAGUAAACUUAGAAGCUGUUCUAAACCGGCGCAUUGAAAAAUACUUGGUGCUUAACUGAGAAAAGUACCAUUUCAUGGUACAACAAGGGAUUGUUCUCGGGCAUAUCAUCUCUAAGGAGAGAAUUGAAGUUGAUAAAGCAAAAGUUGAACUCAUUGUCAAGUUGCCAUCCCCCACCAAUGUCAAGGGAGUAAGGCAAUUCCUUGGACAUGUCGGGUUCUAUAGGAAGUUUAUCAAGGACUUUUCAAAGCUUGCAAGGCCUCUUUAUGAACUAUUGGUCAAGGAUGCCAAAUUCAUAUGGGAUGAAAGAUGUCAAAGAAGUUUUGAGCAAUUAAAGUCAUUUUUGACAACAACACCCAUUGUACGAGCUUCUAACUGGCAAUUACCCUUUGAGGUAAUAUGCGAUGCUAGUGAUUUUGUUAUUGGAGCUGUGUUGGGCCAAAGGGAAGAUGGAAAACCCUAUGUGAUCUAUUAUGCCAGUAAGACACUCAAUGAGGAGUAAAGAAACUACACAACCACCGAGAAGGAAUUGUUAGUGGUAGUUUUUGCCUUGGACAAAUUUUGUGCUUACUUGGUGAGGUCUUUCAUAGUGGUAUUCACCGAUCACUCUGCUUUGAAGUACUUGUUGACUAAGCAAGAUGCCAAGGCAAGAUUGAUUAGGUGGAUCCUCUUACUUCAAGAGUUCAAUCAUCAAAUCAAUGAUAAGAAGGAAGUAGAAAAUGUGGUAGCUGACCACCUUUCAAGGCUUGCAAUUGCACAUAAUUCCCAUGGUUCGCCCAUUAAUGAUGACUUCCCAGAUGAAUCUCUCAUGUUGGUGGAAGUAACUCUGUGGUAUGCUCAUAUUGCGAACUACCUAGUUACAAAAGAAGUUCCAAGUGAGUGGAAAGCAUAAGAUAGGAAGCAUUUCUUUGCAAAGAUCCAUGCCUACUAUUGGGAAGAACUGUUUCUAUUCAAGUAUUGUGCGGAUCAAAUAAUAAGGAAGUGUGCUCCUGAACAAGAGCAACAGGGGAUUCUCUCUCACUGCCAUGAGAAUGCUUGUGGAGGCCACUUUGCUUCUCAGAAGACAACUAUGAGGGUCUUUCAAUCGGUUUUCUAUUGGCCCUCACAUUUCAAGGAUGUCCAUGCCAUGUGCAAGGGUUAUGAUCGAUGUCAGGGGCUUGGGAAGUUGACCCGAAGGAAUAUGAUGCCUUUGAACCCCAUUUUGAUAGUUGAUCUUUUUUAUGUUUGGGGCAUUGACUUCAUGGGACCUUUUCCUAUGUCAUUUGGCUACUCUUACAUCUUGGUAGGAGUUGAUUAUGUUACUAAGUGGUUUGAAGCAAUUCCAUGCAAACACAAUGACCAUAGGGUGGUUAUCAAGUUCUUGAAGGAGAACAUUUUCUCAAGAUUUGGAGUGCCUAAAUCCAUAAUCAAUGAUAGGGGUACUCAUUUUUGUAACAAGCCUUUUGAAACUCUUCUAGCCAAGUACGGGAUGAAGCAUAAGGUAGCUACACCUUACCACCCUCAAACUAGCGGGCAAGUUGAGUUGGCAAACUGGGAGAUCAAGAAUAUAUUGAUGAAGGUGGUGAAUGUGAACAGAAAAGAUUGGUCUAUCAAACUCCUUGAUUCACUAUGGGCUUAUAGAACAGCUUACAAGACCAUUCUUGGGAUGUCCCCUUAUCACUUAGUCUAUGGCAAAGCAUGUCAUCUCCCUGUGGAAUUGGAAUACAAGGCUUGGUGGGCAAUCAAGAAACUCAACAUGGAUUUGAGCAAAGUCGGGUUGAAGAGAUUCUUAAACCUCAAUGAGUUGGAGGAACUACGAAAUGAUGCUUACCUCAAUUCGAAAAUUGCAAAAGAGAGGUUGAAGAGAUGACAUGAUCAGUUGGUGACCCAAAAGGACUUUUCAAAUGGACAAAGAGUCUUGCUCUAUGACUCUAAGCUCCAUAUCUUUUCGGGCAAGUUGAAAUCAAAGUGGUUAGGUGCUUUCACAAUCCACUAAGUGUAUUCGAAUGGAGUAGUGGAGUUACUCAACGCCAACAGCAACCGAACUUUCAAAGUGAAUGGCCAUCAUUUCAAGCCCUUUGUGGAGCAUUUUUCUCGAGACAAAGAGGAAUUCAUCAUCCUUGAUCCUCCUCAGGCUUGAAAAAUCAGAUCGUGGAUGGACUUAGUCUUUCUAAAAACUAUUAAGUCCAUCCAUUUUUUGGUUUUGUUUUUUAUUUCAUGUUUUUCUUGCAUUUGUAUUUGUUUUGAUUUCGAUUUCUUGCUUGAAUUCCAUUUUAGUUUGAUUUAAUUUAGGUUUUUGAUGAUCACUUGUAGGGGAGGGCACUUAAGGAUUCGUUGGCAGAGGAAAAGCUAAGGAAAAAUUAAAGCAGAGCAUUUUGCAUUCCUCCCUAUGAAUUUUUCGCAUGGUGCGUGAAAAGUGCUCUUUGCAUUAGGUGAGCUACUGCCAUUUCGCAGAGCAUGCGAAAAUUUCGCACCCUCUACGAAAUCCUCCUUAUGGUUUUUGAAAAAUUCAAGCUCUUAGUCUUUAACUUCGCACCUUAUGCGAAAAAACACAGGGUAUGCGAAUCCUCCUUGUGAUCAUUUUUGAAAACGAUAUUCACACCAUUUGCAAAUUUCCAGAAGGUUUGCGAACUCAAAGUUGACCCUGCGAAUCAAGUUCGCAGACCACUUUUUCGCACACCCACUUUGUGAAAUUCCAAUUUGCGAAAUUUCGUCACUUUGCGAAAUCCCACUUUGCGAAAUUUCACUUUGCGAAAUUCCACUUUGCGAAAGUGCCUUUGCAAAAUUCCCACUUUGCGAACCAUCUCCACCCCUCCAUCUUUCCUUUUCACAAAAAAAAAAUGUAAUUUUUUUUUAUAGCAUACAUCCUAACUUCAUUUCUCACUUCUCUAGUCUAUUUUGCCUCUUUUGUCAAACUUUUGCAUGACUGUGAAAAUUUUGUUUUUUAAACCAUGUGGUUUCUCCUCUACACUUCUAAGUGCAUUUUCCUCAGGAGGUAUCACUUCCUCCCUUUAUUUUCACUUGUGAUUGAAACAUUGAGGACAAUGUUCAUCUUGGUUGGGAGGAGAGUUGAGAAAGUAAGUAUUGUAAAUAUUGCUAGGAUAUUUUGUUAAUGUAGUUACCUUUUGUUUAAUUUUUUUAAAAUUUUUUUUAGUCUACUCUCCAUGGUUGUCAAGAAAAAAUUCUCAAAAGAAAUGAGAGAAGUUGAGUUCUUGCCCUUUUGCUUAAGUCUUAGAGUUUGUAUUAUGUUUAUUGAGGUUGAUGAAUUAUUGAAGUUCCUAUUGAAUUCAACCUUGUCUCUUCCACUUUAAUCUUACCACACAUUGUGCACAUUAGGUUCCAAUUAUAAGAUGAAAAACUAUCUCACCCCUUGAACUUAGGAAAAUUUUGACUUGGUACCUUUGACCUCAUUUUAAUAGUGUUGAGACACCUUAUAGAAGGCCAAUGAGCCUUCAGAAAAAAAAAAAAAAAAAAAAAAAAAAAAAAAAAAAAAAACCAAAAAAAAAAAAAAAAAAAACAAGUGCUACACUUGCCUUGAAACUCGAGCAAGGUCCUAGAGGUAUAUGGCGAAAGUCUUUGAAGCCUGGUGCCCUAAACCUUAAUUGGUUGGGAGUCACAGACCUUAAUGCUCGUUACAAGGGUGAAUGGGUGAAAUUGAGCAAAUAAAAGAAUUGUGAAAUAAAAGAGGUGCGUUCUUAGCCUAUUAGGUGUUGGUCAGGUUGCUAGGUUUGAGAAAGAACUAGGUUGGGGGGAGAGCAUAGUUUAGCAUACUAUAAUUGGAAACUAAUCACCUUAACACUUAGAUUCUUGUGGAAGAUUAAGAGUUGGAUCUUUGGGAGUGGAAAUUCUUUUGAUGCUUAAAUUUGCAUAAUGCCCACUCUUUGUAUUUUGUGAUUAGGUAAGUGAUUUAAUGACUCUUGUUGAAGGUUGGGUUUUAUAUCUUUGAUUUUCAAUGAGAGAUGCGUUUCUUUUUCUCUCCUUCAUUGCUAAGGGACUAGCAAUGUGUCGGUUGGGGGGGAGUGAUUACUAUUCAAAAAGUGCAUUUUUAUAAGCUUAAACUUAAUUGUACUAAGCACUUUUGAGUAGUAGUUAGACCUUUUUAUCCCAAUUGGCAUGUUAAGGACUUAGCGAAUGUUACUAACCAAUUUCUGGUAAGUUUUAGUGUUUUUGGUAGCUUUUUUAUCAACGAAACAGGCCAAGAUUGAGGGAGAGUUUUGUGCAAGCUAUGGCAAGGCAAGUGGAAGAUCAAUCACAUGAAGAAUCCGAGCCUUAGAGCACUUCAAAACCCCUUGCCAAACUUGGAAAGGGGUUGGAAAAGCUAUCAGUAGUAAGAUGGAGGAAAACAGAGCAUUUCGCAAGGCAAAAUCAUCAAUUUUGCAAGGUAUGCCAAAAUUUUGGCAAGGUGUGCCAAAAUUUCGUAAGGUGUGCCAAACUUUCACAAGGUGUGCCAAAAUUUCGCAGGGUGUGCGAAAAUUACUUUGUACGCACCAACCUUCUGGAUUUUUCUCUAGAAUUGUAAUUUUUCCUUUUUACUCCUUUUGUAAUAGAUAAAAGACAUUAGGGUUUGUUUAGGAACUAUAAAUAGGGGUUGGAAAACCUCUCAUAUGAUGUUAGAUAUUAUGUUUUAGAUAUUUUAUAAAGUCUGGUUUUUCUUUGUCUUUCCUUCUCAUUUUCUCUUCACUUUCUCUUUAGCCAAACACCCUCUGAGGAUGAUUUCUCAGAGGAUGAGUGGCUAAGUUUCACGUUUCUUGAAGUGAUGGAAGCUAGGUAAAGGACCCAGAUGCAAAGGUGGGAUUUUUCCUUAUUUUAAAUGAAGGUAGUUGUGUAUCAUUAAUGGUUUGUAUUUCAAGUUUCAGCUUUAAUCCCUUAGAAUCACCUUGAAUGUCCAAUACUUGGCAAGCUUUUAGGAUUCUAUGGAUGCUUAUUGCUAGAUCCAUGGAUAUCCAUUAGUUAUCAAGUACGAGCCAUUAGAAGGUGGUUCAAGGUGAAGGUCUUUAGUGUUUGAAGCCAUUAAUGGGAAGCAACUAUCAUUUUUCAAGAAUCCUUUGGAUCAAAACUUAUUUGCUAAAUACAAAUCCAGUUUGGGAGAUAACCAUUCUUUAUGUUAUUAUCCCCAAUGCGAGGAGAAGAUCCGAAAACUUCUCUUUAUAGUAAUUUCAGUUGUUUAUGUUUGCUUAACUUAAAAUCACCCCUUCCAAUCAAUCUUAUUUUCAUUAAAAACUAACUUUCAAAAAGGAAAUCACUAUUUCUCCUUUCAUUAAUGUCAUGUGUAUAAAGAAAACCCAUCCACGUGGACGAUCCUAGAGCCACUAUACUAUAGUAGCUUUGUCUUUGCUACCCUAGUAUAAGGUGUUGUAGGUUUUAUAAAUGUUUUGAUAAACACCCAUACACUUUUCAGUUGGCUGACUAUUUUACCAGAGGAUCAGAGCAUGCACCCCGCACAGAGGGAGUUGACCAUGUUUCGGGGAUGGUUGAGAUUUAGGGCAUUCAGCAGGCCCUAGGACAGAUGUGUUUGAGUUUUGAGACCACCGAGCCACCUGAGGCCAUGAUAGUUGCACCCCCAUCACCGGAUCGAACCAGUGUGUUUUCCAUGUGCUUUCCUGAAGAGGUCCCCGACUAUGAUCUACCUAUGGAUUUAGGAGAUGGUUCUGAUGGAAUGACUCUUCCUAAUACUUACCUGGACGAGAUGGACAUGAUCGGCACUGGCCGUAUCCUCGACACAACCCCGUGCAAGCUCCAUUCUUCUUUUGACAUGUUUGGAGUUCCUAUGAUUGAUUCUGAUGAUGUGACCCUUUACAAUGCUUGCAUUGAUGAGAUGGACAUGAUUGGCACUGGUUGUAUUCUGGAUGGUUCCCCACCUGAGCCCCAAUCCACUUUUGAUGUGUUUGGGAUUUCUAUGACUGAGUUUGAUGAUGAUGGACUUGUUGCUACUAAUAUUACUCAUGAUACUAUUUCUGUUGAGGGAGCGUCCGACUCUGUGGACCCACCUUUUUCUUUUGACACUAUGUUCGGGUUUGUCACCCGCUUUGAUGACAUUUCUAAUGGUAAUAAUGACAUGAUUAUUUUUUAGUAUUUACCUGUGUCACAACACUUUCUUUUGAUUGCACCACUAGCACCCACAACACAUGUAUGCGAUGUUGAUGAUGUGGGAGACACAAAUGACCCACUAGGUGGUCAGUUAGAGUGUGAUUCUGAUACAGAGGACAAGAAAGUUACACCCAUUUCUAGUAGCACAGAGUUGAUAGAUUUUAGGGUACUAGAUCAGCCCAAGGAAAUUAGGAUUGACUCUUCCUUAUCUCUUAAUGAGAGGAGUAGAUUGAUUGACCUACUUAGAUCGUACUUGGAUGCAUUUAUAUGGUCAUAUGAGGAGAUGCCGGGCCUUGACCCCUCUAUUGUUUAGCAUCACCUGCCCAUUUUGCCACAUGCUAGGCCAAUUAAGCAGAAAUUGAGGAGACUACACCCUCAAUGGAGUUUGCAGGUUAAGGAAGAAAUUCAGACGCAACUCAAUGUUGGCUUCUUGUCAGUGGUUGAGUAUCCUGAGUGGCUGGCUAAUGUCAUCCCUGUUCCCCAAAAGGAUGGCAAGGUUAGAGUUUGUGUUGAUUUCCAAGAUUUGAACAAAGUCAGUCCCAAUGAUGAUUUUCUCCUUCCACAUAUUGAUAUGCUUGUCAACAGCACUGCAAGACAUUCGAUGUUGUCCUUCAUGGAUGGGUUUUCCGGAUAUAAUCAAAUUCAGAUGGCUCCAAAGGAUAUGGAGAAGACUUCUUUCAUCACUGAGUGAGGUACUUACUGCUACUAGGUCAUGCCAUUUGGGUUGAAGAAUGCAAAAGCAACUUGUCAGAGAGCUGCUACUACUUUAUUCCACGAUAUGAUGCACAGAGAUGUUGAGGUAUAUGUGAAUGACAUGAUAGUGAAGUCUUGAGACAGGGCAGAUCACUUAGCAACAUUACAGAGAUUCUUUGAGAGGAUUCGGCAAUUUAGGUUGAGAUUGAAACCCAAGAAGUGCACCUUUGGGGUGACUUCUGGGAAAUUACUAGGCCACAUCAUCAGUGAGCGGGGUAUAGAGGUCGACCCCAAAAAGAUCAAAGCCAUACUUGACAUGCUUGCUCCAAGGACUGAGAGAGAGGUCAGAGGCUUUCUAGACAGAUUAUAGUAUAUCAGUCGUUUCAUUGCUAGACUAACAGACAUAUGCAAGCCUAUCUUCCGUCUUCUAAGAAAGAAUCAGCCUAUAGUUUGGAAUGAUGAUUGUCAUCAAGCUUUCGAAAAGAUUAAGAAGUGUCUCAUUUAUCCUCCAGUUUUAGUGCCCCCCACACCAGGGCACCAUCUGCUUUUGUACUUAUCAGUUUCAGACAUGGCUUUAGGAUGCAUGUUAGCUCAGCUCAAUGAUUCAGGGAAAGAGCAAGCUAUUUAUUAUCUGAGUAAGAGGAUGCUGGAGUAUGAGUGCAAAUAUAUUCUAAUUGAGCACCUCUGUUUGCCAUUGGUUUGGGCCACCAGGAGAUUGAGACAUUAUGUGACAGAGUAUUCUAUACUAUUGGUCUCAUGAUUAGAUCCUUUGAGAUAUCUGUUUGAUAGGCCUGUUCUGACCGGUAGGCUCAUGAGAUGGUUAGUAUUGCUAACAGAGUUUGAUAUUCAAUAUGUUACUCGAAAAUCGGUAAAGGGAAGCAUUAUUGCAGACCAUCUGGCCUCUUUGCCAGUAUUUGAUGAUAGACCGAUUGAUGAUGAUUUCUCUGAUGAGCAGUUUGUAUCAGUGACUAGUAUGGAUGGAUGGAGGCCGUACUUUGAUGGUGCUGCCAAUCAGUUAUGAUUUGGUAUCAGGGUCUUAUUGAUAUCACCUCAAGGGGAUCAUAUUCCCAGAUCAGUCUAAUUAUCAUUCUCUAAUCAUCACCGGCUGACGAAUAAUAUUGUUGAGUAUGAGGCGUGCAUUAUAGGCCUGAAGACAACACUCUAUCUUAGAGUUAGACAGUUGGAGAUCCACGGUGACUCCAACUUAGUCAUUCAUCAGACUCAGGGUAUUUGGAGGACUCGAGAUGAGAAGCUAAAGCCCUACCACGCAUAUUUAGAUUUAUUGGUUGAUAGGUUUUAUGAGCUGAGAUAUAUACAUCAGCCCAGGGUAGAGAAUCAGUUUGCUGACGCUUUAGCCACCUUGGCUUCUAUGAUUGAGAUCCCUACGGGGGUGACUAUGCGACCAUUGCUGAUUGAGACUAGCUCUACACCAACUUACUGUUGUUUGAUUGGAGAUAUUGAUGACCAGGAUGAGUUACCCUAGUAUUAUGAUAUAUAUAUCAGUUUCUGGCAUAUGACGCUUACCUAGAGUCAGCCUCAGCCAAAGAUAGGAAAGCGUUGAGACAGUUGGCCACCAGAUUUGUUAUUUGCGGGAAUGCACUUUAUAGAAGAUCGCCCGGUGGCCUGUUAUUAUUGUGUCUAGAUCGUUCCUCUACAGAUAGAGUGAUGAGAGAGGUCCAUGUUGGAGUCUGUGGCCCACACAUAGGAGGACACAUGCUAGCCCGUAAGAUCAUGAGGACUGGCUACUUUUGGUUGACUAUGGAGACAGAUUGUUGUCGAUUUGUACAGAAGUGUCCAGAGUGUUAGAUGCAUGGAGACUUGAUACACGUGCCACCUUCUGAGUUGCAUGCACUCACAUUUCCUUGGCCAUUUUCAGUAUGGGGUAUUGAUAUUAUUGGGAAGAUCUCGCCCAAGUCCUCUAGUGGUCAUGAGUACAUCUUAGUAGCCAUUGACUAUUUCACCAAGGGGGUGGAAGCUGCUUCUUAUGCUAGGUUGACAGCGGCCAGAGUGGCUAAGUUCAUCAGAUUGCAUAUUAUCUGCCAAUACGGGGUCCCUCAUGAGUUGAUCUCAGACAGAGAGGUGCAUUUCAAAGGCGGGGUGGAUACAUUGGUUCGGGAGUAUGGCAUUCAACAUCAUAGAUCGUCUACAUAUAGGCCAUAGACUAAUGGGGCAGUUGAGGUUGUGAACAAGAAUAUCAAAAGGAUUUUGAGAAAGAUGGUCGAGACUUCUCAAGAUUGGUCAAAGAAGCUUCUUUUUGCAUUAUGGGCUUACCAUACAUCUUUUCGUACUUCUAUUGGGGCUACCCCGUAUUCUUUGGUGUAUGGUAAGGAGGCAGUGCUACCUGUUAAGAUUGAGAUGAGAUCUUUGAGAGUAGUACUAAAGCAGUAGCUAUCCAAGGCCGAGUGGGCCCAACCUCGUUAUGAUCAGCUUAGCCUUUUGGAUGAGAAGAGAUUGAGGGUAGCAAAUCAUGUUCAAGCCUAUCAGAGGAAGAUGACCCGUGCAUUCAGAAAAAUAGUCAAGCCCAGGAAAUUUCAAAAGAGUGACUUAGUCUUGAAAGUCCUCAGGGGAUUGAUCAAUGACCCUAGAGGCAAGUUUAGACCUACCUGGAGUGGGCCAUAUGUUAUUCGAGAUUUGACCUAAGAGGGAGCCGUCUGGUUGACAGACCUGGAUGGAAAUCAGUUCACGGAGCCAGUCAAUGUGGAUCAGCUGAAGAAGUUUUACACAUGAGAUCAUGGUCAGAGGAUGGAUGGCCAUUGUUUGAGUAGUCAUAUUCCCUAUUGCAUACCCUUACAUUGAUAUAUCAUAUUGAUAGCCUGUUGAGCCUCACGCGAUUCAUUGUGGAUUGUUCAUUCACUUAGCCUUGCAUACCUUUUCUCACCUAGGUUGGGGGCCUCCUCUUUUGCGCUUCGCAUUUAUUGCCUGGAUUGGUGAGUAUUGUGAGUCCAUUGUGUCAUUGCUCGUUUGUGCCAUUUUUGGGUCAUUCAUGAUUUCUUUUUUCCUACAUUGUACAUCUUCACUUUAUCUAUUUGAGUUUUGUUUCUAUCCUUUCAUUUCUUUUCAUUUAUGUUUUCCCUUAUGUGAUGAUGAUACGCUCUCGUCCUAGAGCUACCAGUCAAUUUUGUCACACAUUUCGUUUCGCUUGUAGGCUUUGAUCCAAGAUUCUUAGGUUGAGGGGACCAGUUGGGAUUGGAGGUUUGAGGUUCUUUUGGUUGGACUAUGCUAGUGUGGCAUUCGGCCUACUUUGGUUGUUCAACGCAAAAAAUAAUAAUAAUAAUAAUAAUAAAUAAAUAAAUAAAUAAAUUGUGUUUGUUUGGUAUUCGUUGAUAUACUUGGGAUCAUCAAAGGUGGUUUUGGGUUUGAAAGAUUUCUCUUUUCAUUUGAGAGUCGGGUGAGAGCAUUGUAUGAUCCUUCUCACCAUGGAUCUAGGCAACACAUUGGAAGUGAGGUUUGGGUUUCCUUGGAACUAAGUCCACUGGAUCAUUAUCUAUAUCACCAUUCCCACCAUAUAGUGACUUGCUUCGAUUUGGCAUUCUUGGGAUGAGUUGUUCGUCAGCGUCACAUAUUGUUAUAUUUGUAUCCCAGUUGGUUUCUCCAUUUUCUUUUACACCCAUUCAUCAUUCGUCUUAUCCCUUUUUGUCUGCUUCUAUCCUCGUCGAUCGUCGUCUCGCUUCAUGAACGAUGAGUUCUUUGGUGUACAUCACCUAUGGUUUGAUGUUAUUCAUUUGGAUACAGGGUUGAGUCACCUUGCACAUGUGGUUCUACAAUAUUUGACAUUGCGCACACAAGGGUUUGGCAUUAUCUAUUGGGAAAUUUGGGCCUUUGUUUCCCAUCGUUUCAUUCACCUUUUACUCCUAGCCUACAUUACGGUCCAAGUCGUAAGACCACCCUGAGGCCAUGAGAUCUCGUGUCUGCUUCAACGCGAUUCAUUCGAACAGGCUCCGUCUACUGAUUAAGUAUGGGAUGUCGACAGGUCUCCAUUGUUUCGGGGGAUAUCGAGGGUCACAUAUUGCCUUUCCAUUCAGUUUGCUUGCCUCAGGUCCAUGAUUAGAGACAGAUGAUACAGAGAGUUGGAACCGUUGAGGGCACCUUUGCUCGAUGUUUUGACACGUUCAUACUGGGGCAUGCCCCCAUCCUUGCAUGCUGGCUUUGGUUUUUACACCUGUACGCAGCCAUUCCGUUUCACCUAGCAAUGUUAUGGGCAUCAGAGUUUGAGUAAGCCCCACAUUUAGCUCAGUUUCUUUAUACAACAGAGUGAUUUUGGGAGCUGACCCAAGAUCAAAUUCAUGGUAUUCAUUGACCCAGCAGGGAUGUCCACAACGGGGCAUACCCAUUCAUUGUCCUGUUCAUUAGUUCAGAUAAUUAGGUCUUCAGUGAUGUAUUUAAGAAUUUUCAUUGAGAUAUUUGAGUUUCAGAUGUACACACUAGGGCAUACUCCCUAUCAGUUUUUUGAGGAUAUUGUAUGUUAUGGAUUAGAGUAGAGGGUUUUUCCUCAAGGAUGGAUGUUUGUGAUAUUUUCAGCUCUCUGACUUUAAUCAUAUGUUCGGUUAUGGGAUUCUGACAUGAUAUUGAUAUCUUAGAUUAGGGCAUAACUCAUUCCUUUAACAUUUGGUCACAUUUGUGAGUUUGUCCUAUAGGGGCAUACCCCCUUCUUUCCAUCUAUUAGUGGUGAUUGUGAUUGUGAUUUCUCGCUUGUCAUUUGUUGGCAUUUUCUGGUGUUACACCGGGACAUACCCAUUUCUUUUGUCAUAAUGGAGGUGUUUGAUUUAUGGCUUCUUCGAGUCAUUUGUUGGCAGUCCCUGGAUGCCAUACUAGGGCAUACCCUUUUGUCAUCAAGGUUAAUAUCUCAGCGGUGGCAUCCUGAGUCUCGCCAUUUUGUUCUAAGUUUUGUUUUAAGGCAUCCCCCCUCAGUUUAGGCAUCUAAAGCCUUAGUGUUGGCUUCUUUAUCCUCUUUUAGUUCGAUAGUUCUCCAGUACUCGCCUGGAUUCUACCAUUUCUCAGUACUCGCCCGGACCCUUCUCCAGUACUCACCUAGAUUCUACCAUUUCCCAAUACUCGCCCAGACCCUUCUCCGGUACUUGCCUGGAUUCCACCAUUUUCUGGUACUCGCCUAGAUUCCACCCUUUUCUGGUACUCGCCUAGAUUCCACCAUUUUUCCGACAUCUUGCCCGGAUUCUACCAUUUCCCAAUACUCACCCGGACCCUUCUUCGGUACUAGCCCGAAUUCCAUCCUUUCCCGGUACUCGCCCAGACUCUUCUCUAGUACUUGCCCGGAUUCCACUAUUUUUCGGUACUCGCCCGAAUUUUACCCUUUCCUAGUACUUGCCCGAACCCUUCUCUAGUACUCGCCCGGAUUCUACCAUUUCUCGAUACUCGCCCAAACCCUUCUCCGAUACUCGCCUGAAUUCUACCAUUUCCCGGUACUCGCCCGAACCCUUCUUCAGUACUUGCCCGGAUUCUACCAUUUCCCGAUACUCGCUCGGACCCUUCUCUGGUACUCGCCUAGAUUCCACCAUAUUUUGGUACUCGCCCAGACCUUUCUCUAGUACUUGCUCGGAUUCUACCCUUUCCCAGUACUCACCCGAAUUCCACCAUUUUUCGACAUCUCGUCGGAUUCUUCUAUUUCUCGGUACUUGCCCAGACCCUUCUCUGGUACUCGCCUGGAUUCCACCCUUCUCCGGUACUUGCCUGAAUCAGAUCCCUUAUCUCUCGUAUUCUCCGGUAUUCACCCGGAUUGGAUCCCCUAUCUUUUCCGGCAUCGUGAUCAGGUCUCUUUUAGUUUCCUCUAACUUCGUGUCUGAUUUUCUCCUUUUUUUUCUUGGUAUCGUGUCUAGAUAUUUGAUCUUUCUUGACAUCGUGAUCAAGUCUCCUUUUAUCUUCCCUGGCAUCGUGCCCGGAUCCCCUAGUCAUUCGGCGGCUCUCUGGCAUCAUGCCUAAAUCCCCUAUUUUCCAGCAUCAUGUUCAGUUUCCUUUGUUUUCUCCAGCAUCGUGUCUUGAUCUCCUGAUCUUUUCCGGCAUCACAUCCGGUUUCCUUUAGUCUUCCCUAGCAUCGUGUCUAAAUUCCUUCAGCUUUCUCCGGCAUUGUGCCUGGAUCCCAUAGUCCAUUCGGUCAGUAUGACUUAUUUCCCUUAGCCUUCUUCAUUGUUGGGUGGGGACAAAAUUGUUGGUCAUCCGAAUUCUUCACUAAAGUUCAUUUCACUCAUUCAUCGUUUGCACUUCACACUCACGAUUCACUCGUUCAUUCACUCUACUAAAGAGGGGCAUAUUUGUGGACCCUCAAUUUUGUCCUUUGACACUUGCAUUUAUCCUAUGGGUGUCACAUGCACACAUGUUUUCAUGUGGCACCACUAGGGCCUCCUUUUGGGCUUAGUCGGUUUUUGAGCCUUGUUUAGGUUCAUAUGCGAUUCAUUGUGGUGCAAGUAUGGUUCAUUUUAGAGUGCCAUCACGUCCAUUUUCCUAGUUGUUGGCAUCGUGCCAUAGAAAGGAAGUGGGGUCGUCCCAAAAUUUUAGCUGAGUUAGACCUCAUUGGAGUGUGUUGAAUUCAGAGCACUCAGGCUUAUUUUGAUCAUAUCUCCCGCAUCCGAACUCGGAAUCACGCACCGUUUUUUUCAUGGACUCCUUGUUCUUCAAAGAAUAUUUUGUCAAAAUUUCAAAAUUUUUCUCAACCGGCUCGACCAGUUCCUAAAGUUUCAGUUUGGGCAGAAUUCAUUGAAGCAUGUAUGAAUUCAAAGCACGUGGGAUUAUUUCGAUCAUAUCUCCCUCAUCCAACCUCAGAAUUGUGUACCAUUUUUUUCAUGGACUCCUUAUUCUUCAAGGAAAAUUCUAUCAAAAUUUCAAAAAUUUUCUCAACCGGCUUGACCGGUUGGCAUCUGGUUCAUCGAGUCAGCUUGUAUAGAGCACUGAUUUUGGUGAUUUUGGUGAUUUUGGAGCCCAAUUCCUACAUGGAUUUGGCCCAUGAGCUCCAGAUCAGUUUUGGGUUAUAUUUUGGGUCCAUUGUGGGCCUUAUUUUGGAUUCCUUGUAGCCCACCAUGAAUCCAUAUGGAUCAUUGGUGGGGAAGUAAGUUGGAAGCUAAAGAUAGUCAGCUUGCAUGGAAAAUGAGGAGGGGAGUUAAUGGGAGAGUUGAUUCCGAGACUGAUUAGAGCUCUUUCUAGAGCUUGAAUGAGAGAAAAAUGAAGAGGCUUUGAGGGCUAGAGGUCUAGGACUAUAAAAGAGUAAACAAUCAGGAUAGGAAGGGACUUUUUUUUUUUUUUUUUUUUUUAGGGAGAGAAAAUUCUGUAGAUUUUUUUUGGGGGAUUUGAGAAGAGGCUUUUGGGAGGGUUUUUGUUCAUGAGUGGUCUGAGGAUGUGGGGGAAUCUGAAGAUACCCUUGCCAUGCCUUGCAUACAACUAAAGAGGAGAGCAAUCUUGGAAGCCAAGCAGAUCUCUACUUGAGGGGAGUAUAAUCUGGUAAGCGUAAAUUGUGGUUUCAUGCAUGUUAUUCCCUUUCCCAUUGCUUUGUUCUCUCUUUAAUGUGAUGGCCGAAAAUUCCAUGGUUGUUUUGAAUGCUUGGGGAACGGGGUAUGGCUUUCCUUUUCUUAUUCUUGGUUUAUAUUUUAGUCUCGUGUUUUGGUUGAUGUGCCUCACCUUUCAUCGAUUUAGAGUGGCAUGACUCUGUCAUCUAUGAGGAACACUUGGCCUUGUUUUAGUUGGUUCUCACUCAUCCGGGCUUGGAAUUGAGCACUAUUUCUUUUGUUAGAUUUCUUAUUUAUUUAGAAAUUUUUUGACAAAAUUUGGGAAUUUUUCUCAACCGGAUGAACUAGUUGGGAGCCGGUUCAACCGGUUCAGCACUAUAGCUCACUGAUUUUGUUAGCUAUGAGGAACAUUGAACCUUGUUUAAGUUGGUUCUCACUCAUCUGGGCUUGGAAUUGAGCACCGUUGCUUUUGUUAGAUCCCUUAUUCAUUUAGAAUUUUUUUGACAAAAUUUGGGAAUUUUUCUCAAUCGGAUGUACUGGUUGGGAACCAGUUCAACCGGUUCAACACUACAGCUUAUUGACUCUAUUAGCUAUGAGGAACACUUGGCCUUGUUUUAGUUGGUUCUCACUCGUCUAUGCUUGGAAUUGAGCACUAUUGCUUUUUUUUUUUUUUAUUCCUUAUUCAUUUAGAAAAUUUAUGAUAAAAUUUGGGAACUUUUCUCAACCGAAUGAACUAGUUCAACACUACAGCUCACUGACUCUGUCAGCUAUGAGGAACACUUGGCCUUGUUUUAGUGAGUUCUCACUCAUCCGGGCUCGAAAUUGAGCACCGUUGCUUUUGUUUGAUUGCUUAUUCAUUUAGAAAUUUUUCGAAAAAAUUUGGGAAUUUUUAUCAAUGGGUUGGACUAGUUGGGAACCGGUUCAACCUGUUCUGCAAGAAGACUAUGGGCAACCCUCAGUUUUGGCAUUUUUCGAGCCCGUAUCCAUUGGGGAUCAAACCCAUUUGCUAUGGGGAACUUGUGGGCCAUCUUGAAGGUUUGAAUCUGUGUUUGGUUUCAGUUAGUGUGGGCCCAUUUUGAAGUUAUGGGCGGUGUGGUCUAGGUAAGGCUAGUUUGAUUUGUAUGACAUUUGGGGAGUCACUUACCUCACUUCAACCAGCUUUCCUCCUCUUUGGCGAAAACUUUAAUGCUUGAUUCUGAAUACAUGUUUUGUGGUUGACUCACCCUUUAUUGUAGCGCAUGGCUAGGGACCACAGGUACGCGCUUUGAUUUAGGAUUGUUGAAUUCAAAUGCAUGCAUGGUGCUUAAUCUUGAAUGUUAUGUGUUUAUGUGUGCUUGACUAAUCUCUUCUGUAGCACAUGGCUAGGGACCUCAGGUAUGCAUUAUUGGUUUUGGUUGAUGAAUUCAUAUGUAUAUCAAAUACCAAUUAGGAUUGUGUGAUUCAUGUCAUCUAUUUAGCCUAGGGUUUUGUUGGAUCUUUGACCCAUAUGCUCCCAUGUGCCUAUAGACCCUCAAUUUUGUUCCUUUAGCACAUGUCUUUAAAUUAACUUCCGGUGCUCCACAGUAGUUUCUUAGUGGCCCAUUACUACUCGUACAACUUACCUUUUUUUUUAGUCACUUUGGAGAUUUUUGUUGAGAGAUUAUCUGACCCCUUAUUGCGACCCUUGACAGCCCUAGAUUAGAUUUAGGCUUUUCAUUCUUUUUUAGGAUAGCUUUUAAAUACAUUUGGCCCAUUAGGCACCACCCUAGGCCCACUUAGGUCCACCUUGCCCCACUUAGAUUCACUUGAGCCCAUUAAGGUAUACUUGGCCCUUUAAGACAUUUUUAGCAUGACUUGUAUGACUUGCAUGGCCCGCAUAGAAUUGACCAUUUUAUUUCAUUUUAUCUAAUUAUUUUGUUUUACUUUAUUUAUUUAUUUUUUAUUUUACUUUACCCUUGAUAGGUUAUAAGGUUGCUAACUCUUUUGGUUUUAUUCUCUCUAUUUUCGUUUUUAUUGUUUGACAAUAGAAUGGGGGCUACUAUUCGACUCUCACUAAGGCAUGUACGCUCAAAGAAGGUAAGAAAAAUAUUUUUAGAGGGAAAAGGGAAUUAACGUGGCUGCAUACAUAUUGGAAAGAGAAGAUCUUGCAUGAGAAGAGAUGAGCAUUCUGAUUUUCGAAAAAAAAAAGGGAAAUAGAAGAAAGGAAAGUGGAUUUUCUUUAGCAGAUUUGGUUUGAGAGGCUGAUACAAAUAUAAGGAGAAAAGGAAAAGAAGGGGGUAGCACGCAUUGGAGAAAAGGAAAAGGAGGUGGUGGUCUUGAGAGAAAAGAAGAUUGGGGAUUAUCUUUGUGGAAAAGCACACAAGAGUGGGAAAAUGGUGAUUACAGUCAAGAUUGUCCAGGUACGCUUCUGGUUACUCUCGGUGUUCUUAUCUAUGUUCAAUUUCUUUACUUGGUCGUUUCUGAAUAUUCAAUGCAUUGUUGAUUGGUGUGGACAAAAAGGGCCACAAGUUGUUUCGUUGAGAUUGGUUGCUUGCUUGUUUGCCUUGUUUUGUUUUUGAUCCCUUUACAUGUUGUUGAAGCCUGCCGAAAUGUGUGACUUUGUGCCUAUGUGUAAAUCCUAUUCCCCAUUAUCCCCUUCUUCAGUCCAUGGUUUAACAUGUGAAAUGGAGUUGUCAAUGUUGAUUAAUACCUUCUACUCAUCCUUUCUUUACAUUUAUGUUUUCAUCUAUGUUACAUCUUUCCUUUCUCGUUCCAAUGUCCGAGUCUUGGUGCACUUUGGGGCGUGUUUCAAGAGGACGACAAAAGUGCUGGCAUGAGGGAAGAGGAGUGCGACAAUCUGUCACAAUUCUCAAAAUCCAACCUCCUUCGCAUUCAACGCUUUGAUAAGAGCCCGUUCCAAAAGUGCAGCCCUUCAUCGAAGUUUUCUCUUCUAUAACAGAAUUCUUCUUUCUACUGGCUAUUUGACCUCUAAGAAUUACACUUUCACGUUCUUGGUUUGUAUCUCUGCUCAUCUACUGGCGCAUGGGACUGGUUCGUCUAUACAUGGCGUCGUUGUGAAACAUGGGUUUGAGCAUAAGCCAUGUGUUCAAAAGGGCUUGAUUUACAUGUGCGCGGGAUUGGAUGGCUUGGUCGCUUGCCAUUGGGUGUCUUCAUCAAUUUGUGAGCCAGAUUUGGUGUAUUAGAUUGUAAUGGUCAGUGCAUGUGCCAAGAUGGGAGAUUUUUACCUUUGCUCGGAAGUUGUUUGAUAAAAUGCCCCACAAGAACCUUAUUGCAUGGAAUGCAGUGAUUUUGGGAUAUGUGCAAUGUGGGCAACCAUAUAGCGGGAAUCACCAUUGGAAAGAAGAGUAUCGACCACUUAAAAGAGAGAAGCACCAGAAUUUCAGAGAGAUGAUGAAUGAACACGCAUUCAUGGGAGAAUGACGGCUGCCAAUGCGUACAUUACUAUGGGGACCGGUGAAUCAUUAGUUUUCUGGAAGACCUUUGGAGGGGGGAACACAACUAACCGGGACGACCAAGCAAUAUUCAUGGAGACGAGGUCCUGCCUGUGGUGGUAAGAAGUUAAAUUCUGCAUGUUUAGAGCACUGCAAAAAUACUUGACCUCAAGUAUCAGUGAGCUUUGAGUGUUCAGUUCUUUUACCAUCUAGAGCUUUCACUACCAGUUCGGUCAAACAGAACCUCCAAUGGGUUUGCAGAUUCAUGUGGGUCUGAUGAGAAGAGUGUGAUCCAGACUUGGACUUCUCGGACUUUUCAAGGUGAACCCACGGUUGUGGUUACUAGUGGAAACUCUGUUCUCUGACAACAAGGGCAAACUGAGAUCUUCAAAUUUUGAAAAUGGAUAUACACACUUCAGAAUCUAUUUGUCUUCUUUGCUGAGUCUGAAGCAAAGCAUGUUUUUAAAGAUUAUCUUCAUUCCCUUGUUACAAAAAAUCAUGAUCUAUCCUAUUUGUAACCUAUCCAAGUUCUUUACUGAAGAAGAUUUCUGUUGCGGUUCAGGUUGAGGCACUUCAUUAUUUUUUUGUUCUUUUGUUCACGGUCAGAACAAUGCUUACAUUUUCAACUCCUAAACAAAUUUCCCUCUAUUUUUGUUCCACUGUCCAGUGAUAACCAGGAUGCGCAGCUACCUGCUAUGGAAUGCAUUGAACGGCUAUAUACACUGUUCUCGUGUUGUUUUUCUUUCUAGCAGAAAAAGUGUGAAAUGGCAAGGAACAGAGAAGUUUAGAGUCAUUUUCUUGAAGAGCCUUUCAGCUUAGUCCUUCAACAAAAGAGGCUGAUAUUGUCAAACAGAAAUGUUUUCCCACCUCUUUUUACAUCUUUGCUCGGCUCCUCCUGUCAUAGCCUUUUAGUGCCACAGAAUAUUGGACAGAGGUCUGACCAAUCUACAAGGAAAGACAUAUUACAUUUCAUCUCGGACUUUGCUUUAAAGCUCUCUUCAUAUGCAAAGCUGAAGAUUUUAUCUCUGCUUAAAGGAGUUGGUGGUGAAGUUAUGUAUAUUAAAGAUGUGAAGUUAUUUAUGUCAUAACUUUUAAGAAGACAGUCAAUAUCAUUUUGGGCUGAAUGAACCAUAUCAAAAGUUAUCAAGGAUUGAAGUAGAAAUCCUAUGCCUUCUACUGGAGGGCUGUGCUGUUCAUGCUUCAUCAGUUGGUGGAUAUGGUUUUGAAGAUCAUUUAUUGAAGGCUUUGCAAUUGCCGCUGGAUGAUAUGUCUCUAGAAGACCCUGCUCUUGUACAUCCUUGUAUCACUGUUUUGAGGAAGCUCAACUCUCCUCUGUAUAGUGGUUUGAAGAUUGAGAAAAAGGAGCUGUUGUGUCGAGAUCUUGUAUUUCUGUUCCGGAAUGCUAAUUGCUAUAUACAAAAUGGCAUUGGGAAGGCAUUGUUGUUCAUCUAGAUUACAUGUUCCACUCUAGUCCAGUUGCUUGAUUCUAUUUUUGGACAAGAGGGUUUUAUGAUUGGUUCAGUAUGUGAAAAAAAAAAAAAAAAAAGGUGGUGGCCAUCAAUAAAUUCAGAUGCAGUUGAUAUCAGUAAUGAGUCAUUUGUCCAACCUUCAUCUUUUAUGUAUCUGUUCUGACUUAGAGAAUAUUGAAAAGAGAUCAGAGACUAAAACUGUACUCAAGCUACUGCCAUGGCCUAAUUUUGCCUUGGAAUGCCUAUUGAUUUACACAAUACUAUGGCCUUCAAGGGGCUUUACUCAACGUUUACUUUGUACACCCUCUGCUCCUCCCUUAGCGAUUGCUAGAAAAAAGCUUUAAUUGAAUUUAGCAUUGAUUCGGGCUGCUUUCCUCUGACUCCUAGAGUUUAGAAGUUGUAGCAAGAAUGUCGAUGAUGAAUCUGAUGCAUAUAUAAUUGUUUCAAUUGCAAAUGCUACUCUUGCUCUUUCAAUUGGUGACACAGCUGUUAAACUACUCUUGUGCUUUCAAUUGGUGACACAGCUAGUAAGGAUAACAUAUCGGUUUAUCAACGCGUAGAAGAGAAUCUGAAUUUUGGCAUCACAAAUAGAGUAGCUCAUUUGGAUAAAUCUGGCUCCAAGAGUGGCUAUGUGUAGAAAUUUAGGCUUAUGAGACUUGCUUGAACUUCUGUAUGGUAGGAAGAGACAAGAACAGAACUUGCUGGAGAGUGUAAAUCUGGCUCCAAGAGUGGCUAUGUGCAGAAAUUUAGGCUUAUGAGACUUGCUUGAACUUCUGUAUGGUAGGAAGAGACAAGAACAGAACCUGCUGGAGAGUGUCUAGGUUAAUAGACUAGAGCCCUUUGAUUUGAACAUACUUGAAAACUAUACAAUAUUCUUCAAAAUCAAAUGUUGUGACCUGUUAAAGCGAAUGAAUGAAAGAAACAAGUCAACGGGUGGAUUCAAAUUUAAGGCCUUGUGUAUUUUAUAAUGGUGACAGAGUUGCACAGAUUUAAGUUAAAGGAUUGGGAUUAAAGGAACCUCCCCCUCAUAACUUCAACCAGUUUUCAAUGCUCUGCAAUUUGGGGUUUCAGAGGAACUAUUUCAAUGGCAAAUUGCCUUCUUCUCGCAGAUUGUCUGAAUUGUAAUUCACCUUCUUGGAUUAUAACAAAGUCGACACCAUCUCCGCUGAUUUCUCUGAAGGCCUUGCAACUAUUCGGAUCCUCACUCUAAAUGACAAUCCGUUCAAUUCAACUACUAGUUUAUAUUAUUUGAAGAGAUAAUUAGAAAGCUAUCAGUCACCAAAACAAAAACGUCACAAUGGGAUCUCACUGGCUAGAACCUUGUUGACGGUUAGCUCAGUUUCUCUUGCGAUGGCUCCAGCAGGGACAGCACAGACUGUUGCUAAAGAACUUCUUGAUUCAAUUUUGGACAUUGUUGUUCAGACAUUUGAAAAACCAUGUUUUGUUAGAGCCUUUUAGAAUCAAAAGCCACCCAAGUUAAUAUGAACACACCCAAGUCAAUGACUAUAGAUGCAAACUGGAACCAUGAUCCUGAAGCAUCUCGAGUAAGGAAAAAGCUCCUAAUGGUGGACUUAAGUUACUGAAACAAACAACUGGCCCAAGCUCUGCAAAGGGCGAACCUUUCAAGGGCCUGGCUUCAGGAAAGCCACCUAUGCGUAUGCAUCAUGAUGCAUUAGGUUUUAAAGGAAGUUCACAGGUUUCUGCAUCUGCUUGAAGCCAUUCUCCUUCUAGUGCAAGUAUUACAAAAGAUAAUGAGAAGCCAGUCAAGUUGGAAAGCAUGACUAACUCCAAACCAGAUGGUAAUCAAUCAAGGUCACCAGGAUUGGUAGGCAGAAUGGAUGUUGAGGGGGAGGAGGGCAAUAAUUUAAUGUCUGAAGAGGCAAAGGUUGCCUUUGCCGCGGCUGAAGCAGCCCGUGCUGCUGCUCUUGCAGCUGCUGAGGCUUGUGCAUCUGAAGCCAAGAGCAACACACCACUGCAGCUUCCUAAGAUACCCUCAUUUCACAAAUUUGCUAGAAGAUAGCAAUAUGCACAAAUGGAUGAGAUAGUUGAAUCCAAGAAAAAAAGUUGGUGUUCCUAAAAGAACACACCAUUAGAGGGCCUUUACGAGCCAUUCGGGAAUUUCUGUACGUAAUGCGAAGUAGGAGGUUACUAAAAGGAUCUAACUCAAGAAUAAGAAGAGAGAUGAGGAGAAAUGGUGGCUAAAGAGGCAGUCCAAAUCAGUAAUAGACCAAAAAGUGGGAUACUCCUGAUGGCGUUUACCUUAGAGGUGCCGAACUGAGUUCUGCAACAUUUUAUUCUGUCACAGUCAAUAAGGGACAGCCCAUAAUUCAUGAAGUUGUUCUCAAUAGAUCAGUCUUAAAACAUUCCUCUCAUUUAAUUUCUAACUCUUCCAAUAACUGUCAUAAAGACAAAAUUCUCAAGACCAUUAGAAGAUCAGAUUGCUAAUGGAGUUGUACCGAGUUUUUCAGAAUAAGGAACUUAGUUAGAAGUUCAUGACACUUGUCAGGGAUUGAAGUUCUAUUCAAACUACUAUCGCGACUUAAUUUUUUCCCGAUUUUCCGAAAUAAUGCCUAUUGCUCUACAUAAUAUCUCGGUUUACAAAAGGCUUUACUCAACAUCAUCCAUCAUUAGUACUCCAUAAAACCGGUCAACAAUUCUACAAGUCUCCAAGGCUUCCUUGUUCUCAAUACUAAUGGUGGUGUUGCUAGCUCUGGUUUUUGGUCUUUUUUUUUAGCAUCUCUCUACUAAGUAUUCUAAGAAAGGUGGAAAUUUCAUAUAGGCCAUGUCCCCACAGGUUUCCCUGGGAUUAAAAAUUCAUGAACAAGGACUUUCUGGAACAUCUAAAUUUUCCUAGUCAUAUUCCUAAAGAUUCUAAUGAAAUGGAAAAUGGGAUUUUUCCCAGAUCAGUUGGUAUCUAUAUCCGAAACGAGACUGCUCGAUCAAGUCAGAACAUGCUUGAACUUCUUUGUAAAGCGGAUCAACUAAGGGAUCAAAGUGCAGCAUGCUCAAUUCAGUUCUCAAAGAGGAGUCCAUUAUCUAAAAUAUCAGAAUCAGAAAUUUUCAUGGUUCUAUAGGUCACCUUCAGCGAAAUCAGUCCUUUGCUUCUUAAAUCAGUUAAUUCGCUCAACUCACAUACCUCUCCUGAGAUAGAAGAUAAGAGUCAUGCAUGGCUGACAUCCGCUCUUCCUGUUCGGUCUUUACCUCAUUCCCAUGAAGCGUUCAAAGAGAGUCGAGGUAUAAUGAAUUCUUGGGGAAAAGAGCAUUCGAGACUGUAUGCAAAGCAUUUGAUGAAGUAGAUGGAAUAGAACUCGCAUGGGGUCAAAUGGAAAUUAAGGAUUUAUUACAGUCCCUUCAAUAGCUGCAAAGAUUAUAUUCAGAAGUUCAUCUACUGAUGUCAUUGAAACAUGAUAACAUCAUCAAGUUCUAUAACCCUUGGGUUGAUGAUAUGAAUAGGACUAUUAACUUGAUUACACAGUUAUUCACUUCCGGGAGUUUGAGACAAUAUCGGAUGAAGUAUCAGAAUGUCGACUUCAAAGUUCCCAACUAGUUUCGAGUCCCACGGAUGCCCAAGCUGUCUUUGAAACUCUGACAAGGAGUAGCUAUUCAAACCAUCUCCAACAGUACACCCAGUGCUGAUAGUUUAUGGUGGAUAACAGAGGUCAUUACAAAAAAAAUGAGGAGGGAAGGCUGCUGUUACUUUUUGAAGGUACUGACAAUGUCAUAUUUGAGAGGCUUGCUCAAGAUGGAAGGAGGCUGUUUUGGGGAAGGAAAAUCAGGUCCAUGUGACUGCUCACUUCUAGAUACAAUUUCAUAUUGAAGAUUUGUAACUAAUGACUUCUAAGCCCGAAAAGAGAAGUAAAAUCUGCAGCCAAAGAAUGAGUUUGAAACUAAAGAUAGUAUGAUUAGGAAUGAACGCAUUAAAGACUUCCACUCUGGUUUUCUCGCCACUGAGAUUUACCACUCAUCAGGAAAAUCCGACUAAAGUCUGUCCAACAGAAGUUGACUUAAAAAAAACUUGAAUCACCAUAUUUAUCUCCUCUGUUAUGGCCCCGAGAGGUCUUUAUCUGACACCGAAACGACCUUCUGAAUUUGUAUUUAAGUCCUUUUGUUGAGAGAGAAGUGAUUUCUUUUGGAUCGAUCGCAUACUUAAAAAGUUACUGUUUCAGCUAAAAAUGCUAAUUCCUGAACUGCCAAGCGUGAAGCUUGAAACCUACUGGUUUACAAGAAGCUGGAAGCGCUUAUCUAACAAUUUUUGGGAAGAGGAAGCACUUAUAAGAAUCUGAACUCCUCUUGGAGGCGCUUCUCAAGACAAGAAGUUGCCCCAUUUCUAGCUAUAUUCAUUAGAAGAAAUCAUUUUGAUGAAUGUGGAAUUAUUUAUUGUCUUUCAAGACUGGACUGUGAAGAUGUUACUGAAAGGUUACAGGAAUGUGGACACAAAGCAACAUUUUUAUCACGGUUCCAUGGAUCCCGCUCAGCGUGCCUUCAUUCAGAAGCAAUUAAGUAAAAAAGAGAUUAAUAAAAUUUGUGCAACUGUGGCUUUCGGAAUGGGUAUCAACAAACCAGAUGUCCACUUUUGUGUGCUGUAUUAACUAAAAUACAGCACACAAGAUGAACACAAGAUGUUACAAUGAUUAUAUCCAAGUGAGGCACAUGAUCAAUCAAGGAGCAGUAGAGAAAAGUCUAUUGGCAUAUGGACAAAAAUCAUUCAAAUAUGGUGAGUUCAGGAAAAAUAUUGGAAACCAAUACUAAAAAUCUUUUGCACAAGGAAAGUUAUUGUGAAAAUGAUGUUGAUUGUUUGAGUCCUCUACAACUCAUACAUUUUGGAGAAAAUUUUGAUUCAGCCCAUUGCAAAAAGACAUGUGACAAUUGUUUGAAGAUUAAAAGCCUUGUUGAGAAUAAUGUUACCGAGAUCGCAAAAUAGCUGGUCAAGUUUGUGAAGUUAACACAAGAGCAAUUCUCCUCAUCUCAUAUCCUAGAGGUGUAUAGGGGUUCCUUAAGCCAAUAUGUUAAAGAAACACAAACAUGAAACUUUGAGUUUGCAUGUAGCUGGGAAGCAUUUAGCCAAGGGUAAAGUGUUGAUGGCAAAAUUCCCCUUCUACAGUAUCAAUUGCCAGCAACGGAAUCUCGAUCAACGCAUUCCAGUGAUUCUCCCUUCCUCCUGCAAAAAGAUGUCCGAACGGGUGGUCCGGACACACCCUCCGAUGAUUAAGUCAGCGUUAUGGAAGUUAUAAGGAAACAACUUUUGGCCUGUUUUUGGGAGUGAUGCUCCGUGAUCGUCUUCAAGGAUACUUACCCCCUUUUUGGAGUUUCUUUAGAGCUUAUAUACGAGUCAGAGAGUAUGGCCUUACUGAGCUAAUGGGUCCCAUAGUCAUGAUUGCGACUCAAAGGGGGGCGAGGCAAUCAUGACUCUUCUGGUCCGAGGUGAUGGCUGUCAGAAGAGUCUUCAGACGGCAGUUGUCACCUCAAAUUAUGAUGAUUGGUACCGGGAAUGCGUCAGGCAAUCUGAGAAGAUUUGGAAGUGUCUAGUCAAGCGUAUCUUGUAUUGAAGAGGAAUGAUAGUUCAAGAGACUUGGUCAGCAGUGUUGACGGAGUUGCCUUCCUGAUUAUGGGCUGAAAUGGAAUAGGGAAAUCAUGAGGGUCAUACGAGUUGAUGCGUCCGGGGAAUUCGAAUCGUCGGCUCCGGAUGUGCUCCGGGUAAGCGCUGCCAACGGAUCCGGGCGUGACUGACCGGGGAAGUUGAAUCGCGCUGCUUUUCAUCCGGCGACAAACCACCGGUUGUGAAAUAUCCAAAGAAGGUGGAUCGUCAGCCGUGCAGAAUCCGCCCGGGUGGAAUAGCGAUGCUAAGUGUCGCAAGGGGGGUUGUCUGCGUGGCCAAGGGAGAGGGGGCCACGUGGCACAUUUUAGGGAGGAUCCCACAAUGCCCCCUUUUAUACCGCAUGUCUGGCCCGGUCAAAAAAGGUGGGAUAAAAAUGUCAUCUUUACAAAAAUUUUCUUUCAUAUGGAAACCAAUGGCACGUGGCACUUGCUUGUUGUGGGAGCUAAUGGGGCGUGCCGACUUCGAAAACUCUGCCAGAUGGUGUGUCGUUUCGGAACUUGGAGCGAUUAGGUUUCCUAUCGUUUGGGGAAUUUUGGGGGUUUUGUUCCUAUAAAUAGGGGCCCAGGGCCCUCUGUUGACACUUUUCAGUUUGCUCCCAGCCUCCCAAGUGUUUCCAAAAAGCAUUUCAGAAAAAGAGCGAAAACGCGGCAACUGGUCUUCGACUUUUCCCAGAAACUUUCGAAAGGUUUGUUGUUUCGCUCUUUCUUCCUCUUUCAUCUUGUUGUUUGUGAUGUUGUUUGUUUACCAUUGAGGGGGUGGAUUGGGUUGGUAGAAGUGAGCGCUAUAGGGUGUUUUUGUCAGAGUCAAAGCCUCGAAGAGGCUGUUUUACAUGGGUUGGGUCGCGUUGCGGACUAGCAAGGUGCUCCUGGUGUAUUUUAGGGGUUUUCAAAGGUUUCUUUGAAUGUGAGGUUGCUGAGUGGGUGGUUUGCUCUUGGGUGAAAACGCGCUUUGACUGGUGCCUUUUUGUAACGCAGGUUUUGUGUAAUCGAAGAUGUCUUCAAAGAAGGGAAAUGUGGCGACUGGUGCGUCGGGGCAAGGUGGUUCAGGUGGGUAAGCCAAACAUACUGAGCUUUUAACUGAGCAGGAGUUCCAGGAUUGCUUUGGUAUUCUAAAUGGAGUGUCCGUUCAGCUGCUGGAGGGUAAUGAUGUGUCUACUGUAAAGUCGGGAGACAACUCCAUUUGCUUCACCAAAGAACAAUUCAACGCGGGACUUCGUCUUCCGCUCCCUUCACUUUUUAAGCAAUUCCUCCACUAUACCAAGAUUCCUCCAGCUUUGAUCCAUCCCAACGUUGUCCGGGUACCGAUGGGCUGCAGCAUUCUGGACAUGCUGUUUAUCUUGGGCCUGUCUUUGCUGGAGGUCCUAUUCGUCUACUCCAUCAAGAAGGCCAAAAACGAUAGCUUCAGCCUGGCCGCCAGUAUUCCAUCGCUUUAGUUGGUGACCGGCCUUCCUGACUCGACUAAGGAGGUUGCCAAAGGACAUGUGCUGGUCAAGGGCCCAUGGGCAGGCUUGAUGGUGCAUCUGGAUAAGCAGUUUGUCCCCAACCAGUCAUUGAAGGACCCAGGUAUGAAUAGAUUGUUCCUUAUCCUCCUGCGGUUGCGAGUUAGGUUAGCAUCGUCAGGUGGCUGACAUGCUUGGUUCUCUUGGGUGCAGGCACGGAUAAAAGGGGAAAGUUAGUAGAAUGGGUGGAAAAAGCUUCGUUCGACCGGUUGAACAAGCUUUUUGAGAUAGGGACAGGUGAGAGGAGCUGUCAGACACUUCUCUUCAUGCAGAAUCUCCUCUUGGUUAGCCAAGUGUCCCAGCUGUACGUACCCAAACAUAAUCCCGAGGCGGCUACCCAAGAAGGUGGUGGCCGAAGAACACUUUGUUCUCAAGGAUCUUCUGUUCUAUUUGGAGGCGUGCGAGGCAGACGUCCAGGCACGCCAAGAGCGCCUCAACCAACGGGAGGAAAAGAGGUAAGAGGGAACUUUGCGGAGGGCACCUGGUGAUAAACGCCCGACGCCAUUUCCUCCGGCCCGCACCCCAGUAGACAAGAAGAAGAAGGUUCCCAUAAAGGCAAUAGUAAUAAGAUCCCCAGUUCCCUCCUCCUCUUCCGCUUCUUCAAGCGAGUUAGGCCUUCCUGAACGUAUUCCCGGACAAUACGGAUCGGGGCCUUCCAUGCCUGUGUUUGAACGGUUAGCUCUUCCGGCUGAGGAAGAAGCUUCAGUGGAUCAGCCCGACUCCCCACACCCGGACGCGGAUGGAAUGGGAUUGGUGGUGGCAGUGAACGAGCCGGUGGGUGAAGUAGUUGGGGCUUCUUGUCCUAACCCGAAGCCCCUUUCGGCCACUCCAAUGGAGGAAGCAAGGGUUGAGAGGCAAGAUUUGCCCCCUUAUGAGCCGAGUGCCCUUGCACUUGUACCGGUGAAGGGGCCGACCACGGGGAGGUCACGUCUGCCCCGUGAUUUAACGACCGGCAUCAGCGGGAGGCUUCAGGAUCGCCUCUACGAGACCAUUGAAGUCAACUGUUCAUCCGCCCGGGAAGAUCAUCCGAAGGGGUACCAGACGGAGAUAGCUGGGGAGGAUCCAUCUGAUCUAGUGUUCAUCCCGGAUGAGGACUCGCCAGGAGAUGUUCCGUCGAUUGUGAAUGAAGAGGGUCCGGCUCCGGGGGAGGAGCCACACAAUGAUGACCCGACUAAGGGGGAUCCAUCCGAUGAUGUGGCCUGUGUCUCUGUUAGCCCUUUCAGUUAUGCAGAGUUAGGGGAAAUGCUGAAUCAUAUUUUUUCCGGCUCAGAUGUCGAUUUGCUUUCAGUGAAGAUGUUUGAAACGGCGGAAAUGGUAUAGCUUAGUCUCCUUGAUUUUUCUCGUCAUAUUGGUAUAUUUUUCGCGUGGUAGAUGCUUUGAAUUUGUUGUUGUGGGUUUUUCUACAGCUGGUGAGUGGCAUUCGCGGCAUGGUUCAACAACGUGAGCUUUUUUCAAACUUGUUGCGAAUGGCUAAUCAUGUGAAGGCCUUUGUUUCCCAGCGCAUGGGUGGUGAGGAGUUGCACUUGAGAUUGGAGCAGGCCAAAAUAAACUCAACCGCCGCCCGGAGAGCUUUUGAAGAGAAUGCUGAAGCUUUAAAGAGGUCCCAAGAGGACAAUGAGGCUCUCCGGAUCAAGUUAGAAGAGGCUAAGAGCUGGGAGGAAGCUAUAGAAACACGACUGAAUGAGGCUGAGGAUGGGCUGGCCUAGCUGAGGGGGGAAGUGAGACAGCUCCGGACUGAGGCGUCAAUCGAGAGGAAGCAAAAGGAGAGCUUGCAGUUGCACCUAAUAGCAUAAAAAGAAGAGUUGGAGGCUGAGUUUGCCAUGCAAAGGGAGGAACUCGAAACGGAAUACCAGAAGCAGGUGGACGAGAUGUAUUUUUUCGGCUACCGUUGUUGUAUGAAGAAGAACGGCAUCAAACGAGAUGUUCCUUCGAUUCCUCCGGGUGAAGAGGAAAAGUUACACCGCAAGCCUUCCCAAUGAAAGCUCUCAUUUUGUAAUUCUCACUGCUAUUUCUCUCUGUAUAGAUAGUCCGAAGAACAUCUUUUGUUUAUAAUUCACAGUUAUUAAUAAAACACACUUCUUUUCAUGGUUCUUCCAUCUUUGCUUUCAUUGUUAGUAUUGCUUUAGAUUGGCUACAUUCCAAGGACGGAGUAGGGGGGUUCCAUUUAAAGUUUGUAAAUGGUAUGAUCCAUUUUUGUUGACUUUAAACACUACAUAAGGUCCUUCCCAAUUGGCCUGAAGUUUUCCAGCUCUUUUCUCAGCCGUGUUUUCAAAGACUUUUCUAAGCACCAAUGACCCUUCCUUGAAAACCCGAGGUCGCACCUUCCUGUUGUAAUAUGCAACCACCUUCUGUUGAUAUGUGGCCAUCCGGACGAAUGUUGCUUCUCUAGUCUCAUCCGCCCAAUCCAAGUGCCUUGCAAGCUCGUCGUCCUCAUUUCUUUGUCCUUGGAUGGCGGUCCGGGCUGUGGGCAUACCAACUUCGGUGGGGAUUACGGCAUCUGUUCCGUGUGUAAGAGCAAAUGGAGUAUUCUCUGUCGGCCUUCCGGGUGUGGUCUGAUAGGCCCAUAAGACGUCGAGUAGCUUUUCUACCCACUUUCCUUUGGCUUUUUCCAAUCGCUUCUUUAACACACUUAGUAAGGUCUUAUUGGUAGCUUCCGCUUGACCGUUGCCUUGAGGGUACCGCGGUGUGGAAUACAGGUUCUUGAUGUGAAGCUCCGUGCAAAAAGCUUUAAAGGCCAAGCUAUCAAAUUGAGGCUCAUUGACAACUAUGAUUGCCUAAGGGAUUCUAAAUCGGCACACUAUAUUUUUCGAAACGAACCUCUUGAUGUCCUUAUCCUUGAUGCUCGCGUAGGCCUCAGCUUCGACCCACUUGCUGAAGUAAUUAGUGGCAAUGAGUAAGAACUUCUUUUGAGCGGCUGCGAUGGGUAAGAGCCCCACGAUAUCUAUCCCCCAUUGUGCGAAAGGCCAGGGGCUUGUCACUGAGUUUAAUGUCUCAGCGGGCAUAUGUGGAAUUGGUGCAUGCUUUUGGCAUUUAUCGCAUUUCCUGGCAUAAAUCUCUGCGUCCUGCCUCAUGGUAGGCUAGUAAUAUCCUUGCAAAUGUGCCCGAUGCACCAGGGUUCGGCCCCCCGAGUGGUUGCUGUAAACACCUUCAUGAAGUUCAAAUAGAACAUAUUGGAUUUCCGGCUGGGUCAAGCAUUUGAGAUACAGACCCCCAAAGGAUCGCCUAUAGAGAUCAUCCCCGAUUAGGGUAAAGCGGGAUGCUUGCACUCGAACUUUGUGGGCGCGCUUGAGAUCUUCAGGCAGUGCCCUCGUUUGUAAAUAGACUCUGAUGUCAACCAUCCAAUCGUAUCCCUUUGGGUCUACCUUGCAAACGUUUGAUUCAGCGAUGGUAGGAGUGGUUUGAACGUAUAUGGGCAGCAUUGUUGACUCUUUCACGGGAAAUGAUGCAGUUAUUCCUGCCAAUGCGUCGACUUGCACAUUUUCUCUUCUAGGGACUUUUUCAAUGACCCAUUCUCCCAGCCGACUGAGUGAUUCCUACACUUUCAGUAAGUAUUUGUCCAUGCGUUCGUCCUUGGCUUUGUACUAUUUUCGUAUUUGCCCCACGAUGAGCUGGGAGUUGCUAUGGAUUUUGACUCUCGGGCGUUGAGGGUGAUUGCAAGGUCUAAUCUGGAUAGGAUGGCUUCAUAUUCAGCUUCAUUGUUUGAUGCAGGAAAUCCCAAACGGAUGGAUUACUCUAACUUCUCUCCGGUUGGUGUUUUGAGGAGGAGUCAGACGCCUGAUCCGGACGAGCGAGAGGCUUAAUCAACAUGCAGAAACCACCAGUCGUCCUGAGUUGAUUCUUUGUCCGGGGCAUGCGAUUCAGGUAACUCUGCUAUAAAAUCUGCCAUGACCUGUCCAUUUAGGGAGAGUCUGGGUUGAUAAUCUAUCCCAUAUUCACUUAGCUCUAUCGCCCAUUGCAACAUUCUUCCCGUUAUGUCUGGUUUAUGCAGAAUGUUUCUAAGGGGUUGAUUGGUGAGUACUGUUAUGGGGUGAGCUUGGAAAUAGAGACGCAGUUUCUGAGUGGCCGUUCGCAAUGCUAGGGCAAUUAGUUCCAUCUUCGAAUACCUUGUCUCUGCAUCAACAAGCGCUUUGCUAAUGAAAUACAUGGGUCUCUGCUCUUGGGGCGAUAAGGAAAGGAUCAAGACAGCACUAACAACCCAAUCGGUAACCGCCAGAUACAAAUAUAACCUUUCUCUAGGUUGCAGACUGCUUAGAAUGGGAGGUUGAGAAAGAUAUCGCUUGAUUUCUUCAAAAGCGCUCUGGCAACUUGGUUGUUAUCCGGACUUAUUGACACCUCUGAGUGCCAAGAAGAAAGGCUUCAUUUUGUCUGUGAAUCGAGCUAUGAACCGUCCGAGGGCGACGAGUUUGCCAGUGAGGCACUACAACUCCUUCUUGUUUGUUGGUGGAAGCGUGUUUGCGACCGCUUUCACCUGGUCUGGAUUGAUUUCGAUUCCUCUUUGUGUAACCAUGAACCCCAGGAACUUCCCAGUGCUUACACCAAAUGCGCAUUUGGUUGGGUUAAGUUUCAUGCCAUAAUUUUUCAAUAAAUGAAAAACUUCCUGCAAAUGUUGGGUGUGUUCGCUUCGGGUUUUGCUUUUGACCACCACGUCAUCAAUGUACACCUCCACAACAUCUCCAAUCAGCGGCUUGAAAAUCUUGGUCAUUAACCUUUGAUAUGUGGCCCUAUCGUUCUUGAGUCCGAAUGGCAUGACUUUGUAACAAUAGAGUCCAUGAGGGGUUAUGAAGGCGAUUUUUUCUUCGUUCCCUGGUGCCAUGGGAAUUUGGUGGUACCCGGAGAAAGCGUCCAAAAAGGAUAGCAUUUCAUGUCCGGAGGUAGCAUUUCAUGUCCGGAGGUAGCAUCUAUUAUCUGGUCUAUCCUUGGUAGUGGAAAACUGUCUUUGGGGCACGCGUCAUUGAGAUUGGUAUAAUCUACACACACCCGCCAUUUUCCUCCCUUCUUGGGGACCACCACUACAUUUGCUAACCACUCCGGGUACUCCACCUCUCUUAUAAACCCGACUGCCAAUAAUUUUUCCAUUUCUUCUUGAAUGACCUUCUGCCUGUUCGGAUGGAAUCGUCGAAUUCUUUGUCGAACGGGCUUCGAGGUGGCUAAUACAUUGAGCCGGUGAGAGGCGACGCUCGGAGGUAUCCUGGACAUGUUCGAGUGGGUCCAAGCAAAGACAUCAUGAUUUUGUUGGAACACCUUUUGAAGUUCGAAUUUUUCGGCUGGCGGUAGGAAGGUACUGACGUACAUGAAGCCUUCAUCCCCUUCUGAUGUCUGAAUGGCUUCCGACGGGUCUGCUGUCGGGGGAUCUUUGUCUGCCGGGUGCUGUAAUUGCUAUUGGUCAGCAGAGUUUGCUUUUUUGGGGAAGUGUUCGCGGUCAGUGCUGGGUCCGACUUCGUGAGUGAUUUGAUAACAUUGCCGGGUAGCGAGCUGGCUUCCAUAAAGAUUAAUCUGCCCAUCUUGGGUGAUGAAGCUAACCAUCUAGUGGUAUGUGGAUGGAAUGACCUUCAUCUCGUGCAACCAUGUGCGUCCCAAAAUGGCAUUAAAAGGGGAUAAAUUCUCAACCACAGAAAAUAGAACAUUUAAAAUGACAGGUCCGGCUUGAACCAGCAAUGUUACGUCCUCAAGCGAGUUUGUGGAAGAACCAUUGAAUCCGGAUAGGAUUCUUCCGAGAUUCUCCAGGCUGGCGGGUAUGAAACCCAUUUGUUUGAUGACCGACACUUGCAAAAGAUCCGCGGAGCUACCUGGAUCGACUAGGAUUCUUUUCACGUCGAAGUCCUCAACCCCUAAUAUUAGGAUGAGUGCAUCUUGAUGUGGCUGCAGUACUCAAGCGGGAUCCAUGGCGGGAAAGACAAUGGUUCCAUCUAUGGGGUGGAUGCUUUUGUUGGCUAAUCCCGGCCGAAUGGAACUUAUGUAUUCUCGAACAGUCGCUGCCUGCAGCAGUCUUUGUCUUUUUCUUUUAGAACUGUACUCAUCGUCCAAGGGCCUCUCGUGUAUGUAGUUGAUCACGACCCUAAUGGGAGCUGCUGGGGCGCGUGAGCCCUGACCAUGGGAAGAUUCUUCACCUUUAGGGGUUGUGCGGAUGUAUUGCUUCAAGUGUCCCGCCUUUAGAAGAUCCUCCACCAUAUAAUGGAGACUUCGACACGUUUCUGUGGUGUGCCCAUGAUCUUUGUGGUAUGCACAUUUUUUACUGCAAUCCCUUUCUGAGGGGUUUGAUCUUACUGGUCUCUGCCAUCUAAAGCUGGGCAAAUCUCGGAUGAUAGGAAGCAAUUUUUCAUACGAUGUGGUGAGAGGCAUGCGAAUGAGUGGGGGACGUCGCUCAUCUUGCCCCCUAUUGGAUGACCCGGGAUGGUUUGGUGCUUUGAAGCUUCUGGUGGCUUCACUUCUCAUGGCUUGGCCAGUGAUCAGGACUUGCUGCGUAGCGGCUCGGACGUCGUCCUCUAACAUGGAAUAUUUCCCUGCACGUCGAAAUAAAUUGUCAAUGGAUAUGGGAGGUUUUUUGGCGACGGACUCGAAGAAGGGGGUCCCUAGGCAUAUGCUCCGUUUGAAAAUUUGGACUUAUGUAUUCUUGAACGGUCGCUGCCCGCAGCAGUCUUUGUCUUUUUCUUUUAUAACUAUACUCAUCGUCCAAGGGCCCCCCGUGUAUGUAGUUGAUCACGACCCUAAUGGGAGUCGCUGGGGCACGUGAGCCCUGACCAUGGGAAGAUUCUUUACCUUUAGGGGCUGUGCGGAUGUAUUGCUUCAAGUGUCCCACCUUUAGGAGAUCCUCCACCAUAUAAUGGAGACUUCGACACGUUUUAGUGGUGUGCCCAUGAUCUUUGUGGUAUGCACAUUUUUUACUACGAUCCCUUUCUGAGGGGUUUGAUCUUACUGGUCCCGGCCAUCUAAAGCUGGGCAAAUCUCGGAUGAUAGGAAGCAAUUUUUCAUACGAUGUGGUGAGAGGCGUGCGAAUGAGUGGGGGACGUCGCUCAUCUUGCCCCCUAUUGGAUGACCCGGGAUGGUUUGGUGCUUUGAAGCUUCUGGUGGCUUCACUUCUCACGGCUUGGCCAGUGAUCAGGACUUGCUGCAUAGCGGCUCGGACGUCGUCCACUAGCAUGGAAUAUUUCCCUGCACGUCGAAAUAAAUCGUCCAUGGAUAUGGGAGGUUUUUUGGUGAGAGACUCGAAGAAGGGGAUCCCUGGGCAUAUGCUCCGUUUGAAAAUUUGGAGGACUGCGUCCAUGUUGUAUGACUCCACUUGUAAGACAGCUUGUCCGAAACGCUUUACGAACUCUCUCAGGGUUUCAUUUUCUUGCAUUUUGAUGUUCUGCAAAGUGCUGAUAUUUUGCUUAUGCUUGGCUGAGCACAGGUACUGCCCCAUAAAGACUUUGGACAGCUCCCGAAAAUUGUCAAUCGAGUUCGUAGGUAAUCGAUGAAACCAUGAGAGGGCUUGGCCUUGUAGGCUUGCUGGGAAAACUUUGCAUAAUAGCAUAUCAUUCCCUAUGUCGAGGGUCAUGAGCUGCCGAUAAUGCAUUAUGUGAUCAAAAGGAUCGCUAGACCCAUCAUAUGUGGAGAACUUUGGGACGAUGAAUCCUCUAGGAGGUUCAUAUUUAAUAAUGCGAGAACUGAAAGGCGUGGAGAGCAUGUCGUCCAGGCGCCUGCUGAUAGAGCCUAGAGGGGCUGUAUACGAGGGAUCUUUGCCAACUCGUGACACGAGUGGGCGGGCGAUGUGUCUCUGCGGAAUAGGGGAGUCUGAGGGCCUGGAGUGUGCCUCCAACGAUAUGGUGGUAUGAGGCCUGUUUUUGUUGGGUGUUUGUGGUCCCAGACGCGCGCGCAUUGCGUCAGAUAUUUGAGGCCUUUUCUCACGUUGUCGUUUGGAUGAGACUCGAGUAGAGUUUGAACUUUCCUCCCGUCGGACGUGACGAGUGUGCAUCGGGGCUUCAUUAGGCCCUUCAUGCACCUCGAGGGGUGGGCUAACCUCUCGGGGGUAUGGAGCUUAUUGGUUGUGAUGACGAUCCUGCAUCCGCUGAUAGUGCUGGGGUUCGGAAGAGACUUGGAUCCUCAAGACAUCGUUUUCUUCCCUAAGCCUUCUUGUUUCUUGGAGCAAAACUUGCAUUUUCCGUUCGUUGUCUCGCUGUCGUCUUUCCAUGUUGCUUUGCCAUUCAAAGUAACCUUCGUCACCCCUGGCGAAAGAACGACUCCUCGAGGGUGGAGCCAUCUUUGCAGUUGGAAGGUACAUGAUUUAUUGAGAAGAGGAGUUUCCCACAGACAGCGCCAAUGUUGAUGGCAAAAUUCCCCCGCUACAGUAUUAAUUAUCGACAAUGAAAUCUCGAUCAACUCAUUCCAGUGAUUCUCUCUUCCUCUUGCAAAAAGAUGUCCGGACGGGUGGUCCGGACACACCCUUUGAUGAUUAAGUCAGCGUUAUGGAAGUUAUAAGGAAACAACUUUUGGCCUGUUUUUGGGAGUGAUGCUUCGUGAUCGUCUUCAAGGAUACUUACCCCCUUUUUGGAGUUUCUUUAAAGCUUAUAUAUGAGUUAGAGAGUAUGGCCUUACUGAGCUAAUGGGUCCCAUAGUCAUGAUUGCGACUCAUAGGGGGGCAAGGCAAUCAUGACUCUUCUGGUGCGAGGUGAUGGCUGUCAGAAGAGUCUUCAGACAACGGUUGUCACCUCAAAUUAUGAUGAUUGGUACCGGGAAUGCGUCAGGCAAUCUAAGAAGAUUUGGAAGUGUCUAGUCAAGCUUAUCUUGUAUUGAAGAGGAAUGAUAGUUCAAGAGACUUGGUCAGCAGUGUUGACGGAGUUGUCUUCCUGAUUAUGGGCUGAAAUGGAACAGGCAAAUCAUGAGCGUCUUACGAGUUGAUGCGUCCAGGGAAUUCGAAUCGUUGGCUCCGGAUGUGCUCCAGGUAAGUGUUGCCAGAGGAUCCGGGCGUGACUGACCGGGGAAGUUGAAUCGCACUGCUUUCCAUCGUGCGACAUACCGCUGGUUGUGAAAUAUCAGGAGAAGGUGGAUCGUCGGCCGUGCAGAAUCCGCCCGGAUGGAAUAGCGAUGCUACGUGUCGCAAGGGGGGUUGUCCGCAUGGCCAAGGGAGAGGGGGCCACGUGGCACAUUUUAGGGAGGAUCCCACAUAAAGCAUCUCAAAUUUUUGUGCCAUCUUAUUACAGGGAUUUCCUUAUGGAUACUGAUGAUUGGAAUUCAAAUCAAAACAAAAAGAGGAGUUUUGGGGACGUUUUCUGGCUAUCAGUCUAUCGAAAAUCUUGACGUAUUUGCUAUAUUGAAGGAUAAAACAUAAGUGAAAUUCUUGUGGUAAAUAAGCAAACAAACCUGGUUUUACGCAGUUCGUUAAUGAUUCACAUGAAAGCACUUGAAUCAAAACACCAUCUUGCAGAACUGAAAACGAUGUUAAUGAGAGAAUUGAAGGUUUGGUCUUCUGGUUUGUACUUGGAGGGAAACAUAAUUAAGCACAUAAGAAGAUGUCACAGGAGAUUUCUAAGGAUCUACAAUUAUUCACAUUCUCAUUUAAUCAAGGGAGAUUCGAAGUUGAAGAAAUCUUAUAGCUUUAGUCGAGAUGAUCUGCUGACCCAAGAUAUCUUGGCACUUGAUACAAGUGUUGAAGCUUUUGUUGGUCAAAUUAUUGACCUAAAAAAAAAAAAACUACAAAAUGCUCUUGAAAUCAGUUAGGAAUACAUCGAAAUCGCUGUAUCAUUGAAGGAUUAUGUUGCCAUGAACCUAGUUAAGCAUGUCACCCAUAUUUCCUACACAAUUGACAACUCUAAUGGAUAGAUCCUGACUGCAGAUCCUUAAGAGCUCAAUGGGAUGAAACUUUAUCAAUCUUGGAGCCAUAAAUGAAAACCCCUAUACCGUUCACCAAAUCCUUUUAAAAUGUGACAGUCCUCUUUGAUCCAAUAUUCAGUUCUAAGCAUCCCUAUUUUGAAGAAAGAGAUAGAGAAGUGAUGAAACCUUGGCCCUGAGAAGUCAGAUAUGGAGAUUUCAGAAGUGAGGGGAGUUCAUAAAGAUGCCGCAGGCUGAAAAUACCGAAGAGGUAGAAAAAAAUAUCAAUCAUUUUCCAAAAAGGCAAUGCAAUUUUACUUCAGCAAGAGGAAUUCAAGAGCUGAGAAAUCAUACUGUAGACCCUCAAUUUUGUCCCUUUAGCACAUGUCUUUAAGUUCGUUUUCAGUGCUUCAAAAUAGUUCCUUGGUGGCCCAUGGCUACUCAUACCACUUACCUUUUUCUGAGUCACCUCGGAGAUUUUGGUUGAGGGAUUAUUUGAUCCUUUAUUGUGACCCUUGGCAGCCCUAACUUAGACUUAGGUUUUUCUUGCUUUUUUUUUAGGAUAGCUUUUAGAUACACUUGGCCCAUUAGGCACCACCCUAGGCCCACUUAGUCUCAUCAUAGGCCAUUUAGGCACACUUGGCUCAUUUGGACAUUUUUAGCGUGACUUAUAUAACUUGCGUGUUUGCAUGGCUCGUAGGGCCCUGAUUCGUCCCUAGCAGUGGCAGUGGCAAUGGCACCAUUUGAUUCGAGGUUCGAUCCCCGGCAACGGCGCCAUUUGAUUCGUGCCCAAUUGGUGUCUCAGCUGAUUCGUGUCCAGCUGGUGCUCCUUGAUUGAGGGAGUAAUCAACAAAAUUUAUAACCUAUUACACCAUAUACUAGGGUAGCAAAGACAAAGCUACUAUAGCAUAGUGGCUCUAGGAUCGUUCACUGGGAUGGGUUUUCACUUUGCAAAUGAUAUUAAUUCAAAGCUGAAUUGGUGUCUUUUCAUUUCAAGGUUAGCUUUAAAAGAAAACAUAAAGAUGUUUAAAUGAAAAAAGGUUUGGUUUUAAACUAACCACAAAUAGUAACUGAUUUUACUUAUAAAGAAAAAUGUUUCUUGGAGUUCAGAUCACUAGGCUCGUUCCUCAUACAAAAAGGAGAGUUCCGGUCACUUGUUUCUUUUCCUCGCAUUAGAGAAUUAACAUAUAGUUAAUUCUCUAACCGGUGUUAUACAGAUGCUUCCCAUUAACGGGUUCAAACACUAAAUCCCUCUCACUAAUGCACCUUGCAAUGACUCAUACCUCUCACCUAGCACUUGCCAUUCAAGGUGAUCUUUAACCUUGGAUUACCCGUCAAAAGCUCGCAAGAGAUAACUAAUGGAUGUCUCCUUGGAGUCCAAAAGCUUACCAAGUGUUGGCUAUUCUAGAAAAUCCUACCUUCAAGUCACCUCCCAAAGGCUCGCAAGGGGUAAACUAGUGCAUUUCCAUGGUUGGAAAUCACUUGCCUUACCAAGUGUUGGCCCAGGUGACUCUAAGGUGUUUUAAGUUAACUAAAAACAUAGAAAUCACUAACGGGUUACACUUUCUCUUCAUUAAAAACUAAAACAACAAAACUUCCAAAUUAUGCAUGUGGAAACUUACCUGGCUUUCCUCACUCCAAGAGACAAAAAGCUUAGCCUCUCAUCCUCUGUGGAAAAAUCCUCAGAGUUUGGUUGGCUAGAAAAUGAAAAUGAAAGAGAAGACAAGAAUAUAUAUCAAAAACAGAGCAAGUGCUCUGUUCGUUGAUUCUAUAUAUUGGAUUACAUGAUAUGGUGGUCCGAGAGUCCUCUGAGAGUGUUUACAAGAGAGUUUAUAUAGGAAGGUAAUUUACCCUUCCUUGGAUACUUCCUAUCUAAGGAAUUACAUGAGUGGUUGAAUACAAGGAGAAAAUGGAAAUUUAGACACAAAAAUCUGAAGAAAAAUAUCUAAAAGAGUCGGUGCAAAAAUAUCGGGAAGCUCUAGGAACAUUUCGCAGGUGAAAAAUGGUGUCUGCGAGAUUUCGCAGACACUCAAGAGGGCUGCGAAAUAUUUUCGCAACAACAAGUUAAACUCGCAGGGCUGCGAAAUUGGCUUCCACCUUGAGGUUCUCAGCGUUUCAGCUUGCGGCAUGUAUCGGGUAGCUUCAGGAGGAAUUCCAUAGCACUGUACAAAAAGGCUGCGAAAUUCUCGCAACAAAAGGCUGAUUUCGCAACACUUUGUAGUGAUCUGCUUGCAAUGGCUGUAACUCCUUCGUUUUAACUCCAAAUCGCGCACCGUUUGAAGCAUUGGAUUCUUGACUUCCUGAGCUUUGAAAUGGUAUAUAGAAUGUAGAAAAUGGACUUCGGGAAGUGCUCCAAAAGUGCACAAGAAGACUGCAGCUGGCUUUCCUCUGUUUUCUUCACUCUGUUUUUCCUCUCUCCUUGCUUCUCUCCUUGCAUACUUUGAACGACUUUGGCAAAGGGAUAUGGAGCUCCAAAGCUUGGUUCUUCAUGAAUUUGAGCUCUUCAUUGCUUUGCCAUGGAUUCCAAAUAACUCUCCUCAAUCUUGGAUUGUUUUAGUGAUCAAAUUACUAACAAAAACACCAAAAACUUACACAAUUUGAUUAGAAAUGAUUGCAAGGGUCCUUAACAUGUUAAUUGGGUUAAAAGACAAUAAAUACUACUCAAAAGUGUUUAAAAGAGUUAAUUACAAGCUAUCAAAUAGCACUUUUUGAGUAGUAAUGAGGCCCAUUUUUUUGUUAAUUUGUUUAUUUUUAUUUUAUUUUAUUUUAUUUUCCUCUUUAUAUUAUUUUCCUUAACUUAUUUAUUUAUUUAUUAUUUUUACCAUUUUCUAAUUUAUUUAUUUAUUUAUCUAUUAAUGCAAUUAUUUAACUUCUAAAAUUUCAUGUUUUUGCAAGGAAACUUACCAUUGGAGUUUAAGGAAGGUGGGACUCUCCUUGGAAGGUUUUGAAAAGGAAUUUGAAAUUGAGAAGAUUGCUUUUGAAUUUGAGGAUUUAAAAAAAAAAGGAUAGGGAGGAAAGAGAAAGAAGGGGGCUUUUUUUAGGGAUUGAGGGAGGAGAUUCUUUUUUUGGAGCAGCAUGCAUUGCGGGAUUGUUUAGAGGAAAAGCACAGAAGAGCAGAAAAGGGGCGAUUGCAAGCGAGGUUCUUCCAGGUACGUUCCUAGCUAUUCUCAGAAUUCUUACCCAUGUUCAAUCCUCCAUUAUUCUCUGAUCAUUUUGGAAUAUUAAAUCUUUGCUGAUUGGUGUGGACGCUAAGGGCCACAACUGGUUCUAUUGAGAAUGGUUGGUUGUUUUGUUUAUUUUCUCAGAUUUCUUAUUUUUUUGGACUUCCGUUCUUUUCAAUAUCAUUGAUCUCACAUGCAUUUGGGUAUGUUCUUGAACCUGAUGAUAGAAAUCCUACCUUGUUCGUGAUAAAAAUCUCAUUUUGAAUCACUCCCCUAUUCUAAGCCAAUGGAUUGAAACAUGAAACGUGGCUCCCUUUUUAUUGUCUCGUUCUUUUUUUUAUUUUUUUAUGCUCUGUUUUCGAAUGCCAUUCUCUCUUCCCGAUAUUUGCUUGUGAGGAAUCUUUUGAAAACUGCUGGAGCGUGGAAUUCAAAUUUGGAAAGAUGAGGUGGAAAGAAAAUGCAGGGUUUCUGUGUAAGCACAUUCGCUAAAAACAAAGGACGACCCCACACUUGCUGUCUCGGUUCUCACAGUAGGGCCUUGGCCAAUUCAAUCAAAUGAUAUGUAUAACCCUCCAGUAGAGAUUCUGGAAGUUUGUGAGAAAAUCAUAGGUUAUUAUCUCGGGACCUGCACUGGGAUGAGAUUGUCUUGGCAAACGAAUAUGGGCACGACUGAUUUGAGGGCAACGUUUGUUAGGGAUCAACAGGAAGAUUUAAUAGGACUGCCGUAGUUGAAAUGGAUGAUUUUGGCUUUGGUGGCGGUCCUUGUUCUAUUGCCGUUACUGCAGUGUUAGAUUUUUUUUUGGCAGAAGUGAUUUCUGACUUUAUUACUGAGCAGGUGAAAGAUGCGCAGGUCGUGGAGACAAUUCUGGAAACUACUCCUUCAUACAUGCUAAGUCUAUUUUUAGUUUCCAAGGUCCGUGCCUUAGCAGGCUGAUGAAUUCCCUUGAAAAGCGUCUCUUGCGUGAUGACGAGGAAGAUGAGGAAAAGUUAGAUGAGAGCCGCUGGUCAUCCAAUUCGGAUGCAUUGUGUAUAAUGAUUGCAGAUCAUGCAUAUAUGGGUGCUUUUCUUAGCCUGUCACUGUACUGAAAAUUCUGGAAUUCUUGUUGUUUAUGCUACAGCUUACAAAUCAAGAUGGACGAAUUGAAGGAGUAGUGUCUAGAAAAGGCCUUUAUCCAUCUCCAGAGGGAACAAACAGCUUGAUGCUUAUGUACAAUUGAUAAUUAAGUAUACAAACCGUAUGGUAUUGUUUUGUUUCUUGCCAUCAUUCUUGAUUAGUUUAAAGAAGAUGAUCUUCUUUCACUCUUGGGUUUGCAAAUUGGACCUAAGGAAGAGGAAUCCCUAAACUCUUCAGAGGAAGAUACAGGAAUUAAUAUCUGCACAGAUCUACAGUUAUUAAUUGCUCACAGUCGAAUAAUAUUCUGACCCAGCAAUUCUGAUACUGAAUUAAGUGGUAACCUAAAUUACUGUCUCUGAGUAAAUUUAAUUCCUUUUCUCCAUGAUCAAAGACGAAAUGCUGUGAAUAUGGCAGUUGGUGUUGUCAAGAAUCCAUUGAUGCAUUGCAAGGCUGCACUAGAGGACUUGCUAGUCUCUAAACCAAACCAAGUGAACAGGUUGUUAAAAAAAAAGUAUUGGAGCAGUGUGCUGUUAUUAUGUGGGUGCAGCAUAUUGCUGGAUCAUCAAAGUUAUAUGGAGUGAGGAUGAAAAGAAAUGGUGCUGAAGCUUCCAGAGCAUUUCAUCAAGACCCAACAGCCAUUUAUGCCACAACCUCGUCUGAGACAGCCAUCUGGGUUUAAUGAUAUUCAGUCGGUACAGCAGCACAUCACGUUCAAGCAGCUGCAAGAACUUCAGAGGCAGCAGCAACUUCAGCAGCUGAGUGGUACCAAGCAAAACUCCAUAGUGAAGUGAAGGCAUUAGAAGUUGAAAUAGAUUCUGUGGCAUAUACUAUUUAAUAGGCAAGGAAUGCCGAAAGAAAUGAAAAUCAUGUCUCAGAUGGUAAUGAUAACUGAGCACAAGUCACUUGAAGCGUAAUCAUAUUGCUCAGCCCGGAUCUACUGUUCCAAAAAGUGCUGGAUUAAAAGGCUCCUCAAGUAAAUUCAUAAGUGCCCAAAAUAAUGCAAAACUUCGUCCUGAUUAUGCAUCUUUUUCUGUUAAAUCUUCUGUUCUGCACGCUAGGAGAAAUGUGGUGUCAACUCCACAGGCUAACCCACCUUUGGAAAUAAAUUCAUCAGGCAAUUUGCAGCCUCAGUCAGUUACCAAAGUCAGUAGUAGUUUAAAGGUGAUUCCAGAUAUAAAACUUCCAGCUGUUCCAGCCAACAGAGAGCAUCCAUCAAUUGCAGGCUAUAGUGGAUCCAACAAAACUGCAGUUUCUCUCCCUCAAAAUGCUCGACACAUUGGUAGGAAUCUGCAAUAUGCUCAACCCCAGACAACAAAACCUUCAGGUUUGCGGAUGCCAUCACCAUCACUGGGAUUAUUUAGUCAGCCAAAAGCUUCUGCAUCACAGAGAAAUCAAAUAUGCAACCUUCUGAAGUCCAGUGUUCCUAACUAUCAGAAAUUUCAUGCCUCAAAUUCCAUUCGUGCACCAAGGCCCCUUCAUGAAUCAGGGAAAAUUUCCAGGGUGGUCAAUGACAUUCAAACUGGAAAUAUUACAGCCUUAACCUUGAGUGCAAGAUGCUCCAUUUCAUCCGCUGCUAAACCUGUUUUGCCAGAAACUGUGAAAUUGAAUGUUGAAGUAGAUAAUUUCAACAAGUCAGAACUGAAGUUCCCGUGUGUUCCUAAGAGCUCUGAAGUGGUAAAGAACAACAUUCUUGAUUGUGUCGACAAAAAAUAUCAUGAACAUGCAAAACCACAGAACUUUGAGAUCCCACACGAGGAGGAUUCCGAAUUGCAGAUUAAUGACCAUAAAUUGCUUUUACAAAGUGCAUCCUCCAAAAUGGAAAAUUCCCAUACUUCAUCCCAACAGAACCUUGCAGUACAAGUUAAAGGUGUUUGUGGAACAGAUGGUAUUACCGAGCACCAAUUUGUAGAAGAAAAGCAAGACAAUAUGUCAGUUACAAAUCAGCAUGACACUUCUGAAUCAGAGUCCAAAGAUACCAUUAAUUGUAGUAAACCUGGUACUUCAGUAGUGAGUGAUGGUCAGUUAGUCAAUAUGUUCGAUGCUAGAGAACAAUCUGGGGAACAAGUCAAUCUUGCAAAGUGUUGCACCCAUGAGCCUGAUCUAAUUUCUCUUGUAGAGAAUAAAAAAAGAAAGGGCUAAUGAUGACAUUUUAUUCAAGAAGAGUUUUUUUUUAAGAGUCACGGAAUUAUGUUAAUGGGAAUAUCGUGGAUCCAAAGGUCCAAGACUCUAGUACAAGCACAUUGGAAAGUUGUCAACAUCCAUCUCAAUACGCAAAGAAAUCAGGCAAAGAUGCUAUUGGGGAGGAUGAGAUAAUCAACAGAUCACGUGAACAAGAUGCAUUGAUCCGUGCUCAAAUGGGAAUCUAUUAGUUGAAAGCUGCAGAAAGAACCUGAGUACUUGUAGUCGAUAUUUGAUGAUUGCUGAUGAUGUACAUGAACAAUCUGGAGAACAAGAGCCUCAAAAUCCCAUAGUUGAGCUGUCCCAUGCAGAGGAUGCACCAGCAGUUUCUGUAGAGGUCAACCCAUCAUUCGAAAAUUACAAGUGUGUUAUUGAUACACCAUUAAUGCAUGAAGUUAAGCUCAAUGGUGAAGUCACUUCUAUGGAAUUUGGUUCAUCUUUGAGGGUAAGCAAUGAUCAAACUACAUUUGAAGUAACUACCCUCAAUUCUAUCAUCACCAAUUUUCAUCCAGAAAGUAGAGACUCAAGUGGGAGUGAAUUAGAAGAUCCUCGUUCUACAUCCCUAUUUAGCCCUGCAGUGCAUGUUGAAAGUGUUUGUGGGACAGAAAAGAUGGUUGAGUACCAACAUAUGGAGGAAACAGAAUAUAAAUCACCAGUUAAGAAUCAAGCUGUCAUUACAAAGGCACAAUGUGGAGAUACCAUUGAUGGUAGUAACCAAGUUGCUUCAGUGUUGCAGAAUAAUUGGUUGAGCUGCAUGCAUGUCGUCAAUGAACCUUCUGAAGAACAGGCCCAGCUGAUAAAGUGUUGCACCUCUGAAGCUGAUCAGAUUUCUAACAAUGAAAAUCAGAAGCUACAGACAGAAGAUAGCAUUUCAUCUGAGUCAUCUCAGAAAUAUGAUAGGUGUGUCACAGAUGUUGGUCCAAAAAUCUGUGGUUACAAUGGAAGUGAACUUGAAAGUUCUGAUGGUCCUUCUCAACUUAAAUACAUAGUUCAAGGGGAAGAAGAGGGUUCUAGAAUAGAUAGCACAACUAAGAAAUUAAAUGAGGGGGAUGCAGGAGGGCAUUCCAUAGAUAGUGAUCUAUUAGUUGAAAGGUGCAGAAGUAACAUCAGUUCAGCAGUGCAAAAUCUAUACGUUGUGGGUUCUGAUCUUACAAAUGAACAAUCUGGAGAGCAAGUAAAACUUCAAAUUCCCUGCCUUGUAGUCGAACAAAGUUCCCAAGAUAAACAUGGAUUACGUCCGAAUAAUUACUCAUUACUUUCGAAGGGCAUCUCUUCCAAUGAGUCUUGGGAAGAAAAUGUCUCUGAAAGUUCUGAUUAUGUUGUUCCAGAACAAAGUCAUUUGCAGGAAAGUGUAUCAGAGAUUCCCACUACUGUUGUUCAGCUACCACUUGGAAUACCUGAUGGCUUUGAUGUUGGCAAGAUGGCCAAAAAUUUAAAUGCAGGGGAAAUACUGCCAGAUUCUGGAGAUUUCAAGUUCUUACUUGAAGGCCAUGAAUAUCCUACUGAUACACAAUUCAGGCCUGGCAUAGAGCUCAACAGUCAGGCCACUUCUUUGGAAUCUGAUUCACCAGUGAAGACAAGAGCAUUAACAACAAUGAGUAACGAGGAGCUUAUAUGUUCAAGAAAAUGGCCCUGAGAAGUCAGAUAUGGAGAUUCCGGAAAUAAGGAGAAUUCAUAAGGAUGCAGCAAGCUAAAAAUAUUGAAAAGGCAGAAAAAGGCAACAGCAAGGGUAUGUAUUCUAGAGAAGCUGAUGAAUCAAGCCUUGAGAAUGAGAAAAUAGCACAGAAUGCAGGAAAUAUAGCAAUACAGAAAAGUAAGAAUUUUGAGCUUUAUGUUCAAUGUUUGACCAGCGUUGGGGAGAAUCCAUAUGAGCUUAUGAACCAAGUUAUCUUAUAAAUGGAAAUGUUUCUGAUCACUGAAUACUUUGGCAACGAAUUGGGUCUUUCUAUCCCGAACUCCACUCCAUCAGGCAACCUAAGUAACUCAGUCUCAAAAGCAGCCUAGACGCUAAUCCAGCUUAGCCGCCCUGCCUCACAUCGUACUCCUAUUGUUUCUUUUUUUUUAUUUUUUUUUUAUGAUCUUAUAUGUCUUAAAGCCGGAUUUCAAAACCUUUUUCUAUCAAAAAUGAAUUUGGUUUUCUCUAAGGUUCCUAAGAAGCAUUUAGGUACAAAAUCCAGAUUUUAACAUGCAAUUUGCUGCCACUUUAUUGCGGGUAUGCACUUUCACUGUUUUAUUUGAUUUUUAACUAUUUUUGUGUUUUUCUUGAUUUUCAACAAGCAUGAAUAAAACUUCAUAAUUCCAAAUCAUGGAAUCUAUGGAAUCAACUCAUGCGAAAUUAAUUAGGGUUUUGGUGGGGGCCCGACAUUCAUGAUAUUUCCUCAAAUAUUUUUUGUUUGAUAUUUGAUUAAUUGUGCUUUCUCUUUGAGAUACGUGAGAUUAUUAUGCACCUAUCAUUAAGCAAUCUUGUUUCCCAUAGAGGCAUUUUAGCUUGCUAUCCAGGUACGCUCCUUCACACCUAUUUUUGAGAAUUCUAUUGACACAUAUGUUACUGACGACUAUACCCAUACAUGAUGUGAUUUUUGGGUGUUUUGAUAUAUGCUUGAUUUGCUUAGAUAAAACAAAUGUUAUGUCAUAUUUCCAAACUAAUCUCUUAUGUUUCGUGAUAGCGCUUGAAAAGUCGUUCAGGUAUGCACUUCGAUUCCCUCUCAUGAUUUGUUUUCUUAUUAGGCAUGCAAUAUUUGAAAUCACCUAGUCUACUUAGGUAUCCAUGAUCAACCAUUUAAUUUCCACGCUUCCCUUAACUUAGUCAGUAGAGACCUUUUUAGGGCUCAGAGGGGUGCUACCUCCUAGAGGUACCUUCCCAAUAAGUAACCUGAUCCCCGGACUUAGACUCGGGUUUCUCAAAGACAUGCUUUUUCCAAAACUAUGGAGUCACUUUUUAGGGUUUUUCUUUCUUGUUUUAUUUUCCCUUCAAAAUAAAAAUAAAAUAGGUGGCGACUCCAACUUUUUUUUAAAAAUCAAUUUUUCACAAAUAAAAAGCGAGUCUCGCCGAUCGAGUGGGGACGCACGUGAAAAAUGCGGGUCCACACAUACUAUAGCUAAAUUAAAUAUUGUUAAAUCUUAUUGGUCCAUGGCAACAGCAAGGGUAUGCAUUCUAGCGGAACCGCUGAAUCAAGUCUUGGUGAUGAGAAAUAACACAAAAUGCAAGAAAUACAACAAUGCAGAAAAAUAGGAAUUUUGAGCUUUAUAUUCAGUGUUUGACAAAUGUUGGAGAGAAUCCAUUUGAGCUUAUAGGUCAAGUCACUUUAUAAAUGGAAACGGUUCUGGUCGUUAAAUACUUUGACAAUGAAUUGGGUUCUUCUAUCAUGAACUCCUAGGCCCCAUUCCUUCAUGGCUACCUUGCUACACACACCUUCUCCUCUAUUUGCUUAUUUGAUUGGGAAUUUACUAUUUUAAAUUGAAUUUUAGAACCAUUGUCCAACUAAACAUUCCCAGCUUUGAAAAAUCUAUCUUUAGAUCAUUUAUAGGCAUAAAAUCCAUAUUCUAACACACUCUUUGCUGCCAUUUUCCUUCUGGCACAAAUUUUCAUUAUUUUCUUUGACUUUCAACCAUUUUCUUGAUUUUCCUUAUUUCACGUAAACAUGAAUAAAUUUUAUGAUUCCAAACAAUGGAAUUCAUAGAACAAACUCAUGCGAAAUUAAUUAGGGCUUUGGUGCGGGCCUGGCAUUCAUGAUACUCUCUUCAAUAUUGUUUGCUUGAUAUGUUGAUUUUUUAUUCUUCUUGAUGAAAUACUUGAAUUCACUUUAUAUUUAUUGUUGAGAUAUCCUUGCUUCCCAUAGACGUGCGGAUGCUCGCUAAUCAGGUACACUUUUCCCAUCCUACAACUCUGAAAUUCUAUGAAUAUGUAUGUUAUCAUGAGUCAUGACCAUGUUUGAUGUCAUACUUGAUUGUCUUGAUGCUUGUUUGAUCAUCUUUGAUAAAAUACAUAUAAUGUGUCAUAUUUCCAAACUAAUCUCUUAUGUUUUAUGAUAGCGCUUGAGAAGCCAUUCGGGUACGCAUCCUAACCUUCCUUUAUUAUGAUUUGAUCUUGUUUGGCAUGCUAUUUUUUGGAACCACCUAGCCUACUUAGGUAUUCAUAAUUAACCGAUUAAUUGUCACAUUCCCCUUAACUUAGUUAGUAGAAACCUUUAUAGGGCUUAGAGGGGUGCUAUCUUUUAAAGGUAUCUUCCCAAUAGAUAACCUGAUCCCCGGACUUAGACUCGGGUUUUUCAAAGACACGCUUUUCCAAAAAAUUAUGGAGUCAUUUUUUUAGGGUUUUAUUUCUUGUUUUAUUUUCCCUUUAAAAUAAAAAUAAAAUAAGUGGCGACUCCAACUUUUUUUUCAAAAAUCAAUUUUUCACAAAUAAAAAGCGAGUCUCGCCGAUCAAGUGGGAACGCACGUGAAAAAUGUGGGUCCACAAAUUAGUGCCCAAUUCACUAGUAGAGACCGAGUUCUGAGCUUAGAGGGGUGCUACCUCGCAUGAGGUACCUUCUCGAUAGGUAACCUGAUUCCCAGACCCAAACUCAUGUUUCGCAGACCGUUUUUUUUCCUAAUUUGAGUCAUUUAGAGGUUUUUGGUUCUUACUUAAUUUUCCCUAUUAUAAAAACAAAACUAAAAAGUAAGUGACGACUCCAAAUAACACCGUUCCUCACCAGGGGUGGAUUUUUCAAAACUAGAAAACACAACUUUUCUUUUUUUCUUUUAAAAGUGAGUCGCGUCGGCUUGGGUGGAUCAGGUUAGGGUCCAUAGGGAGGUUCCGCUCUUCCAGGAUAUGUGGCCUCCUGGUUAUGCUGAGAGUUUGUUCCUUGGCCUCUCGGUUGCUGGUCACGAGGAGGUCCUGAGGAUGAAACUUGGAUUCUUAACACCUCGCUCUCUUCCUUAAGUUUCUUCGUUUCUUAGAGUAGGGCUUGUACCUGCUACUCGCUUUCUUGCUGUCGUCUUUCCAUGCUUUUACGCCAGUCAAAAUAACCUCCGUCACCCAUAGGUGAUGAACGACUCCUUGAGGGUGUGGACAUCUUCGUAAACGAACUUCCCACAAACGGCGCCAAUGUUGAUGUUGUGACCCCUUGGGAUUAUUGUGUCUCCCUGACGCUGACGCUUGAUCAACUGAGAGUGAUGUUUCCUUCCUCUCUCUUACAAAACAUGUCCGGACAGGUUGUCCGGACACACCCUCCAAAGCUCUAGUUAGAUUAAUAGUUCUAUAUGUUUUCUCCUUUUAGGAGUGAUUACGAAGUCUGUCUUACCUCAUUUCGUUGGGUUCCUCAAAUGAUUUUCUAGUAUUUGGGGUUUUUUGUUGUCACAUCCAAGCUAGUGGGGUCCUUUACUUCCACAACCAUCAUGGCUGCUCAUGGGGUGGCAGCGCGAUCAUUACUCUUUAGGUAGUGGAUAGAGAUUGCUAGUGGGGCGAUCAGGCGACGCAUCUGUCACUUCAUUCUGCAGGCGGUAGAGUGCAGAAUGUGGCAGGUGGCUUGAAAAGACUUGAAAAUGUCCUAGCUAGCACGCCUUUAAUAGAAGACAAAUGAUGAACUAUGGAGUAUGGUCAGAGACAUUGCUUGGAGCAUGUCCUGCAGUCUCGCAAGAGCAUGGGCACCUAGCCAUUGACUGCUGGAUCCGGAUAGGAUGGAUCCGGAGUAUAUGUUCCUUGCUAAUGGAGUAUGUCCGGAUAAAGGCAAAGGGUUGCCACGUGUCUACAGAAGGUUUGCCUGUGAGGUUAAGGCAGGUCACCACGUGUUAGCUCAAGAGGAAGGUCCUACAAGUCCCACGAAACAUACUUUGAUUUGGUCAAGGUAGUUAAAUUCAACAUGAGAAAUCUUGUCUAGUUAUGUAAUUCCCACUCCCAUGGACUAGGCUAAAUAUGAUAUUAUGUGGCUACUUUUGCUUCUAGGAUAAGCAAGUUAUAUGGAUAUUUGGUGCAAUCGUUAUGGACUCGGAACAUCUCCAAUAAGAAGUUUUCAAAGUUACAACUUUACAUGGUUAAUCUAAAUUUAUAAAUCAUGAAGUAGUUGAAAUAUUUAGAGUUUUAGAAUCGUUUUGGGAAAAAAAAAGAAAAAAAAGAAAAUGAUUACCCUUUAAUCUUCGACAAUAAUUAGACUUUCUUUUUUAUGUCAAAUAUAUUGGAAUAAAUAUGAAUUCCAAUUAGAUUUGAAUGAAGAUGAAUGUUAUUAAAUAUUUCGCAUAUUUGUUUUUUUUUUUUUUUUUUGAAUUUGAUUUAUGCCAAAAUAAAGCUUAGCAUUAUUAGGUGUUUAGACAAUUUAUUUUUGUAUUAAUGUGCAAAUACUAUUAAAUGUUGAGUUGAAUAUUUUUAUUAAUGUUUGCAUAUUGUUAAGUGUUAAUUAAUUCUAUUUAUUUUUUAUACGUUAAAAAUAUUUAUAGCAAUAAUUAUUAUGUUUCAUUUUAUUUUACAUAAUUAUGAUAAAAUAUUUAAAAAUUAACUAAGAAAUUGGUCAUUGAAUAAUAAUUAAGAUUUUGAAUAUUAUAAAAUAAAUUAAAAAUCAGUAAUUGAAUAAUAAUUAGGAUUUUUUUAAUUGUGUUUGAUUGCUAAGAAAAUAUUAAAAAAAUUUUAGGUUAAGUUUCAUUAAUAACUAAUUAAUUUAUAUGUGGUGUCCCUCGAAUUAAUGAAUUUGUGAUUGAAAGAUGAGUUCUUCACUUGGUAACACCGAUAUUAAGAAUAAUGAUUAUACAUUUAACUUGGAUGUGAAGUGGUUGAAUCAACCACCAUGGUCCUACUCACCAGUAAUAAAUUGGUUAAGUCUAACUAUGUGGAUUAGAAAAUAAAUCUAGACAUAGUCCUCACAUAAGAAGAGUUAAAAUGGUUAACUUAAGAAUUUGCUCCAAAUACCCCUAAUGAACAAUCCUCACCGGAAUAGAAGGAUGCUUAUCAUAGUUGACAUAAUUAAGGUGGAUCAAAAGGCUAAAUGUAUCACAAUUGAGUGUUUAGAUAACAUGUUGGAACAACAAUAUGUGUCUCAUGCCACAACUUAUGAUGAUAUCUCUUCAUUUUACAAGAGAUCUUUGAUGAUGACAAGGGUAAGUUAACUAGAUAAGUUGCUUUAAGGACUAUCAUGAACACGAUGACAAAAGAAACUCUCUUUAAAUAUCAUAUGGUAUAUAUAAUCAAACUCUUUAAUGAGAUAAAGAUCCUUGGAGCUAGAAUUGAUAGGAAAACAAAAGUUGAUUUGAUCUUAGAGACCUUGUGAGAUUCCUUUAAGAAAUUUGAGCUCAACUAUUCUAUUCAUGAGUGAUGUGAAACUUGCCAAAGCUUAUGAGGGAUCAAAUUUGUGAAAGUUAGUUUUAAAGACAUAAAUUAAAUUUAUAUUUUUUGUAUAAAAUAUUCUACUCUAUAUAAGAAGUUUUUGUUUUAAAUAAUUGAUUAAAAUAGAUGAAAUACUCCUUAUAUUUGUGAAUUUAUCUCAUAUUUUUGUUUGAAAGUUAACAUAUUUUUUAUAUAAAUAUGUGGUCUUGACUAUUUCAAGUAUUUACAAUAUAUUUUAAAAGAAAUAAUUAUUUUUACAAAAAAAAAAAAAAAAAAAAAAAAAAACAAUAAGUAUAUUUUUGUCAAAGUGAGGUCAAAAAAUAAUGAAGAGUUAGAUUUUCAAAAUUGGGUUUCCAAUGACCCUUUUAAUCAAAUAACCCUUUUUAUUUUUAAAAAUAAAAAUAGAAAAUAUAUCCGAAUAAACAAUCAAUUUUUUCAUCUUUGUUCCACCAACUAUAUUAUGUUCUCUCGCCUUUGUUACAUCAUAAAUGUUGCCAUUUGACCUACACUCAAAAUUGGUUCUCACAUGUGUUUAUUUUAAAGAGCAUCCUCACUCUUAUUUGUUAUUUAUGAUUUAAUUCAAAUUUUAAACUUUGUUAAAUAAGUUUGGUCCACUAAGUAGAAUAUAUCGAGAGAUUCAUUAAAAAUGUGACUUGCUCUAUACUUAUUGUAGUGUUAUUAUUUUGAUUUAGAUGCUAUAUAUUUAUAAUUAUUUUUUAUGAUUCCAUUUAUUUUAUUUUUUUAAAUAUAAAUGAUAAAAACAAAUUGGAGUCGGAAAAUGGGAGCGACUUUCUUCCAUCUCAAGGAGCAUAGAAGUUCCACGCAUCCACGGUGUACUCAAGAAGUAUUCCUUUCUAUUCACCAGACCAGGUGGAUCCUCUUUCCCUACGUUGUACAGUCGUAGUGUGGUCUUUCUUGGAUGCUGCUGAUUCCUACUUUUCAAAUUCUAAAUACCAAAAAUGAUAUCUUUAUUCUCCCAAACAUUAGGAAUCCCAAAGCCUCCCAUAAAACUUCAGAAUGAGAAACAACCUUGCCCAACUCCCUUUAUAUCGCUUCGGCUGUCUAUCUUUAUGGAUUUUCUUCACGGAGAUGGCCAUGUCACGGAACACAACAAUACCGGUUAAAGUGGGAGUGGUUCUUGACAUGGAUACAUGGCUGGGGAAGAUGGGCUUGAGCUGCAUCUCCAUGGCCCUCUCAGACUUCUAUGCCUCUCAUGGGCACUACAAGACUAGGCUGGUUCUGGAAAUCAGAGAUUCCAAAAGAGAUGUUGUGGGUGCAGCUGCAGCAGGUACUCUCGUGUCAUAAAACUUAGAAUACAUUUAGAAAACAAUUGCAUUAUAGAGACAUUUGAAGCAAAACUUGUCUUUGAUUAACUUAAUUCACUGUAAUUUCAUCAUUUUCUUUUACAACCUCACCUCAACAUUAGUUUUGUAUCUUCAAUAUUUAACAGCACCUUCACAAUGAAAAAGAGGAGAAGAAAUCAACAACAUUUUUUGCUUAACAUCUCUAAAAACAAUUAGAUAUUUGCAAAUAUAUGUGCAGACACAGGUGGGAGAUGUUGGGUUUUUUAUCAGUUCAGAGAUUCCAAAAAUAAGAUCUAUAAAAUACUAGUUGUACUAUUACUUUUAUUGCCCUUUUAGAUGAGCGAUUGAUUAUUAACAGAACUUUUAGAAACUUUUAUCAUAUUUUGAUUAGAAAAAUUGAUAAGUGGUGUAAAUGUUCGGCAUUUGAUUAAGGGAUCAAGAUUGGAUAAAAGAAAAUUAUAGUGAAGACAUUAAUUAAGACAAGUUGUUGAGAAAAAAGAGUCAUGAAGUUGAACCAUGCAAGAUUAGCAUGCCCAUCAAAGAUAGCAAAAAGUCUCGUUAAAUUGUAGCACGUGUUUUUAACUAAACAACGUUUCUUGACUAGGAAGACGUUUCUUUGUUAUCCACACGAUGGUUCAAAGAUGAAAAAAGUCUUCAUAAAUUUGAUUUCCUCCAUGUUUUAAAAGUCAACUCUAAUAUUGUGGUCAUGUUCCAAGAGAAUAUACCAUUUUAAAGAAGCAUGGGAAGUUACCAAAACCGAUGCCUAUGAUCUAUGGUAUUAAGAAAUAAUGUGAUGCAGAAGUAUAUAAAAAAAUAAGGUCUCCAUGAAAGGCUCUACUGUAUAUGAUCGAACUCUAUGUUAUGUUUAUAAUAAGAAGAUUGAUAAUUUGUUAAUGAAUUCUACUAUUUAUGGGACCAAGUGGAUGCAUUUUCCUUUUCUGCACCUUGUUUGAUUACUGAUAAUGUAGUAGAAAUUGAAUGAAACUUCAGACUCAUUAUAUUCUAAUUAUUGUGAAAUUCAACUCUAGAUUUAUUACGAAAUGAGGAAGUUCAAGCCAUCAUAGGACUAGCAUCCUCCAUGCAGGCCAACUUUGUGAUUGAUUUGGGACACAAAGCUCAUGUGCCCAUUAUUUCAUUUUCUGCAACAAGCCCUUCUCUUUCAUCGCUCCAGAGUCAAUAUUUUGUCCGGGCUAUCCUCAAAUAUGACUCAGUUCAAGUACCAACUAUAAGGGCAAUUGUCCAAGCCUUUGGGUGGAGACAAGUUGUGCUCAUUUACUUGGACAACGAGUACGGAAAUGGAGUUAUACCAUAUCUUACUGAUGCCUUGCAAGAGAUUGACACCCGGCUACAGGAGCGUCAUUCAUCCAUCAGCCAUUGAUGAUCAAAUCCACGAAGAGCUUUACAAGUUGAUGACAAUGCCAACAAGAGUUUUCAUUGUACACAUGUUUACACCUCUAAGCCCACGACUUUUCACUAGAGCGAAUGAGAUUGGAAUGAUGGAAGAAGGUUAUGUUUGGAUACUAAAGGAUGGAUUAACUGAUAUCUUGAGUACUUUGGAUGACUCAGUCAUUGAUUCGAUGCAAGGAGUGUUAAGUGUAAAGCCUCAUGUUCCAAGAUCGAAACAGCUUGAAAGUUUUAAAAUCAGAUGGAAAAGGAAAAUCCAACAAGAAUAUCCAACCAAUGAAAUCUCUGAGUUGAACAUUUUUGAACACGAGAUCCUAGCACUAACAUGACGGAGGUCACUGGAUUUUCCAUAUCAGUCUUCGAUGAAGUGAUGGCAGCAUUAACAUAUCCUGUUCCUUAUGAGUACAUUCCCUUCAAGAUGCCUGAUGGCAAUCUAGCCGGUGAUUACAACAAUUUGAUUUAUCAAGUAUAUCUCCAGGUUAGUUGAACUUUUUAUCUUUCCUAGCACAUAGAGGUAACUCUAGGUUUUGCUUCAAUUAUGAUGAAUUUUAUUUAAAUAAAACCCAAAACUGCAGCAAAUUUUCCUGUAAUGCAUAACAGAAUGGCCCUAUUGUUUAUUGUGAACAGAAGUAUGAUGCUGUGGUGGGAGAUACUUCUAUCCUAGCGAACAGGUCGUUGUAUGUAAACUUUACACUACCUUAUUGUUAGGGUGAAUUCACAAUAUUCCAACAAACACCAGGAUUUUUCUAUCCUUUCUUUGUGCAAAAUUACAUAGAUAAUAGCAACUAGCAGCAAUAAAUAAAUAAACCCAUGCCACGGAAAAAUAAAUCAAAUGCCCUAAUUUUUACGUGGAAAACCUCCUAAUGCGAAGAGAAAAACCACAGGACCUAGUCCAAUUCAAACUUCCACUAUCAACAAUAAUGGGUUACACUUGUCUUCUUUAGAAUAAUCUAUAGAGGCUACCAAAAUACAUCAAGAGCACAUAUAGCCUUAGAUUAUAUAAUCUCUAUUGGCAAAAAAAAUUAAGGAUAAUUGGAGAAAGAAUACCUAAAAACACGUUGUUACUGUUCAUAGGCAGUAACACCAGUUCUCGAGCUCAAAAUCUAAUCUCCACCGUUCAAAUUGUAGCUACUCGAGUUUUGAAUCUUUCCUCCAAAUUUCAACUCGAUUGGACCAUAAAUAAAGUGGGAUUGACUCUUUGAUGAAAUCUGGGUAAUGAGAUGUGUUUUGCCUUUCUCUCUUCUCUUCUCUCUAUUUUUCCUUUCCCAAUUACUUUCUAUUUUUGUUUAUUUAUUUAUUUAUUUUAUUGUAACUUACUUGGGCCCCAAGCAUAUGGGGCCUACUCCCUCACAUACGAGGGAGCCCAACAAAUCUCCCCCUCCCGACUAUGUGAGGGGCUUUACCAAGCCCGCUUGCUUUCUAUAGAAUUGUAGCUUCUCUGUAGGUAUUGGUUUUGUCAUCAUAUUUGAUCCAUUCUCAUCAAUAUAGAUUUUCUCAAGGCAAAACAAUUUGAUCUCUAGUGCAUCAUGAAUCCAAUGAUAUCUCACAUCAAUAUGCUUGGAUCUAGAGUGAAAAGUUGGAUUCUUACUAAGAUGAAUAGCACUCUAACUAUCACAGUAGAGUAGAUACCUUUCUUGCUAUAAACCCAAUUUUUGUAGGAACUUUUUUCAUCCACAGUAACUCCUUGCUAGCUUCAGUGAUAGCAAUAUACUUAGCCUCUUUGGUCGACAAAGCAACACAUUUUUGCAACCUUGAUUGCCAUGACACUGCUCCCCUGAAAAAGUAAUCAAAUAACCAGAAGUAGACUUUCUGGAAUCAACAUCCCCAGCCAUAUAUGCAUCCGUGCAUCCUACAUAUACAAUUUUGUUAGUCCCAAAACAUAAACAUGUCUUAGAAGUACCCCUCAUAUACCUAAGAAUCCAUUUCACUGCGACCAUGUGUUAUUUGGCAGGAUUAGAAAGGAACCUACUGACAACUCCAAUAGCAUGAGCAAUAUCAGGCCUCAUGCAUACCAUGGCAUACAUCAAGCUAUCCAUGACUAAUGCAUAGGGCACCUUUCGCAUUUCUUUUUUUUCUUUCUCAGUUGAAGGACUUUGUUUGGAACUUAGCUUUAGAUGACUUCCAAGUGGAGAACUCACUGGUUUGGCCUUGCCCAUGUUGAAAUUUCUAAAACCUUUUCAAUAUAGCUUUCUGAAGAUAGCCACAAUUUUUCAUUUGUCCUAUCUUAAGUACACCUGUCUUUUCUAGAAUAAUCUCUAGAGGCUACCAAAAUACAUCAAGAGCACAUAUAGCCUUGGAUUAUAUAAUCUCUCUUGGCAAAAAAAAAACAAGGAAAAUUGGAGAAAGAAUACCCAAAAACACGUUGUCACUGUUCACAGGCAGUAACACCAGUUCCCAAGCUCAAAAUCUGGUCUUCACUAUUAAAUUGUAACUACUCAAGUUUCGAACCUCUCCUCCAAAUUUCAACUCGAUCGGACCAUAGAUGAAGUGGGAUCAACUCCUUGAUGAAAUUUGGGCAAUGAGAUGUGUUUUCCUUUCUCUCUUCUCUUCUCUCUAUUUUUCCUUUCGUCCUUGUAUGUAGACUUUACACUACCUUACAUAGAAUCCGGGUUGUUAAUGAUCAUGCCCAUUAUAGAUAGAAGAAGAAAAAAUGCUUAGGUUUUCUUGAAGCCACUUACUUGUGACCUUUGGGUGACAAGCUUUUGUUUCUUUAUAUUCAUUGGCUUUAUGAUUUGGAUUCUUGAACAUUGAGUAAAUAAGGAUUUUAGGGGGCCUCGUUCACAUCAAGUUGGCACUAUCUUCUGGUUUUCGUUCUCAACAUUGGUGUUUCCUCAGAGUAAUUUUUCUUCCACCUCCUUGAAUUUUAUCUAGCAAUUUAUCUACUCAUGUAAUAUUCAAAUAUCAAGCAUAUCAAGCACAUCUCAAACACAAUAGAAACUAAUUUCUAGUAUGGUCUGCUUGCUUGUUUCCCAUGAUUGCAACCUCUAUUAAUAUAUGGACAUUCCAUACAAUAUGCAAGUAAUUUCAGGAUAAUUUUAAUGUUUCAUAAAUUAUUUGUAUUUGACUUUAUAUUGAUUUUUUGGAGUUGAUUUUCUCUCAUUCUUAAAUUAUGUCAACAAAUGGGAGAAUUGUGAGUAACUUGGCUCGGUUCAUGGCGAUAAUAUGGUUUUUUGUGGUGCUGAUUCUUACUAAAAGUUACACAACCAGCUUGACUUCAAUGUUAAUAGUUCAACAGCUCAACCCAACUAUCAUCGAUAUAAAAAAAGCUGAUAAAGAAAUGGAAGCAUGUUGGUUACCAAAAGGGCUCUUUUGUUCGUGGAUUCUUGAUAGAAUGGAUGAAAUUUAAUGAGUCCAAGCUUGUGAUCUAUGCAUCUUCAGAAGAACUGGAUGAAUUAUUUUCAAACAAAAGUUUAAAAGGUGGAAUUGUUGCCGCAUUUGAUGAAAUCCCUUAUAUAAAAAUUUUCCUUGCAAAAUAUUAUUCCAAAUAUAUUGCAGUUGGACCAAUGUACAAGUUUGAUGGGUUUGGAUUUGUAACUACUCUCUCAUAACACACGUACUUGUAUAAAUUGUAUACCUAGGUUUCUUAUUUUUGAUCAUUUUUCAAGUGUUUCCAAAUGGUUCACCCCUUGUAGCUGAUGUUUCAAGGGAAGUCUUAAACAUGACAGAGGGAACUAAAAUGCUACAACUUGAGAAGACAAGGUUUGGGAAAACACCCAAUUGUCCAGAGCUCAUCAACUUAGUUUCUUCAAACAACAUCGACCUUAAUAGCUUAUAGGGCCUAUUCCUCAUUGUUGGAGUCGUUUCAUUCGUAGCUCUCAUUACAUGCAUCACCACAUUCCUUUAUGAAAAUAAAGACGCUUUAAUAAACUUGAAUCCCUCAUCUUCCAUAUGGAGAAAAAUUAAAGCCAUGGCAACACGCUUUGAUGAUAAAGAUCUCAGGUCCCAUACCUUUAUAAAAAAUGAUAAACUUCCAGACAAAGGGCAUCAAGGCCAUGGAUGUAGUUACAACCUCGCCAGCUACACCAACUUCCCUUCAAGUCCACCAAGCCUUUUGAUCCCAACACACAACAAUUUUGCUUUCUUCGGAGAACAAGGAACACCUUUGUCUAGACAUUGUGAUCCAGUCAAUCCAAAUCGACUAUUGUCUCCACACAUAUUAUUUGAAUAUGAACUUGAUAAUAUAAAUCAUGAGCAAACAAUACCGCUUAAAAUUGAAUAACUGAUCAAUUCGUUUUUCCUGUUUACUUUAUGUUGAUAGCUUCUAUAAUGACCGGGUAUUUUAUGUCAUAUUAGAAUUUCUAAUUUGAGAAGUCUUCUAUUGAAUGGUGGUUGAAAAGUAUAAUAAUAAUAAUAAUUGGAGAACACGUGUCAAUUUUGGAUUGGAAGAAUUUGAAAUAUUUUAUCAGUUAAUUAAGCGAGUUGAAUUUUCAUGCCAUGUCAACUUUAUGGUAGAAAAUUUCUUAGAAUUGUAGAAAUUGAAAAUUUCUGAAAACAAAAAGCGAAAACGAAAAAUGAAAAAUGAAAUAAUUAAAAUUAACUAGAACUAAUUAAGAAAAAAAUUAAAUUAAAUUGCUUAAUAAUAAAUUUAAGAAAAUUAAAAUUUUUGGGAUGGUGUUUAAUAAUUUAUUUUGUGUGUUGUUUUAAAAAAAUGAAAAUGAAAUGGAAUGAAAAAUUAAUUAAGAAAAAAAGUAAAAUGAAUUGAAAAAGAAAAACAAAAGAAAUCAAAUAGUAUUAAGGCUUUUUGAAUGGUGUUGGGUUGUGGGCCACUUAGUGGUUGUGGGGUCAAAAUGCAAAAUGAAUAAGAAAUGAAAAAGGAAAAGGAGAAUAAAAAGAGAAGUGGAGUGGUAGAGGCUCUCAGAUGCAGGGGAGAACAACAACGCCAUCUACUUUUGGCUGACCGUUUUGACCACCAAACGAGCUUAUUUUCGUGUGAAAUUUUGAGGGAAAGUUCUACUCGAUGCAAGAAACAUUUCUACCAUGGUUGAUUUCGUUUUCAAAACUUAGAUUGUUAGAUCUAUGGUAGGAAAUCUUAAUCCUAAAACUUUAAUUUAAUGCACUUUUCUUUUAAAAAAAAAUUAUAAAUCUCAUUAUUGGAAGGUAAAUAAGUAAUAUUUAUGAUUGUGAGAAAGUUUGUUGGGUGAUUUAGGAAUUUUCCUCGGGAUUUUUGUGUGAUAAUGGAAGUGUCUAAUUAUAGAAAAUAACUAUAUUUGAUUAUUGGAAUUAUUGGUGUUGUGGAAAAAUUAUGAAAUUUUGGUAUAGAUUAUGUUUAAUUUUGGUUUGAAUUAUUGGAAAUUAUUUGGUUGUUCUUGGUAAUUUUAUUGUGGAGAAAAUAAUUAUAUUUGAUUAUUGGAAUUAUUGGGGUUAUUGGAAAAUUUUGGAAUUUUGGUAUAAUUGUAAUUUCAAUGAGAUUUGGACUAGUUGGAAUUUUGUUUGAUAUUUGUGAAUGAGGAUAAUUAACCUCAUUGCAUUUCAUUUUCAUCAUGGUUGUGUGAAUGAAAAAUAAAAACUGUGAAAAGUGCAUGAAAUUGAAAAUGAAAGAAAAUAAAAUAGUAAUGAAAAAUAAAGGCCCGUGUGAGGAGAAUUAAGAAGGGAAUAAGAUCCCUAGGGUGAAAAACCCAAAAAUCUACCCCGGGAAGACUCCGAAUUAGGAGUGUAUUUGGAUACGGACGCAUAUCCUUCAAUGAAAGCCCGAAAAUGACAGUGCAUUAUAUGACUAUGUGUCACAUAUACACAUGCAUUUUUAUUUAAGUGUUGAAAAUUGUUGAAUUGUUAUCAUUAUAGAAAUUAAAAUAUGUGGGUUGAUCAAUGAUGAUGGAAUGUUUCUUUUGUGUUCACUUGAAACUUAGUAAUCUCAAUUAACCUCUUGGGUGUAAGGCAUCCUACUAAUCAAUGUGGAAUGCUCACCCCUUCUUAUAUUUUUUUUGAUGCAAAUGUAACUCAUAAGGAUCCACAGAUGGGGCAGGAAGGGCUUUAGGAUGCCUCAGGAGAUUUUGGAGCAGCCUAAUGGAUUGUAGUGUAUUUGUUAUGUUGGUUUAUUUUGGAACUUGUAUUAGCAAACUUUGAAGCUAUAUAUUUGUAAUGAGACUUUAUUCUGAUUAAUUUGCUCAAUUAUGAACUCUUAUUUCUAGACUUUAAUGAUAAUUAUUAUAUCUUGUUGCUCUUGAGUAGUGGUUGGUAUAUUGAUAAAUUGGAUUGUUAGUUGGAGAGAGCUCUAGUGUGAUUUAUGUGUAAAAAAAAAUUUCAGAGAGUUUUGGUUAAUUGCCAACAUAAAUUAAGAGAAACCCUUAGGGUCAAACCUUUGACCUAGGGUCAUGGACCAAAUUCUGGGUCGCUCAGAAUUUUGGGUCAUGACAACACCAUUACCCACAACCAUGGAUUUCAAAAUAAAAAAACGUAUUUGUACUAUAGCUAUAGGCAUUUCAGUUAACACAAUGAUGUACAUUCAAUUUAGGACAGUAUAAAUAUAAGAAGAUCAAGGAAGAAUGGUUGAGCAAAGAUGAUGAGUAUUCAUGUUGAGGCAAGGGAAGAUAAGUUGCUUCAUAGAUAAUCAUUUGGUCAAGUAUGUGAUGUAGGAUUCCAAGAAAGAUUUGUUACCUUUUAGGCAUGAAAUUCUUCUUUCUCAGGAUUAGUAUCCUAAGACAUCUAAGAAGAAAGAGCACAUGUAAGCAGUACCUAAUACCUCCAUAGUGGGUAGCCUUAUGCAUGCAAUGCUAUAUACUGGGUUGGAUAUUUGCUUUGUAGUGGGUAUGUAAGUAGAUAUCAGUCUAAUCUAGGUCCAAAACAGUGAACAAUUGUCAAUCAUAUACUUAAGUAUCUUAGGAGAACGGGAGAUUAUAUGCUUAUAUUCCAAAGUGACGAGUUAGUACCCAAAGGAUAUACAAAUUCAAACUUUCAGUUUGAUAAGGAUUCUCAUCGGUCUACAUCCAGUUUUGUUUUUACUUUUGGUAGUGCAAUUGUUAGUUGGAAGAGUGUGAAACAAUCUUGCAUUAUUGACUCCACUAUAGAAGUUGAGUACGUUGCAACUUCUAAAACAACAAAGGAAGUCGUUUAGCUUAGGAAGUUCCUUAUGGAACUAGGGGGUCAUUCCCUUGGUUAUAUAACUCAUGAUACUUUUUUAUGACAAUAGUGGGGCUAUAACACAGUCUAAAGAACUAAGAAACCACUAGAAAACACAUAAAGAGGAAGUACGAGUUGAUUCAUGAGAUAGUUCAAAAGGGUGAUAUAUUGGUUGAGAAGAUACCUUCUAUAAAUUAAUUACUUGGUAGAUCCCUUCACCUUGCAAUUCGACAAGACACAAGUUUGUGCAUAGUAUCUUGCUAGAAAGUUGGAAACUUUGGAGAAAAACAACCUCCAAAAGUGUAAAGAACAACUCUUGGAUUCUAGGAAUCUAUGGGAAUGCUUGAGCGAUUGGAUUAGUGAUUGAGCAUCUUGACCAAUUGAGCAAUACUGGACUUAAGCAUUGGAAACUGCAUCCAAUAGCUCAACUAGUAGAAUGGUGCAUCCAACACCCUUGGAAAAAUUUUGGUGCUCGAGCGUUCAUGACGAUUGAUGUUGUAAGGAACCCCAUAGCUCUCCAUUCCCUAUCCAAGAUUAAGUUAUGUACAUGAAAAUUUUUGGUGCAUGAAAAUCUUCCUAAGGCUUUCUAAAUCCUAUUCACAACGGAAAAAUAACAUUUUUUAAAAACUAAAUAGGAUUUAGAAUGUGCAACAGAAAACGAUAACUUAGAUUUGGAUAUUUCCAAAUUUGUCAAAAAUAAACUUGAAUCCAAAGGUUUCUAAAUAUUAAAAUUUAAUUUAGAUUUUAAAAUUUUAAUUAAAAUAUUUUUUUUUUAAGUGAUUGAUUUAAUUUUUAUAUUUAAAUAGCUAAAUGUAAAAUGUUUCUACAUUUUUGCUAUCAAAAACUUUAUUUUGUUAGGUGUGGCUAUAUGGGAAAAAUUAGUCACCAAAUUUAGAUUUGUCUUAGAUAAAUAUAAUGCAGAAAAUGCUACUUAUAUUUACUUGUUCCAUAAUUUAUUUUUUUCCAUACUGUUAUUCCAUAGUUUAUUUUUUUUCCCAUAUUGUUACGGAACAAAUUAGUGAAUGCCAUUAACUUUUUUGUAUUAAUAAUGUAAGUUAUUAAAUUGCAAAAUAUUAUAAAAACAUACUUGCCCCAAGAAAUAUAAUGAUUAAAUUUUAUUUUUUUCAAUAAUAUAAACUUUGGGCCCAAAAAUUUUAAAUAACCAGUUUACUAGAAAUAUAUAUAUAUAUAUAUAUAUAUCCUACUUAAAAGUGAUUUUGAUUUAAAAAAAAAUAUAUAUUUACUACAAAUGUAUGUGACUGUUAAAUGCCAUCUAUUUGCUAUGAACAACAAUUCAUCACUGAAAAAUUGUUUUCCUAUGAAAUAAAAUGUUAUUGCAAAAAGCCAUUUCCUCCUAUAAAAAUAUCUUCUUGGCUUAAAGCGUUACGGAAAAUGGAGAAAAUUGUUUUAAUGAAUUAUCGAAAAGCUUGCCGGAUCAGUUUGAUCCAAGAUCGGAUUGAAAAGGAUGAUCGAUUUUUUUUACAGGACAUAGGUGACUACCUUAAAUUCCGUCAAAUUCACGAAUUUAUUGCUGCCUAACACAACAGGUCAACUUCCUGUGUCUUAUCUGUAUAUUUAACAUGAUAAAUAUACCUUAUCAUGUUAAAACAAACACACACCUUAAAUUGUUAUUAUCAUUAUUCUUCCGUAUAUUAAUAAUACUCUUAAGAGUCUAACUCUUAUUUGAAGUUGAAUCAUGGUGUUGAUUGCAUCCCUGAAAAUGUUGAAGAGUUCACCAUGGACUAUGAGGUACUGUAUCGUGGAUGUGAAGAUGAUGUGGGUGUUGAUUAUUGCAAGACCUUUGGGAGAAGCAUCUAGCCCAGGUAAAUCUCUGUACUUAUUCUUUUAGAAUUAAUAAAUUUAUUCUAUGAUCAAUUAAAUGCAAGAAUUUUACAUUCAUAGAGUUUCUAGUAUAUUCUAUAUGCGGUUUUCCAUGUACAUCACAUGGGCAUGUAUGAUUGAAUUUUAUUUUGAUAUUUGAUUAUCGCAUAUUCAUUACAAAAAUUUAUAAAUAGGAAAAGAAAAAUAAAAAUUUUGGGUUUAAAUCUUAAGACUUCUUAUUUACCACUCUAUAAGUAGUUUCAAGAUUCAAGAUAUAUAAGAAGUUUCAAAUUACAUUGAUUAAUCCAUUGAUUAAAAGUAAACUUCCAUACAACUUUCAAAUGGUAGAAUUCACUUGAUAUGGACUAAGGAGGUCAUUGUCUACAAACGCAAGUAGCACUGGUCACUGUUCAUAUGCUCUCUCUUUUAAUACUUUUUUCUUUUGAAAGAGAAAUACUUCUAAUUAUUGCUAUUAUUUUAACUUCAAUUUGGUAUUUGAGUGAUACAAGCAGCUAGCUUUUUAGGUACUAGAGGUAACAAUUCCAUCUCAGCAAUUACAAUUGAUUAAUGAAAUUCAUGUAAAAAAAAGCAUUCAAAGAAACUUAUCAAGCAUUCUUUACUAGAAAAUGUUCAACACAAAAAGGCCCUUUUCCCCCUCAUUUUUCUUAAUUUUGCUAUGUUUCUCAUUUUAUAGAUUUUGUCUUAAACCUAUAUUUUUACUUUUCUAUCUAUAUAUACACAAUACUCAAAAUAAAAAAUUAAUAUGGGAAUUUGAGGAAACAAACAAACUUCCUCUUUGGGGUGGUAAAUUGCUCACUUGUUUUGGACACAGGCUUAUCUGUAUCUAUCAUAAAAAAACUUCUGUUUGAAAAAAGAAUCAUUUCCACUAGGUUUGAAAGAAGAUAACGGAAAAGGGCAAAAACCGAAUCUUUUUUCUUCCUUACUUGUACUUAAGAGAGUUCUUCAUAUGUGAGGGAGGAUUUUUGAUAGGGUUGUUUCUAUCAUUUGAAAAUUUAUAAAAUUUUUGAAGCUAUCUUGGUAAUAAACUUUAAUUGGAUUAUGGGGGCGAUCUUUUUGGGCUUAAUAAAUAAAUCUUCGGCCAUAACUUUUGGGCCGGGUCAAAAGAGGAGUGCGCUCUCUUCAAUAGUUUUUUUUUUUUUUUUUUUUAAAUAUAAAUGUAAGAUAUUUUAAAUUGUCUGUGCCAGUGUCAUAGCUUGGGAUUAUACCAUGGGGGCACUAAAAAACCAAAAUUCUGGGAAAAUAAUAAUAAUAAUUGGGCUACGAAUAUAUGAAUAUGAUGUAUUGGUAUCAGCACAUCAGUACCGGCCAUCAUCCUUAAGUAAUUUUUUCCCUUGAUCAUCUACGUUAAGUCAUACAGGCACAGAUCCUUUAUAAGAUGCACAUGGAGUUGACGUCAAUUCAACACGUCAACUGAAUUGGGCCAGAGUCAUGGUGCUACUUUUCUAUGAAAUACAGAGUUGGGUAUAAUCAGUUAUUCACAUCAACUACUUCAGGUGCUCCUUUCGGCUCUUGAUUUCAAUUGGCAAGCUCGAUACCAAAUGCUGUCUCAGGAGAUGUCUGCCCAUUUGGACUCAUUGGAUCACCAUAUUCGGUAACAGGUCUGGAGAAAGCAAAAUUACUCUGUGUUUGGACUGAAAGGCUUGAUGGACUCGGCGGGUAGUUUGUGGCUGGAGAGGCAGUCACCACAAAAAACCAUAUGAUCAUCACGAACCGAGCCAAGUUGCUGACAAUUCUCUCCCCUAUAAAUAUGAUUUAAUUAAUUUAGAAUGCAAAAGAAAAUCAACAAGAAAACAUCAAUUUUAAGAUUGGCAUACGUAUGGAGUGUUUUCCAAAAUUGAAGGAAUUGGUUCAGUUAUGUUUUCCAAUCUUAUUAUAAAAUUCCAAAAUCUAAUUGGCAUUUCUCAACAUGCUACAUAUAUAUAUUGUGCAUUUAAAUUCAAGGAGGUGGAAGAGAAAUUACUCUGAGCAAACACCAAUGUUGAGAAGGAGAACCAGAAGAUUGUGCCAACUUGAUGUGAACGAGGCCCUCUGAAAUCUUCAUUUAUUCGAUGUUCAAGAGUCCAAAUCACAAAGCCAAUGAAGACAAAGAAACAAGCGCUUGUCACCCAAAGGUCCCAAGUUAAUGGCUUCAGAAAGACCCAUGCAUUUUUACUUCUGUUAUUGAUGAUGGGCACGAUCAUUGAUACGCCAGACUCGGUGUAAGGUAGUGUAAAGUCUACAUAGAAGGACCUGUUCGCUAGAAUAGUAAUAUCUCCCACCACAGCGUCAUACUUCUGUUCAUGAUAAAAGUAGAGCUAAAAUUGGUGAGAUAUUUCAUUGCAAAAGGAUGGCAGUUUCCCUCUAUUUGACAGUUGAUGACCAUAGUUGAAUGAAAAUCGUUGUGUAUUAAGGAAUCUAAAAGUCAUGGCUAACCUGAAAAUAUACUUGAGAUAUCAAUUCAUCAUAGCUACCAGCAGCCUUUCCAUCAGGUGUCUCGAAGGGAACGUAUUCGUAAGGAACAGCAUAUGGUAAUGUUUCCAUUACGUUUUCGAAGAUAGCGAUAGAGUAACCAGUGAUCUUUGUUGUAUUAGUGAUAGGAUCUCGCGUCACCUUCACAAAUUCACUAAAACCCUCCUUCACUGGAACUCCUAUCUUCAACUUCUUUCCGUUGGUAGGAAGCACCCAACCUUUAGGAACAGAAGGAGAUUCUCCUGGCCAUGUAAUGGCUCUUAGAUUGGCCUUAGAAGUAGAAUUCGAUCUUCUUACAAUUCCAUUCUCUGGUGUCCAAAAUCCAACCCCUCUUUCCCCUUCACCAAUCACAUUAACUAUAUGGAAAGCUGAUGUGCGUAGUUGCCCAUCUCCAAUUUGAAAAUCUCCGCUAAGGCCUCUAAAUCGAGUACUUAAUAGUGAAUGGAGAAUAUUUGGACCAACCGGGGAAACUCUAAUACUCUCAAAACCGGUUGAAUCUCUGGAAAUGUUAGUCUUUUGGAGGCUGAAGUUUCCCGCGCCAAGUUUUUCAACUGCCAUGGCUAGUGCACAAGCAGCAUCGUAGGCCCAGAGUCCAAAAAUAUUCAGCUCAGAGAUUUCAUUGGUUGGAUAUUCUUCUUGUAUUUUCUUUUUCCAUCUGAUUUUAAAACUUUCAAGCUCUUUGGUUCUUGGAACAUGGGGCUUGACGCCCAACACCCCUUGCAUCGAAUCAAUGGCUGAAGCGUUCAAAGUACUCAAGAAGUCGGUUAUCCCAUCAGUUAGUAUCCAAACAUAGCCUUCUUCCAUCAUUCCAGCCUCAUUUGCUUUGGUAAAAAGCCGGUAGCCAAGAGGCGUAAGCAUAUGCACAAUGAAAACUCUAGUUGGUAUCCUCAUCAACUUGUGAAGUUCUUCAACAAGUUGAUCGUCAGUUACUGAUGGAUGAAUGGGGCUCCAGUAGGUCACAUGGGCGUCCACCUCCAGGAAGGCACUAGUCAGAGACGGUAUGACUCCAUUGCCAUACUCGUUGUCAACGUAAAUAAGCACAACUUCUCUCCAUCCAAAGGUCUGGACUAUUGCCCUAAUUGCCGGUACUUGAGCUGAGUCAUUUAGGGUAGCUCGGAUAAAAUAUUGACUCUGAAGCGAAGAAAGAGAGGGACUUGUUGCAGAAAAUGAAAUGAUGGGCACCCGAGCUUUACUUCCAAGACCGAUCAUGAAGUUGGCCUGCAUCGAUGAUCCCGGCCCUAUUAUGGCUUCCACUUCCUCAUUUUGCAAGAGGUCAACAGCUGAGUUCAGGAGCAUGCAUGUUCAAACGAUAAACAAGCAUUAAAAUGAAUUAAUAAAUUUUUACACUAAAGUGAGCAAUCAAACUUUAACCAACUGCAAUCAACUGUAUAGAUAUUGUCCAUUAUAGACCAAAAAGGGUGUUUGUCCGUUUGGUCUCGUAAUCUCAUGAGAAAAGGCUGUUUGUGAUAUCUCAUAUUGAAUAAAGGAGAAAGUUUUUGACAUUGUAUAUGUAUAAGUUCUUUAAUCAUAUAGACGUAUUUUAAAGUCAUGAGAGUUUUUUGGGCUUAAAAUUGAUAAUAUUUACACGGUUGGAUAUGAAUAAUUACACAAAUAGGGUACAAAAACCUUGUUUAUCAUAUUUUUUGUCCUAAUAUAAUAGUAAAAUAUGAUAUGAUAUUAUAAUUUAAGAUGAAAAUGACCCAUUUAUUGUAUGCUCAACAAGAUAUAUACAACUUUCAAUCAUUUAAUAAAAUAGGAUCAUUUGGGUUAGAAGUCAUCAAUAAUCCAUUUAAUCCCUGUUAUCACCUACUUUAACACAAUUAAGGUUUAUUUAAAUUAUUUUAAAUUUUAAAUUUAUCUUAAUUAUAUGUUAGCUUAUUUUUGAAAAUAAUUUGCCAAAAGUAUAAUACAGUUAUUAUAAUUUAUUAAUAAAAGUCCCAUUAAAAAAAUUAAAAUCUAUAAAUCAGCAUGAAUAUGAAAACAAGCACUCACCGUUAACCUAAUUCCACUAAUUUCAUAUCGUUUUCGACUUAUGUUCACAAAUAAUGUCAAAAUUGACGCCAUUAUAGUUUUUUAACACUGUUUACUACCCCUUAAAUAUCAUGUGGUGAAUAUGAAAACCUCUUGGUCAUUUCCCCAAGAUAUGUUAUCUAGUUGAAACAAUAAAACAAAUAAACAUGGCACAAUUAAUUGAGACUCUUUUGCAAUAAUUCUUGGUCAUAUCUGUUCUCGUUGAGAUAUUUUCUUAAUUAAUAAAUCACGAGUGUAGUACUAUAAUCACAAGUGUAAUACCAUAUAUCUUGUGGGUUCUAAAUUUUCAAUUUUUUUUCUUUUUUUUUUAAUUUUUUUUGGAUCACUCUAAGUUGAUAUAAACAAUGUUUUGAAAAUCAGAUAUCAAACUAUUGAUGGAAGCUUGGUCCAACCUUUAGAUUGGAGAACCCGUUGAGCCGACCUUGAAACGGACAGACCAUUGAGCUGGUGAAAUAUGCUAUCAGUUCUAGGUUGGCCAAACUUUUUUUUUUUCUCUCAACAAAAGCCUAGCCCACAGUGGAGGGGUGGAAGCCCAACUCAAAGUCAAGGAGUGGCUCUGUUGUGGGCCUUGUGGCAAUUAUGAUUGACGAGGAUGAAAGAAAUUGAGUUAUUGAAAAAUCCAAAAUUCUUAGAAUUUGGGGAUUUGAGCCAUGGACCAUCAGCUCGUGGAUGGGCUAUAACCACUCAUUUAAUAAAAUUUAAAAUAUUAAAAUAUUUAUAUUUAUUUUUAUAAUAUUAAAUAUGAAAAAUAAAUAUUAUUAUUUUUAAUUUUACUUUUAAUUUUAUAUAUAUAUUAAAAUUUUAUAAUUACUUUUAAUUGUAAUAAUAUAUUCAUUAUAUAUUUAUAAUAUUAUCAGUAAAUUAAUAACUUUUCUGAUUUAUGUACCGGUUACGAAAAUAUUGAGGAAACAUAAAAAAUAAACUCUAAUAUUUUAGAGUAUUCUUGCGCUUUCCUGAGAGAAUACUGAAAGCAAAUAUCUUUUACUGUGCUAGUUAAACUGCUCUCAAUUAAGUUUAUUAGUUCUAAGAGAGAUAAGACCAGCGAACUUCCUCGAAACCCAAAUGGCUUGACUUCUAAAAUUAUUUAGACUGAUGAGUUUAACACUUAAAGAAGAAGAUCUAAGGGAUAGUACCUGCUGCAGCUGCACCAACAACAUCUCUUUUGGAAUCUCUGACUUUUGUAACCACCCUGGUUUUGUAGUGGCCAUGAGAGGCAUAGAAGUCUGAGAGGGCCAUGGAGAUGCAGCUCAACCCCAUCUUCCCAACCCAUGUAUCCAAGUCCAGAACCACUCCCACUUUAACUGGUAUUGUUGUGUUCUGUGCCAUGCCCUUUUCUAUGAAGAAAAUCGUGGGAAAGAGAAAGAACAAGAGAGAGGCAAGGAGUUGGGUAGGGUGCCUUCUCAUCUUUGAACUCGUUGGAAGCUAUGGUAGUCAUAAUAUUGGAGAGAAACUAAGAGAUUAUUUAUAGGACUUAGAAUUUUGAAUUUUGAAACCAGAAGCCAGCUGGAAUCAGGACUACUCUGCAGUCAACUUGAGAAGGACGCCCAACUGGACUCUCGUCUCUUUAUCGACAGCAUGCAAGGAAACUGCUGUCGAUAUAUUCUAUGUUUUGAGAGAUAUUUAGUUUUUAAUUAACUUCUUACUUUGUAAUAUAAUUUAUAUUUUAUGGUAUUAAAAUAAUCAUUUCAUUUACUCUUUUUAUUUUUUAACCCAUAAAAACUCUUCUAUGUGGAUUUGACAUGACUUGGAAAUUCCUUUCCUGAACUUGAUCAUAUUGUAUUUAAGACCAGAUAUAUUAAUAGAUGGAUUUAAUAUGAAUUGCUUUACAUCUCAUCCAAGUGUAUUGUUACUUAAAAAUAUGAACCUCAAUGUGUAUAAAACCCACAUAGUGGUGAAAAAAAAACAUUUAGGAAACAAAAUGAUGAUUUUAAUAAAUCUUUUAAUAACUAUUUUUUCACACUAUUAUUAUUAAGAGUGUAUUUGAAAGUGAUUUUAAAAAACGUUUUUAACAUUUUUAAGACUUAUUACUUGCAAAUCUCAUUAUAAUGUUGAAUAAACAUACAUUGGAAAGCGAGAUUAAUUAAAUAGAUCAUAUCACACACAUAGACACCAUCAUAUAUAUAUUUGUAGACCCGCAUUUUUCUUAUGCAUCCCCACUCGAUGACGAAACUCGUUUUUUAUUUAUUUGUGAAAUUUUGAUUUUUAGAAAAAGACUUGGAGUCACCAUUAUUUUUGUUUUAUUUUUUAAAUAUAUUUGUAGACCCGCAUUUUUCUUAUGCAUCCCCACUCGAUGACGAAACUCGUUUUUUAUUUAUUUGUGAAAUUUUGAUUUUUAGAAAAAAACUUGGAGUCACCAUUUAUUUUUGUUUUAUUUUUUAAAGUGAAAAUAAAAUAAGAAAAAAAAACUCUGUGUGACUUCUUAUUUGAAAAAAAACAUGUCUGCAAAAAUCAAGUCUGAAUUUGGAGUCAGGUUACCUAUUGAGAAAAUAUAAUGGUGAGCUGUAGCACCCCUCUAAACUUGUAUACCUACUAUCUCUACUAAACGAAUCAAGAGAAUUGUGACAAUUAAUUAAUUAAUAAUGUAUAUUAAGAUUAAAAGAACAAAUUAAUACACAAAAAUUGGGAUAAAAUCUAAUUACAAGAAUUCACAAAAUAAAUGACAAGAGAAUGAUGCAAAAUGAUUUAUUGAACUAAAUAAAAUAAAAUAAAAAAUUCAAAAGAAUUAGUUCUCGAGAAAUUUUAAAGGAUUUUAUUAAAAACAAUUUUGAAUUAAUGAUUUCAAUUUAUUUAUUUACCAAAAAGAGUCAAUUUAUUUUCUCAAUUUUAUUUGUAUUCAAUUUUCAAAAAAGUUAUUUACACUUAUUGUAUGAAAAGAAUUUAUUACAAAAUUUCAAUUUGGGCAUAAAAAUUAUUUUUACUUACUUUUACUAAAAAUGAAUAAAUUUUUACAAUUUUAUUUAAAAGGUAUUUUGAUUUAUUUUCAUUUAAGAAAAGUGACUUAUACAAAUUAAAAAAAAACUUUAUUUGCAAAAUAAUAAUAAUACUAAUAAUAAUAAUAAUUAAAAAGAAAAAAUUAAAUCCCCUAUUUUUAAAAAUUACUUUUAAUCCCAUUUUAAUUAAGAAAAAAUAAUUUAUUUUAAAAAAAAACAUUUUUUUUGACAAUUUUAUUAAAAAUUAAUUUUUGGGACAACUUUAUUUACAAAACGAUUUUUGGACAAUUUUUAUUAAACAAAGAAAAUUUUGGACAAUUAUUAUUAAAAAAUAAAAUUUCAAAUUCUAUUAAAAACAAUUUUUUUCGAUUUUUCUAAAAGAAUUUUUCUAAAUUUUUAUUAAUAAAAAACUUUAUUUUAUUAAGAAUAAUAUUUUCUAAACUAUUAUUUUGUUAAAACAUGUUUACUGAAUUGUUCCUCUUAUUCAAAUAAAAUUUCUUAUUUGUUCGAUAUUCAAUUAUGUACACAACAAGUAAGUAUAUAUAAACAAAUAUUUAUAGAAACCAAUAAAAAUAAAACAAAAUAGUAGUAGGAAAUAAAAUGUAUACCCAAUAAGCUUACAACAAUCUUAAUAUCUUCCUACAAUUUUUCGAGUCUUACUUUCUUUCAUGAAAUUUCAUACUCCACAUGUCAUACUUCACAUGUCAUGAAUCCAUACUCAGCCAAUAAAAUUAUAGAAUGGGUCCAUACAAAAACAAAAAUAGUCCAAAUGUAAAUAUCCAGAAUUACACAAAGUUCAAAACAAAUAUUCAAGUCCAAAUUCAAACUUCAAAUUAAUCUAAUAAAUUUCAUUAAUCAAAAUGAGUCCAAAUUAUCAAUAUAUACUCCAACAAAAAUAUCUCAUAUGUCAUAGCCCUAUUCAAAAUUUUCAAAUUAAUAACCAAAGUAUAAGUUCAAUUAAUCAAACCCAAAAUAUGAUAAAUUAAAAUCAAUUUCAUUAGGCCUAAACUUAAUAUCCCAUAAUUCCAACCUAAUUUAAUAUGCAAAUUUAAAUCCACAAUCAAAAUAAAACCUGAUUUAUACUAAUCCCAAUUUACAAUUAAAAUCAAAUACAAUUUAAUAAAUAAAUAACUAAAUAAAUUAAGCAAACUUAAAACAUCCAAACCACUAAAUCAAACAAUAAUAAAAAUAAAAAUUUUAACUCGCGUUUUAGAGCCGAUUUGAGUGUUGUAGGAAAAAAAGAAAAUGGGAGAAAAGUGGGAGAUGAGGGAGAUGGUCACCGGCUAGUAGUGGCUGGACGAAGAUGAUUGGUCGGUGGUCCUGUCAGUGGCAAUAAGGAGUGAUAGAUUUUUGGAAAACAAAAAUUAAAUAAAUAAAUAAAAAAGAAAAAGAAAAGGAAGAGUAGAAAUGUGCGCAAAAAUAAUGGGAGAAGAUAAGAGGGAGAGAAGGUUGUGGGGCAAUGUGGAGGAAAAAGAGGAAGAGCGGUUGGGAGAAGAAAAUGGAGAAAAAAAAAAGGGUCGGUUGGUGUGUGCUCUCUGAGGUGUGGUGAGUGGGAAAGAAAAAAAAUGGAGCUAAAAAAAAUGGGACCGACCACCAAAAUGGGAAGAAAAACUAAAAGAAAAAGGGAAAUGAGAAGAAAGAGAAGAGACCUGCAAAAACAUAUUUUUCUCAAAAUUUCCUCCACUUUCCUGCAAAAACAUGAAAAGAAAAAAAAUAGAAAGAAAAUUGCCCAUCAUCCUCUUCCUUCAUUUUCCUAUACUUUUUUAGGUUAAAAUUAACUAAGCUAAGUAUUGAUUUAUACUCUAACAAUGAGUCAAUGCCCCUGCAUCUCAUAAUAUGAGACCUGCAACUUCCUUCCAACACUAAAUUAAGCUUCUGUUCAAUUUCUUCUUGAGAAAGGAAUUCAAAUUCAAUUCCAGACGUCAUGCCGUGGCUUUGCCUCCAGUUAUCUCAAAUUCGUAUGUUUGGAAGACCAUAUGCUCCAUCAUCUGGACUUCUUAUUCAAAUAUUCUUGCUGCACCACAAUACUAGAAUUCAAAGGCAUUGACUUCUCAAUUCCAUGUUUAUUAUUUAGAGGUCAAUUUGUGUUGUACAAAAGAAAAAUAAAAAGAAAUCAAUUUUCCUAUUGUUGACUCAGUCUGCCCUAAGCGCCUACUCUUCAUCAAAGCCAAAAUUAAGGAAAUGCAGGGAAACACCUCUGAAUAUUUGCUGCCAACUAACAUACAGAUGUCAUGGCGGAAGCUGGGGACUGGGUUUGACUGUAUGGUAUAGAGGUAAGCACCUCCACCGGGUAUGAAGAUCGAAGACACAGUCAAUCCUUGAAGCAACAAGGAAGCUAGGACAUAUUUUACCAUGAAGGACUGAUGCUCUUGAUGUAUCCUUGUAAGUUAUCCUGUGAUUCUUAAUAAUUGGAAAAACAAUAGCCAAUAUUUUAUCCUAUAAUAUCUUUUAAUGACUAAGAUAAGAUGGCUUUGGAACUUAGCUAGGUUUUCGCAAAAUUAAAAAGAUUUGAUUGGCUAAGAUGGAAGAUUUGAUUGGCUAAGAUGGCUUAAUUUGAGUUUCAUUGAUAAAUAAGCCCGCUUGAAAAAUGAAGUGCUGACUGAGAUAUAUUUCUUAUUUUUUGUUUUUAAAAAAUAUAAAAUUAGUUUUUAAAUAAAAUAUAAUGAUGUAUAUUAUAUCUUUAAAAAUUAUUUUUAAAAUUUGAAUAUCUUGUCUUUUUUUAAAAAAAAAAAUUUAAAUAGUUAUUUUUUGAAGGUAAGUUUCAAAAAAAAUUUUAUAUUUUAAACAAAAGAGUUUUGGAGUAUUUUGAAUUCAUACAAAUAAUUUUUUGAACUUUUUAUGUAAAGAUAAGCAAAUCUUUUAAAAAGGAAAAAUACUUUAAUAAUUUUUUUUAAAAAAGAAAUGUUAUCACACGAAUGAAUUGCUCUUAUAAAAUUGUUGAAUUAUUAUUAUUAUUAUUAUUAUUUUAAAAAAGUCAACUGAUGUUGCUGCAUACUCUCUCGUUAAAAAUGUAAAUUAUUUGGAGAAUCAACUCAAAAGAAGAAUUUUGCCAUUAUUUAGUGGUAAUACGUGUACUUGGCAAGUGGUGGAAUAGUUUAUUGUCAAAUCCUUUAUUAAAGGUUACAAGAUCCAUUAUUUAAUUACAAGUUCGUUUGACAGGAUCCAUUGUGAGUUUCUUGAGGAGUUUGAUGUUGCAAGAAGCAUAAUCUUUAAUAGAGUGACACAACGUGAAACCCAGUGGUUGGGUCAGGAUGAUAGUCUCUCAACCUCAAUCAAAGAAUCACAUCUAUCAUUAUCACCCUAGUUGAACUUCAUUUAUAUAAUUCAAGUUGUCAAUUUAUGCUUGAACUAAUAUUUUUUUAACAAGCUCGAAUUGAAAUUUAGUUAAGUUUAGGUUGGUUAAGUUAUAUAUAUAAAAAAAAAUGAACAGAUUAAGCUUGACUUGAACAGGUUUAGUGAUCAUAUCAAAGUUUGGUUAACUCAAAUUAGAAAAAAAUAAAAAGUGUUAAAACUCGGGUUGAAUUAGAUUAGGUUAAAUUAGAGGAAAAAUAACAUAUUAGCACAUCAAAAUGAGUUUUGUUCGUGAAAGUUUUCAUCUUACCAUAUGCACGAAUAAACCAUAUUUAUUACUUUCAUCAACAUUAAAUCCAUUAACUUAAUACAACAAUUUGGUAUAAGAUAAACAAUAUAGUUUUAAUAGAUAAGAAGUUGAUCUAUCUAAUUCUACAUAAGAAUUUAAUUAAUAUUUAAAUAUCAAUAAUUAAAGAAUAUAGCAUAAAAUUUAAUUAUUUAUUAUAUGCAAUAUAAUUUCUAAUUAAAAUUAUUAAAUACUCGGUUCAAGUCAUAUUGUUUGGCAAUUUGAAUUAGGUACUCAACCCAAAUUAAAUUAGAAAAGGGGCUGUCCAAACCAGCACAAAUUCGGGUUAGCUUCCUUGGGAUUGGGUUGGAAUGUGUUUAAUCCGUACAAGUUGCAGUCCUAAGAGUGGGUCUGGCUCCACCAAACUAUUUUGAUUUGGUCAAGGUAAACAAAUUAAAUAAGAAAAAUGCUGUCACAAAGAGUGAUGCAACCCUAUAAACAAGACUAAAUAUUAUAUAGCUGCGUUGCUUUCUCAAAAGUCCAGUUGGGUCCUUUUUGCUUACCCUGCAGAGGAGUCUUUCUUCAAGGCUGCUGAUUCCUACCUCACAGUCUAAAUCCUAUAAAUAAUCUCUCUCUCGCCACGUUAUGAAUCUUAAAGCGUCCCCAGAAAAGGUUGAAAGAUGAGAAAGAACCUUACCCAACUCGCUUUAUAUCUCUUCUGCUGUCUCUCUCUCUGGAUUUUCUUCAUAGAAACGGCCAUGCCACAGAACACAAAGAUUCCAGUUAAAGUGGGAGUGGUUCUCGACAUGGAUACCUGGCUAGGGAAGAUGGGAUUGAGCUGCAUCUCCAUGGCACUCUCAGACUUCUAUGCCUCUCAUGGGCACUACAAGACUAGGCUGGUUCCGGAAAUUAGAAACUCCAAACGAGAUGUCGUUGGUGCAGCUGCAGCUGGUACUCUCUCCCUCUCUCUCUCUCUCUCUCAAUACUCUCACACAUAAUGAUUAGAUUAUUAAUCUAUUUAGAAAAUUGAAUUGUAUUACCGAGAAAACUGUAAGCACAUAUUGAAUCUAUGGUUAACUUAACUUAACAUGCCGUACUAAUUUUAAAAUAAGAGAUGCUAUUUUAUCAUUUUCUAUUUUUUUUAUGCUUAUUUUGAGUGUAUCUCUCAAACAACAGAUCAAUGUAUGAUAUUUGGGUUCUUUUUCUUUUAGAGAUCCCAUAAUUGAGACCUAUAACUGGACUAAUUACCAAUAAAAAUACGAUUGUCUUUAGCUAAUUUGGAUUUUUUUUUAAUUAUCACCUUAUUGGCAGAUGGUGAUUAAAAGAGACAAAAUAUGUAUCUAUGUUUUUUAUUUACAUUUCUUCUUCUGUCUGUUGACAUUUACAGCCUUUCUAACAUGGUAAAAGAAGUAGUAAAGCUAUUAAUUAAGCAAAGUUGUUGAUGGAAAAGAGUCCUCAUGUUUAACCACACUGUCAUAUCCAUUAAAGAUGGCAAAUUAAGAGUCUCUAUAAAUUGGAAUCAAAGAUUAUGCAAAAGGUCUUCAUAAGUUUUCCUGUUUUUUUUAUAAAAGUCAACUCCGGUAUUGUGGCCAAGAGCCAUGAGAAUAUUCGAGUUGGAGUUAAUAAAUAUGUGUCUAUUUUUAGGGGAGAAUGGGAAGUAGUUACCGAAAUGAGAUGCCAGUUGCUUGGGAUUAUGAUUAUCAGCGGCUGUUUGGUAGAAAAGCUAGUUCGUCAUGAAAAUAUGUACUAUUAUGUCUCAAUUAAUACAAUAUCAACUAAGUUCUUUUAUUCAUGCAACCAAGGAUGAUUUUUAUUUCUAUUUCUACCUUGUUUAAUUGCUAAUAAUAUACUCCAAAGAUAUAAUGAAAUUUUGGAAUCUUUAAAUCUGAUAAAGUAUUUGAUUAUGUUUCGAACCUCCUGUGAAAUUCAGCUCUAGACUUGUUGCAAAAUGAGGACGUUCAAGCCAUCAUAGGACCAGCAUCUUCCAUGCAGGCCAACUUCCUGAUUGGUCUCGGAGACAAAACUCAUGUGCCCAUCAUUUCAUUUUCUGCAACAAGCCCUUCUCUUUCUUCACUUCAGAGUCAAUAUUUUAUCCGAGCCACCCUAAAUGACUCAGCUCAAGUACCAGCAAUAAGGGCAAUUGUCCAAGCCUUUGGAUGGAGAGAAGUUGUGCUUAUUUACGUGGGCAAUGAGUAUGGGAAUGGCGUUAUACCAUAUCUUACCGAUGCCUUGCAAGAGAUUGACACCCGUAUCGCCUACAGGUACGUCAUUCCUCCAUUAGCCACUGAUGAUCAAAUUGUCAAAGAACUUUACAAGCUGAUGACAAUGUCAACCAGAGUUUUCAUUGUACACAUGUCUACACCUCUUGGGCCUCGGCUUUUCACCAAAGCAAAUAAGGUGGGAAUGAUGGAUGAAGGCUAUGUUUGGAUACUGACUGAUGGGAUGGCUGAUAUGUUGAGUACUUUGGAUGAGUCGGUCAUUGAUUCGAUGCAAGGAGUGUUGGGUGUAAAGCCUCAUGUUCCUAGAUCUAAAGAGCUUAAAAGUUUUGAAAUCAGAUGGAAAAGAAAAAUCCAGCAAGAAUAUCCAACCAAUGAAAGCUAUGAGUUGAACAUAUUUGGCCUCUGGGCUUAUGAUGCUGCUUCUGGGUUAGCCAUGGCAGUUGAACAACUUGGGACAACAAACUUCAGCUUCCAAAAUUCUAAUAUUUCCAGAAAUUCAACCGGUCUUGGGACUAUACAAGUCUCCAAAACUGGUCCAUAUCUUCUCCAAUCACUUCUAAGUACUAAAUUCAGAGGCCUCAGUGGAGAUUUUCAAAUUGUUGAUGGGCAACUACGUUCAUCAGCCUUUCAGAUAGUCAAUGUGAUCGGUAAAGGGGAAAGAGGGGUGGCACUUUGGACACCGGAGAAUGGGAUUGUAAGAAAUUCAAAUCCUACUUAUAAGGCUGAUCUAAGAACCAUCAUAUGGCCGGGAGACUCUCCUUCGGUUCCUAAAGGUUGGGUGCUUCCCACAAACGGCAUGAAGUCCUUGAGAAUAGGAGUACCAGUGAAAGAGGGGUUUAGUGAAUUUGUAAAGGUGACACGAGAUCCUAUCACUAACAUUACAAAGGUCACUGGAUACUGCAUAGCUAUCUUCGAUGCUGUGAUGGCAGCAUUGCCAUAUUCUGUUCCUUACGAGUACAUUCCGUUCGAGACCUCUGAUGGCAAGCCUGCUGGCAAUUACAAUGAUUUGAUAUAUCAAGUAUAUCUUCAGGUUAGUUCAUGAACUCCUUGACUUUCCAAGCAGAUAGAACUAACUCUAGCUUAACUCCAGUUAUAAAACCAACUGCAAUCCUUUCAUGUUAUUCUUUGUGUGCAUAGAAGACGAGCAAACCAGAAAUUCCAACCAAAUGUAUUAACAGAUUGGUCCAAAAUUCUAUUGUGAACAGAAGUAUGAUGCUGUUGUGGGAGAUACUACUAUCGUAGCGAACAGGUCCUUAUAUGUAGACUUUACGCUGCCUUACACGGAAUCUGGGGUGUCAAUGAUUGUGCCCGUCAUAGAUAAAAGAAGUAAAAAUGCAUGGGUUUUCUUGAAGCCACUGACUUGGGACCUUUGGGUGACAAGCGCUUGUUUCUUUGUCUUCAUUGGUUUUGUGAUUUGGGUUCUGGAACAUCGUAUAAAUGAAGAUUUUAGAGGACCUCGUUCAAAUCAAGUUGGCACGAUCCUCUGGUUUUCAUUCUCGACCAUGGUGUUUGCCCAGAGUAAUUGCUCUUCCACCUCCUCGAAUAUACGUGGCAAUGAAAAAACUACAUGAUAGUAAUUUAGAACACUGCAUAUUUCCAUGCUGUCAGAACCUUAAUAUGAUAACACUCAAAACACAACUGAAACCAACUAUUAAUAUAUGGACAUUCCAUACAAUAUGCAAGUAAAGUUCAGGAUAUAUUUUUAUGUUUCAAAAUUUAUAUUUGACUUGAUAUUGAUGUUCUGAAGCUGAUCUUCCUUUCCAUUCUUAAAUUAUGUUUAUAGAGGAGAGAGUUGUGAGUAACUUGGCUCGGUUCGUGGUGAUCAUAUGGUUUUUCGUGGUGCUGAUUCUUACUCAAAGUUAUACUGCCAGCUUGACUUCAAUGUUAACAGUUCAACAGCUGAAGCCGACUAUCACAGACAUAAAUGAGCUCAUAAAGAAUGGGGAGCGUGUGGGUUACCAGACGGGCUCUUUUGUUCAUGAAUUCUUGAAGUGGAUGAAAUUUGAUGAAACCAAGCUUGUAAUCUAUGAGUCUCCAGAAGGGCUGGAUGAAUUAUUUUCAAACAGGAGUUCAGAUGGUGGAAUUGCUGCUGCUUUUGAGGAAAUCCCUUACAUGAAGCUUUUCCUUGCAAAAUAUUGCUCCAAAUACACUGCAGUUCAACCAACUUACAAGUUUGAUGGGUUUGGAUUUGUGAGUCUCUCUCACGUACUUGUGCAUAAAUUUCAAACUGUAUUUGGUUUCUUAUUUUGUAAUUUUCAGGUCUUCCCAAAGCGAUCACCUCUCAUACCUGAUGUUUCAAUGCAAGUCUUAAAUGUGACUGAGGGAGCUAAAAUGGUUCAAUUUGAGAAAGCAUGGUUUGGGCAGACACCCAGUUGUCCAGAGCUCACCAGCUCAGUUUCUUCAAACAGCAUCGGCCUUAAUAGCUUUUGGGGCCUAUUCCUCAUUGCUGGAGUCGCUUCAUUUGUAGCUCUCAUCAUAUGCAUCACCACUUUCUUGUAUGAAAAUAGAGAUACUUUAGUACACUUGGAUCCCCCAGCUUCAGUAUGGAGAAAAAUUAAAGCCAUGGCGACACGCUUUGAUCACAAAGACCUCAGCUCGCAUACUUUCAGGAAAAGUGAAAUGGUAGAUAGAAGUGGCAUCAAUGGUAUGGAUGCAGUUACAGCCUCGCCAGCUACCAACUGCCCCCCAAGUCCAUCAAGCCUUUCCAUCCAAACAGAGAGUAAUUUUGCUUUCUUCAGAGACCAAGAAACGCCUUCUUCUGAAUAUGGCGAUCCAUUCAGUCCAAAUAGGCAGACAUCUCCACAGUAGUAUUUGAUAUUAAUUAAUCUUACUAAUACAAAUCAAGUGCAAAUGAUUCCGCCUCAAGUAGCAGCUGCGAAUGACUGAUUCAUUUUCCUUUUGUAAUUUAAGCCAGUGGAACCAUUAUCCACAAAUGUGGAAUAUUUCAUGAAAAAGUAGCACUGUAGCUAUAGCAAAUUUGGUUAAAAUAUUUGAGGAUAUAUCUCAAUGAUGAACUACACCGAGAGGAGGAGAGGGGCUGAAUAGGUGUUUUUAAAUAAAUUCGAAAAGUUCUCCCAACAUAUAUAUAUUGCUUUCUUCCAACGUCUAUUCAACAAAGAAUAAAAUACGCAAGCAAACAACCUCCUAUAAGGCCACUAAACAAAUUUACUGACUUCAUAGUGGAUAGAGCAAUGCAGGAUUACUUCUUAGUCCACCAAGUAAUAGUGACACCAUUGAGUAAAAAACAUAUCUCAUAGUGGAUUUGCACUCAUCUCAAUCACUAACCCAAUCUGUAUUAUAAUAUCCUCUUAAUCUCAAGUCUCCACCUCGAUAGCAAAGGACAAAAUCUCUACAUCCUUGGAGGUGGCGAAAAAUCCUCUUAAUUGCUCGCCAAUGAAUGGGGUAUGGGUUACUUUGGUAACGAUUGACCAAUUGAACUACGAAGCAUAUGUAGGGUCAAGUACACAACAUAACAUAUAUCAUACUUCCAAUUGCACUCACAUAAGGAACUCUUACCAUAUGUUUCCUUUCUUCAUCAUUCUUAGGGCAUUGAUCAAGGCUUAGGCUGUAACCCUUCUCAAUAGGGGUGUUAAUAGGUUUGCAAUUUUGCAUUCAAAACUACUCUAGAAUAUUCUUAAUAUAAGUCUCUCUUGAGACAAACCAAGAAGUCUUCUUGAGUGAUCCCUUAGGAUCUUAACUCCGAGCAAAAAAUUUGCUUCCCCAUGUCCUUCAUAUCAAACGUGGAGGACAACCAUCCUUUGGUAGCAACAAUUAUGUCCAUGUCACUUCUAGUUAAUAGAAUGUUAUUGACAUACAAAGAUAAAAUGAGGAAGUCUUUCCCUAAUCAUUUGACAUAUACACAAUGGUUCUCUAAAUAAUAUUUCAAAACCAUUAGACAUAAUUGUCUCAUGAAAUCUAAAGUACUACUAUCUAAAUGACUAUUUUAGGCCAUAAAUGGAAUGCUUGAGAUGACAUACUUUGCACUCUUGUCCCUCAACCUCAAAAUGAAUAAGUUGAUCCAUAUAGAUCUCCUCAUUUAGUUUUCCAUUGAGAAAUAUAGUCUUCACAUCUAUUUGGAAGAUCUCUAAGUUCAAAUGUUCAACUAUAGCUGGAAUAAGGCAAAUAGAUGCAAAUCUCACCACUAAGGAGAAUGUCUCUUCAUAAUAUAUAUCCUUUCUUUGGGUAUAUCCUUUCACCAUUAAAUGAGCCUUAGAUUUGUUGAUUGAACCAUUUGUCUUGUGUUUAAUUUCAAACCCAUUUAUUUCCAAUGCUCUUAUGCUCGGGUGUAAGAUCAACUAACUCCCAAAGAUAAUUCAUUGCCAUGGAAUUCAUUUCUUUCCUCAUAGUAGCCAUCCAUUAUACUGAUUUAGAUAAAGUCAAAGCUUCUUCCCAAGAAGCAGAUUUAUCAAGAUCUAACUAUGUACACAUGUAGGUUUCCCUUUUAACCUCAAAAUGAUGUUGGGGAAUUUGACCACGUUUGCUUCUUUGUAACUCAAGACCUUGUGAAGAUCGUCUAGUGACACAUUCCCACCAGGAGAUAAGCACUCCCACUAUCUUUGGUGAUUUCAAGAUGGGCUUGUAAUUCCCUAGCCUCACUCAAAUAUUAUGUUGCUUCCUCUUGCAACUCAUAGAGUUCAAGACUCUUCUUUACUUCACCAACAGUAGGAAAAUCAUUUUCUAUAAAAUCAACAUUGUGUGACUUUGUUUCAGUCAACAUUGUGUGACUCUAUUUCAGUCAAUCCUCUAACCCUUUAAGUAGUCAAAGUAUCUUAUAAAGACAUUUUUAUUUGCUCUAGGGUCUAACUUCUUACAUCUAUGAGAAGUGUUAUGAACAUAACCUAUACAACCCCAAGGUCAUAAAUUCUCCAAAUUUGGUUUUGCAUCAUCCCAUAGCACAUAUGGAGUUGGAGGGACUGAUUUAGAAGACACUCGGUUAAGGAUUAAGGUAGUAAUCAAAAGAGCAUCCCCCUAAAAAGAUAUUGGGAGGUUAGCUUGCACCAACUGUGGACCCACAUUUCUCAUGUGCGCCUCCACUCAAUCGGCGAGACUUACUUUUAUUUGGUGAAAAGUUAGUUUUAAAAAAGUUGAAGUUGUGACUUAUUUUAUUUUUAUUUUAAAGGGAAAAUAAAACAAGAAAGAAAACCCUAAAAAGUGACUCCACAAUUUUUGAAAAACCCGAAUCUAGGUCUGGGGAUCAGGUUACUUAUUGGAAAGGUAGCUCUAGGAGGUAGCACCCCUCUAAGCCCUAUAAAGGUCUCUACUGACUAAGUUGAGGGAAUUGAGGCAAUUAAUUGGUUAAUUAUAGAUACCUAAGUAGGUUAGGUGAUUUAAAAAAUAAGCAUGUCUAACAAGAAGGUUUGAUCAUAAGAGAGAGUCAUAGUGCGUACCUAAACGACUUCUUAAGCGCUAUCAUGAAACAUAAAAGUUAGUAUAGAAAUAUAUCACACAACAUGUGUUUUAUCCACGCAAAUCAAGUAUACACCUAAGCACACAAGAAUCACAUCAAGUAUGGAUAUAGUUAUCAGUAGCAUAUGUGUCCAUAGAAUUCUCAAGGGUAGGUGUGGAGGAGCGUACCUGGAUAGCAAGCUAGUACUCCUCUAUGGGAAACAGAGUUAGUCCAAUAACAAAUUCAAAGUAGUCUCAAAACCAAUUCUCAAACCUGAUCCAUGUAUUAGUGGAUACUCAUCCGUAAAACUGACUGCAUAACUAAAACCGACAAACCUCUAUCAAACAAUUGGGAACAAAUUGGGGACCUUCAUCAUAUAUAAAACUCCAAAUGCUUCCUCAAAAUUGGUAAUGGAGAAAUAUGGGCAGAAUCAGGUGGAGAAUCGGAGGGAUUACAUCUCAAAGUAUUCACACAACUUUAAUUUCCAGUCUUCAGGGACUUACAAGAGAUAGUAUACUAAAUAACCAGAAAAUGGCAUAAAAAAUUUGGAUAGUUAGAUAUGGGAAUUCCAUCCAAACUCAUCGUUCGAAUGUAAGCAAUUCUGCUGGGAUCAUCCCUAGCAAAACCAUGUCACAAGGAAUUGUCUCAUUUGCACAGAUCUUCACCACUUCGCCAACUUGUAUCUUUUUUCAUUUUUUUUUUCUGAAAGUGACCAGCAUAAAGCACUAUAGCCUCAUGACAACCCGACUCUUGGUAGCUUGGCAUGUAAGGGUAUCAACAAAAUUUAUACCUAACGUCCUUACACUAAAGUAGCAAAGCUACUAUAGCAUAGUGGCUCUAGGAUCGAACACUGGGAAGGGUUUUUACUUUAACUGAUGAAGUUCGGAGGAUGGAGUGAACUUUUCUUAAUAAAGAUUAGGUUAAGAUGAAAACAUAAAAAGAUGAAGGUGUUGUAAACUAAACUAACAUGAAAAUAGGUUAAAAGAUGGAAAAAGAAGUUUCUCAAAGCUUUGGAUAGCCAUGCUUAACUCACUGUGUAAAAAUGGAGAUUUUGGAACUUUUCACCUCGAGUUGGGGAAGCAACUAAGGUGAUGCUUACUUCCCGAACCGGUAUGAGUUUAACAACUGAGUUUUAGUCCUUGAAAACUUACAAAAGGGUAGCUGAACCUCAUAAAUGCCCUUUUAAUGAUAUAGGUCAUCUCCUCGACUUGCAAUACAAUGGCUCGUAGGAGAUAACUAAUGAACGUCAGUGGAUCUAACAAUAAGAAUCCACUGAGACCAAAAGAUUAUCAAGUAUUGGCCAUUCAAAGCAAGUCAGAGGGAUUAAAAGCUUUACUUUGAAUGAAAACAUUUAUGACGCUCAGCUACUUACAUUCAUGGCUUGGAAAUCUCCAUCUUGACACGGGAGCUUCACAUGGCAUCCAUUACUUCAAGAAACUAAAAGGUUUUAGCCUCUCAUCCUUGGGGAUUUCAUCCUCCAAGGAUGUUUGGCUACUAAGAAAAUAGAAAAUAGAAGAGAGAAAAAGAAAGCAAAAGAUACUCUGUAUUUAGCUAAGUGUAAAAUUUACAUAAGUUCGUCUCCUGGGGAAAGUUCCCCGACGUCAUAAAAUGAAAAUUACAAAACAAUAUAUAACAGGUUGUUUACCCCUGUAUUCUUGCUUAACAACUAAGGAAUCAUCUAAUUGGUGGAUUACAAGGAGAGAAUUGGGAUUUAGACAACAAAUAUCUGAAGAAAAAUAUCAAAAAACGUUGGUCGCAAAUAUCUGGAAGCACUCAGGAGAAUUUCGCAGGCGCACAAAAUGGCUGCGAAAUUUCGCAGCCAAAGGCUGAUUUCGCAGCCCUGCGAAAUUGGCCUUCAGCUUGGAGUGAUCUGCUUCCAUUGGCUCUAACUUCUUCAUUUCAACUCUGAUUUGCGAACCGUUUGAAGCAUUGGAUUGUUGACUUCCCGAUCUUCGAAACGACAUAAAGCAUGCAUAAAUUGGACUUUAGGAAGUACUCCAAAAGUGGCUGAAAUUACUGUCAUCAAGGAUGCUUCAAGGUAGAUUCUCUCUUUACUUCUCCUCCUUGCAUUCCGGAUUGGUUAUGGCAAAGGACUUUAAGGCUUCAAAGCUCUGAUUCUUCAUGUUUCUGAGCUUUCCAUUGCUUUGCCAUGGAUUCCAAAUAACUCUCCUCCAUCUUGGAUUGCCUUGGUGAUCAAAUUACUAACAAAAACACCAAAACUUACACAAAGUGAUUAGAAGUGAUUGCAAAGGUCCUUAAUAUGUUAAUUGGGUUAAAAGGCAAUAAUUACUACUCAAAAGUGUUUAAAAGAGUUAAUUACAAGCUAUCAAAUAGCCCUUUUUGAGUAGUAAUCACUCCCCCCAACCGACAUAUUGCUAGUCCCUUAGCAAUGAAGGAGAGAAAAAUAAAAAUAAACAUUACUAUAAUUUACAACAUCAUGCUGAUCAAAAAACAAUUCUCAAGUGGCAUGAUGAUCUAACUCUCACAUGGAACAUUAAAGAAAUAAAACUCAAACUUCAACAAGAGUUAUCAAAUAACUUGUCUAAUCACAAUUCAUAAAGAGAAGGCAUUAUGCAAAUUUAAGCUUUUGAAAGAGUUUCCACUCCCAAAGGGUCAAACCUUACUCUUCCACAAAAAUCUAAGUGUUACUUAUUAGUUUCCGAAUAUAGUAUGUUGAACUAAUCUCUCCCCCCAACCUAGUUAUUUUUCAAAGCUUAGCAAACUGAUCAACCUCCAAUAGGUUAAGAACGCACCUCUUUUUUCACAAUUUUUUCAUUGUAGGAGUACAAGGCUUAAAGGUAUUAUUUUUUAAAUUGUCCAUGUAACGGGGGUCCAUCGAUGACUCCCAACCAAUUAAGGUUUAGGGCAUCAAGCUUUAAGGAUCUUUCAACCACUAACUCCUCGGAUUUUACCCCGGACUUUUGAGAAUAUAUUUUUAAUACCCAAGCACCUACAGUAUGUUAAACUCCACCUAUUCACCCUUGUAACGAGCAUUGAGGUCGGUGACUCCCAACCAAUUAAGGCUUAGGGCACCAGGUUUUAAAGAUUUGCACCAUAUACCCCUUAGACCUUGCUCGGGUUUCAAGGCAAGCAAACAUUUUUUUUUUUUUUUUUUUUUUUUUUUUUCUUUUUUCCAAAGACUCAUUAGCCUUUUACAAGGUGUCUCAACACUAUUAAAUAAGGUCAAAGGUACCAAGUCUAAAAUUUUCCUAAGUCAAGAGGGAAAUAGUUUUUCAUCUUAUAAUCGGAACCUAUUGUGCACAGUGUGUGAAUAGCUUAAAGUGGAAGACAUAAGCUUGAAUUCAAUAGAAACUUCAACAAUUCAUCAACUUUAAUAAACAUAAUACAAACUCUAAGUCAAGUAAAAAGACAAAAAUUCAAUUUCUCCCUUUUCAUUUAUUGAGAAUUUUUCCUUAAUAACCAUGGAGAGUAGAGAAAAAAAAACUAAAAAAAUUUAAAAAUUAAGCGAAAAGCAACUAAAUUACCAAAAUAACUUAUCAUUAUUAACAAUACUUACUUCCUCAACUCUCCCCCCAACCAAGCUGAACAUUGUCCUCAAUGUGACAAAAGCGAUUGAAAAAUAGGGGGGAAGUGAUACCUCCUGAGUGACAUGGAGUUUGAGUCGUAUAGGAGAAACCACAUGUUUCAAAGAAAACAUAAGAGUUAGUGAGUAGAGGAAAUAGAAAAAUGCUAAGUUUAAACAAAAAUGAUGUCUAUAUAUGAUGUAUCAUCAGUAAUACAUCCAAUCCCAGAAUAUAAGACAUCAAAAUAUGAAAUUAUUUACACUAAUAUAAUAUGUAAAUACAAAAAAUAAAAAGAUGAUCAAGUAGUGGUAGGGUCAUGUGGAGCUGAUGCGUCAGUGGUGGCCUCUUGAAUGGGUUGGAUCAGGACUUUGGCCUCUAUUCUGGUAGUCUCCUUGGGUAGCAUAGUCUCCUCAGCUGAAGCUAUGGGCUCUGAUGGUUUAAGGAGGUCAGAAAUAGAGUGAGAGGCUUUGUGUGUGAUCUCAGUGAAAGGGCUCUCCUCUUUAGAUGCAUGGUUGCGGGGCUCUCUUUGCAUUUUCACAACUUCCCUUGGCUUUGCAAAGUGUUUUCGCAAACCUCUCUUCAUUUUGCAAGUCAUUUUUAUAGCCUGGAGGUCAUUUUGUAUCUUGGAGAUCAUCUUGCAGCCAAAGGGAAAAAAAGAAAAACAUUUUCGCAGCCCAUGGAAAAAAUAGAAACAUUUUCGCAGCCCAUUUUGAAGCUUGAAAAUCAUUUCAUAGCCAUUUGGAAGCUUGGAGAUUAUUUCAUAGCCAUUUGGAAGUUUGAAAAUCAUUUGGUAGCAAAAGGCCAUUUUCGCAGCACAUGGAGGAUUUGGCAGGGGGUAGCUAUGGGGCUGCGAAAACAUUUCGCAGCCAAAUGGGAUUUUCGCAGCCGGGUGCCAUUUUCGCAGCCCAUUUCGCAGCUGCGAAAUGGGGUUGGGCGGCUGCGAAAUGGCACUCGUGUGCCAAAGGGGUGUUUCGCAGCUGCGAAACACCCUGCGAAAUGAGGCUAUGGCUGCGAAAUUUCCGUUGGUGCUUUGCGCGUUCGUCUUCAAACGGCCAUAACUUCUUCGUUUCAAAUCCAAAUCGCAUACCGUUUGAAGCACUGGACUCCUGACUUCCUAAGCUUUAAAACAAGAUAUAGUAUGAAAAAUUUGAGCUCCAGGAAGUGCUUCAAAAAUGUGUCCAAUGGGGUGCGGAUGCGACAUUUCAGCUCAUUGUUUGCACAGUCUUCAAACGACCAUAACUUCUUUGUUUCAACUCCAAAUUGAGCACCGUUUGAAGUUAUGGAAUCCUGACUUCCCAAGCUUUGAAACGAGAUAUGGUAUGAAUGAAAUGGACUUCAGGAAGUACUUCGAAAUGUGUCCAACAGGGGUGCGGCUUCAGGGUGUGUGCGCUGAAGGAAUAGGGUAUCAACAAAAUUUAUACCUAACGUCCUUACACUAAAGUAGCAAAGCUACUAUAGCAUAGUGGCUCUAGGAUCGAACACUGGGAAGGGUUUUUACUUUAACUGAUGAAGUUCGGAGGAUGGAGUGAACUUUUCUUAAUAAAGAUUAGGUUAAGAUGAAAACAUAAAAAGAUGAAGGUGUUGUAAACUAAACUAACAUGAAAAUAGGUUAAAAGAUGGAAAAAGAAGUUUCUCAAAGCUUUGGAUAGCCAUGCUUAACUCACUGUGUAAAAAUGGAGAUUUUGGAACUUUUCACCUCGAGUUGGGGAAGCAACUAAGGUGAUGCUUACUUCCCGAACCGGUAUGAGUUUAACAACUGAGUUUUAGUCCUUGAAAACUUACAAAAGGGUAGCUGAACCUCAUAAAUGCCCUUUUAAUGAUAUAGGUCAUCUCCUCGACUUGCAAUACAAUGGCUCGUAGGAGAUAACUAAUGAACGUCAGUGGAUCUAACAAUAAGAAUCCACUGAGACCAAAAGAUUAUCAAGUAUUGGCCAUUCAAAGCAAGUCAGAGGGAUUAAAAGCUUUACUUUGAAUGAAAACAUUUAUGACGCUCAGCUACUUACAUUCAUGGCUUGGAAAUCUCCAUCUUGACACGGGAGCUUCACAUGGCAUCCAUUACUUCAAGAAACUAAAAGGUUUUAGCCUCUCAUCCUUGGGGAUUUCAUCCUCCAAGGAUGUUUGGCUACUAAGAAAAUAGAAAAUAGAAGAGAGAAAAAGAAAGCAAAAGAUACUCUGUAUUUAGCUAAGUGUAAAAUUUACAUAAGUUCGUCUCCUGGGGAAAGUUCCCCGACGUCAUAAAAUGAAAAUUACAAAACAAUAUAUAACAGGUUGUUUACCCCUGUAUUCUUGCUUAACAACUAAGGAAUCAUCUAAUUGGUGGAUUACAAGGAGAGAAUUGGGAUUUAGACAACAAAUAUCUGAAGAAAAAUAUCAAAAAACGUUGGUCGCAAAUAUCUGGAAGCACUCAGGAGAAUUUCGCAGGCGCACAAAAUGGCUGCGAAAUUUCGCAGCCAAAGGCUGAUUUCGCAGCCCUGCGAAAUUGGCCUUCAGCUUGGAGUGAUCUGCUUCCAUUGGCUCUAACUUCUUCAUUUCAACUCUGAUUUGCGAACCGUUUGAAGCAUUGGAUUGUUGACUUCCCGAUCUUCGAAACGACAUAAAGCAUGCAUAAAUUGGACUUUAGGAAGUACUCCAAAAGUGGCUGAAAUUACUGUCAUCAAGGAUGCUUCAAGGUAGAUUCUCUCUUUACUUCUCCUCCUUGCAUUCCGGAUUGGUUAUGGCAAAGGACUUUAAGGCUUCAAAGCUCUGAUUCUUCAUGUUUCUGAGCUUUCCAUUGCUUUGCCAUGGAUUCCAAAUAACUCUCCUCCAUCUUGGAUUGCCUUGGUGAUCAAAUUACUAACAAAAACACCAAAACUUACACAAAGUGAUUAGAAGUGAUUGCAAAGGUCCUUAAUAUGUUAAUUGGGUUAAAAGGCAAUAAUUACUACUCAAAAGUGUUUAAAAGAGUUAAUUACAAGCUAUCAAAUAGCCCUUUUUGAGUAGUAAUCACCUCACGAUUGUUCUCCACUUCAUUAUUCUAAAUUAGUCUAAGAUGCCUCCCAAUCUACAGAAAAUCACGAUGGUAUUCAACUUCCCAUUCCUUCUCUCAGCGAUCUCAAUUUCCUUCGAAGUCUGGUAUGUGCCUUUCAGCUAUUACAUGAACACCAUUUAAAUAAUUCAACGACCAAAAAGCUCAAUAAUCCAAGAGGAUUACAUCAGCAACAUCACCCUUACAUGAAACCCAGAUCACACAGCGGAGCACACUGACUUAGGAGAAUACCCAGUAGAUAUGCAAAUUGUCGUGUAGUAAGGAAGGGGUGCCAGAGAAAUAGGAAAAUAUGCAAAUAGAAAGAAAGAAACGAAAAAACAGAGAAAAGAUAGGCAUAGUGUAAAUCAUCAAACAAAGCCACAUUCCAUAACUUCGUCAAUGGGCUUAAAAAUAGGCUUCAAUAGCUGAGAGCAAUGGCUUGAUUUUAAAAUCAUCCAAUUCAAGAACGAGCCACUCAUCAAUUGAAGGGAGUAGUCAUAAAAUCAAAACAAAAUAUGCAAAGAAAAAGAACUCUGAUUCAUCAUAACAACCAAGUGACCACAAGCGUCCACAUCAAGUAACAAAAAUAAAUCUUUAGAGACAGCCAAGGAAUGAGGUGAAAUCGAAAUUAAAUGACAAUAUAGUAAAUAUUUGGAAGCAUACCUGCACGAUCUCCCCUCCAAUUGCUUGGCUUUGGGCUACUGCCCCUUUCUUAGACUAGGAAAUCUUCUCUAAGACUGGAAUCUGCCCACCUAUCUCCUGUUCUUCCUCUCUCCCCACCGUUCUCAAUGUGUGCUGCCAAUUCCCUCUUUUCUCUAUGCAUGCUAUCUGUACUCCUUUUCAAAAACCUUCCCCCUUUUCUUCCCUCCAAUCUUUUCUUUUAUUCUAUCUCCAUUUUUCCAAAAGGAAACUUUCCUUUCUCCUACCAAAAAAAAUUUGCCACUUUCAUUUCUCCAAAAUUCUGGUGAUCUUCCUUCCAAGUAGAUGGCAGCAUGUUUUCUCAUGCCUAAUAAGCCAAGAAAUAUGAUUUAGAAAACUCAUAAUAAAAUAAAAUAAAAUCAAAAUCAAAUCAAAUCAAAUCAAAUCAAAAUAAUAAAGAAAGUCAUGCAAGCCACAUAAGUCAUGUAGGUCAUGCAAUAAUGUAAGUCAUAUAAGAAGUGAGUCUAAAAGUUCCUAAGUGGGCCUAAGUGUCCUAGAUGGGCCUAAAGUGGUGCCUAAUGGGCCAAGUGUGCCUAAGUGUCUAAGUGGGCCUAAGGUGGUGUCUAAGUCUAAAUUAGGGUUACCAAAGGUACAAUGAGGGGUCAGAUAAAUCCUUCAACUAAAGUCUCUGAGGUGGCUCAAAAAAAGGUAAGUAGUAUGAGUAGCAAUAGGCCACCAAAGACCUACUAUGGAGCACUGGAAGUGAACUUAAAGACAUGUGCUAAAUGGAUAAAAUUGAAGGUCUACACCAACAUUGACUUAACCAUAUCUAGUAAAGAAUGAUUUCUUCUUUCCGCUAUACUAUUUUGUUGUGAAGUGUUAAGAAUUGUUAACAAUCUACAUAUCCCUUUGUCUUCACAUAGUUUCUGAAACUGAUAUGACACGUAUUACUGACCUUUGUCAGUUUGAAGAAUAUUUAAAUUAUGAUUCUCAACCUCUACCAAAAAACACUUGAAACAAUUCAAUGCUUCAAAGUGAUGAAGCAUUAAUGAAUGUGAGAAAAUAAGAGGAGUCAUGGUGUACCUUUACAUUCAUAGGUCCAUAGAUAUCUUAAUAGACUAACUCUAAAGGGUAAGAGGCCCUAGGUGCCUUUCCAAAAGGCUUCUUAUAGGCUAUUCUUGCUUGACAAGACUCUACCUAGUCUAAUCAUUCUUUUUUUACUUAUGUGUUCUAAUAUAGAAUGUCAAUUCAAAGAAUCAACUGUAUUACCACAAGCUGCAUAAGAAGAUGAAGAAUCUAAAUUCAACAUGAAUAUACCAUUAGAUAAAAAAAUCUUGUUCAUAUAGGGCCUUAUUUAAAUAGAAAUCAACUUUUAUCCUAAUAAAAUGAAAUUUAAAACCUAAUUCAAGUAGUGUUAUUACUGAAAGUAUAUUAUAAUGGACACUAAGUGUAUAUAACACAUCAUGAAGAAGUAAUGUAUGCCUCGUUUGAGUUGGUAUGUUCCAACCCCUAAAACAUCUACCCUUGAUUCGUUACCUAGAGUAACAUAGUGUCUUCCAAUAGGUAUCCUUUUUUAAUCUUUGAAUCCCACUUGAUCCCUUGUAGUGUUAUUAUUUAAAUAGAAUUCAACUUUUAUCCUAAUAAAAUGAAAUUUAAAACCUAAUUCAAGUAGUGUUAUUACUGAAAGUAUAUUAUAAUGGACACUAAGUGUAUAUAACACAUCAUGAAGAAGUAAUGUAUGCCUCGUUUGAGUUGGUAUGUUCCAACCCCUAAAACAUCUACCCUUGAUUCGUUACCUAGAGUAACAUAGUGUCUUCCAAUAAGUAUCCUUUUGUAAUCUUUGAAUCCCAUUUGAUCCCCUGUUAUAUGAUUUAUUCUUUGAAUCCCAAGAAGAGAAUGAAAAAUUAAUUCAUGUGUACAAGCAUAUGAAAAGAGACUAUUAAGAUUUGGGUAUACCUUCUUUGGCUUAGUGCACUCAUGAGCAAAGUAGCCUAACUUUCCAUAGUUGUAGCAUUUCAUUUUGGCCAUAUCCUUGUCUGCAGCUCACUUACUUCUCUAGUUUUUUUUUUUUUUUUUUUCCUUUUGUUGGCCCUAGAUUUCCUACUGUACCACCAUGUGUUCCUUAUCCCUUAUGCUUAAACUUAUUAGCCUAUUGUUGCCCCACAUGAGUGGCAAUUGUGGUGUGUUGCACCCCUAAAUGCUCCAUUUUCAAUUCAAUGUGGUGAGAAAUAUCAGUAAAAGUUUUAAUAUUCUCUUUGUCUGUGAGCACUAGUUUUCCUUAUGAUUCAAGCAAAGAGCAUAUAACAACUAUGACUUGCUACUUGUUAGUCAGGUUAUUAUCGACUACAUUUAAGUCACAAAUUAUAGCUAAAAUUUCCCUCAAAUGUUCAGCCAUGGUGUGUUUAGGGUCCAUAAUAUAUUGCUCAGAUUUCAAAGUGAGCACUCACAACCUAGUUAUAAAUGUUAAAUAAUAACCAAUCUUCAGCUUAUUCUACAUGUCUUAGGGAAUGGGGCAAUUCUCAAACUCCCAUUUUAAGUCAUUAUGCAUGCUACGAAACACAGUGAAACAUGCACAAAGGUCUCUUUUAACCUAAUAAUAAUAAGCUUCCAUAUCAUAGUAGCAGUGGGCUAGAUUCCUUUCUUCAAGUUGAACCAUGAUAUUAAGGUCUCUAAGACCUCUUGUUCAUUUAACAGGUAUUGGAUUUUUCUAUGCCACAUAUCAUAAUUAUUAUCAUCUAAUUUUUUUCCUUUUAUCAAAUUAACAACGUUUUUAGUAACCUUUUCACUAUAUUUAUUAUGUAGGACACAUUAGCAUACAUUUAUCAAUUUCAACUUAGUCUAUGAUAUUCUUGUUAACAUAAUGAGAUCGAAAAUUUUGUAAUGCUCAUAACUCUCAUUAAAUGUGAACUAGAUCAUUAUAACUAAUUUAAAAUUUUAAUUUUUUAAAAAGAUACCAAUAUUCCUUAAAAAACACUAUUAGCCUAAUGGUUUUUCUAAUCUCAUUUUAAUAAUAACAAAUCAUAGUUAGUUUGCUAAUGAGUUAAAAUUAAGAUAAGUUUUAGGUAAUAAUUAUGAAAAAAAAAAUCAAAUAGAAAAUCAAUAUAAUCAUCAAGGGAUCAAUGAAGAGCAAGACUGAGUGUGCAUGAAGGUCAUUCAAGCUUAGAAAUCCUAUGUAAGAUGUUCACUUGGGUGCAGUUAGGGGUUUAAAUUUAUCCAUGCAUUGUUUUCAUAUUGGGUUUUAAGCUUUAAAAGUAAAAUUUUUAUAAACUUGAGUUUUAAUUCAAAACCAUAGGCAAAAACCUCUCAACUAGUUUUUAUAAAAGUGUUUAAAGUUGUUGUCUAAGUGUUAGAAAGAAUUGAAAUUGAAAAAGAUAGGUUUUCGAGAAAAAAAAAAUGGUCAAUCAAUCAAGAGCUAUCUCAACGACUCAAUUGAUUAGGAAACCGAUUGACCAAUUACCCUUUUAUGGUCAAGGCUUAGUCAACAAGCACAACAAAUCUUCUCUCUCUUCUAGAAGGGUUUCUUUGUUGAUCAAGAAAAACAUUUUCCCAACCGAGGUCUAGUCAAGCCCCUAAUGGUCACCUGCCAAACAUUUAAUAUCCAACGACUAGUUAAUCGAUCAAUCGAAGCUCGAUCGGGAAAGGCUUGUUGGAGCACUUUUUGGUGUCCAAGGUUGAAAACUUAUAAAUUGAGAGCUCUCAUUCUUUUAUUGCAUAGAGAACACUUGCAUUAAACUUCUUACCUACUAGUUUCUCACAUUCAAUGCUUUCUUUCUUUCUUUCUUGAUGCAUUAAAUCUCUCACUUGCAAACCCAUCUAGUGCACCCUUGUUGUUCAUCCUAAUUGCCUUUUAUUUCCUCAUUAAUUGUGCUAGGAUUGAGUGAUCUUAAACUCUCAUUUAUUGAAGUAAGGUUGAGUUUUAAGCUUCAAGUUUGAGGAUAAGACUUGAAUGAUUGCUUAUAGUGCCCAUUGGAGCCAAAGAAUCCAAUUGUAAAAACUUGGGAGCUAAGUUGAAGCUUCAAAUUAGUGGAAUCCUCAUUUAGGAAGAACUUGAGGAGAGUGAUGAUUACUACUCAAAAAGUGCUAUUUGAUAGUUUGUAAUUAAUCCUUUUAAACACUUUUGAGUAGUAGUUAUUUCCUUUUAACUCAAUUAACAUGUUAAGGACCCUUGCAAUCAUUUCUAAUCAAAUUGUGUAAGUUUUGGUGUUUUUGUUAGUAAUUUGAUCACCAAAACAAUCUAAGAUUGAGGAGAGUUAUUUGGAAUCCAUGGAAAAGCAAUGAAGAGCUCAAAUUCAUGAAGAACCAAGCUUUGGAGCUCCCUAGCCCUUUGCCAAAGUCGUUCAAAGUAUGCAAGGAGAGAAGCAAGGAGAGAGGAAAAACAGAGUGAAGAAAACAGAGGACAGCAGCUGUAGUCUUCUUUCGCACUUUUGGAGCACUUCCCGAAGUCCAUUUUCUACAUGCUAUAUACCAUUUCAAAGCUCAGGAAGUCAAGAAUCCAACGCUUCAAACCGUGUACGAUUUGGAGCUGAAAUGAGGAAGUUACAGCCUUUGGAAGAUGACUGCUCCAAGCUGAAGGAAGGAUUCAGCAAAGUGUUGCGAAAUCACCCUUUUGUUGCGGAAUGAUUUCGCAGCCUUUUUGCACAGUGCUUUGGAUUUCCCUUGAAGUUUCACGCCGCGAUGGAAGCCAAACACCACAAGAUGAAAGCCAACUUCGCAGCGGUGCGGAAUCAGCCUUUUGCUGCGAAGUAAUUUCGCAGCCCUUUGUGGAUGUCUGCGAAAUCUCGCAUACCUCAUUUUCACCUGCGAAAUGGUCCUUAGUCUGCGAAAUGGUCCUUAGUGCUUCCCGAUAUUUGUGACCGACACUUUAAGAUAUUUUUCUUCAGAUUGUUGUGUCUAAAUUUCCAUUUUCUCCUUGUAUUCAACCACUCAUGUAAUUCCUUAGCUAAGAAGUAUCCAAGGAAGGGUAAAUUACCUUCCUAUAUAAACUCCCUUGCAUCCACUGUAAUCAGGGGAUGUAAUAUGAUGUAAUCCAAAUCGAUCAAUAUAUAGAAUAUACAGAGCCUUGCUCUGUUUUUUCCUUCUCUUUCAUUUUUCAUUUCUUUUUAUUUCUAGCCAACCAAACUUUGAGGAUUUUUCCUCAGAGGAUGAAAGGCUAAGCUUUUUGUCUCUUGGAGUGAGGAAAGCCGAGUAAGUUUCCACAUGCAUAAUUUGGAAGUUUUGUUGUUUUAGUUUUUAAUGAAGAGAAAGUGUAACCCAUUAAUGGUUUUUAUCUUUUUAGUUAACUUAAAACGCCUUUAAAUCACCUGGGCCAACACUUGGUAAGGCAAGUGAUCUCCGUCCAUGGAGAUGCACUAGUUUACCCCUUGCGAGCCUUUAGUAGGUGGUUUGAAGGUAGGAUUUUCUAGAAUUGCCAACACUUGGUAAGCUUUUGGACUCUAAGGAGACAUCCAUUAGUUAUCUCUUGCGAGCUUUUGACGGGUAAUCCAAGGUUAAAGAUCACCUUGAAUGGCAAGUGCUAGGUGAGAGGUAUGAGCCAUUGCAAGGUGCAUCAGUGAGAGGGAUUUAGUGUUUGAACCCAUUAAUGGGAAGCAUUUGUACAACACCGGUUAGAGAAUUAACUAUAUGUUAAUUCUCUAAUGCGAGGAAAAGAAACAAGUGACCGGAACUCUCUUUUUUGUAUGAGGAAUCUGAGCCUAGUGAUCUGAAACUCCAAGAAACAUUUUUCUUUGUAAGUAAAAUCAAUUACUAUUUUUGGUUAGUUUAAAUCUAAACCUUUUUCAUUCAAACAUCUUUAUGUUUUCUUUUAAAGUUAACCUUGAAAUGAAAAGAAUCCAAUUCAGCUUUGAAUUAAUAUCAUUUGCAAAGUGAAAACCCAUCCCAGUGAACGAUCUUAGAGCCGCUAUGCUAUAGUAGCUUUGUCUUUGCUACCCUAGUAUAUGGUGUAAUAGGUUAUAAAUUUUGUUGAUUACUCCCUCAAUCAAGGAGCACCAGUUGGACACGAAUCAGCUGAGACACCAAUUGGGCAUGAAUCAAAUGGCGCCGUUGCCGGGGAUCGAACCUCGAAUCAAAUGGUGUCGUUGCCACUACCGCUGCUAGGGACGAAUCAAGUGACAUAGGCAAAAUUGACCGAGCCACUAUAAAAUCAGUGUUUGCAACCUCUCUAUGUCUUAUCUCUUUAUUUUUAUUAUUUUUUUUUGUUAUUGCUUGAGAAUAAUUGUCCAAAAAGUUUUUAAAACCCAAUUCUCCCCCCUCUUGGGUGUUUUUAUUAAGUUAAUUAGCCUAUAUAUAAGUUCAAUUUAAAUGGUAUUGGACAAAAAAAAAAAACUUACAUAAACAAUUCAUAUGCAAAUAAACAUUGUAUACAUUAAAAAAAAAAAAAAAAGUAAUCCAUAAAUUCAAUAACCUUAUUACCAAAAUUCUUUUAAUGAAUAGUGUAGCAACUUGAGCUGAAGUGCACUUUGUAGUAGCAUGUUUAGGCCUAUAUUUUUGGAUUAAACUUGUGCUUUUGGGCAAUCCAUUUUUUUGUGUUUGCAUGUUUGAGCACGCACUUUUGGAUUGGACAUGCACUCUUGGAUAACCCAUUUUUGUAUUUGCAUGCUUAAGCCUACACUUUUGGAUUGAACAUGUGCUUCUAGGCAGUCUAUUUUUGUGUUUGCCUACUUAGGCCUAUACUUUUAGAUUGAACCUACGCUUUUGGAUAACCUUUUUAUUAUUAUUAUAAACAAAAAUAAAAACUCUUCAAUUAAUGGACACAAAUAUUUAUUUAUUUCAAACAAAUAAAUACAAAUAGAGACAAAAACAAGCUUGAUCUAGCUAUGAUACCAAUAUAAGAUAAAAAAUUAAAACUAUAAUCCAAAAAACAUACUUAUGGAAGAUCUUUGUAGCUUGAAUUGUACUCUCUAAUAUUGAUAAUUGCUUUAGUGAGGUUGUUGUGAUUGUGAUGGAGAAGAUUAGAUCGGUCCAACGAAAAACUAGCUAUUCUGCCUAUGCAGUUAACUAUGCUUCACAUCUUUUCUCUAUCCUCUACUAACACUAGUUAUGUCGCACUUAUUCGAUCCCCAGCUCAGUUUGUAUCCCUUACUACUAUUAUUGUAUGCCCAGUCCAAACAGUACCUUGGAUAUGUAGGUUUGGAUGUCACAGCUCUUUUAUAGGAGUCCAGGAUAUAUACCUCCAGUCAGUCUCCUUGCAUUAACAAACAAAGAAAAAGAAAAUACCCAUAUUCCUUUUCUCAUACUCUCUCUCUCUCUCUCUCUCUUUCUCUUAAGUAUAAUUAAUUAAUCUAACAUACGAUAUACGAUCAAUGCCCUACCAAGACCAAGCCAAGUGAAUAUUAUUUCCAGUUUCUUUUCUCUGAAUGAAACUCAAGUUCAACACUUGGAUCUCAACCACGAUAUUUUAUCGAAAGUUCAUGAGUUUCAUAGAACGUAUGCUUCAUCAUCUGGACUAUCCAAUACAAUAUUACAUGAAUUCAAAGAUAAUGAACCCCCAAUUCCAUGCUUAUAUAUAGACGUCAACUUGUGUUAUGUAGAAAUAUUAAUAUUCCAAGUUGAUAUGUUUACACUGGGCUUUUGAGUUUUGAGUUUUGACUGGCUCUGCCUGAAAUGCAGGAAAUGCAGGGAAAUAUUUGCUUUCAUGGUUGUACAUUUGGUACAAAAAUGUUGAAAUUUCCUACCAGCUAAUACGUGGUUCUCAUGCCAGAAGCUGGAGAUAGAGAUUCAUAGAGAUUCAACCCUAUAUUAUACAACAGCUAAGCACCUCCACUAGUUAUGGAGAUUGAAGAAAAAGUCAAUUUUUGACGCGACAAGGAAGCUAUGACAUGAGUUUCCAUGAAGGAUACCUAUGAUUUUUCGUUGUAAGCUACUCUUUGUCUCUUAAUUAUCAAGGAAACAAUAGCUAAUACUUCAUCAUAUCAUACUGUAUUCUUUUGAAGUCAAUGGUACAAGGGAAAAAAAAUGCAAAACUUAGAGUCUCAGCGUCUACAAUAAAGUUUCAACUCUCUUUUAAGUGCUGACUUUUCACUGCAAUUAAAUAAAAUGAAAGAGAAAAGAAAAUUGAUAAACUAAAAUUAUAAACUAUAGUGUUAUAUAUAUAUUUGUGAAUAAUCAGACACACUUAAAAUAUAAUGUUAAAAGAAAAUUUACAAUUUAAAAAUUAUUGUUACUUUUUAAAAAAAAGUCUACUAAUUUUAAUGUAUUAUUUAUUGCUAAAAAGUUAAUUGAUCUACUUCAAAUAUGUUUACAAGAAAAAAAAUCGGCAUUAUUUACUUAUAAUUUGCUUGGCAAGUGGGUGGAAUAUAUACUUUCUUGCAAAGGCUUAAUUAAAAUGACAAGACUAUUGUUUAAUCGCCUGUUAGGUUUGGUUUGAUGGGAUUGACUACGACUUUCUUCAGAAAUUUGUUGUGAAAGGAGCAUCAUCUUCUAUAUGGUUUGUAGCAUGAUGUGAGUCCCACAAAACAUACUUUGAUUUUGUCAAGGUAACUAAAUUCAACAUGAGAAAUCAUGACCAGUUAUACACUUUCCACUCCUACGGACCACGCUAAAUAUGAUAUUAUAUGGCUGCUUUUGCUUCUAGGACAUGCAAGUUAUAUGGAUAUUUGGUGCAAUCGUUAUGGACUCGGAACAUCCCCAAUAAGAACUUUUCAAAGUUGCAACUUUACAUGGUUAAUCUAAAUUUAUAAAUCAUGAAGUAGUUGAAAUAUUUAGAGUUUUAGAAUCGUUUUGGGAAAAAUGAAAAGAAGAAAAUGAUUUCCCUUUAAUAUUUGACAAGAAUUAGAGUUUCUUUUUUAUGUGAAAUAUAUCGGAAUAAAUUUGAACUCCAAUUAAAUUUGAAUGAAGAUGAAAGUUGCAAUUUUCAAAGUUUCUUUUAUAUAUAUAUAUAUAUAUUUGUUUGAAUUUGAUUUAUGUCAAAAUAAAGCUUAACAUUAUCGAGCAUUUAGACAAUUUAUUUUUUAUUAAUGUGUAAAUACUAUUAAAUGUUGAGUUGCAUGUUCUUAUUAAUGUUUGCAUACUAUUAAGCAUUAAUUAAUUCUAUUUCUUUUUACACAUUAAAAAUAUUUAUAAAAAUAAUUAUUAUGUUUCGUUUUAUUUUACAUAAUUAAGAUAAAAUAUUUAAAAAUUAACUAAGAAAUUAGUCAUUGAAUAAUAAUUAAGAUUUUGGAUAUUUUAAAAUCAAUUAAAAAUUGCUAAUUGAAUAAUAAGUAGGAUUUUUAAUAGUGUUUGAUUGCUAAGAAAAUAUUAAAAUGUUUUUAGGUUAAGUUUCAUUAAUAACUCUUUAAUUUAUAUAUGGUAUUCCUCAAAUUAAUGAAUUUGUAAUUAAAAAGAUGAGGUUCUUCACUUGGUAACAUUGAUAUUAAGAAUAAUGAUUAUACACUUAACUUGGAUAUAAAGUGGUUGAAUCAACUACCAUGAUCCUACUUGCAUAGUCUAAGGGCUAAAUAUAAAAGGUAUGCUAACAUUGCCAUAGGGUUAAAUAAGACAAGACCAAUUUGAGAGGGUUUUUGCCCGGUAAUAAUAUCAUAACCAAUCCAAUAUAAGCUUGAUUCUUAUAAUACUAGGAUAUCUUACCAAAGACAUAUAGUCCUAAGAGUUCUACAUUUUGCUAAAUUCAUAUGGUUUAUUUUAUUGUGAAUGCUCAAUUAUUAAUACAUGUUUAACUUCUUUAUAACAAUCAUGUAAUAUAAUCCAAUCACUCUCAUGCUUACCAGUAAUAAAUUGGUUAAGCUUAACUACAUGGAUUGAAAAAUAAAUCUAAACAUUUUCUCACAUAAGAGGAGUUAAAAUGGGUGGUAACUUAAAAUUUUGCUCCAAAUACCUCUAAUAAACUAUCCUCACUAGAAGAGAGAGAUGCUUAUCAUAGAUGACAUAAGGUGGAUCAAAAGGCUAGGUGUAUCAUACUCGGGUCUUUAGAUAACAUGUUGGAACAGCAAUAUGUGUCUCAUGCCAUGACUUAUGAUAUUCUCUUCAUUUUACAAUAGAUCUUUGAUGACAAGGGUAAGUCAACUAGAAAAGUUGCUUUAAAGACUAUCAUGAACAUUAGGAUGAUAAAAGGAACUCUCAUUAAAAAUCAUAUGGUAUAUAUGAUUAGGCUCUUUAAUGAGAUAAAGAUCCUUGUAGCUAAGAUUGAUAGAAAAACCAAGGUUAAUUUGAUCUUAGAGACCUUGUCAAAUUCCUUUGAAAAUUUUGAGUUAAACUAUUCUAUUUAUGAGUGAUUGUGAAACUUGUCAGAGCUUAUGAGGGAGCUUGAGAUGGAUGGCCGAGAGGAUUCUAAAAGAUAAAAGGUAAUUACUUUAAAAAUUGUUCAAAAUUUUGAGGUAUAAAAAGUUUUACUAUCUCAAAUUUUAAAAUUUUACAUCCUCACUCUUGUUUGUUAUUUUUUAUUUAAUUCAAAAUUUUAUUCUUGGUCCACUAAGUAAAAUAUAUUGAAAGAUCCAUUAAAAAUUACUUAUUGUAGCAUUAUUAUUUUGAUUUAGAUAUGAUUCCAUUUAUUUUUUUUAAAAUAUAAACCAUAAAAAGAAAUUGUACGAUAGUCGGCAGAUAGGAGUGACUUUCUUCCAUCUAAAGGAGCAUAAAAGUUCCAAGCAUUGACGGUGUACUCAAGAAGUAUUCCUUUGUAUUCAACAGUUAGUCGGGUCCUUUCUGCUAACGUUGUGUGGUGUGGUCUUUCUUGGAUGCUGCCGAUUCCUACUUUUCAAGUUCUAAAUACUAUAAAUAAUAUCAUUAUUCUCCCAAACAUUAUGAAUCCCAAAGCCUCCCAUAAAACUUCAGAAUGAGAAACAACCUUACCCAACUCCCUUUAUUUCUCCUCUGCUGUCUGUCUUUAUGGAUUUUCUUCAUAGAGAUGGCCAUGUCACAGAACACAACAAUACCAGUUAAAGUGGGAGUGGUUCUUGACAUGGAUACAUGGCUGGGUAAGAUGGGUUUGAGCUGCAUCACCAUGGCCCUCUCAGACUUCUAUGCCUCUCAUGGGCACUACAAGACUAGGCUGGUUCUGGAAAUCAGAGAUUCCAAAAGAGAUGUUGUGGGUGCAGCUGCAGCAGGUACUCUCGUUUCAUAAAACUUAGAAUACAUUUAGAAAACAAUUGCAUUAUAGAGACAUAUAGAAGCAAAAGUUUAAACUUGCCCUCUUAUUUUCAAACAAUUAGAUAUUUUUAUUGCCCUUUUAGAUGAGCAAUUGAUUAUUAACAGAACUUUUAUCAUUUUUAAUCACAACUUGCCACAGAAAUACGAGAUUAGAAAAAUUGAUAAAUGGUGUAAAUGUUAAGCGUUUAACUAAUAGAUCGAAUUGGAUGAAACAAAAUUAUAUUCCUUCUUCUGCCAUAUCACCAUUUCCAACCUCAUAUCAAAGUUCAAGUUCUUCCUAAUUAACAUGGUAAAAUUGUAGUGAAGACAUUAAAUAAGAAAAGUUUUUGAGGAAAAAGAGUCAUGAAGUUGAACCAAGAUUAGCAUGCCCAUCAAAGAUGGCAAAAAGUCUCGUUAAAUUGUAGCACGUGUUUUCAACUAAGCAACAUUUCUUGCCUCGGAAGAUGUUUCUUUGUUAACCACACGAUGCUUCAAAGAUGAAAAAAGUCUUCAUAAAUUUGAUUUCCUCCUUGUUUUAAAAGUCACUCUAAUAUUGUGGUCAUGUUCCAAAACCGAUGCCUAUGAUCUAUGUUAUUGAGAAAUAAUGUGAUGCAGAAGUAUAUAAAAAAGAUUGAUAAUUUGUUAUAAUAAGAAGAUUGAUAGGUUGUUAACAAAUUCCAGUAUCCAUCGGACCAAGGGGAUGUAUUUUCCAUUUUUGUACCUUGUUUGAUUGUUGAUAAUAUAGUAGAAAUUGAAUGAAACUUCCGAAUUAUUAUAUUUUAAUCAUUGUGAAAUUCAGCUCUAGAUUUAUUACAAAAUGAGGAAGUUCAAGCCAUCAUAGGACCAGCAUCCUCCAUGCAGGCCAACUUUGUGAUUGGCCUCGGAGACAAGGCUCAUGUGCCCAUCAUUUCAUUUUCUGCAACUAGUCCUUCUCUUUCUUCAAUCCGGAGUCCAUAUUUUGUCCGAGCCACACUGAAUGACUCAGCACAAGUACCAGCUAUAAGGGCAAUUGUCCAAGCCUUUGGGUGGAGACAAGUUGUGCUCAUUUACUUGGACAACGAGUACGGAAAUGGAGUUAUACCGUAUCUUACUGAUGCCUUGCAAGAGAUUGACACCCGUAUCUCCUACAGGAGCGUCAUUCAUCCAUUAGCCACAGAUGAUCAAAUCCUCGAAGAGCUUUACAAGUUGAUGACAAUGCCAACCAGAGUUUUCAUUGUACACAUGUUUACACCUCUAGGCCCACGACUUUUUGGCAGAGCGAACGAGAUUGGAAUGAUGGAAGAAGGUUUUGUAUGGAUUCUAACUGAUGGGUUAACUGAUAUCUUGAGUACUUUGGAUCCAUCUGUCAUUGAUUCAAUGCAAGGAGUGUUGGGGGUGAAGCCUCAUGUUCCAAGAUCGAAAGAGCUUGAAAGUUUUAAAAUCAGAUGGAAAAGGGAAAUCCAACAAGAAUAUCCGACCAAUGAAAGCUUUGAGCUGAACAUUUUUGGACUCUGGGCUUAUGAUGCCGCUUCUGGGUUAGCCAUGGCAGUUGAAAAACUUGGGGCAACAAACUUCAGCUUCCAAAAGUCUCAUAUUUCCAGAAAUUCAACCGAUCUUGAUACUGUAGGAGUCUCCCUAAUUGGUCCAAAACUCCUCCAGUCACUAUUAAAUACUAGAUUUAGAGGCCUCAGUGGGGAUUUUCAAAUUGUUAACAGACAACUACACUCAUCAGCUUUUCAGGUAGUCAAUGUGAUACGCAAGGGGGAAAGAGGGGUAGGAUUUUGGACACCAGAGAAUGGAACUGUAAGAAAGUUGGAUUCUACUUCCAAGCCCAAUCUAGGAACAAUCGUAUGGCCAGGAGAAUCUCCCUCCGUCCCUAAAGGUUGGGUCCUUCCAACCAAUGAGAAGAAAUUGAGAAUAGGAGUACCAGUCGGCCAAGGUUAUAGUGAAUUUGUAAAGGUGACGCGAGAUCCUAGCAGUAACACAACGGAGGUCACUGGAUUUUCCAUAGCAGUCUUCGAUGCAGCGAUGGUAGCAUUACCAUAUGUUGUUCCUUAUGAGUACAUUCCCUUCGAGGGGCCUGAUGGCAAACAAGCCGGUGAUUACAACGAUUUGAUAUAUCAAGUAUAUCUCCAGGUCAGUUGAACUCUUUACCCUUCCUAGCACAUAGAGACAACUCUUGGUUGGCUUCAAUUAUAAUGAAUUUUGUCAAACUAAAAAGCUAUUGCAGUUCCCCGUUGUUGGCUUUUGAGUACAUAGGAAACAACCAAACUUGCAGCAAAUUUUCCUGCAGUGCAUAACAGAAUGGCCCCAUUGUUUAUUGUUAACAGAAGUAUGAUGCUGUGGUGGGAGAUACUACUAUUCUAGCGAACAGGUCCUUGUAUGUAGACUUUACACUACCUUACACAGAUUCUGGGUUGUCAAUGGUCGUGCCCACUAUAGAUAAAAGAAAAAAAAAUGCAUGGGUUUUCUUGAAGCCACUUACUUGGGACCUUUGGGUGACAAGCUUUUGUUUCUUCGUAUUCACUGGCUUUGUGAUUUGGGUUCUUGAACAUCGAGUAAAUAAAGACUUCAGAGGGCCUCGUUCACAUCAAGUUGGCACUAUCUUCUGGUUUUCAUUCUCAACAUUGGUGUUUACUCAGAGUAAUUUCUCUUCCACCUCCUUGAAUUUUAUCUAGCAAUUUAUCUACUUAUGUAAUAUUCAAAUACAAAGCAUAGUGAGCACAUCUCAAACACAAUCGAAACUAACUUCUAGUAUAUAUGGCCUGCUUGCUUGUUUCCCAUGACUGUAACCUCUAUUAAUAUAUGGACAUUCCAUACAAUAUGCAAGUAAAUUUCAAAAUAAUUUUUAUGUUUCAGAAAUUAUAUAUAUUUGACUUUAUAUUGAUUUUCUGGAUUGGAUUUUCUUUUUCUUUCUUAAAUUAUGUUAACAGAGGAGAGAAUUGUCAGCAACUUGGCUCGGAUCGUGAUGAUCAUAUGGUUUUUUGUGGUGCUGAUUCUUACUCAAAGUUACACAGCCAGCUUGGCUUCAAUGUUAACAGUUCAACAACUCAACCCGACUAUCACUGAUAUAAAUGAGCUCAUAAAGAAGGGGGAGCCUGUAGGUUGCCAAAAUGACUCUUUCGUUUGUGAAUUCUUGAUCGAGUCGAUGAAAUUUGAUGAGUCCAAGCUUGUAAAAUAUGAGUCCCCAGAAGAACUGGAUGAAUUAUUUUCAAACAAGAGUUCAAAAGGUGGAAUUGCUGCUGCAUUUGAUGAAAUCCCUUACAUGAAGAUUUUCCUUGCAAAAUAUUGCUCCAAAUACACAGCAGUCGGACCAACAUACAAGUUUGAUGGGUUUGGAUUUGUAAGCGUUCUCUCUUAAAGUGUAUAGAUUUUCAUGCAGUGGUUUCUGAUUUUUGAUCAUUUUUCAGGUGUUUCCAAAGGGUUCACCCCUUGUAGCUGAUGUUUCAAGGGAAGUCUUAAACGUGACAGAGGGAGCUAAAAUGCUACAAUUCGAGAAGGCAUGGUUUGGGCAAACACCCAGUUGUCCAGAGCUCACCAGCUCAGUUUCUUCGAACAGCAUCGGCCUUAAUAGCUUUUGGGGCCUAUUCCUCAUUGCUGGAGUCGCUUCAUGCGUAGCUCUCACCACAUGCAUCACCAUGUUCCUUUAUGAAAAUAGAGAUAUCUUAAUAAACUUGAAUCCCUCAUCUUCCAUAUGGGGAAAAAUUAAAGCCAUGGCAACACGCUUUGAAGACAAAGAUCUCAGGUCCCAUACCUUUAGAAAUAGUGAUCUCAGUUCAAAUCGGCCGAUGCAUCCACAUAUAUUGUUUGAAUAUGAGCUUGCUAAUAUAAAUCAUGAGCAAACAAGAUGUCAUGCCCCGUGACCCGCUCCAAGGGCAUGACAAUCAUUUCACAUGUCAAGCCCGAAAGCUCAAAGUGUAAAUUAAACAUUAUCUAGAAUAAUUCUAGAAGCUUCUCUUAGCCUCACAUGUAAAGCACCAGCUCACCAACUCCACACCAAAUGCAGUUGUAACAGAGAAUUGGGUUGUACACUCUCAUAUAUAAAUAUUUGUAAAAAAAGAUAAGAGGUUUAUUCUAGGCAAUAUUUUUUUCAUUAUGUUCUUCUCUGCCCCUCUAUUUUCUCUCUCAAAAACUCCUCUGAUUCAAUCCUUUUUUUUUUUUUUUUAAUUCAAUCAUGGUAUCAGAGCUCCAUGAGACUUACGUCACCACUCCUACCAUGUCCACCACUACAACUGCAACCAUAACUACGAAUCCAGCAAUGGCGUCUUCCUUUUUUAUUAAUCUCAACUUCACUCUGUCGAUCAAGUUGGAAAGAGGUAAUUACCUUAUUUGGAAGUCACAAAUUCUUCCUAUUCUUAGAGGUCAUGGUCCUGAUGGUUUUGUUACAGGAAUGAAACCUUGCCCGAAUGAGUUUAUCAACGUUGCAGGUGAUUCAUUUGGCCUUAAUCAAAUGGUAAAUCAAAUGGCAAAGACAAGAUCAGUUGAUCCUUGGGUGGAUGAUUGCUUCAAUGUCAGAAGGUGUUGUUGGUCAGAUUGUAGGUUGUACCACUUCUUAGCAAGUCUGAGCAGCUCUGGAGCAUCUUUUUGCCUCACCUUUGAAGGCAAGAUUACUUCAGUUGUGAAUAGAAAUGCAGACAACCAAGAAAGGCUCUCUCUCAAUGAUUGAUUACAUUAGCAAAAUGAAGUCUAUUGUAGAUAAUCUAAUAGCAUCUAGAGCACCUCUUACUGAUGAAAAUCUUAUAAUGAAUUUGUAGACUGGUGUUAGAGUAGAAUAUGAUCCAGUAUUUGUCAUUAUUGCAACACGACCAGAACUCUUCACUCUAUCAGAAGUGUGUGCACUGUUGCAGAAUCAUGAAACCCGUAUUAAGCAACUGAAUUCUUGCACACAAAUUGUCUCCAAAAUGUCUCUGCUAAUUUUACAGUAGGUGGUUCUUCCAAGGAUGGUCGUGGUUGUAGAAAUACUCAUGGGAAUGACAGGGCACAUACUAGAGGUCAUAACAGUUUUCAUUGCAGUCAGUAUUUUGGUCUAGGGCGUGGUAGUUGUGGUAGAGGUAAUGGAUUGCGCCCAACUUGCCAAGUUUGUGGUCGACAAGGACACAUUGCUAUAAACUGUUACCAUAGAUUUGAUCGGGCUUUUCAAUCUCCCCCAAGUAAUUCAUUAACUGUUAUGGUUGCCCUUCCUAAUACAAUAGCGGAUCCUUCUUGGUACUUUGAUAGUGGUGCAUCAACCCAUGUGACCAAUAAUCCAGACAACUUGAGCUUCAAAUCUUACUAUAAUGGUCAUGAUAAGGUUACUGUGGGCAAUGGUCAAGGUUUGUGCAUUCAAAAUGUUGGUUAUUCUUCCCUACCUUUUUUUCUCAAAACCUUGCAUCUCAUAAAUAUUUUGCAGCCCAAAAAUUACUAAAAAUCUCUUGAGGAUUUCUAGGUUCACUAUAGAUAAUAAUGUUUAUGUUGAGUUUCACUAAAAUCAUUGCUUUGUGAAAGACAAGAGCUCAGGGAAUGUUUUGUUCCAAUGAUCAAUUAAAGAUGGCCUUUAUUGUCUGAUACCACCUCAGAAUCCUCUAUUCCAUUGUUUCCAGUUCUACCACAGUCACUCCAAGGGAUACUUCAUUUUUUUGCCCAUGUUUCCUCUGCUGAUAAUCACACUUUUAGUCCAGUUUUGUAGUCUCUUAAAUAUAAUAAACUUGAGGUUUGGCACCAAAGGUUGGGCAAAAUGAAAACUUAUCCCCAAGUUUGUACUCAAGUCUGUUUUGAAGUCUUGUAUCUUUUCUUUACACAAUGAAAACUUAUCUCCAAGUUUUUGUAAUUCUUGUUAGUUUAGCAAAAACCAUGCUCUUCUUUUUACUACAACCAUGGCACCUCUUCAAUUGGUUCACACUGAUUUGUGGGGGCCUUCUCCUGUCAAGUCCAGUGUUGGUUUUCUCUAUUAUAUUUAUUUUAUCGAUGACUAUACUUGGUUUACCUGAAUUUAUCCAUUGAAAGCUAAAUCUAAUGCUCUAAAUGUAUUUUUUUCUUUUCAAAGUGUUUUGUGGAAAAUCAAUUCGGCUUGUGUAUUAAAGCCUUACAAUCCAACUGGGGUAGCGAGUACAGACCUUUUCUUCCUAUUCUUCUUAAACAUGGAAUUCAUUUUCGCCAUCCUUGCCCACAUGUCACUACAAGAAAAAAGGUCAUUGUUGACAUAUAUUAUCUUGAUUUAAGGUGAUAUGUGUCAAUAUUGCCUAUUUAAAUGAACAACUAUGACAUAUACAACUUGUUUAAACCAAUAAUGACAUAUAUAAAAUUUGUUGAAUUCUUUCAUGACUUAUAUAAUAGAAUCUUGACAUAUAAUUUAUAAGUCAAUGUAUUCAAGGUACUUAAAUAAAAGUAAUAAUGAUAAUAAUUUGUUUGAUAUUUGUAUAUCUAAUUUACUUACUAAGUAUUAUAAAUUGAAGUGACAACAAUCAAUUUUGAUUAAGGAAGUCAAUGUUUAUUUAAUAAAUUUUUUCAGUAAUGUUAAGAUCAAUUUUCAUUUUUUUUAUCAAAUUGAUUAAAUGAUUUUUUAGUCUAUAUCAAUAGCACUAAAAUAAAUUUUUAUAAAUAAUUUUUUAUUCACUAAUUUUAGUGAAAUAAAAUUUGCUACAUUAUGGUUUUUUUAAUAAUUGGAUGUAAAUAAAAUCAAUACUAAUAAACUAUUUUUUUAUUCAUUGAUGUUAAUGAUUUUUUUUUUUUUUUUGAGUUUGCAUUAAUAUAAUCUUUUUUUUCAUGAACUAUUUUAACUAUUUUUCAUUAUUUUUAAAUUAGUAAUUAAAUUGUAUUUGAUUUAAAAUAAUUAAUAAAUUUGAGUAAGCUUGAAAAUUAAGAUAUUUAUAAUUUUGAUCUGUCAAUUGUUCGACAUAAUAUCAGGUUUCAAAAUUUUAUUUUUUAAGUUAACUCGUACAAAUUUAGACAUUAGGAAAGAAGAAAAUUAAUUAUGGUAAAUUGAAAUUAUAAAAGUUAUAAAUAUAUUCCAUAAAUUGAUUCUCAUAAAGUUGACUCAUAGAAAAAGAAUUUAAAUUUUGGUGUGAUAAGAUUAAUGUUGGUGUUUAUUUUCUAAUCUCAUUUCUACCAUUCAUUUCAAAGAACCCUAAGAGAUCACAUUUUUCUCUCCCACUUCUCUGCCACCGCCACUCUCCAUUUUCUUUUUUUUUUUCUUCUUUCCUCCCUCAUGUUUCUUUCCCCGUUCGCUCUCCAUACCCAUGCGCCUCAUCCAUCUCAACAAUAUCGCGACUAUCAAUCGUCACCGGCAGUGAUGCUACCGAUCGACGUUGUUUCUCUCUCUCUCCCUUAUUUUUUUGUUCCUCUUUUUCAUUCUUUCUUUCUCUCUCUCUCUCACCAUGCCAUCCCUCGUCGUCGGCUAUGCCAUGGUGUGUUAUGGUAUGCCAUGGUGAGUUCGUCGAACCAGAACUGAAGCAUGGAGGCUCACUCCCUCCUCAAGAAGCAAGGAUUCAACGUGUCAUCCUAUGGGACGGGGGUGCACGUCAAGCUCCCUAAACCUUCCCUCAGAGAACCAAACAUCUACGAGUUCGGAACCCUCUAUAAGCACAUGUUCAAUGAUCUCAGCUACAAAGAUCCUGACCUGUAUCUUCUUUCUUCCAUUUCUAGGUUUUUCCUAUUUGCUUCCGGAGAAAAAAAACAUUAGCGAGGGAAAGAGAAGGAAUUAUUUAUUUAUUUAACCAAAUGGGUCAUGUGGUGGUUCUUUAGAGGAGGUUGAAAGAUAUUUGGAUCAUGACUAUGAUAUUUUUUUUUUUUAAAAAUAUUUGCCUACAUUUUCUCACUAUCCAAACAAGGAAUUUUAUAGAUGUUUGAUGCAUUGCUCUAUGUGUAUUUUUGUUUGGUUAAUUUUUGCAUUUUUGUGAAAGACUACCUAAUGUGGACCAUGUUAAAGGCUAUGGACAAUGUAAAUUUGCCUUGUCCUCUAUUUGAUAGUCGAGAAGAUGAGGGAAAAAUUGUUUUAAAUGGUUUCUUUUGGUUUUCUUUUUUGGUCUCCACCAAAGGGGGAAAUUGAAAACUUGCAAUUAGACUAGAUAAUUGUGUUAAGCUUAAUUGAAAGUGAUGCAAAACCUAAAACAAAUCAUUCAGUUAGGUUAUGAAUCUAAAACUCAAAAUUUAGCAUGUUUUCUUGCUAACUGAACAAAGCAUUUGAGUAUUUGUUUUAUAUUGAAAUUUGUGUAAAGUUCCUGAGUAGAACCUUAAACCCUUUUGAUUGACAAAAUAUGGUUAUAUUGGGGUUUGUUGUUAAUGUUCAUAUUGGAGACUAGGGCAAACCAGAAACUAAAGGAAACUCUUAAUUGUUGUAUAGAAAUCAAUACUAUUUAUUAUUAUUAUUAUUAUUAUUUAAAUUCUUGCUGAUGAUUAUUUGAUUUGCCUAGAACCUUAAAACAAAAUGCAACCUUAAUGACAACACAACUACAAGCGUAAUGGCAUCCUACCAAUGCUUAAAAGGAAUUCAUUAGUCAAAACCACACCUCAACGCUAGCAAGAUAAUGCUACUGAUGGGCCAUUCGAUGUGGUAUUCACAUUUGAAAAAAAGGUUUUCGAUAUGGUUGUUGAAGGUUAAUGUUUGCAUUUUUGUUUUGUUUCUGACGCAUCAUACAUUAUAGAUAGGUUAUUGAGCAAUCUUAAAAAUAUUUGAUUGUAGUUAGAUAUCUAAUUUCUCAAUUUGAGCUUUUUGUUUUGUUAACGUCGUUUGUUUUUUCUAUCAUAGGUUUGAGAUAGAGGUAUUGGCAAUUUCAGGGUCUUUCUAGAGGGCGGUGUUUGAAGAUUAAUGCUAGAGAUAUGGUAUCUAUAAAUUGCAUAUAUGUUUGAUGUAUUCUUGCAAUUGAAAAUACCUUAUAAUUUGAAAUUUUCUAUUUUGAUACUUGUUACUUACUUUUCUAUUAACGUGUGUCUAUCAUACUAGGUAUUCAAGAAAUAUAACAAAAAAGAAGAAGAUGAUGAAGAAUUAGUGACCACCUGUUACGAAGAUAGUAUUGUACUUUUCAAUUUAAGUUUGUAUAUUAUCUUAAUUGAAUGUUUGUAGUUAGUUUUUUUUUUUUUUUUUUGUAUAUAGAAAAUAGAGAGUAAGUAGAAAAAGAUUUAUUCCAUUGUGUUUUUAAUAUUCAAAUGUAUCUAUAAUAAUUUUUUCCCUUGAGUAAUAGUUUAUUUACAUUGUUUUAGGACUUAGUUAUUAUUAUCAUAAGUAAAUAUGUAUCAAAUUUAAUUUGGAAACAAGUUUCAUAUGGCAACAAGUUUCUUUUCCAUUAAAACUAAGAAUUAUAGUAAAAUAAUAUUAAAUUUGUCAUAGGCAACCUUGACAGAUGGCCAAUGCCCAACAUUGACAUUGCAAUAGCUAGAAACCUUGACAUAUUAUACUUAUCCUUGACAUUUGUUGUAGUAACCUUAAUAGAAGAUCAAGUUAACAUUGACAUAAGAUCAAAAAAUCUUGACAUAUGUUGAAUCCAACCUUGACAAAAGUGAAAGAAACAUUGACAUAUGUCAUACUAACAAAGAUUCGAUCAUUGGUAGAAAUAGAAAAAACCUUGACAUAUGUAAAUGUCAAGGUAGUUUUGAACUUUUCUUGACACUGGCAUAGAUGACAUAUAUAAAUAGUAACAUACCUUGAUAGAUAUACCCUACCUUGAUGGUGAAAAACUGUCAACGAAAGGCUUUUUUCUUGUAGUGUGUUCACCAACAACAUGGUCAUGCUGAGCAUAAACAUCGACAUGUAGUUGAGUGUGGUCUCACUUUAUUAGCACAGACACAGUUACCUCUCUAUUUCUAGUGGGAAGCUAUUCAUAUUGCUACCUUUCUUAUCAACAAGUUGCCCACUCCUGUCCUCCAUAUCUCCAUAUAAAAAACUCUUUGGCACCCGUCUUGAUUAUGCUAUCCUCAAAACUUUUGAUUGCACUUGUUUUCCUAACAUUCAUGCUUAUAACACCCAUAAGUUUGCUUUUCACACUAAUUGUGUAUUCAUUGGGUAUAUUGAUGUUCAUAAUGGGUACAAAUGUCUUGAUUCUUUUGGUUGUGUUUAUAUUACUUGACAUGUUGUGUUUAAUGAAAUGGACACUACAAGAAAACAUGUUUUUCCCAAUGAAAAUUUAGGGACAUAUUAAAAUUCAUCUCUAAAACUAAUUUUUCCAGACGAAAUUCUAAAUAUUGUCACUAACACCAAUUUCUUAACAACUUUUCAUGAUGAAAUUGAAAUUUUCGUCACCAAAAUUUCUAUAGAAAUAAUAACCUAAUAACAUGUUAUUACAAUUUCCCUUGAUUAAAAUUAAGCUUAGAAAUUUCCUUGGUAGCUUCCAUGCACAUUUAAUUUUCAUAUUAACAUGUUGAAAUUGUAAUGUUGUUAAAUUAAUUAAUUACAAGUCAAAUUUAGGAAAUGUCUUAAAAUAAGGGAGAUUAUGUCAAAAGUUUUAUAGAAUUUUUAACUUAGCCAUUUGUUAUUAUAACUUUCUUUACUUAAAAUUAAGUUAAUUUGAGAUUAUUGAUACUUGUAAAGUAUUAUUAUGUAUAUAUAUGCUAGAUUUUUAUUUCAACUUUUAUGUUUAUUGUGUGAUGUCAAGUUUGGACUCUUCCUAGGUAUUAUCCUUGAAAUAAAUUUUAGUUUGGUUAUUGAUAAUUUUAAAUUUCUUUGUUAUUAAAUUGAUUAUAUAGUAUAUAAAAUUUUAGAAAAGGUUAAGAAAUAAAUAAGGUUUUCUACAUUCUUAAAUUAAAAACAUUGUAGGUAAAAUUUUGGAAAUGACUAAAAAAUAGAAGGGUUUAUACAAAAACUUAAAUAAUAUAUAACUUUUUUUUAUAACUUUCCUUGCAUAAGAUUAAAUUGGGAUUCUUUGCUUUUGAAGUGUUAUCUUUUAGUAUGUAUACUAGAUUCUCAUUUAAAUUUUAAUAUUAUUAACUAUGUGAUGAAAAGCUUAUAUAUAUAUAUAUCCUUCGGUACUUGAACUAAAAUUUAGUGUUGGUAUUGACCAAUUUGAAAUUUUAAUUUUAUCACAUUGAGUGUAUAACUAAUAAAAUUUUGGAAAUGACUAAGAAAUAAAAGGGACUAUGCUGAAAUUUUAUAGGAAUUUUAAUUUUCUAAUUUGCUAUAGUUAUGACUACUUUUCUUGCUUAAAAUUAAUUUUGGGAUUAUGACUCCUUCCAAAGUGUUACAAUGUUAGCAUAUAAAUAUUGUAUUCUUGUUUGAAACUUUAUACUAUUUUUGGUGUAAUGAAAAUUUUAGGCCUUAGAAAUUUCCUUGCACACUAAAAUUUAAUUAGUCAUUGACUAAUUUGAGAUUUCAAUGGUAAAUUGAUUAUGUAGUUGAUAAAAACUAUAAAAAAAAAUGUCUAAGAAAUAUGAGAGAUCAUACCAAAAUUUUGAUAGAAAUUUUAAUUUAUUAAGCUAUCAUAUUUGGUUCUUUUUUAUUUUUGUUUUGUUUUAUUUUUCAUUUUUUAUUUUUAUUUUUUGCAUUUAUAGGAGAAAAUGUUGGAGCUCCAAUGCCAACCAAUAGUAGAUGGAGCUAUGGCCAUGACUAAGGUAGAAAUUUGUGAGAAUGUUUUAGGGCAAUGAUUAGGAUAUGUUAAUGGCCUUGGUUUUGGCCCCAAACCAACUUCUGCUUAUCAUCUUCUCAAUGCGAGGUAGAGUUGGAGUAUAGACUUUCUGAGACUCAAGCACUUGUGGAAGCUCAACAACAACAGCUUGAUACCCAACAAGAGCAGAUUGACCACUUGAAGGCCUUAUUGCAGCAACGAGAUCAACAACAAUUUGGAGAAAUCUUGUGUCAUCUACGAUCGAGCCAAGGGUCCUUAUGAUGUCUCCUUUAGGUUACACAUUUGAUGGAUCCUCAUCCUUCUUUACUCAUGUUGACUAGUUUUGUAACUAAGAUUUUAUUAAACUAAUACUUUGUUUUAUUAUGUAGUUAUAACAUAUAUAUUUUGAUGUUAUGAUCACUAAGUAUGGCUUGUUUUAUAUUAUCAAUGAAAUUGUGUAGUAUAUAUUUUUAUUUUUGAAAGCAUGUUUUAAAAUGAAAAUUUUCAUUAUAUUAUUUUCAUCAGGUUCAGAUGGCAACAAAAAAUAUAUAAUUAUAAUAUGAAAAAUAAAAAUUGUAAAUAUCUUUCCUGAUGAAAGAAUUUAAUCCCUAAAGAUAUUUCUCAACGAAAUUUUUUUGUUACAACAAAUUUUCAUAUCAUCUACAUGAAAUUUAUAAUUCAUUAAUAAUAUGUUUUAGGGACAAAAUUAUUUUGUUAGUAAAAAGAUUUGGUAACAAAAUAAAUUUGUUAGCAAAGACUUAUGGGUAAAAUUUUGUCUUGUUCAUUGCUAAAAAAACGUAAUUUUGUCUUGUUCACUAAUAAAGAAACGUAAUUUUUCCAACAAAAUAUUUCGUUAGGAAAAACCUUUAAUAACAAAUUUUUAUUUUAUCUAGGAAAAUUUUUUGUUACGAAAUGAGACUUUUUUUGGGAGUAAUAAUGAGCAUAGGGAGACGAAAUUAUUUUGUUAGAAAAAAUAUUUAUCAAUGAAAAUAAUUUCAUCAUUAUUAAUUAUUGACGACUUUUGAGACAAAAUUUGUAUUUUUAGAGAUAAAAAAUAUUACUUUUACUGAUGAAAUAUUUUGCUGGGAAAAACCUUCAAUGACGAAAUUUUAUUUUAUCAAGAAAAACUUUGGGCGACGAAGUGGGGAAUUUCAUCAAGACACUUUUAGCAAUGGGUCUAGGGCGACGAACAUGACACAAAAUAGUUUUUGUUGGGAAAUGUUUUUACAAACAAAAUUAAAACUUUUAGUGACAAAAUAUUUUAUUGCUAAAAGCCUAUUUUCUUGUAGUGAGAGUUACUUUUUUUCCUCUAAUUCUUAGUUUUAGCAUUGUCAUAUCAAUGUGUCUACUAUUUUCCCUUCUUCUCUUUACCUGUACUUUCCCCACCCACUUCCCAUACUACUCUUCAGUCUCCUUCUCUAGGCUCUUCCUUGAUUGAUCGUGGUGCAGGCCAGGUUUCCCCAAUUUCCACUACUUCUUCACCUUGUCUUCCUACUUCCUAUGUAUCUUCUAACCUAGCUUUCCCCUCUCACACCCCACAUUCUCUUACAAAUUCUCUCUCCCUUCCUCCAUUCCUUGUGUCAUCAUUUUUUUCAUCUAAUUCCCAUCCUAUGCAAACUCAUUCCAAGUCAGGCAUAUUUAAACCCAAACUUUCCUAUCUCACUACUCCUUCAUGUUUUUUCCUUUUCACCUAAACCUUCUUAUUUUGCCAAGGUCUUAUCUCAUCCUCUAUGGAAGCAAGCAAUGUAGUCAGAAUUUUAUGCCUUAACUUAGAACCAAACUUGGUCUCUUGUUCCUUACGCUCCUCAAAAGAAAGUCAUUGGGAGUAAGUGGGUUUUUAAGUUGAAGCUUAAUCCAGAUGGUUCUAUCAAGUGCCACAAGGCAAGGCUUGUGGCAAAGGGGUUUCAUCAAACACCUAGGGUUGACUUCUCUACCACUUUUGGCCCUAUCAUCAAGCCUUCUACCAUUCGCAUUAUCUUAAGCCUUGUUAUUACUUGUGGUUGGGACAUUUAACAAUUAGAUGUCAAUAAUGUUUUCCUUCAUGGGUGUCUCUAUAAAUAUGUUUUUAUGCAAUCUGAAGGGUUUGUUGAUGUCCCCAAGCCCACCCAUGUUUGUCAACUUCAAAAAGCCUUAUAUGGCCUUAAACAAGCCCUAAUGCUUGGUGUGAACGAUUGUAGAAUUGUCUUCUUCUAUUUGGUUUUCGAAACUCCCAAGCUAGCACAUCUUUGUUCAUUCUUCACAAGGGCUCCUUAUUGAUUCUUCCUUUUGUUUAUGUUAAUAACAUUCUUAUCAUUAGCAAUCAUCCCUCUGUCAUCAACACCUUCAUUGAUCAUCUACGUCAACAGUUCUCUUUGAAAUGGUCUGGCUCCCUCCAUUAUUUUCUUAGUAUCCAAGCUCUUUAAACAUCUUCUGACCUUCAGUUAUGUCAAUCCUGAUACAUCCAUGAUCUGUAGCAAUGCACUAAAAUGUUUGGUGCCAAGCCUACUUCCACUCCAACCAGCCCCAAAUAGAAAUUGAGUUGUAAUAAUAGGGCUACUUUUGAUAAUCCUACUAUUUAUCAUAGUACAAUCGGUGCUCUCUAAUAUGUCACCAUCACCAAGCCUAAACUUUCCUAUAUUGUCAAUAAACUUAAACAAUAUCUCCAACAACCUACUUUGUUCCACAGGCAAGCUUUCAAGCGUGUAUUGCAUUAUCUGAAAGGCACUUCCACUUUUGGUCUUUUCUUUCACCCAGCUCCUUCUCUUGAUCUCAUUACCUAUUCAGAUGAUGAUUAGGGGAGUGAUACUGAUUAUCAACGUUCCAUUGGUGGCUACUCCAUAUUUUUUUGUGCUAAUUUGAUUUCAUGGGCUUCCAAAAACCAAAGAGUUGUGGCUUGUUCAAGUAUUGCUUCUGAAUAUAGAGCUUUAGCUCAAGUAAUAGUAAAAGUCACUUAGUUGCGAGCCUUGUUACUUUGGGCAUAUCACUACCAUAAAGUGCAGUUGUCUGGUGUGACAAUCUUGGAGCAACAACUCUAGUUGAGAAUCUCAUGUAUCAUUAUCAGACAAAACAUAUAGAGAUUGAUGUACACUUCAAUAGGAAAAUGUGGCUCAUAAAGAACUUGAGGUGAUAUUUGUACUCAUUAUUGAUUAGAUUGUUGAUGUGCUCACAAAACCAAUUUCACAAACUUGAUUUGAAAUACUAAGGUCAAAGCAUAUUGUAUGUGAUUGACAGUUGAGCUUACGGGGAAACGUUAAGAAUAAUUCUAGAAGCUUCUUUUAGCCUCACAUGUAAAGCACCAACUCACCAGUUCCAUGCCAAAUGCAAUUACAAUAGAAAAAAUUGGGUUGCACACUCUCAUAUACAAAUAUAUGUAAAAGAAAUAAAAGGUUUAUUCUGGGCAUUAUUUUUUUCAUUUUGUCCUUCUCUACACACUACUUUAUGUUUUCUCUCUCAAAAACUCUUCUUUAUUUCUAUCUUUUUUUUUUUUUUUAAUUCAAUCAAACAUUCAUCUUGUAAUUGGAAGUUACCAAUUACCAAAUUCCUAUUCAAAGUAGUGGAACAAAAUUGUAUGAUCUUUAAAUCUCAACUUUAAAGCUAACACAUCAAUUAAAGUGUUAUUAUCCAAACAACUUCAAACUUAAACAAUUCAAAAAGUCAUUAAAUUCUAACUUUUAAACAAUGCCCAAAAAAUAAGGUUUAAACCAAAAGUCUUAAUAAUGUCAAAAUCUCAUCCUAACCAUCAUUCUUCGCCUGAACUAAAAGUGUCCAAAAAAUUGUUAGCGAAAGGGAAUGAGCUCAAAGCCUAAUAAGGAAUGUUAAUAUAGUUUCAUGGAUAAAAUAUUUUCAAUUAUGAUUGUAAAUAGGAGAUAUAAUAUAUAAUCAUUUUCAUAAAAAAAAAAUUUAGUUCAAACAUGCUAAUACAUUCAAAACUUCUCAACCAAACAUUUUCAUAUUUAUUUCAAAACAAUUUCAUAUCAAUUCCAAAAUAAAUGCAUUCAAAAUAUUUUUACUUUGGUUAUAAUCAAAUAUCAAAUGGUGCCCAGUUAGGUAGGACUUUACAAAUGGGUGACUAGCCUCAAAUUUUUUCCUUUUAAUGGGUGGCUAGUAACCUCUAACCAAACCCAUAGAGGCUAAGGUCCAAAUCAAUUACAUUCUCCACCACAAAAUGUAAAGGUUAACUAUAAUAUCUCGUUGACAAUGGUUAAAAAGUCAAAUAUUCUAUCUUAUUAACUAGGACAAAAAGGUCAACUAUUACACCCAUUUGAUUAUGGUGAAACAAACUAGAGUCAAAUACUUUAUUUUAUUUAUUCAAACUUACAAAAACAUAUAAUUUUUUUUUAUUUACAAAAUUUGCAUUAAUUUCCCUUAUCUCAAAGAAGCACUCAAAGACCUUAAAGAAAUUAAUCUUAAAGAAUUUCGUCCUAAAGAACCUAUUUCACACCUAACAAAAAUAAAUAAAUAAACAAUUAUAUAUUAAUAUUGAUUAUUUAUCUAAAUUUAUAGGUUUGAGAAUCCUAAUAAUUUCUUAUGUUAUAUCACCUAUAUUAUUUUUAACUUCCUAAUCAAUAACAAUUUAAUAAGUGAGUUUCCAUAUUUUUUUUAAAAGUUGUGUUCUUUACAAAAGUUUGUUUCUAAAAAUCUUCCAUGUUUUCUUUUUUGCUUAAACUAAAUUUCCCCAAAACUUAUUCCUUUUAGUGAAACAAAUAUCUUUUCCUAUUAUUAUUGUUAUCAUAUUUUAUUGUCUUUCUAAACAUUUUAGAAUCAUAAACAUCUUAAGCAUUUUGGAUGUAAAACUCAACUAAUUCUAAAUUUCUUUCCAUUAUAUAUAUAUAUAUAAAACAUGGAAUUUUCCUUCUUUUUAUUUUUUGUCUUUGGCACACAGUACCAUUCUAACUUACCCUUUCUACAAUCACAAGCAAUGUCAUUUUUUUUCCUCCACAAAGUCAAUAUCAAAGCAUUUUUCUUUCUUUUUUUUCUUUUUUUUUUGUCACACUCUAUUGCAAGCAACCUUGUGAUUUUUUUUCCCACCAUGAAGGCAUGUACUACCACAAAACCUUUUUUUCUUUUUUCUUUUUUCUUAUUUUCAACUCUCAAAACCCUCAACCUCCAUACUCAUGGGUAUUAUUUAUUUAUUUAUUUAUUAUUUUUCACAUCUGAAACUAUAAUUUUUUUUCUAUUUAUUUAUUUAUUUAACUAGAACUAUUCAUUUGAAUAAUACAAAAUUUUCAAUCUCCAUUAAUAAAUCAAACUAUGUUAAUAAAUUUCCAAUCUUUCUAAAACUUAAUUUAACAAACCCUAAUUUAGAUUGAGAUCUUCUAAAGAAUAUCUAAAAUAUCCAAAACUAAUUAACAAAUAUAAAAUACUAAUCUAAAGGUUAAAAUCUUACCUAGAAAAUUAAUCUUCAAAUCCUAAACCCCAAAAUCUUCAACCCUACAUUGCCCUGCAUUCUCCAAUCUCUCUAAUCUCCAUGUAAAAGGGUUUUUUUUUUUUUUUAAUAAAGAGGACAAGAGAAAUAUAAUUUAUACCUAGGGCUUUUAAGCACCGAAUGACCUUUCUACCCCUAUUAAAUUAAUUUAAUUUAUUUAUUUAUUUUUAAAUUACGUUUUUUACCCUUAAAUUGGGUUUGGUGUCACACAAGACCACUUGUAAUUGAAUAAUUGAUUGAUCAAUUCAUUUUCCUAUGUACUUUAUGUUGAUGGCAUCAUUACCCACAACCAUGAAUUUCAAAAAAUUAAAAGAACAAAAUAUGUAGUUGUACUAUAGCCAUAUGCAUUUCAGUUAACACAAUAAUGUACAUUCAAUUUGUGUCUGUAUAAAUAGGGAGAAUUGUGCUUUCAGGUGAAAUGGGCCUAAAAAUUGACCCAAUAUCCUCAUAUUGCUCAUAAUUAAUGAUAAGGAUAAGAAAUGGUGAUAGACAAAAAUACUGAUUUGACUUAUCACAUGCUCAUGCUGGUGUUUGUGGGAUCCAUCAUUUAUAUGGAUGGUAAUGAGGUGGGUUUUUUUGGAUACCCGCCUUGCCCCGCCCCUAAUAGAAUGGGUUUCCAUUUUAAUUAAAUGGGUUUGGGAAAUUUUUUUUAAACUUGGGGCGGGUUUGAGUAUUGCCUUGUCCCAUCCCAUCCCGUCCCACCCCACCUCGCCCCAAUUAUAUAUAAAUUAAUUUUGUGUUAUUUGGUUAAAGAGGUCAAAAUAACCCCCAUAUUUGCAAAUAUACCCCGCCGGUUAAAAAGCAAAACAAAAUUAUUGAUUGAGACAAGAAUGCCCUUCUUCUUUUUUUCUCUCUAACACUUACAACUUCUCAUCUUUUACUUCAUUUACAGAACGACUCCUCAUAUUUUCCAAAAAAAUUCUCUCAUCAUUUUCUUCUACUUCAUUAUCUUCCUUUGGUGCACAAAACGGAAAGCUCAUCUCCUCUUCCGCUUCAUUUACAAAACGAGUCCUCGUCUUCAUUAUCUUAUUUUAUUUCAUUAUCUUCCUUUGAUGCAAAACGAAAAUCUCAUCUCUCCUUCAAAAACCCUAGAAAAUUUCUCGUAUAUCCUCUCAUCCUCUCAUCCUCUAUUUCAUUCUGAAUCCUUGGAAAAAUUUCUUAUUCUACUUUUUUCAAGUUAUCUCAUAUUGUAUCUUCAAGCACGAAGGAAACAAUGAGUUCAUUGAAGAGUGAUAAAAGAAAAAGAUUUUAAAAAAAAGUGGCAAAAAAAAAAAUGUCAAUUGCAAACAGAAAAAAAAAAGGUGAAGCAAAGGAAAGCGAAACUACUAAACAAAAAUCCCAAUUACCAAUAGAAGAGGCAAGUGAUUCUACUAAACCAGUGAGUGUAGUCUUCACAUUUGAUAAAUUAUUGAAAUUUUUAGAGAUGUUAUACAAUUAUAUUUGAGUAUGGUUAAGUUUAUUAGUUAAAUGUUUUUAAAAAUUUAGGAUUUAUUAAAUUGUCUUCAAAGUAUAAAAUUGUUAUAUUUAUAAUUCUUUUUUUAGUUAUCCAUUGUUACCAGUUAUGUAUUUGAGUGAAUAAAUUUAGGUUUAUUAGUUGAUGUUUGAAAAUAUUUGGGAACUAUUACAAUGUGUUGAAAAAUAAUAAAUUGCAUAUUAAUAUUGUUUUAGUUUUCUGUAUUAUUAUCAAUCAUGUGUUUAGAGUGAAUUAGAUAUAUUCAAUGUAAUAGCAUCUAAUUAGGGAUAAUUUUGCAGAGAAUUUAUAAAAUUUUAGGGAUUUUUGAAAAUUUUAGGGGUAUUAUACAAUGGUGUUUGAGUAGGUCUAUGUUCUUUACUUGAUACUUUUAAAAUUUUGGGAACUAUUGAAUUGAUUUCAAAAUAACAUAUGGUAUAUUUAUAAUUUUUGUAGUUAUAUAUUGUUGUCAAUUAUGUAUGUAGAGUGAAUAAAAAAUAUAUAAUGAUUUCAUGCAAUGACAUGUGAUUAAGGAUAAGUUUUUAAAGAAUUUAUGAAAUUUUAGGAUUUUUGAACUUUUUAGGGAUGUUAUGUAAUGACAUUUGAGUAGUGUUAAAUUUGUUAGUUAAUAAUGUUUUUAAAAUUUUGGGAACUACUGGAGUGUGUUAAUCAGUUAUUGUAUAAUAUUAUAAUUUUGUAUUAAAUCUUUACUAACUUAAUUUUGUUUAAUUUAUAGACUACUACUCCCUCGACAUGUUUUAAAGUUAAAAUACCUAUAAAAGAGCACUUCCCAUCAAAGGCUGCAUGUCUAUCACACCUGAGUAUAAUAGAAAAUAUUAAAAAGAAGCUCAAUAAGGAACAAUUGGAGAGGUUCAAGGAUUCUUGCUUUAGAUAUUUUUUGCUUAUGCCAAAACUUAAAUUUUCAGCUCAAAUUGUGCACCCCCUAUUAUUACGUCAAUGUCUUAUAAAGAAGAAUGAUGAAAUGUGGUUUUUAGUAAAUUCAAAGGGAUUAAGAUUUGGUGAAGAUGAGUUUGGAUUAAUCACUAGUUUAAGUUCUGGUCCCAUUCCUCGGCAUAAUGAAACGUCAAUGAGAAUAAGGGAUGUUUACUUUAAUAGUGAAAACAAAGUGCGUAAUGAUCAUUAAGAGAAAGUUUUUCUUUCUUUUGGUGAAGUGAAAACAAAAAAAAAUGCAAAAGAAAAAUAUUGAUAAUCUUAAAGAUGAAGACAUGGUGAAAUUAGCCUUAUUGUACUUUCUUGAGCAUGUUUUACUUGGGAAAGAAGGGAAAAUUUUAAUAGACAUGCAAUGGGUUGGUCUUGUUGAUUGUUUGGAAGUUUUUAAUAAGUAUCCAUGGGGGUGGGAUUUGUUAUGAAAGAACAAUUUAUAGGUUGCAACAAGUCUUGGAGAACAGGGUGUCAAAAUACCAAGGUAAAAAACAACAAAAGGGUAAUAUAGCACAUGAGGCAUAUAGUCUAGUUGGAUUUCCAUAUGACUUCCAAGUUUGGGUGUAUGAGACUAUUCUGAUUAUCGGAAUGAAAUAUGCUAAUCAUUUUGCUAAGAGUUGCCCACGAAUUUUAAAUUGGAGUGUUACUUCCACACCGAGGUUCAUUAAGCUCCAACAAAUCUUUUUGGACUCCAAUGUGAGUAAUUUUUUUACCAUAUAUUUUGAUAGUGUUGUCACUUACAUAUUUGUAUAUGUCUAUGUUUGUUAAUUAAAUUACUUAACUUGAAUUCAAUAGUUAUCUUUGUGUUCGCUGCUUAAACCUACUCUGGAGGAAUGUCAACAAGAUUAUUACAAGUAUUUGAAUAAGUUAGGGUUAGUGAAUGGUGUUCCUCCAAAAAUUUUAAGCCAACCAACAACCCCAGAACAUGAUACUAUGGGUGACCUAAAAGAUGAAGAUCACCAGGUUGAAGCUAAUGCAUAUGUUGUUGCUACUGCUACAAUGGAAAACAAGAAGAAAAAUGAUUAUUCUAUCCCACCUUCAAUUGAAGUAACUCCACUAUCACACAUUUAUCUAUAAAUGUCAUUUUUAAUGUUUCAAUUGUAAUACAAAGUUCAAACAAAAAUUCAAAUUGAAAACUUAACCUUGGUUAAGUUAAUUAUCAAUUAAACUUACCCAUGGUCAAGUGAAGGUUACUUUGAAAAACAUAACAUAACUAUCAUAAGUACACAUCAAUUUUUUAAAAUUAUGACUAUAAUUUUGGUGUACUAUGAUGUAUGAGGAAUUAAAGUUUCAUUUGUUUAUAACAUGUGCAGAAUCUAUGGAUAGAGUUCAUGAAGCAUAUAGAAAAGUCUGAAUCAAAUUUCAAUUAUUUGAAUAAAGAACUUAAGGAAGUGAACAGAAAGAUUGACAACUUAAGACAACUUUUAUUGGAUGUUAGUGAUAUAUUUAUUGAAUUUUAUAUUUUAUUCAAUGAAAUUAUGUAUUUUAUUUCUAUAUUUCUACUAUCUUAUUGUAUGGUGCAUAUCUUAUUUUAGGUGAAGGGGCAAAAUGAGUCAUGUGCUACAGAUAAUACAAAAUUUUCAAAAUUUGGUACAAAAGGAAAAGAUAUUGGCAUGGAUUUUAAUUCAUGGGAUGACAAGUUUGAGAGUGUGAUGCAAGAUAAGGAGUAUGAGAACCAUGGCCAUAUAGAUGUGAAGACAAAUACAAAAGAAAUAACAGAUAUUGUAGUUGCAGAAAAACACAUAAUAGGGAUGGAGAAAGAUGAUGAUGUGAUUUUUAAUCCAAUUAUUGAUAUUGCCAAAUUAUUUGAUACCCCUACCGUAUCAGGCAACUUUUCGGUUUAUGUAUUUCCAAAGCAACUGGCCUCCACUAUAUUUAAGCGAAUAUGUGAGUUGAAAAAAUCCUAUUUUUUGCAACCUCCUUUCAUAGACAAAGAGAAGGAAAAUUAGAAAGGAAGGGGAAACAACAUCUGACUUUAAUCCUUUGCAAUCUAUUUCUAAGGAAGCAAGAGAAGUCUUUCAUAAGUGGUUGAGUCUUCAACAAGGGUAAUUAUCUUUGCUUUAAACUUGUAAUAGUUUCUUUUUGGCAACUUCUUUGCUUGACCAUGGUUUUUUGAUAUAUUAUGAUAAUAAGGUUUAAGGUUGAUAUUGAUUACUUGCAUGCGGACAAAGAAUGGUUUGAGUCACUAGUUCAGCAUGGUUCAUGGCUCAAAGACAUGGUUUGUAAAUGUUCUUAUUGUGUUUGCUUUUACUUAUUAGUAUAUUGUUAUUAUGAUGAAAUAGUAUAACUAAUGUUUGUUUUUUCGUAUAUGUUGUCUAGCAUAUUGAUGUUGCUUUCUACUUUUUCCAUAAGCGGAUAAUAGAAAAGCCCCAUGCAUUUUCUUAAAAUUUUACCACUACAGAUACAAUGUUUUGGGUAUGUAUAGUUUCUUUUUACUAUUGACCCUCAUAAUACUAAUUAAAUUAUGGUAGUUUAACUAUUCUUUUUUACCUUUUCUUAUAUAGAAAAAUGUGAAAGCAAGGUGGGAGAAGCAUGCUAAAAAGUGGAAUCAAUUCCAAAUGCAAGCAGAUGAUAUUCUUGUUGACUAUAUUAAUGGGCUUCACCUAAUUCCUUCUAUGAAAUGGUUUGAGGUGGACUUUAUUUAUGUCUCUAUUAAUUUUCAAAGUAUGCAUUGGGGAUUGGGAGUAGUUCACCUUGUCAGAGGAGAAUAUUUGUGUAUGACUCAUUGAUAGGCAUUAAUAGUGAUAAUCGACUAAAAGGUGUCAUAAUACCUUUAGCUAAGGUGUUACCAGGUAUUUGAUUCGUGUCCAAUUGGUGUCUUAGUUGAUUCAUGUCUAGCCGGUGCUCCUUGUUUGAGGGAGUAAUCAACAAAAUUUAUAACCUAUUACACCAUAUACUAGGGUAGCAAAGAAAAAGCUACUAUAGUAUAGUGACUCUAGGAUCGUUCACUGGGAAGGGUUUCCAAAUUACAAAUGAUACCAAUUCAAAGUGAAUUGGUACUUUUUCAUUUCAAGGUUAGCUCACGAAAUAAAACAAAAACUUUGAUUGGUAAAGAUUUAGAUUUAAAAUGACUACAAAGCAAGUGAUGGAAAUUACUUAGGAAGAAAAACAUUCCUUGGAGAGUCAGGUUCACUGGGGUGGUUCCUCAUGCAAAAGACAUAGCUCAGGUCAAUUGGUUCAUUUUCUCGCGUGAGAGAAUCAACAUAUAGUCAAUUCUCUAACCGGUGUUGUACAGAUACAUCCUUUAAUUAGAUUUCAGCUUUAAUUCCCUCUCACUGAUGCAACUUGCUAUGGUUCAUGCCUCUCACUAAGCCUUAACCAUUCAAGGUGAUCUUUAACCUUAGACUUCCCUUCUCAAGCUCACAAGAGAUAACUAAUGGAUGUCUCCUUGGAGUCCAAAAGCUUACCAAGUGUUGGCAAUUCCAGAAAAUCCUACCUUCAAGUCACCUCCCAGAGGCUCGCAAGGGGUAAACUAGUGCAUCUCCAUGGUUGGAGAUCACUUGCCUUACCAAGUGUUGGCCCAGGUGACUCUAAGGUGUUUUAAGUUAACUAAAAACAUAGAAAUCACUAAAGGAUUUCACUUCCUCUUCAUUCAUGGCUGAAACCAUAAAGCUUUGCAUUCUUGCAAUUGGAACCUUCCCCGGCAACCUUAGCUCCAAGGAACUAAAGGUUUAGUUACUCAUUCUCUGGGAAAAAUUCCUCAGAGAGUGCAUAACUUCGUAAGAAAUAAAAAAAUACAAAGUGAGAAGGUAAGGCAAAACAAAGGACCUGAACUUUACUUGCUUUUCCAAAACUUUACAAAAGGUCUCCUCUCUCUGAGAACAGGCUCCCGAGAGGUAUUUAUAUGAACAUAAUAUAAAACUAAUUAUUACAUGGAUAUUUUCUCUUUUUACUAACUUAAAAGCUAAGGAAUCUUGUAAUUGGUGGCUUACAAGGAGUAUUUUGGGAUUUAGACAACAAAAAUCUGAUGGAAAAUAUCUCCCAAUGUCAGUAGCAAACAUCGGGAAGCACUACGGACCAUUUCGCAAGAGAAAAUGAUGUCUGCGAGAUUUCGCAGACACUCAAAAAGGGCUGCGAAAUCACUUUGCAACAAAAGGAUAUUCUCACAGGGCUGCGAAGUUGGCUUCCAUCUUGAGGUUCUCAGCUUCCAACUUGUCGCAUUUAUUGGGAAACUUCAGGAGGAAAUCCACCACACUGUACAAAAAGGCUGCGAAAUCACUUCGCAACAAAAGGGUGAUUUCGCAACACUUUGCAAAAUGCUUCCUUCAGCUUAGAGUGAUUGACUUGAAAUGGCUGUAACUUCUUCGUUUCAACUCCGAAUUGCACACCGUUUGAAGCAUUGGAUUGUUAACUUCCUGAGCUUUGAAAUGGUAUAUAUCAUGCAUCAAUUGGACUUCAGAAAGUGCUCCAAAAGUGGCUGCCACGACUGUCAUCAAGAAUAUGCUUCAUGGCAGAUUCUCUUUACUUUUUCUCCUUGCAUUCCGGAUCAACUCUUGGAAAAGGGCUUCAAAGCUUUAGUUCUUCAUGUUUCUGAGCUUCCAAUUGCUUUGCCCCAGAUUCCAAAGAACUCUCCUCAAUCUUGGAUUGCUUUGGUGAUCAAAUUACUAACAAAAACACCAAAACUUAACACAAUUUAAUUAGAAACAAUUGCAAGGGUCCUUAUCAUGCCAAUUGAGUUAAAAGGCCAAAACUACUACUCAAAAGUGUUUAAAAGGAUUAAUUACAAGCUAUCAAAUAGCACUUUUUGAGUAGUAAUCACUCCCCCCAACCGACAUAUUGCUAGUUGUGGACCCGCAUUUUACACGUGCGUCCCCACUCGAUCGGCAAGACUCGCUUUUUAUUGUGAAAAAUUAAUUUUAAAAAAAAAGUUGGAGUCGCCACUUAUUUUAUUUUUAUUUUUGAAGGGAAAAUAAAACAAGAAAUAAAACCCUAAAAAAAUGACUCCAUAAUUUUUGGAAAAGCGUGUCUUUGAAAACCCAAGUCUUGGUUCGGGGAUCAGGUUACUUAUUGGGAAGGUACCUCUAGGAGGUAGCACCCCUCUAAGCCCUAAAGAGGUCUCUACUGACUAAGUUAAGGGAAGCGUGGCAAUUAAAUGGUUGAUCUCGGAUACCUAAGUAGGCUAGGUGAUUCCAAAAAAAAAAAAAAAAAAAAAAAAAAAAACAUAACAUAUCAAACAAAAUCGAAUCACAAUUAAGGAGAGUUAAAAAUGCGUACCUGGACGGCUUCCCAAGCGCUAUCAUAAAACAUAAGAGAUUAGUUUGGAGAUACAUCACACAACAUUUGUUUUAUCAAAGAUAAUCAAACAAUCAUCAAAUGUAUAUCAAGGCAAUUAAAGAGGAUAGCAAGCAUGGGGCAUACAUAUUCAUAGGGUUUAGAAAGUGGGAUAUUAGGGAACGUACCUUGGAUAGCAUAUUUAACUCUUAAUGCACCUCCCACAAAACAUGAGAGGUUAGAUACCAACAAUAAAUNNNNNNNNNNNNNNNNNNNNNNNNNNNNNNNNNNNNNNNNNNNNNNNNNNNNNNNNNNNNNNNNNNNNNNNNNNNNNNNNNNNNNNNNNNNNNNNNNNNNNNNNNNNNNNNNNNNNNNNNNNNNNNNNNNNNNNNNNNNNNNNNNNNNNNNNNNNNNNNNNNNNNNNNNNNNNNNNNNNNNNNNNNNNNNNNNNNNNNNNNNNNNNNNNNNNNNNNNNNNNNNNNNNNNNNNNNNNNNNNNNNNNNNNNNNNNNNNNNNNNNNNNNNNNNNNNNNNNNNNNNNNNNNNNNNNNNNNNNNNNNNNNNNNNNNNNNNNNNNNNNNNNNNNNNNNNNNNNNNNNNNNNNNNNNNNNNNNNNNNNNNNNNNNNNNNNNNNNNNNNNNNNNNNNNNNNNNNNNNNNNNNNNNNNNNNNNNNNNNNNNNNNNNNNNNNNNNNNNNNNNNNNNNNNNNNNNNNNNNNNNNNNNNNNNNNNNNNNNNNNNNNNNNNNNNNNNNNNNNNNNNNNNNNNNNNNNNNNNNNNNNNNNNNNNNNNNNNNNNNNNNNNNNNNNNNNNNNNNNNNNNNNNNNNNNNNNNNNNNNNNNNNNNNNNNNNNNNNNNNNNNNNNNNNNNNNNNNNNNNNNNNNNNNNNNNNNNNNNNNNNNNNNNNNNNNNNNNNNNNNNNNNNNNNNNNNNNNNNNNNNNNNNNNNNNNNNNNNNNNNNNNNNNNNNNNNNNNNNNNNNNNNNNNNNNNNNNNNNNNNNNNNNNNNNNNNNNNNNNNNNNNNNNNNNNNNNNNNNNNNNNNNNNNNNNNNNNNNNNNNNNNNNNNNNNNNNNNNNNNNNNNNNNNNNNNNNNNNNNNNNNNNNNNNNNNNNNNNNNNNNNNNNNNNNNNNNNNNNNNNNNNNNNNNNNNNNNNNNNNNNNNNNNNNNNNNNNNNNNNNNNNNNNNNNNNNNNNNNNNNNNNNNNNNNNNNNNNNNNNNNNNNNNNNNNNNNNNNNNNNNNNNNNNNNNNNNNNNNNNNNNNNNNNNNNNNNNNNNNNNNNNNNNNNNNNNNNNNNNNNNNNNNNNNNNNNNNNNNNNNNNNNNNNNNNNNNNNNNNNNNNNNNNNNNNNNNNNNNNNNNNNNNNNNNNNNNNNNNNNNNNNNNNNNNNNNNNNNNNNNNNNNNNNNNNNNNNNNNNNNNNNNNNNNNNNNNNNNNNNNNNNNNNNNNNNNNNNNNNNNNNNNNNNNNNNNNNNNNNNNNNNNNNNNNNNNNNNNNNNNNNNNNNNNNNNNNNNNNNNNNNNNNNNNNNNNNNNNNNNNNNNNNNNNNNNNNNNNNNNNNNNNNNNNNNNNNNNNNNNNNNNNNNNNNNNNNNNNNNNNNNNNNNNNNNNNNNNNNNNNNNNNNNNNNNNNNNNNNNNNNNNNNNNNNNNNNNNNNNNNNNNNNNNNNNNNNNNNNNNNNNNNNNNNNNNNNNNNNNNNNNNNNNNNNNNNNNNNNNNNNNNNNNNNNNNNNNNNNNNNNNNNNNNNNNNNNNNNNNNNNNNNNNNNNNNNNNNNNNNNNNNNNNNNNNNNNNNNNNNNNNNNNNNNNNNNNNNNNNNNNNNNNNNNNNNNNNNNNNNNNNNNNNNNNNNNNNNNNNNNNNNNNNNNNNNNNNNNNNNNNNNNNNNNNNNNNNNNNNNNNNNNNNNNNNNNNNNNNNNNNNNNNNNNNNNNNNNNNNNNNNNNNNNNNNNNNNNNNNNNNNNNNNNNNNNNNNNNNNNNNNNNNNNNNNNNNNNNNNNNNNNNNNNNNNNNNNNNNNNNNNNNNNNNNNNNNNNNNNNNNNNNNNNNNNNNNNNNNNNNNNNNNNNNNNNNNNNNNNNNNNNNNNNNNNNNNNNNNNNNNNNNNNNNNNNNNNNNNNNNNNNNNNNNNNNNNNNNNNNNNNNNNNNNNNNNNNNNNNNNNNNNNNNNNNNNNNNNNNNNNNNNNNNNNNNNNNNNNNNNNNNAAAGUCAUGAAAUUGAAAAUUAAAACCAACUAAAAUUAUGCAAUUAAAAACAUUAUGUCUAUCAUAGGUAUACAAAAAAUAAUUAAGACAUUAGUCUACAAAAUUAAUCAUCAAUUUCAUGCAAUAUUCUAUAAAAUAAAUAAAUAAAAGCAAAUAACUAACCAAAUAAUUAUAAAUAAAUAAGUAAAUGAAUAAAUAAAAUAAAUAGAAAUAAGACAUCAAGUACAUGCCAACGUUAAAAAUGCAGAUCAUGCAAAUUAUACAAGUCACGUAGGAAUUACCUAAAAGGUAACAUAGGUGGGCUAGGAUGCCUACGUGGACUUAAAGUGAGUGUGUGUAAACUGUAAGGUGCCUCAGUACGAGUCAAGGUGAAUCUAGGUGGGCCUAGGGUGCCUAAAUGGGUCAACUGUGUCUAAAAAAAAAAGUUAUCCUAAAAAGAAUAACAAAAGCCUAAGUCUAAAUUAGGGUUGCCAAGGGUCACAAUAAAGGAUCAAAUAAUCCCUCAACCAAAAUCUCUGAGGUGACUCAGAAAAAGGUAAGUGGUAUGAGUAGCCAUGGGCCACCAAGGAACUGUCGUGGAGCACUGGAAUUGAAUUUAAAGACAUGUGCUAAAGAGACAAAAUUGAGGGUCUACAAAUAUGCCCCUCUUCGGUAUAGAUCACGAGUGUAGAGAAUGUGAGUAAAAAUACGAGUAAUGAGCAGAAUGAAGUGAACUAUACCGAAGAAUUAAAGAAGGACCAGAGAUUUUGUCCUAGCACAUGAAGAGGUAAGAUCUAAACACGGGGACGCAAUCACAAAAAGGGAAUAACUUCAGGUCGUGAGCUCAAAGCUUUGCACAGAAAGAAUGACUCUGGGUCAUAAGUGAAAAAUCGACACUGGGUCAAGAGCUCUAGGCUCUAAAUGGAACAGAAAUGACUCUAGGUCAUAAAUGAAAAACGACUCUGGGUCGAGAACUCUAGGCUCUAAAUGGAAAAUCGACUCUGGGUCGAGAGCUUUGGGCUCUAAAUGGAAAAGAAAUGACUUUAGGUCAAGAGCUUUGGGCUCGAAAUGGAAAAUCGACUCCGGGUCGAGAGCUCUGGGCUCUAAAUGGAAAAGAAAUGACUCUGGGUCAAGAGCUCUGGGCUCGAAAUGGAAAAUCGACUCUGGGUCGAGAGCUCUGGGCUCUAAAUGGAAAACCGACUCUGAGUCGAGAGCUCUGGGCUCUAAAUGGAAAAUCGACUCUGGGUCGAGAGCUCUAGGCUCUAAGAUAGGAAAUAAUGACUCUGGGUCGAAAUGGAAAGUGACUCAGGGUCGAGAGCUCCGGGCUCUAAAAUAGGAAAUAAUGACUCUGGGUCGAAAUGGAAAGUGACUCUGGGUCGAGAGCUCCGGGCUCUAAAAUAGGAAACAAUGACUCUGGGUCGAAAUGGAAAGUGACUCUGGGUCGAGAGCUCCGGGCUCUAAAAUAGGAAAUAAUGACUCUGGGUCGAAAUGGAAAGUGACUCUGGGUCAAGAGCUCCGGGCUCUAAAUAGAUAGCCGAUCAGGAUACUUUCCGACUCAAGAUGUCGGGUCGAGGCCACUCACUAGUGGCUAGAAUGAUGAAAACGAAACAUCUCAGGGAUGUGAAUAAUGCAAAUGACUCCGGGUCGUGAGCUCAGGGCUCGGGGUGCUAUAAAUGACUCUGGGUCAAGAUGGAAAAUGACUCUGGGUCGAGAGCUCUGGGCUCUAACUAGGAAAGAAUGACUCUGGGUCAAGAUGGAAAAUGACUCUGGGUCGAUGAAUAGCUCUGGGCUAUGAGCUCCGGGCUCUAUGACUGAUCGGCUAGAAGGAGAAUGCGAUACGCAAACUCCAGGUCAAACCACUCAUGGGCGACCAAGUGAUGAAAGCUCAGCUAAGAGCUGGAAAGACUCUGGGUCUAUAGGAAAUGAUAGCUCAGGGCUAGCGGGCUCAGGGCCUAAGAGAAAAAAGAUAGCUCAGGGCUAUAAGACUCAGGGUCUAGAAGGAAUGGAUAACUCAUGGCUACGAGGCUCAGGGCCUAAAAAAAGGAUAGCUCAGGGCUAGCGGGCUCAGGGCCUAAGGGAAAAAGGAUGCUCAAGGCUAUAAGACUCGGGGUCUAGAAGGAAUGAAUAACUCAAAGCUAUGAGGCUCAGGGCCUAGAAGGGAAUAAUAGAGAAGACCAACUCGAAAGUGGACACGAAAUAAAUUGGCUCAAAGCCACAUACUCAAGAUGUCAAGGGUCGGACUACUGAAACCAAGAAGGGAAAUAUGCCCCAGUAUCCAGGGUGCUCACACUGCCGAAACAACCAGUAAAUCAAUCAUCCGCUGAAAUCAAUAGGUCAGAAACUGAUGCAUCGCGACAAACCUCUGAAAAGUCUAAACUGAAGGAACCCUCUAUGUCUGAAAAGCUGCUCUGUCGAUGAAUCUCAAAAGGUAAAUCUCAAAGAGUGUAUAUCAUGGCUCAUCUAAAAGUAAACCUCAAAGUGUGUAAAAUACUGCUCAUCUGGAUAAUCCAAUCUACAAGGUAACAAUGACGAAAACAAAUCUGUCUCAUGAACAUCUGGCUAAAGGAUCCACCCACACUCCUCGGGUGAAACCUGAUGCGAUCCGUCUCUAUCUCAACAAAUCCAUGUAGGGAGGCCCUGAUACAGUCGAUCGUCGGAAGCUCUGGGCUAGUGCUCAAUCUAAAACCAAGCUGGCCACUGUCUCAAUCUCAAGGAUACUCAAAGAAAAUGGGGGAAAUAUGCCCCAGUAUAAGAUCUAACGUCAAAGUCAUAAGCUAAACAACCGACAGCAGUCAUCCAUCCUCAUAUCACUGCCCAAAUAAAUCUCGUAAUGGAGAGGGGAAUAUGCCCCAGUAUGGAUAUCGGAUGUCGAAGUCGUGAGGCAAACAAACUAACAAUGAUCAUCCAUCCUCGUAUCGCUGUCCAAACACAAUCUCAUCAAGGAGAGUGGAAUAUGCCUCAGUGUGGAUAAUCUAAUGUUGAAGUCGUGAGGUAAACAAACUAACAAUGAUCAUCCAUCCUCGUNNNNNNNNNNNNNNNNNNNNNNNNNNNNNNNNNNNNNNNNNNNNNNNNNNNNNNNNNNNNNNNNNNNNNNNNNNNNNNNNNNNNNNNNNNNNNNNNNNNNAUGAACUGUCUCCAAACCCAAAAAUCCAUCAAACAUCAAUAUGCAGCAAGAGAGAGACCAAAUUCUUCCAAAAGUAUCUUCCAUAAAAGAGAACAUAGUAACGACCAUACUUCAACCAAUCUACAAAAGUCUGUCCAAGUGAAGACUGUCAAAGAUAAUGUCUGAUCUCAUGGCCUCAGGGUGGUCUUAAGACACGGGACGUAACGUAGGCCAAGGUGAUACGGUGAAAGAAAUGAAGGGAAACUAGGCUCAAAUACCCAAUGAUCAAACCCGUACCCUCGUGCACAAGAUGUAAUGCAUAGAAAAAUCUCAUGAGUCAUGGACUUAGAAGUAACCAAAGGGAAUGUCGAUAACGAAAUGAGAGAAAGGAUGAAUGGUCAAGCCAUCAAUGAAAUAUGUGAAUGAUGUCAAGAAGGUAUCAAAUCAGUAAUGGGUAUCAAUAUGUAAGGAAUGAAUAAAAGGUGGAACAAAGAUCUGGAAAGAGGUAAUGGGAUACAAAAGAAAACAAUGGGAAAGUGGAAUGAGUGAUGAUCAACCCAUGUUAGUACAAUAAAGGAAAGUCAUAUCACCAAUGAUGGAAUGGUGGGUAUAAGACAAUGAUCCGAAGACCCUAGUAAAAGGUCACUCAUCUCUCAUACAUAAUACGUAUCAACCAUGGUCCAAGAAGCAUAGGAUACCAUAGAACUCUCACAUGAACCCUCAACACUCCAAAUGCAUAACAAGAGUGGCUUAAGGAGUGAAAACUCAUAUAAAAAUCUCACAAGAACCCACAAUGACAAAUAUACCCAGUAAACAGACCUCAAAAGGUGAUAUAAGUGCCCAAUGGAGCAAGAUACCAUACAUAAACAUGUCAUUGCGUUUUUUUUUUUUUUUCUUUUUCUUUUUCUUUUUUUUCUUCUCUUUUUUUUUUUUUUUUUUUUUUUUUUUUUUUUCUUUUUUUCUGUUUUUUUUUUUUUUUUUUUGGCGCAUGCUCUGAUCAUCAAUAAGUCAAACUCCAAUGGGAAAGAUACAAGAAAUGAAUAAACUCUCUCAAAUCACUGAUGAAUACAUGAACCCCAACCCAUGAGACAACCUCUCAAACUAAAAUCUCCGAAUCAAUGCCAAAUGAUGAGAUGAAUGGAGUGAUAUGACUGCCCUCUUUGCACUAAGAUGUGAAGAAUCAUCAGCCCAAGAAAGAGAAGAGAUAAAAUGAAGCAAAUAAUGAUAAAAGCAAGAAAGAGAAUGGAAAUGUGAUGAUAACAAAAUAGAACAAACGGGGUGAUAAGGAGAUGAUGACAAGAAUGAGAAGAUAGGCCUAUAAGUCUAAAGCUCAUGAGACUUUCAUAGCAAAGCAUGCAUAUACACCAAAGGGUCCCAACCCGGGUGUAGAAAUGGUAAUCAAGGCUAUAAGAAAGAAAUAAGGCUAUAACAUACCACGUGAGGCUCAAUGGGCUAGCAAUGGUUUAAUAUAUCAAUAAAGGUGAUAAGGUGUAAGGCUAACCGAAAUGAUGGCCACCCAUCCUGCGACCACGGUCUCAAACAUAAUACUUCUUCAGCUGAUCCACAUUGGUAGGCUCUGAAAAUUGGUUUCCAUCUAAGUCUGUCAACCAUGCAGCCCCUUCUGGAGUCAACUCUCGGAUGACAAGUGGUGUACUCCAAGUAAGUCCCUAGGGUCUCCUGGAAUAGACGAAUCUCCAUAAUCAUAACUGGGCUAACAUCGUCCUCAAACACAUCAUCAACAUAAGCGGAAUUCCCCAACAUAAAUAAAUCGAAUCUCUCCUGAACUCUCAACAAUGAAUAUCUCAAGCAUAUCAAGAGAGUGAACCAUCUCUGGCUAAUCUGUGCUAGUCAUCCAACUAUCAUCCAACACAUAUAUCUCAGGCUCAUCAUGAAGAAAACCAUGUCAAUCAAAGCUCCCAUCUGAGAAAAACUAACGUCCUCUAUAAGAACUCUCAUCUGAUAAACUUUGACUCAUAAUCCACUAAACUCAUCAUAUGUACGAAGUCACCCUCAACAAUGUCACUGGCUAACUGGGUGGUGGGGGUGGGUGGUAAUGAAUCAUACGACAUCUCAUCCUGAACUGGAUACUAUCUACCUCACUGUCCAUCAAUCAUCUGGCUCAAACCUGCUAAUGCAUCUUGAAUAGAGUCAUAGUGACUGUAAGUCGAUCAACUGUAUCAUGCUGAGGAUCCAUACCUGACUGCUUUGAAACCUUGACCAAUCUAUCUCCAACUCUAAUAUAAAGAGUCGAAUCCAAACUGAAGCGAAUAACAUUCCCAUAAGGUACAAAGGCACGAAAAGAUAAAUGACAUGAAGGAAACUCAGAAAAUGUGGAAACACACUAAUCACAAUGCAGAAAGGUGGCCCAACUGAGACUCAAACAUGUACCAAUCUCUGAGCACACCAAAAGGAGACCAUGAAGAGGAUAACUGAACCCAAUUGUGACCAAGGCAGCUCUGAAGGUCCACAGAUGCACCCACGUGUAGGAAUGAAAUCUUAAUUGGGUCUAGGCUAACCUACAAGGUUGAGGUGGCUCUAUAAGAUAAGAUGGGUGGGUUAAAGGAUCCCUAGCAGAAGCGAUCGUACCCUCCGAUGGUACGCAACCCUCUGCACGCCUCCAAGGAGACGAGGUGCUUCCAUGCAAGGUGGUCAUCACCUCCACACAUGCACUUCCUCGCGUUCCCAGGGGGUUUCUUAAUGGUGAAGGCUCUCCCAUCUCUCAACACUCAGGGAUAAUCUAAGGUGCACAAUGAAGGAUGUGGGUGCAUCCGAAAAACCUAAGAUCUAAAGUGAGAUAGUGAAUGAAGACAAGCAAUCAUACAAACAUGCAAGAGAAAGGGUUGUCAUGCAACAAGCAGCCAUGCGAAGCAGAUAAAUAUCAAACAAUCAAAGUCCUAUCUAGCAUAUGUGAGAGUGAAUCAUGUUGAAGUGAGCAAGCAAUUAAGUGAUCACAUCAAACAGUCAUGCGAAUCAAAUAAAUAUCAAACAAACAAAGUCCUAUCUAACAUAUGUGAAAGUGAAUCAUGCUGAAGUGAGCAAGCAAUCAAGUGAUCAUCCAAGGCAAUCAAACAUGUCAAGAUAGCAAAACAAUCAAGCAAGCAAAUCGAAUCACCUUGCCUAGAAAAAAUGGGGUACCCUCUAAUCGACCAAUUAAAUGCCACAUUUUCCUCAACUAGUGUUCAAGCUUGAUCCUCAAGAUCCCCAGCGGAGUCGCCAAUUUGUGGGCCCGCAUUUUUCACGUGCGUCCCCACUCGAUCGGCAAGACUCGCUUUUUAUUGUGAAAAAUUAAUUUUAAAAAAAAAGUUGGAGUCGCCACUUAUUUUAUUUUUAUUUUUGAAGGGAAAAUAAAACAAGAAAUAAAACCCUAAAAAAAUGACUCCAUAAUUUUUGGAAAAGCGUGUCUUUGAAAACCCAAGUCUUGGUUCGGGGAUCAGGUUACUUAUUGGGAAGGUACCUCUAGGAGGUAGCACCCCUCUAAGCCCUAAAGAGGUCUCUACUGACUAAGUUAAGGGAAGCGUGGCAAUUAAAUGGUUGAUCUCGGAUACCUAAGUAGGCUAGGUGAUUCCAAAAAAAAAAAAAAAAAAAAAAAAAAAAACAUAACAUAUCAAACAAAAUCGAAUCACAAUUAAGGAGAGUUAAAAAUGCGUACCUGGACGGCUUCCCAAGCGCUAUCAUAAAACAUAAGAGAUUAGUUUGGAGAUACAUCACACAACAUUUGUUUUAUCAAAGAUAAUCAAACAAUCAUCAAAUGUAUAUCAAGGCAAUUAAAGAGGAUAGCAAGCAUGGGCAUACAUAUUCAUAGGGUUUAGAAAGUGGAUAUUAGGGAACGUACCUGGAUAGCAUAUUUAACUCUUAAUGCACUCCCACAAAACAUGAGAGGUUAGAUAACAAACAAUAAAAUAAGAAGUCCUAGCAUGCUUGUUAUCUAAUUAGCAUAACAAAAAUUGUCAAAGUAUAUGAAAACAAUAAUUAUCACACUCAUCCUGAGUAUAAUUCCUAAAAAAAGAUAGACAUAAUUUCAACAAGUGACAAAAAUGGCAACAAAAAUAAUUUUUGAAAAGAUUUUCUUAUGUAGGGGUUUCACCAAUCCCCAAAUUAAUAUACACAAAUUUAGCCCAGAAUUAUCCCAUUAUUUGGGACCACAAGCUUUGAUUCGUGUUUUUGUUCGAAACUAAACUUUUUGUUAGAAACCGAGAAGGAUGCAAACCGAACUAAAUAUGGUUGCAUAUUAUUUUUUUAAAAUUAAAAUAAAAAUAAAAUAAAUAAAUAAAAAAGAUUUUGAUCCUGAGGACUCUAAAUGAGUUUUUGAAAUAGAUUUUUAAAAUGAUUUUUUUGAGGAAAGUAUUUUAUUUUAAAAGGAAUUAAUUUGGAAAAAAUAAAAUACCAAACAAAACAAAAAUGAAACCUCAAAGUAAAAUUUUUUAGUAAUUAACAAAAAUGAUAAUGGUGAUGGUAGAGGCCAAUCUUCAUGAUUUUCCAAUGGCCUCUAAAAGCCAAAUUUAAUAAAUAUUCACCAAAGCAACAAACCAAACGACUUUUAGAUCAAAUAAAACUAACGAAAUAUUAAUCGGGAAUUUAUAAGGAUCAAUCAAACACAUAAAUUGAGAUAAACAAUCAAGAACUAAUUUAAAAUCAACCAAACACAUAAACAUGUAAUUAUAAUAAUGUGAAUAUAGUAACAUAAGCACAUAGAAUUCUAAGACAUAUUAACUAAUCAACAACUAGACAUUAAUAACUUCCAAAACAAAAACAAAACUAAGUAACAAGGGAUUAAGCAAAAUGAUAACCAAAAUUUAAAAAAAGGACACAUCAACUAAGUAGAAAAGCUAAAUUUAACUACUUUUAAUACAUAAGUAUAAUAACAUGGGAUGAAACUAAUUAACUAAAAUUUUGAAAAAAAAACUAUAAACUAGGACAAGAUCAGUCAAAAAUCAAAAUUAACAAACUUUUUUUUAAAACAUGAGCAUCGAUUAAACUAAUUAACUAAAACUAAAAAAAAACACACGUACUAAAAUUAGGUCAAUCAAGAAUUAAAAUUAACAAACUUACAACAUGAGAAAAGUAACUUCUAAAUUAAAUAUCUAAAACUCUAAAAAAAACACAUAAAAUAAAAUUGGAUCAAUCGAGAAUUAAAACGAACAAGCUCAAAACGUGGAUAUAAUGACAUGAGAAAGUAAUAGACUCAUCAACUAAAAAUCUAAAACACAUAAACUAAAUAGGGUCAAUCAAAGACUAAAGUUAACAAUUUUAAACAUGGAAUUAAUCACAUGGGCUCAAUAGGAAUAAUAAACUAAAAUUCUAAAAACACAUAAGCUAGAUAAGAUCAAUCAAAACUAAAGUUAAAAAAUUAAAACAUGGAUUUAAUCAAGUGGUUCAAUAGGAAUAAUAAACUAUAAUUCUAAAAACAUAACAACCUAGAAAAAUCAAAACUUGGAAUCAAGACAAUGAAUCAAAAUCAAACUAACUACAUUCUAACCUUUUCAUCCGAUUAAAAAAUCAAAAUUAAUACAUAAAAAAUCUAACUUUCAAUCCAAUAAAAAAAUUAAAACUAAAAUCCUUAGAAAUUCUAACUUACCUUUUCCAGAAUGCCUCUAUGGUGGUGCGGCUGCUGCUCUCUUCCUUCACCGUCCUUCAGACCUCUCUUUGUUCCCAGAAAAAAUCCUGUCCCUUCUCUGCUCGUUUCUUUCUUAUAUGGCAGCCGCACAUUGUAUGGAAUAUUUUGUUUCUUUUUUUCAGUGCAUUUAGACAUAUGGAAAGUGAUUACGUGUGGUUCAUAUUGGAGACUUUUUCAAAGAUUCUGCCCUGUACCCUGUUUGGUAAGUGAUUAGAUGAGUGGACUUUUCUUUCUAAAAAAAAAAACCAAAAGGAAUCUCCCUUUGCAGCCCACCAUAUGCGUGUUGUGCACAAAGUGGCCAUCUUCUUUCCUAUUUUCAUGCUAUUUUCCACGUGAUGCAUGCUCAAGAUGCAGCCAUGCCUUCCAAAAAAAUUGAGUGGUGCGUGGAGGAGAUCCCCUCGGGAUGGUGCGGCCUGUGGGAAUCAAAAUCUGGAUGUCUUGUGGGCCCCUCAAUUGUGGCUGAUUUCCUUAAGAAUCAUGGUUGGUGUGGACUGAUCAUGGUUCCAUAUCUCCUAUAUAGGCUUCCUUCCUUGGAUGCGUGCUGUUGGAGAUCUUUCAUUGCGGGCUGUGCGUGGAAUCUUCCAUUGUGGGCUGUGCGUGGGAUCUUUCACUAACAUGGUAAAAAUCUGGGAGAUAAUCCUCACUGCAACUGUCCAACAUUUCUCCAGAAAAUUAAAAAAAGAAUGGAUCUUUGAAAAUCCAUUUUGGAAAACAUGCAAGAGGAAUUAAGGGCUGAGACAUGUUGGCUUUAAAAUAAUGUACAAAAGGGGUGGCCAUGCAAGCCAUGUGAGAGUGGGCUUGGGGUCCAAUCCGAAGUGCGCCAUCUUUAAGUGGCAAGGAUCCCAUCUAUCUUCUGAUUCCAAGGGCUCCAAAACGUGCACUCCACUGUCGGUCAAUCUCAGGGUGCAAUUGUGCGGAAGGAUGACCUUUAAUAAAACGAAAUGCACCGAGACUUGCAGAAACAGUGAAUCUCGAACGCGUUUGGAAUUGAGAGAGGGUUUUGGGUUCGAGGAAUACACCAUAUGACAGUAAUAUAUUGUUGGAAGUGUGAUUAUCCAUUCUUCUCCUCAUUCUCUGGACAUCACCUUUCCUUCCUGUGCAUCUUGCCACGGAAGUCUGUUCCGUCUUCCAGAUAUGCAACUAUGUGAUCUCCAAAACUACAGCCCAUGGAAGAUUGUAGCCGUGCCUAUGGAUCCUCUCCAAUGUGUGCGUUCAAAUCUCAUGCCAAAAUAAAAUACCAAUUAAAAUCAGUAAAAGUCAUGAAAUUGAAAAUUAAAACCAACUAAAAUUAUGCAAUUAAAAACAUUAUGUCUAUCAUAGGUAUACAAAAAAUAAUUAAGACAUUAGUCUACAAAAUUAAUCAUCAAUUUCAUGCAAUAUUCUAUAAAAUAAAUAAAUAAAAGCAAAUAACUAACCAAAUAAUUAUAAAUAAAUAAGUAAAUGAAUAAAUAAAAUAAAUAGAAAUAAGACAUCAAGUACAUGCCAACGUUAAAAAUGCAGAUCAUGCAAAUUAUACAAGUCACGUAGGAAUUACCUAAAAGGUAACAUAGGUGGGCUAGGAUGCCUACGUGGACUUAAAGUGAGUGUGUGUAAACUGUAAGGUGCCUCAGUACGAGUCAAGGUGAAUCUAGGUGGGCCUAGGGUGCCUAAAUGGGUCAACUGUGUCUAAAAAAAAAAGUUAUCCUAAAAAGAAUAACAAAAGCCUAAGUCUAAAUUAGGGUUGCCAAGGGUCACAAUAAAGGAUCAAAUAAUCCCUCAACCAAAAUCUCUGAGGUGACUCAGAAAAAGGUAAGUGGUAUGAGUAGCCAUGGGCCACCAAGGAACUGUCGUGGAGCACUGGAAUUGAAUUUAAAGACAUGUGCUAAAGAGACAAAAUUGAGGGUCUACACUAGUCUCUUAGCAAUAAAGGAGAGAAAAAUAAAAAUAAAAAGUACUAUAAUUUACAACAUCAUGGUGAUCAAAAAACAAUUUUCAAGUGGCAUGAUGAUCUAACUCUCACAUGGAACAUUAAAGAAAUACAAACCCAAAUUUCAACAAGAGUUAUAACAAACUAUGCUAAACACUGUCAAUCAAGGGAAUGCAUUAUGCAAACUAAAGUUUUAAAAUCAUUUCCACUUUCAAAGAACCAAACUUUAUUCUUCCUCAAAAAUCUAUGUGUAUUGGUUCCUUAGCUUCCGAAAAUAAUAUGCUAAACUAAUCUCUCCCCCUAACCUAUCUCUUUUCAACACUUAGCAAACUGACCAAAAUCAAUAAGAAAAGAACGCAUUUUUUUUUUUUUUUUUAAGGAGGCUUAAUGGGGUACUCUUUCUGAAUUGUCCAUGUAAUGGGGGUCCAUCGAUGACUCCCAACCAAUUAAGGUUUAGGGCAUCAAGCUUUAAGGAUCUUUCAACCACUAACUCCUCGGAUUUUUCCUCGGACUUUUGAGAAUGAAUUUCUAAUACCCAAGCACCUACCAUAUGCUAACUCUACCUAUUCACCCUUGUAACGAGCAUUGAGGUCGGUGACUCCCAACCAAUUAAGGCUUAGGGCACCAGGCUUUAAAGAUUUUCACCAUAUACCCCUCAGACCUUGCUUGGGUUUCAAGGCAAGCAAACAACUUUCUUUCUUUAUUUCAAAGGCUCGUUGGCCUUUCAUAAGGUGUCUCAACUUUAUCAAAUGAGGUCAAAUGUACCAAGUCCCAAAAUUAUCCUAAGUCAAGAGGGAAAUAGCUUUUCAUCUUAUAAUCGGAAUCUAUUGUGCACAGUGUGUGAAUAGCUUAAAGUGGAAGAACUAAAUUCAAUUUCAAUAGAAGCUUCAACAAUUGAACCACUUUAGUAAGCAUAAUCCAUACUCUAAGUCAAGUGAAAAGCAACAGUUCAAUUUCUCCUAUUUUAAUUUGAAAAUUUUUCCUCAAAAUCCAUGGAGAAUAGAAUAAAAAAAGUAAAAAGCAAAAACUACAACUGAUUUACCAAUAUAAUUGUAUUACCAAAAUGACUUAGCAUACUUCCUUUAACUUAGCAUACUUCCUUCCUCAUUUUAUCCCUCCCCAACCGAACUGAGCAUUGUCCUCAAUGUGAUAUGAGUGAUUGUAAUUAAAGGGAGGAAGUGGUACCUCCUGAGUGAUAUCAAUUUCGAAUACUGAUUGGAGAAACCACAUGUUUCAAAAAGAAUAAAAGAUGUGAGAAAAGGAAAUAAGAAUAAAUUAAUUCUAAAGGUUAACAAAAAAAAUAUUAAACUUGUAUUGCUUUGAAUCCAUUUGAGUACAAUGAAAAAGAAAGGCAAUAAAAGCAAUCCCAAAUAUGGUACCAAAAUAAUGGGAUUUCUUACAAACUAAAAAACGAAAUACAUAAAAAAAACAUAGGCAGUAUAUAUAUAUAUUGAUCUGAUGAGUGGGUGGUGCUGGGGCUAGGCAGAUGGGUCUGCCUCUUCAGUAGCUGCUCUAGAUAGGGCCUGAGACUCUGUGAGAUGAAAGUGUGGCACUGUUGUGGUAGAGGUGGAGGGCUCAGCAGCUGGUGGCAGAUCAAAAUGAUGCUGGAGCUACCUUAAGAUGGCAGUGUGCUGAGCCUGGGUGGCCAACAUCUGCUCUUGGCAUGCUCGAAUGGCUGCCAUCUCAUGAGCAAGGCUGCUCUGAGAUGCUGUGAGGGUCUCCAAUGAACGACAUAACUCUCAGUAUUCAGAAAUGGGAAUGGCCAUCCUUGGUUCAGCUGAAGUGGAUGGCUGAGAUGAAGCUGGAGUAACUGGUGGAGCUCUGGGAAUGGCAGGAGCAGCAAUAGUUAUACCCUCUAUAGGUAUAUGUCGUGGGGAUGCUCUCCUAGUAGCUGGCCGUGGGCGCUCUGGCUGGUCAACUCUAUAGGUUGUCAUAUUGUUCCAUUUGUCGAGAGUAAAUACCUCUCGGCAAAUGCGCUUGCGCUCCAACUAAGGCUUUGUAGGAUACCCCAGGUGCUCCAGAAUUUGGCACAACAGCCUUGGAAAGAGAAGAGGAAUGGCAUCAGCUCUCUGCAACUUCUUUUUAUGUACCUUCUCUUCGAAAUAGAGAAGGGUUUCCAUAAUUAGAUGGUGAAGGCCGAAGAAAUAUCCCUCAGACAUCUUGAACAGGGCUUCUAACAGGACUCCUCUCCUUUGAGUCCAAUGUUGCAGUGGGUAGAGGUUAUGAUGCAAAAAUGCAUCAAUAAUAAACAUGAUUGGAGGAAGCUCCCCCCUCAACAGAUGUGAUCGUGUAGAAGCUCCUCUGGAUAGGAUAUGCACCAUUUCCAGCUCAGUAGCACUGGUCCACUCUCUAAAAUCAUCAAAAUGGCUCGCCUCAUAGGGUAUUUGCAAGGCCUCAGCUAUAUGGCGAGCUCCCAAUAUGCCAUGCCUCCCAUCAAUGGUAAAAUGAAUUAGAGUUGGAUCCCUGACCUAUUUGGUAGUCAUGGAGUGAUAAAAAUCCAUGGCUACUCUGGGGUAGAAAAAGUCUCUUGGAGUCAGCAGGUGCUCCAUAUGGUAUAUUCGCAGCAGGUGGAAUGACUGUGCAAGCUCUGGCCGCAAUUUGAAUGUAGCUAUGUCAAAGCACAGCUCAGAGUGGAAUGGCCGAGCUCUACAGUCCAAAUUCCCCUCAAUUGGAGGCUGAGUCAACAUUGGCCGCCUGAUUAUUUCUUUCGGAGCUAUUUCAGCUGGAAUUUGGGGCUCGAGAAGUGGCGGUUUAGGCUCUGCUGGCGGCGUCGGAGAUGGCACAGGAGAUGGAACUGGCGAGGGUUCCGUCAAGUCAAUGGGCUCUGAGCUUUCAACCCUGGCUCUCUUUUGUAGUGGCCGACCCCCUGACCUGGUGAGAUAACGCCUCGCCAGAGGCUUUGGCGGCGCGGGCUUCAUCGGAGGAGAAACUGCUUUUGGCCGCGGAGGCUCAGAAAUGGGACCUGGAAUGGGCUCCUCUCACGGGACUUUCUUGCGGCUUGAAGAAGAGGAAGACUUGGCCUCUCUGGUUCGCGCCAUUUCGGGUUGCUGAAAUUUGGCCGGAAUUGAUGACCGGAGAGGAUGAACGGAGGUUUGUGCGGUGUCGGACUCGAGGAAGAAGAUGAAUAGUCUGCGAGAAUGGCACACUCUCUUUUUUAAACCUUUUCGUAACUCAAAUGACUGGUAUAUAUAAAAAUAACGGAAGAUUAAGGGUCAUUUUGAGUUUCGCAUAAAAAAGCCAAUUUCGCAACAAAAAGUCAUUUUCGCAGCCACUUCGCAAUCCGUUUCGCAGCUGCGAAUUGAGUGUCACUGUGCUACGAAGUGGCACACGUGUGCCAAAAUCGCUUUCACAAUUGCGAAAUACCCUACGGGAUGGAACUUUGGUUGUGAAAUCAGGGAUUUUCACGCUUUAUUGCUUCGCAGCUGCGAAUUGGGGGCUCCUGUGUUGCGAAGUGGCACUCGUGUGCCAAACUUGGCUUUGCAGCUUCGAAAAUUUUCGCAGAGGAGAAAAUGGAGCUGCGAAAUGAUUUCACAAAGGAUGGCCGCUUUCGCAGAGAAACGUCGAUUCCGCAGCGGCUUCUUUUAGGUUGCAAAAUGGCUUCGCAGCGAAGUGCUAAUUUCGCAGAGGUUGCGAAAUCUCGCAAACCCCUGUUUUUGCUUUGUUUGCACUCUGUUUUUGGUCUGAUUUCGCUCCGAUUUCUUCCUUUGAAUUUCUUUGCAUUUUCUUCCACCUGGGAUCAUUCAAAAAGAUUAAAACACACAUAAAAACAUGAUUUAAGAUCAAAAACUAAGAUCAAAAGUAUGGAAAAAACUUGGAAAAUUACAAAAUUUACACAAUUUUUUUUUUUUUUUUUUGGACUGUGGUAAAACCAUGUCCACCAAACCCUUCUUUGCUUAGGCUUUUUGUGGCUCAAGGAGGUUGAUUUCCUCCUUUUCUGGUUUGAAUGGCUCCAUGAACGGCUUGAGACGAUAUCCAUUGACUCUAAAGGUGUCUUUGCCAUUGGAAUUCAAUAAUUCCACCACUCCAUUGGCAUAUACUUGGUGAAUAAUAAACGGGCCUAUCCACCUUGACUUGAGCUUCCCAAGAAAGAUAUGGAGUCUUGUGUCAUACAGUAAAACUCUUUGCCCUUUCUGAAAUUCCUUGUUGGAGAUUAGUUGAUCAUGCCACUUCUUCAUCCUUUGUUUUGCAACUUUGGAAUUGAUAUAAGCAUCAUUUCUUAAUUCCUCCAUCUCAUUAAGGUCUAGAUAUCUCUUUUCUCCGGCUCUGAUCAAGUCCAUGUUUAGCUUCUUUAUUGUCCACCAAGCUUUGUAUUCAACUUCCACAGGGAGAUGGCAUGCUUUGCCAUAGACAAGACGAUAGGGAGACAUGCUAAGAAUAGUCUUAUAAGCUGUUCUAUAUGCCCACAAUGAAUCAUGAAGUCUAAUAGACCAAUAUUUUCUGCUGGAAUUCACCACUUUCAUCAAUAUGUUCUUUAUUUCCCUGUUAGCUAGCUCAACUUGCCCGGAAGUCUGAGGAUGAUAAGGUGUAGCUACCUUAUGCUUUACUCCAUACCUGGAUAACAGAGCUUCAAAAGGUUUGUUGCAAAAAUGAGCACCUCCAUCACUGAUUAUGGCUUUGGGCACCCCAAAUCUCGAGAAAAUGUUCUCUAUAAGAAACUUGAGAACCACCCUGUGAUCAUUUUGUUUACAGGGGAUUGCCUCAACCCAUUUAGAAACAUAAUCCACCCCCACCAAGAUAUAAGAAUUACCAAAAGACAUUGGGAAAGGUCCUAUGAAGUCAAUGCCCCAUACAUCAAAUAACUCAACUAUUAGAAUGGGGUUCAUAGGCAUUUGAUUUCUUUUUGUUAGCUUUCCAAGCCUUUGGCAUCUAUCACAACUCCUACACAUGAUGUGGGCAUCUUUGAAAAUAGAUGGCCAAGUAAACCCUGAUUGCAACACCUUCAUGGCUGUUUUCUGAGAGGCAAAGUGGCCUCCACAUGCAUUCUCAUGACAAUGGUUUAGAAUCCCUUGUUGCUCAUCUUCGGGGACACACUUCCUUAUGAUCUGAUCUGCACAAUACUUAAAAAGAAAGGGUUCUUCCCAAUAAUAAGCAUGAAUUUUUGCAAAGAAGUGCUUCCUGUUCUGUGCAUUCCACUCACUUGGAAUUUCACCAGUAACUAAAUAAUUAGCAAUAUGAGCAUACCAAGGAGUUUUCACUAGGAACAUGAGUGAUUCUUCAGGAAAAUCAUCAUUAAUAGGCAAGGGAUGGGAAUUAUGUGUUAUAACUAACCUUGAAAGGUGGUCAGCUACCACAUUUUCCACUCCUUUCUUCUCUUUGAUUUGGAGAUCGAAUUCUUGUAACAAAAGAAUCCAUCUAAUCAACCUUGCUUUUGCAUCUUGCUUUGUCAAUAAAUACUUCAAGGCUGAAUGGUCAGUGAAGACAAUGAUGAAAGACCCCACUAAAUAAGCACGAAAUUUGUCCAAAGCAAAUACCACAACUAACAAUUCUUUCUCUGUAGUUGUGUAGUUCCUUUGAGCUUCAUUCAAUGUUUUGCUUGCAUAGUAGAUCACAUAGGGCUUCCCAUCUUCUCUUUGGCCAAGCACAGCUCCUAUAGCAAAGUCACUGGCAUCACACAUCAGUUCAAAGGGUAAUUGCCAGUUAAGGGCUCUCACUAUUGGAGUUGUUGUUAAAAAUUUCUUCAGUUGAUCAAAGCUAUUUUGACAUCUUUCAUCCCAUAUAAACUUAGCAUCCUUAGCUAACAGCUCACAAAGAGGUUUUGAAAGACUUGAAAAACCUUUUAUAAACCUCCUAUAGAACCCUGUAUGGCCAAGGAACUGCCUUACUCCUUUCACAGUUGUUGGUGAUGGCAAUUUAACAAUAAGCUCCACCUUUGCUUUAUCAACUUCAAUGUCUUUUUCAGAGAUGAUAUGGCCAAGGACAAUUCCUUGAUGUACCAUAAAACGGUAUUUCUCCCAGUUGAGCACCAGGUCUUUUUCAAUGCAUUUGUGAAGAACCGCUUCCAAAUUGAUUAAGCAUUCCUCAAAUGUACCUCCAUAUACGGUGAUGUCAUCCAUGAAAACCUCCAUAAUUCGCUCCACCAUAUCACUGAAAAUACUCAACAUACAUCUUUGAAAUGUUGCAGGUGCAUUGCAUAAACCAAAAGGCAUUCUUCUAUAAGCAUAUGUUCCAAAUGGACAUGUAAAAGUGGUCUUUUCCUGAUCCGCCACAUCAAUUUCAAUAUGAAAAUACCCUGAAUACCCGUCCAAGAAGCAAUAGAACGGAUGUCCAGAGACUCUUUCCAACACUUGAUCGAUAAAUGGCAAUGGAAAAUGAUCUUUCCUGGUUACAGCAUUCAACUUUCUAUAAUCAAUACACACCCUCCAACCUGAAGUGAGGCGUGUAGUAAUCUCUUCCCCUUUUUCAUUCUGAACCACGGUAAUCCCUGACUUCUUUGGUACCACUUGAGUAGGACUCACCCAAGGGCUAUCAGAUAUAGGGUAAAUAAUACCUGCUUGAAGUAGUUUCAGCACCUCAGCUUGCACCACCUCUUGUAAAUGAGGAUUCAAUCUUCUUUGAAGUUAACGAAUUGGCUUUGCUUCCUCCUCCAUAUAUAUAUGAUGAGUACAAACUAAAGGACUAAUGCCUUUCAAGUCAGAUAUUUGCCAUCCUAUUGCCUUCUUACACCUCUUGAGAACUUCCAUUAAACAAUUCUCUUGAUGACUGGUCAGAGAUGAAGAUAUCAUAACAGGACAUUGAUUAUUUUCUUCAAGAUAUGUAUAUUUCAGCUCCACAGGUAGAGGCUUCAGAUUGAGUUUUGGAGUUUCUUUUUCAACAGCUGCCUCUUCUUCUUUAUUGAACACAGGUAGAAUCUCUUCUAUCUUUCUCCAACUUUGUAGAGUAGCAAGCACAGUAGGGGAUUCAAACAAACCUUCCUCAAAAUCCACAAGACUUUCAUUCAACUUGUCUUGAAUAUUUUGAUUACAGUGCUCCUCCACCAGAGUGUCAAUAAUGCACAACUCUUCUGGACCCUCUUCUUCUUCCGGAGUGGUUUGCUUUUUAGACAUAUAGAAAAUAUUGAGAUCAAGUGUCAUGUUGCCAAAAGUGAGUUGCAUCAGCCCAUUCCUGCAGUUGAUGAUAGCAUUUGAGGUAGCAAGGAAUGGCUUUCCAAGGAUGAUAGGAACUAAAUUAGCUUAUUUUACAGUAGGGUCUGUAUCAAGAACAAUAAAAUCUACCGGAUAGUAGAAAUUAUCAACUUGAACCAAGACAUCCUCAAUUACCCCCCUUGGAAUUUUCACUGAUCUAUCUGCUAGAGAUAGAGUGAUUGUUGUUGGCUUCAAUUCUCCAAGUCCCAAUUGCUUGUAGAUAGAGUAUGGAAGCAAAUUCACACUUUCUCCCAAGUCUAACAAAGCUUUCUCCACUACCUUUCCUCCAAUCAUGAUUGAAAUGGUAGGACGUCCUGGAUCUUUGUACUUCAAUGGAGAUUUACAUUGUAAGAUUGCACUUACUUGCUCAGUCAAGAAGACUUUCUUGUUUACAGUCAACCCUCUUUUAAUAGUACAUAAGUCCUUUAGGAACUUUGCAUAUGUUGGAACUUGUUUAAUCAUAUCCUGCAAUGGGAUAUUGACUUUCACUUGUCUCAAUACCUCAAGGAUUUCAGAUGCAUUUCUAAUCCCCUUUUUCCCAUGCAAUGCUUGAGGAAAAGGUGGAGAAGUUGAUUUCUUCAGCAUUUCUUCCUUCAGAAGUUCCUUCUUUGGAAUUGCAUUCAUUGUUGAAUCAGAGUCCUUCUUCUUUUCACUGAUCUCUUUCUCUUUAUCUUCCAUUUCAUCCCCUUUCUUUAUCUCUUCUUCUUCUUUCUCAACAUGUGGCUUGGGUGUUGGCUUCUCAAUUUUUUUUACCACUCCUUAGAGUGAUCAAGGCUUUGACAUCUUUCAUCUGUGAUGAUUCCCCCUCAAGGCUUUCCACUUCAUGGAUACCCUUGGGGUUUUGGUGGGGUUGAGAAGGAAUCUUCCCUUUUCUUGCAGUGUGUUCAAAUUUGUAAGCCUUGAAAUUGAAUAUUGGAUGUUAUCAAACUUUUGGGCUAUAUCGUUUUGCAUUCCAUCCAUCCUUUUAUUCAAAGUACUCUCCACUCUAUCAAUUCUUUGAUUGAUUUGAGCAUUAGUGGCUUCUUGGUUUCCAACAAAAUCUCCCACUACCUUGCUGAGAUUAGCCAUUGCUUGUUCAAGACUUGAAGAUUGUUGAGAUGGUGGAUCUGGCUGUUGGUACUGAGUUGCUCUGGCCUUCCAUGAGAAAUUUGGAUGAUUCCUCCAACUUGAGUUGUAAGUAUUUCCAUAAGGCGCAUUGUUAUUGGGCUUAAAUUGUCCAACAACAUUUGCUUGAUCUCUAAACAUUUCCCUUUCAGCUAAAAUUGCAGGGCAUUCCUCCACCAAAUGUUCAUAUGAUUGACAAUUGGGACACAACUUCACUUGCACUGGUGCUUCAGCAACAACUUGCACUUCAUGUAUUCUUUUCAACUCCAACUCCUCCAAUCUUCUUGUCACAGUUGCCAAUUUUGCUUUCAUAUCAUCAUCUUCUUUCAAGGUAUACAUCCCAGCCUUAGCAUUAAAAGCACUCAGUUGAGAUUUCAUCUUACCCACUUCUCCUUUGGUUGGUUCAUCCCAUCCCCUUGAAACAUCAGCUACAUAGCUCAAGAAAUCCAUAGCUUCCUCUGGAUUUUUGCUCAUGAAAUAUCCUCUACACAUUGUCUCGAGGAGUUGCUUCAUUGAGGAGGACAUCCCAUCAUAAAAAUAGCUCACCAAUAGCCAAGUAUCAAAGCCAUGGUGAGGGCAAGCAUUUAUAGCUUCCAUAUAUCUUUCCCAACACUCAUAGAAUUUCUCAUUCUCUUUAGCUGAGAAGUUUGAAAUUUGCCUUUUCAAGCCAUUUGUUCUAUGAGUGGGAAAAAAUUUCUUGAGGAAUUCAGCUUGUAAGUCAGUCCAAGAACGGAUACUCCUUGGCCUUAAAGAAUUAAGCCAAAUUUUGGCCUUAUCCUUUAAAGUAAAAGGAAAUAACUUAAGCCUCAUCAAAUCAAUUGAAGCUCCUCCCUCUUGGAAUGUAUUACAAACAUCUUCAAAUUCCUUGAUGUGUGCAUAGGGAUUCUCACUUUCCAUCUCAUGGAAAGUUGGUAGAAGUGGAACAAGAUACGGUCUGAUCACUAGCUGCUCUGUAGGGGGCACUAUACAUGAUGGUGCACUCAUACGAGGUGGAUGCAUGCGGUCCCUCAUUGAUCUGAAUUCAUUGAGAUUGUCUUGACGACCUUGGUGACUAUGCUGAUCUUCAGGUGUAGCUUCCAUGAUAUUCAAGCUCAAUUCGAAUUCUUUGUUAUGAGGUGUAUCACAUUUAACAAGCCUUCCUCCACUGUCUCGCAUCCACUUUAGCAUACACAACUAGUAUCUAUCUGCAACUUAAAUGAAAAUAAAGGACAACAAAAGGAAACAGGCCUACAACAACAAAAUUUAAAAGAUGAACUUGGAUUAUGAAUAAAUAAAGAAAGAAUGAGAAUUAGUAAAGUGAAAGAAACGUUACCAACUGGUGAUGAAAAUCACAAGUGCUCUAAAAUGGUAUCACUAUAAACUUGACACCUUCCCCGUCAACGACGCCAUUUGAUUCGUGCCCAAUUGGUGUCUCAGCUGAUUCAUGUCCAGCUGGUGCUCCUUGUUUGAGGGAGUAAUCAACAAAAUUUAUAACCUAUUACACCAUAUACUAGGGUAGCAAAGAAAAAUCUACUAUAGUAUAACGACUCUAGGAUCGUUCACUGGGAAGGGUUUCCAAAUUACAAAUGAUACCAAUUCAAAGUGAAUUGGUACUUUUUCAUUUCAAGGUUAGCUCACGAAAUAAAACAAAAACUUUGAUUGGUAAAGAUUUAGAUUUAAAAUGACUACAAAGCAAGUGAUGGAAAUUACUUAGGAAGAAAAACAUUCCUUGGAGAGUCAGGUUCACUGGGGUGGUUCCUCAUGCAAAAGACAUAGCUCAGGUCAGUUGGUUCAUUUCCUCGCGUGAGAGAAUCAACAUAUAGUCAAUUCUCUAACCGGUGUUGUACAGAUACAUCCUUUAAUUAGAUUUCAGCUUUAAUUCCCUCUCACUGAUGCAACUUGCUAUGGUUCAUGCCUCUCACUAAGCCUUAACCAUUCAAGGUGAUCUUUAACCUUGGACUUCCCUUCUCAAGCUCGCAAGAGAUAACUAAUGGAUGUCUCCUUGGAGUCCAAAAGCUUACCAAGUGUUGGCAAUUCCAGAAAAUCCUACCUUCAAGUCACCUCCCAGAGGCUCACAAGGGGUAAACUAGUGCAUCUCCAUGGUUUGAGAUCACUUGCCUUACCAAGUGUUGGCCCAGGUGACUCUAAGGUGUUUUAAGUUAACUAAAAACAUAGAAAUCACUAAAGGAUUUCACUUCCUCUUCAUUCAUGGCUGAAACCAUAAAGCUUUGCAUUCUUGCAAUUGGAACCUUCCCCGGCAACCUUAGCUCCAAGGAACUAAAGGUUUAGUUACUCAUUCUCUGGGGAAAAUUCCUCAAAGAGUGCAUAACUUCGUAAGAAAUAAAAAAAUACAAAGUGAGAAGGUAAGGCAAAACAAAGGACCUGAACUUUACUUGAUUUUCCAAAACUUUACAAAAGGUCUCCUCUCUCUGAGAACAGGCUCCCGAGAGGUAUUUAUAUGAACAUAAUAUAAAACUAAUUAUUACAUGGAUAUUUUCUCUUUUUACUAACUUAAAAGCUAAGGAAUCUUGUAAUUGGUGGCUUACAAGGAGUAUUUUGGGAUUUAGACAACAAAAAUCUGAUGGAAAAUAUCUCCCAAUGUCGGUAGCAAACAUCGGGAAGCACUACGGACCAUUUCGCAAGAGAAAAUGAUGUCUGCGAGAUUUCGCAGACACUCAAAAAGGGCUGCGAAAUCACUUCGCAACAAAAGGAUAUUCUCACAGGGCUGCGAAGUUGGCUUCCAUCUUGAGGUUCUCAGCUUCCAACUUGUCGCAUUUAUUAGACAACUUCAGGAGGAAAUCCACCACACUGUACAAAAAGGCUGCGAAAUCACUUCGCAACAAAAGGGUGAUUUCGCAACACUUUGCAAAAUGCUUCCUUCAGCUUAGAGUGAUUGACUUGAAAUGGCUGUAACUUCUUCGUUUCAACUUCGAAUUGCACACCGUUUGAAGCAUUGGAUUGUUGACUUCCUGAGCUUUGAAAUGGUAUAUAUCAUGCAUCAAUUGGACUUCAUGAAGUGCUCCAAAAGUGGCUGCCACGACUGUCAUCAAGAAUAUGCUUCAUGGCAGAUUCUCUUUACUUUUUCUCCUUGCAUUCCGGAUCAACUCUUGGAAAAGGGCUUCAAAGAUUUAGUUCUUCAUGUUUCUGAGCUUCCAAUUGCUUUGCCCCAGAUUCCAAAGAACUCUCCUCAAUCUUGGAUUGCUUUGGUGAUCAAAUUACUAACAAAAACACCAAAACUUAACACAAUUUAAUUAGAAACAAUUGCAAGGGUCCUUAUCAUGCCAAUUGAGUUAAAAGGCCAAAACUACUACUCAAAAGUGUUUGAAAAGAUUAAUUACAAGCUAUCAAAUAGCACUUUUUGAGUAGUAAUCAGUAUUUUGCAUGCUACAUCAUAUUAUGGGAAGAGCGGUGAUCCUAAGAGUAAAGAACAGUGGGACAUUGAACGGUUGCAUGAUGUUCCUCAACAAAAGUAUGAGUAAGUAAACAAAUAUCGAAACUUCAUCUUAUCAUUUCACCUUUAUGCCUUAUACAGUAAAUUUUUUUAGUCAUCUUAAUUUUGAUUACUUGUGUUUUAUGCAGUGGUGAUUGUGGGAUGUUCCUGAUUAAAUGUGCAGAAUACUUAAUGCAUGAUCGGUGCCCGCAUUGAUUGGUUUAGAUAUAAAAUGGCAACUGAAUUGUUCUACUUCAAAAAUUAACCCAUGUAGUGGGUUUCAUUUUGAUUAUGUAAUAGGUUUAUAUGUUGUUGAGUGGUGACUAUUAUUUUGGAUGAAUUUGACUUGAUGCUCAAAGUUACAAUUUUUGUAAUGUAACUAUAACUAUCAACUUAACUAUAGUUAAGUUAUUUGGUAAUGCAACUCAACAAUUGUUAAGUUUGGGUGAAUAUUCUGAGUGUGAAUUUAACCACAAUUAAGUUCUUUAUUAAUGCAACUCAACCAUUGUUAAGUUCAGGUGAAAAUUCUAACUGUGAAUUUAAUUGUGCUUAAGUUCUUUGUUAAUGCAACUUAACUAAUGUUAAGUUCAGGUGAAAUUUCUGACUGUGAACAUAACUGUGGUUAAGUUCUUUGUUAAUGCAACUCAACUACUGUUAAGUUCAGGUGAAAUUUAUGACUAUGAACUUAAUUGUGGUUAAGUUAUUUGCUAAUGGAACUUAACUACUGUUAAGUUUAGGUGAAAUUUAUGACUGUGAACUUAACUGUGGUUAAGUUUUUUAUUAAUGCAACUCAACUACUAUUAAGUUCAGGUGAAAAUUUUGACUAUGAACUUAUCCACAAUUAAGUUCUUUGUUAAUGCAACUCAACUACUGUUAAGUUCAAGUGAAAAAAUUAACAAAGAACUUAACCACAAUUAAGUUCUUUAUUAAUGCAACUCAACCAAUGUUAAGUUUAGGUGAAAUUUAUGACUGUGAAUGUGGUUAAGUUCUUUGUUAAUUCAACUCAACCAUUGUUAAGUUCAGGAGAAAAUUCUAACUAUGAACUUAACUGUGGUUAAGUUAUUUGUUAAUUCAACUCAACCAUAGUUAAGUUCUUUGCUAAUGAAAUGAUCAUCAACUUAACCAUAGUUAAACUUAACCAAGUAAUUUAUAUGAUAAAACUAAAACAUUAACUUAAAAUUUCAAUCCAUCAUUCAAAAAAAUUGCUUUAAGCAUAUAUAAAAAUAAUAAUCUCACAAAUUCCUUCAUGGCCCUAUACAAAAAAAAAAAAGUGUAGAUACAUAGCUAAAUCAUCCCCAAAAAACAAAUUUUUGGGUAACAUUAUUAAAGUGACUAAUGACUAGUUGUAAAGAGAAUUCUUAGAUGUUGAUAUUGCUUUCAACAAUAUUCACACAACUAUGUUCAUCUCUAGGAUGUAAUGGGAUUGGUCGUUUGCAUAUUUUUCUAUUAUGCCUAUAAUCACCACAUCUACCACAACAUCGUGAACACUUAACAUCUUCAAUUGAAUGAAUUCUCUCCUUUCUUAGUCUUCCUACUGGUCGCCGAAUUUUUGGUGGUAGCACAACUCUACAAUAGAUGUCUUCCGGAAUGACCCAAUCUUUGUUGUUUCCAUUAGGAUAUAUAGACUUUGAGUAUGAAGAUAUAAGCGAGUUCUUCAUAUAGUAUUGAGAGCAUAGAGUAUAGCAUGACAUGUUUCCAUAUCUACAUGCAGCAAUAGCAUGUGCACAUGGAAUAUGGUCAAGAUCAAACACCUUACAUGUGCAUAAACAGGUUUGCAAAUUAACUUGAUUACUUACCCCAACAUAUUUGACAUUAAACUCCCAAGAGUUUAUAGGCUCAACCUCAUAACUUGAUGACUUAUUAAACCUUAAGCAUAACUCCAUGUUAGCCCAUGUAGUAAUCUCAAUUUUCAUUGAUAAUGCUUGUUGUUAGCGAUUUGAAAACCAUCUCUGAAGUAAGUUCCUCAACUCUUCAACCAUUCGCACAACUAGAAGAUCUCUUGCAUCUUUUAGUACAACAUUCAUGCACUCAACGAUCCCUGUAGUCAUGAUAUUAUAUCUUUUUCCGUUACUGUGUGACCGAGCCCAUUGCUCUACUCCUACAUCCACUAAAUAUUUGGUUGCUCUUAGAGAAAUCAUCUCUAACUGACCAAAUAUAGUAUCAAAAUCUGACAUUCGAUAUGCAUGGGCAACAUCAUGAAACAACUUAUGUACAUUAACAUUCUUGAACUUUGUUUUCAAGUUUUGCCCUAAAUGAUAAGUGCAUACGCCAUGGCUUGCAUGAGGAAACAACUUUUGUACUAUUUUUUCAAUGCUACCAUGUCGAUCUGAAACCACCACUAAAUCAUCUACAUGCCUAAUCACAUCAUAUAAUUUUAUAAGAAAUCACUCCCAAGAAGAAUCAUUUUCUGAAUCACCAAUUUCGAAAGCCGAUGGGUAGAUUUGAUUGUUACCAUCUUUGCUCACUGCAACAAACAAAGUCCCUAAAUAUUUUUACUUCAAAAAUAUUCCAUCAACUGCAAUUACUGGCCUUAUUAAUGUACGAAACCCAGAAAUACAUGUACCAAAUGCCAUAAAUAGAUACUUGAAUUGAUUGUCAACAUCAGUAACAAUAUCAGUUAUUGUCCCAAGAUUUUUUUGCUCUAGCAUAUAACAAUAAGAUGGUAAAGCACCAUAAGACUCUUCAGGUGAUCCCCUAAUGGAGUUAAGGGCAAUUUCUCUUGCUCUCCAUGCCUAAUCAUAACUAAUUUGAACACCGUACUUGUUUCAAAUAUCUCCUAUAAUGUCUUUGGGACGGUAUUGACGACCAACUUGAUAAGUUUGUCUCAUGCUUUCACCAACAACCAACCAACUACUUGCAUGACAAUUAUAACGAGACAUCAUGUCCAACCUGCAAGUGUGCAUAGGAUGGCAUUUCAUUACUUGAAAGAAGUUAAAACUUCCCAACUUAGUUGCACAAAAUCGCCAUUUGCAUUCAUUAUCAACACAUUGAAGUACCAAUAACUUGGUAGUAGAUUUUAUCAUUUUAAACUCAAACUUCUCUUUCAAGGCAAUAAUGUACAAUUUUUUCUACAGUUCUUUCUUACUAGAAUAAAUUUGCUUCUCUUCAAUAUGAUCAUCAUUAGUGCCAUAAUCACUAGUACCUAUCCAACUCAUGUCUUGGCUAUUAUUACUUACCUCCUCAAUCAUGGUUGGAGCAUCAUUCAUGGGACCAUCUUUUAUAUUCAUGAUGCUAUGAAUUUUCAUUAUUUGAGCUGCUUUGUUGCUUGAAUCCCUAUUUUCAAUCACUUGGACAUUGCUGGUCAGGUUGGUAUCCAACAGUCAUCAUCAAUAGCAUACCCAUUCAUGUUCCAUUCAACAACAUUAGAUCUCUCAAGUGGCUCAUAGUUGAAUUUUGUUAUGCUUUCAUCACCAACGACAUUAAGAGAUUCUAUUGAUCCAUCAUUUACAUGUUCAUUUCCAUGCAUAAACAUUGACUCUGCAUUAUUUUCAGAUCUUCUAUCCAUAGUGAUGCAUAAUGGAGCUGGUAACUUGUUCGUGUAAUUUAAACGAAUGAAAAAUUUAACAUCUCCAUCAUCUCUUAGUUGAAUUGGUGAUGUUGGUAUGUUACCACUAAAUGCAUACUUCAUUGAAAUUGAACACUCAACUGGAUCUAGUUGAAGAAUGCGAUACACAACUCUCAUUAAUUCAUGAUAUGAUAUAUUCUUCUUCAUUGUAAUGUCUUUACCUUCACUUCCUUUAAAGUGGUAUGUGUUUCCAUCUUGUACCCAAUUCCCUUUAUACAAAAGCAUUAUUCCUACUUCAUCAAUGACUGCAAAAAUAAAUAUUUCACUACUACAAAAAUAAUUUAUGGUGUCACUAUUUAUGGUGUCACUUUUAAAAUAAUGACACCAUAGGGUUUAUAAUUAAUAAAGGUGAUACAUCAUGUAAAAAAGCUUCAAUUGAGGUAGUUAGAUGAUGUUAGUUUUAUAUUUAUAUUGUCAUUUUUUGGGAAGUGACAUCAUAUAAAAUAAAAAUUUUUAAGUAUUACAACUCAAAGAGCCUACUUGAGCCCACUUUUAGAAUUAAUAAUGAGGGACAAUAUAUUAAAAGCCCAUUGUUUCCACAUGCCACCCAUAAUCCAAAAAAUCUCACUAUAGAAACCCUAUAUAUAAAACCAUAAUCUUUUUCUACCUUUUCUCUCACCCAUAGUCAACAUGCUCACAACCGACAUUCUUCACUUUGUGGACUCCCAGAUAACCCAAAAUCUCUUAGAUCUAUCAUAUUUUUUUUCUUUUAUUAAUGUCAUUAUAUUUAUUGUUUCAACAUCUUUGUAUUAUGGUUUUUGUGAACUGGGUUUUCUUGAGUUGUAGGGAAGAAAAUUUUAGGUUUAAACUUCUAGCAUAGAAGAAGAAACCUAUAGAUUAAUUGAUUUUUUAAUCUGAACCAAACACAUGGUUGUCUUCUUAAAAACAAGAAAAAAUGAAUGAUUUUUAAUAGGUAUUUGUGUGAGAAUGACCAACUUUCGUAUCAGGAUGCCUUGUUCACGCUAUGCUUUGUUCAUCUAAAAACCCAACUCUCCAAAACCCUAUGCUCUGUUCGCGCUACCUCUGUCUCACUCUCCGGUUUCCCCUCUCCCACUCUCCUCUCUUGCUAUCGGAUUGAUCAAAGAUUCUGAAAAUAUCUCGAAUAAAUUCCGAAAGUAUUUCCAAAAUUUAUUUUAGGUGGAGAUUCAUUAAGAUUUCGUUCCAUUUGUAUAUAAUAUAAGUGAUACAUGGUGGCUCUAUUGAAUUUGUAGAUAUGGUAUAGGUCGUAGCAGGAGUUUUUCAUCUUGGUCGGUUCAAAAAGCUAGGGUUUGUUUCACCUUUUUCUCAGAGGGAGAAAGGACGGAGAUACAAGAAACAAUCGCCCCCAUUCAUCCCAAAGGUAGUCCUGACCCGUAAUAUUACUUUUCUUCUUCUUCUUCUUCAAUAUGAUUAUCGUUUCAGUAAUCCAGAUAUCUCCAUUAUAAUUCCUAUAUCUUGAUGAAACAAUUCCAAUUUGAUAAUCUGGGCAGAUAUCCAUUUAAAUUCCUAUAUCUUGGUGAAACAAUUUCAAUUUGAAAAUUAAAUAAUUGUUAGAAUUCAGUUUGUCCUGAUAUUUCAUCAUAUGGUUCAGCGAGUAGCUCGGUGUCACCGAAGUCAAUUUCAAACCUAGAAUAGAAAAUAAAAAAUACCCCAGCUCAGUUUUCUUUCCUUUUAGGACGAUCAAAUUGGUGUCUUAUUUAAGUCUUUUUAAUUCAAGAAGACCACCAAACAUACCUCAAACCGGUGAAGGAAUACAAGUUUAUUAAGUUGUAAUUGCUCACGCCUCAUCACUAGCGUUGAAGAUGUUUUUUAAUUUGUCCUCCCACAAGCGCAUGAUAAUCCAAUUCCUUAAAAGACAGAAAAAAAUUUAUAUAUAUCAGCUAACCCUCAUUUUCUAUGUGUGAAGGCAAAGGGCAUGUAAGAAAGGACCUCUUUGAUUGGCACCCCCUUCCCAGCCAUUCCACGUAUGAUAUAUAGAGGAAAAAAGGCAUAAUUUUGUACCAAGGAUGGUCUUAAUCUAGCAACCAUGUAUUUAUAUUUUUUUUUCAUAUUCAAGUAAUAUAUGGGCAACGGGUUGUCCACGGCCAAUUGAUUUGUCAGGUAGUAGUGUGUAGGUCCUGGGCCUAACAAGUAAGCCAGAUGUGGACUACUACAACCCCUGUGGCUUAUAAAGGCUAAACUGGGGUUAUGUGAUGGAUUAGAAUUAAGUUAAUGAUAAGAAAGAAGAUUAUAGAAAUGAUUAUGGUCAAGUUGGAAAUGGAUUAGAAUUAAGACUAAAACUUUUGUUGGUGUUAUAGAGGUGAUUUUUCAUGGAGCUGAUCAUUUUCCGAGUUUUAGUUUCUUGCCUAGUAUUUUAAUGUUUAUGGAGAUCGAACGAGUUUUGUGUAUUCUUUAUAUGAAAUAUUAUAAGGUUACUAAAAUGGAGACUUGUUUAUUCAAUUCCUAUGCCAUUAACUUCUACUAAUUUGAUUUUUUUUUUCAAUGCUUUCCUCAAUAUCUAAAUUUUAAUUAUUGAAGUUCCCUAUUAUUGCCCACCCUUUUGGGUUUCUUUAAUACACAAAUUUUCCUAUAAAAGAGAGAUUUUAUUUGAAGUAAAUUGUAAGCUAGAGAAUAUGGAUUUAAUGAUUGGGUUCAUUCAACUUGCUUCAACUGAACUCAACCUAAAUUGUUUGCCAAACCACCCAUCUCUUAACUCAUUCUAGGUAAGGAAUGUUGUUUCUUUGGUUAUAUAUGAAAAUUUGAGUUUAAAGGCUCUUUUUCUACUUCCUUUUUAGCAUAUUUAGAACCCCCAAAGUGUUUUAUAGUGAUAGUAGGGCUUUGUUUAAAUGCAAGUCAUUAACUUUUUUACAAUUGUUAAUUUAAGGGCAUUUAAAGUUGUAUAUAACACUAAAAUAGAAUGAAUUGUUUUCAUACUGUAUAAUUUUAUUUUUAUUUUUUUUUAUGAAUUUAAGUACUUUAUAUAUUAUAAUAAUAAUUUUUUUUUUUUUUUGCAUAAAAUUUCUUAAAGAUGAACUUUUGUUUUUGAGUCAUAAAUUCAAAAACUAGGUCUAAUCAGAAUCUUCAAUUUAAUCGCAAUUUUUGGAAUGGAAAUAUUUGAUAUGAUGCUUGAAAUAUAAUUUAAAAUAAAUAAUAUAGAAGGAAAAGAAAAUUAAUAUUAUUUGUAAAGUGGUUGGCAAAAGAGAAAAGGUCAUAAAGUAUAGAAAAAAAGUAUUAUCUGUAACCUGCCAUUAACAUAUUAUUGUGUGUGCAUAAGUUGAGUUUUUUUUUUUUUUUUUUGUGGUAAUUAAUGGGCAGUCCUUGCUUGGACUGGUUUUGCUUUGUGGUAUGAUUUUAGUGUUAACUAUAGGUCUUGCUAGAAUUUAAGGUUUUUUUGUGACCAUUUGAGCGAAUUAGUUUUUUAUAUUUAUGCAUUAAUAAUUAAGAUUUUUUAUAUUUAAAUUGAAAUAGUUUAAAAUCUUACUUAACUUUAUAAAAUUGAAGUUGUGUCUUCCUAAAUUAAAUUCCUAAAAAGUUGUUUUUACUUUCCUCAUUAUUGUUGAAUCAAAAUACUUUAUUUUGAAAGCUUUCUUCACUUCUUAAUAUUCUCAUUCGUAUUAAAUUUAAUAGUUUCUCACAUAUUUUCUAGUUUUUGGAAGCCUUUGUUUUAGGGGCUUGGCUUUAUCCAUUAUUGUGUGCCAAGUCACCUCCCAUGUUCUUUAUUAUUUAUUUAUUUAUUUAGGUGGAAGUGUUUUUUAGGGAAAGAAUCACUAAUUGGUGUGGCUAUCUACAAAAGAGAUCAUGUAGUGUGCUACAAUUUGUUAUGUAGGUCAUACAUUUUAGAAGUUUUUUUUCCCUUAUUAAUCUUAUCUCAAAUAUGAAUGAAAACUUCAAUCGAUUUAGACAAAAAUAAACAAUAAUGAAAUUAUUACAAUAAUGUAUCCAUUAACUUACUAUAUUUACUAUUUUGAAAAUGUUAUUUUUAUUAACAAAAAAGGUAAAUACUUUCAACUUUGAAGUUCACAGGGUAAGAAUAUAGUUUAUAGAUUAAUGUAUAAAAAUAGAGUAAUAAGUCUUCUGGGUAGGUUGCUAUAACUAUUAUUUAAUCUUGUUAUUUUACAUGUUAUUUUCACUAGAUCUUUUUAUUAGUUUGAUUUUAGAGUUUAUAGAUAACGUUAUCAUAAGCCCAAGUUUAGUACUAUUUUAUUUCAUCAUCUUCAUAGCUUUUAUUAAGAAGUAAAAUGUGGUUGUUAGGAUAGAGUCCUUAAAAGUAUUACAUGACAUAAAAAUAAAUGGAUUAUUCUGAUUAUCUUUUCAUUAUCCUAUAUUUAUGCAUUAAUAAUGUUAAGCAUUCAUGCUUGGCAUCUCUUACGUGGUACAUAACUUGGGAAAUAUGUUAGAGGUUGUAGUGAAUAUGUUUUCAUGCCCUACAACCCCGAGUAAGUGACGAAUAUUAUACUUUAAUUUGAGGUUUUAUGAUUGAUUUAUAUUUAUAAUUAUAUGCUAUUUUUGUUUUUAAUGUUUUAGCUUUCAUUGGAUCUUGGUAGUGAUUGAGCCAAGGAAAAUGAUAGUCCACUAUCUUGACCCUAUGCAUCACAAACCAUGUGAUGACUUAAAGGAUAUCGUAAACAUGUAAGAUCUUUCUAUUAUUUUUUAUAAAAAAAAAAAAUUACAUUCACCUCAAACACAUUUUUUUAUAUUAUUUCUAUAUAUUAAAACAGAUAACAUUUAAUGUUAUGCAUUUUAAUGUUAUUUUCUUAUUUGAUUUCAGUUUGGUGAUAAAUAAAAAAAAAGACAUAUUCUCAAGUAGAAUUCAAUGAAAUUAGAGGAGAAUGAGCUACUUUUGUGCUACAACUAAUCAUUAAUCAUGUUGAUGCAUCAUGAUCACCAUGCAUGGUGAGUCCCUUAGCUACUACAUGAAUUUUUCCAUAGGUAUUGUAUAGCAUUGCUUAUUCUUUGAACAAUGUUUCUAUUUGAAAAAAAAAAUAGUUCUUAGAUUUGUUCAUUUAUGAUAACAUCGAUCCAUAUUUAUUUUCUUCAAUAAAAUCUAUAAAACUCAUUAAACUAUGAAAUGCAAGUAUACAGCCUUGGGAUGGUGUGGAAUGGAGAAUAAAAAGAAAGAAGAAGGCAACAAGAUUUUGGGUUUUUAAGUGCAACUCUUAUGUCAUACAUUGUAGGACAUAAACAUUACUUUAAUUGGUACUAAGAAUUUUAGAUUUUUAGAUGCGACUUUUAUGUCAUUUUAUAGUUAGUCGGUUUUAUGCUUAUAAAAUGGAGGUAUACAUGAAUCUUGGGAUCUUUAACAUUUCUAAAUCAUGUUUUGGUAUGUAGUCACUCUUCUUUUUUAGUUUUAAUGGGUUUGAUAUGUUAGACGUACUAUCUUUUUGUGAACAUUUGAUAUACAAAUAUUAUUAGAUGCUCAAUGUAUUAUGAGUUAUUCUAUAAACAUUACAAAAAAAUGAGUUAAAUGUAAUAUGAUUGUUAUAUUUAUGGACAAAAUAAAUAUACACAGGUUAAUCUUACUUGUUAAUUCAUAAGCAUUACAAAAAUCUACAACUAAAAGCAAUCAUGUCUUCCACAAUAAUUUACAAUGAUAUGACACCAUAACUCAAAGGUGAUGCAUUUAAUGUGACACCCUAUCAUCACUACAAAUAUAUGGUGUCACUUCUGAAUGCCUCACCAUUUAUCUGCUUUGGUGUCACUUCCAAAUACGUCACCAAUUGGUACCCUCUAUGGUGUCAAUGGAGAAGGUGACGCUAUGUUGUAGUGACACCCUAUGUUUAUGGUGACUCGUUAUAAAUGUCACCAUAUAUCUUUUUCCUUGUAGUGUUUCAAACUAUCACGUUAAUAAUAAAAUAGUAAAACAUAGGAUAUAUUUUUAUUAAGUUUCAACUAUAGACUAUUGAUUACUACUCACUAAGUACUCUUUUAUAGCUUGAAACUAACUGUUUUACACACUUUUGAGUAGUAGUUAGUACCUUUUAAUUCAAUUGGCACAUUAAGGAACCUAGUAAGGGUUACUAAUCAAUUUUUAGCAAGUUUUGGUGUUUUUGGUAGCUAUUUGAUCAUUGAAACUAGCCAAGAAUGAGGGAGAAUUUUGUGAAAUCCAUGGCAAUGCAAGCUAAAGCUCAAAUACAUGAAGAAUCCAAACUUUGGAGCACUUCAUAGCCCUUUGCCAAGCCAAUCAAAGAUGCAAGGAAGAAAACCAGAGGAAGAAAUCCAACAACCAGCAUUUUCGCAAACAAGCCAAGAAUGAGGGAGAAUUUUGUGAAAUCCAUGGCAAUGCAAGCUAAAGCUCAAAUGCAUGAAGAAUCCAAACUUUGGAGCACUUCAUAGCACUUUUCCAAGACAAUCAGAGAUGCAAGGAAGAAAACCAGAGGAAGAAAUCCAACAACCAGCAUUUUCGCAUGGUAGUGCGAAAUUUCGCACACCAUGCGAAACCACUUGAGGCAGCCAAAGAAUUUUGCAUACCAUGUGAAAUUUCGCAUGGUGUGCAAAAUCUUCCUGUGCACCAACUCUGUUAGAUUUUUAUCUCCAAAUAUUUUGUGUAACUUCCUAUUUUCUCCUUGUAAUCAACUUAUAUAUUUUCAUAUAUAUAUAUAUAUAUAUAUUAUUUAGUGUGUGUAACAUCUUUUGAUAUAGACACACAAGGAUGUAAUCAAAAGGAGGUUGUAAAAUUCCCUAUAGUAAGAAAUAUACAAAGCUUUUGCUCUGCCUUUCCUUCUCAUUUUGUUUUCACUCUUCUUUCUAGCCAAAGAACCUCUGAGGAUGAUUUCUUAAGGGAUGAGUGGCUAGGCUUUACGUUUCUUGGAGUGAUGGAAGCUAGGUGAAGGACCUGAAUGCAAAGAUGAGAGUUGUCCUUGCUUUAAAUGAAAGUAGUUGUUAACCAUUAAUGUUUUUAUUUCAAGGUUUAGCUUUAAAUCCCUUAAAGCCACCUUGAAUGGCCAAUACUUGGUAAGCUUUUUGGAUUCUAUGGAUGCUUAUUGCUAGAUCCAUGGAUGUCUAUUAGUUAUCAUUUACGAGUCAUUGGAAGGUGGUUCAAGGUGAGGGUCUUUAGUGCUUAAAGCCAUUAAUGGGAAGUAACUAUCAUUUUCCAUGUACCCUUUGAAUCAAAUCUUAAUUGCUAAAUAUAAAACCGGUUCGGGAGAUAACCAUCCUUUAUGUUAUUAUCCCCAACGUGAGGAGAAGAUCUAGAAUCUCCCCCUUUGUCUAAGGAACCCGAUCCUAGUGACCUACUACCCUAGUGUGAGGUGAUUUAGGUUUUAUAAAUUUUGUUGAUAACACCCGUCUGAGCUAGAAUUAAAUGGUGUCGCUGCCAGGGAUGGUGCCAAAGUACAUUGACAUGAUUUUUGGUGAACACUUGUGAUCUUCAUCACAAGUUUGGUGAUUUUUAUUUUACUAAUUCUUUUUUUUUUUUUUGUCUAUAUUUUAGCUUAUCUUUUAUUUAGUUUUUAGCUAACCUUAACUUUUUCCUAGAAUUGUAUUUCUUUUAUUUUCUUUGUUUUUGUUUCAGUGAUCUCUAGUUGUGCAUGCCCUAUUGGAUAAAAGAUUGAGGGAAGACUUGUGAAAAUUGAAACUCCUCGAGAAACUGAGUUGGAAGUGUGCUUAAACAUCAUGGAUGUUCCACCUGAAGACCAGAAUAGCCAACAUGGUCAAGAGGAUAAUUUCAAUGAGAGACCACAUGCAUCCACCUUGUAUGAGCGCACCUUCAUGCAUAGUGCCUCCCAUUGAGUAGAUAGUAAUUCGACCUCACAUCGUGCCACUCCUACCUACUUUCCAUGGGAUGGAAAGUGAAAAUCCCUACUUGCAUAUUAAGGAAUUCAAGGAGGUUUGUAAUACAUUCCAAGAAGGAGGAGCUUCAAUUGACUUGAUGAGGCUUAAGCUAUUUCCUUUCACCUUGAAGGAUAAGGAAAAGAUAUAGCUCAAUUCUCUAAGUCCAAGGAGUAUCCGAACUUGGACUGAUUUGCAAGCCGACUUUCUCAAGAAGUUCUUCCCUACUCAUAGGACCAAUGGUUUGAAAAGGCAAAUUUUGAAUUUCUCGAAUAAAGAGAAUGAGAAAUUCUGAGUGUUGGGAAAGGUAAAUGGAAGCUAUUAAUGCUUGUCCUCACCAUGGCUUUGAGACAUGCCUCUUAGUGAGCUAUUUUUACGAUGGUAUGUCUUCUUCAAUGAAGCAACUCCUAGAAACUAUGUGUGGAGGAGACUUCAUGAGUAAGAAUCCGAAGGAAGCCAUGGACUUUUUGAGUUAUGUGGCUGAAGUUUCAAGAGGAUGGGAUGAACCAAAUGCUAGAGAGGUGGGAAGAAUGAAGUCUCAACCUAAUGCUAAGGGUGGGAUGUAUGUUUUGAAUGAAGACAUUGACAUGAAGGCAAAGAUUGCAGCUAUGGCAAAGAAAUUGGAAGAGCUAGAAAAGAAGAAGAUACAAGAAGUGCAAGCUAUUUCUGAGACGCCAUUGCAAGCUAUGCCUUGUUCCAUUUUUCAAUCUUAUGAGCACCUGAUGGAGGAGUGUCCUACAAUUCCAGCAGUGAGAGAGGUGUUUGGAGAUCAAGCAAAUGUUAUUGGUCAAUUCAAGCCCAAUAACAAUGCUUCAUAUGGCAACACCUACAAUUCGAAUUGGAGGAACCAUCCAAAUUUCUCUUUGAAACCAAAGCCACCUCAGUACACACAACCUGCUCAAGCACCUCAGCAAUCCUCGAAUGUUGAACAAGUUAUUAUGAACCUUAGCAAGGUUGUGGGAGACUUUUUGGGAGAUCAGAAGUCCAUUAAUGCUCAAUUAAAUCAGAGAAUUGACAGUGUGGAGAGUACAUUGAACAAAAUGAUGGAUAGGAUGCAAAAUGAUCUAUCUCAAAAGAUAGACAAUGUCCAAUACACAAUCUCAAGGCUUACCAACCUCAACAAAGUGCAAGAGAAAAGAAAGUUCCCUUCUCAACCUCAUCAAAAUCCAAAGGAUAUCCAUGAUGUGGAGGCUCAAGAGGGAGAAUCUUCAAAGGUGAGGGAAGUCAAAGUAGUUAUCACCUUGAGAAGUGGUAAAGAGGUUGAUCAGCCCACAUCCAAGUCAAAGCAUGAUGAAGAAAGUAUAGCAGAAAAAGAAAACAAUGAGGAAAAUAAAGGAAAAAGAAAAGGGAAAAGUACAAAGAAAGAUGACCAUGAGUCUAAUGUGGAUGAAAAACCCGAGAGGAUAGUGAUCAAUGAAGAUAUGAUGAAGAAACACAUGCAGAAACACAUGCCUCCACCUUUCCCCCAAGCUUUGCAUGGCAAAAAUGGAACCAAUAAUGCAUCAGAAAUUUUUGAAGUGUUGAGGCAAGUGAAGGUCAAUAUCCCUUUGCUAGACAUGAUAAAAAAAAGUGUCGAAAUAUGCAAAAUUCUUAAAGGACUUGUGCACUGUAAAGAGAGGGUUGAAUGUGAACAAGAAAGCCUUCUUGACUGAGCAAGUGUCAUCAUACAGUGCAAGUCUCUAGUGAAGUACAAAGAUCUGGGCUGCCCUACCAUCUAAGUGAGUAUUGGAGGGACUUGUGUGGAGAAAUCUUUGCUGGACUUGGGAGCAAGUGUGAAUUUGCUACCCUACUCUAUCUAUAAGCAGUUGGGACUUAGAGAGUUGAAGCCAACAUCCAUCACUCUAUCUCUGGCAAAUAGAUCAGUGAAGAUUCCAAGAGGGGUGAUCAAAGAUGUCUUAGUUCAAGUUGACAAAUUCUACUAUCCAGUGGAUUUUGUUGUUCUUGAUACGGAUCCAGUUGUCAAAGAAACUAAUUAUGUUCCUAUCAUACUUGGAAGACCAUUCCUGGCUACAUCAAAUGCAAUCAUCAAUUGUAGGAAUGAGGUCAUGCAAUUCACAUUUGGCAACAUGAUAUCGGAGCUCUGAACAUCUUCCAUUUGUACAAGAAGCAUAUCCAUCCGGAAGAAGAAGAAGGCCUAGAGGAGGUGUGCAUGAUUGACACUUUAGUGGAGGAGCAUUGUGAUCAAAUAAUGCAGGAGGAUUUGGUUGAGAGUUUUGGGGAUUUUGAUGAAGGGUUACCAGAACCCUCAGAUUUACUUGCUACCCUGCUUCCUUGGAGGAGAAGAGAAGAAAUUCUACCCUUAUUCAAUGAGGAGGAGAUGCAAAGAGCUACUAAGGAGGAGCCCCCAAAGCUUAUUCUUAAGCCACUACCCACAGAGUUGAAGUAUGCAUACUUGGAAGAAGACAAGUAGUGCCCUGUUGUUAUAUCUUCAGCUCUUACCAUUCAUCAAGAGGAUUGUCUACUUGAAGUCCUUAGAAAAUGUAAGAAGGAAAUAGGGUGACAAAUUUCUAAUUUGAAAAGGAUCAACCCUUUAGUUUGCACCCAUCAUAUUUACAUAGAGAAUGAAGCUAAGCCAGUUUGUCAACCUCGGAGAAGGUUGAACCCUCACAUGCAAGAGGUGGUGCGAGUUGAAGUUCUUAAGCUACUUCAGGCCGGUAUUAUUUACCCCAUAUCAGAUAGCCCAUGGGUGAGUCCUACUCAAGUUGUGCCAAAGAAGUCUGGGAUCACGGUAGUGCAAAAUGAUAAGGGAGAAGAUAUCUCUACACACCUCACUACAGGAUGAAGGAUUUGUAUCAAUUACAAGAGGUUGAAUGCGGUGACAAGGAAUGACCAUUUCCCGUUGCCCUUUAUUGAUCAGAUGCUUGAAAGGGUCUCUAGACACCCUUUUUAUUGUUUCUUGGAUGACUACUCUGGGUACUUUCAGAUAGAAAUUGAUGUUGAAGACCAGGAGAAGACCAUUUUCAUGUGCCCAUUUGGCACCUAUGCAUACAGGAGAAUGCCUUUUGGCUUAUGCAAUGCACCUGCAACUUUCCAAAGAUGCAUGUUAAGCAUUUUCAGUGAUAUGGUGGAGCGUAUUAUGGAAGUCUUUAUGGAUGAUAUCACCAUAUAUGGAAGUACAUUUGAUGAAUGCUUGGUCAACUUAGAAGUUGUUCUAAACUGAUGCAUUGAGAAAGACUUAGUGCUUAACUGGGAGAAAUGUCAUUUCAUGGUACAACUAGGGAUUUUCAUUGGGCACAUCAUCUCCAAGCAAGGCAUUGAAGUUGACAAAGCAAAGGUUGAACUCAUUGUUAAGUUGCCAUCCCCAACAAAUGUCAAAGGAGUAAGGCAAUUCCUUGGCCAUGCCGAGUUUUAUAGGAGAUUUAUCAAGGAUUUCUCUAAGCUUUCAAGGCCUCUUUGUGAACUAUUGGUCAAGGAUGCUAAAUUUAUAUAGGAUGAUAGAUGCCAAAGGAGUUUUGAAGAAUUGAAGCUAUUUCUAACAACCGCACCAAUAGUGAGGGCUCCCAACUGGCAACUGCCCUUUGAGGUAAUGUGUGAUGCCAUUGACUUUGCUAUAGGAGCUAUUCUUAGGCAAAGAGAAGAUGGAAAACCCUAUGUGAUCUACUACGCGAGUAAGACAUUGAAUAAGGCACAAAGAAACUACACAACUACCGAGAAAUAAUUGUUAGCUAUAGUUUUUGCCUUGGAUAAGUUUCGUGCUUACUUGGUGGGGUCUUUCAUUGUGGUUUUCACUUAUCACUCUACUUUGAAGUAUCUGUUGACUAAGCAAGAUGCUAAAGCAAGGCUAAUUAGAUGGAUUCUCUUGCUUCAAGAGUUCAAUCUCCAGAUCAAGACAAGAAAUGAGUGGAGAAUGUGGUAGCAGACCACCUUUCAAGGCUAGCUAUCGCACAUAAUUCCCAUGGUUUGCCCAUUAAUGAUGGUUUUCCAGAGGAGUCUCUCAUGUUGGUGGAAAUUGCUCCUUGGUAUGCUCACAUUGCGAACUACCUAGUCACAGGAGAAGUUCCAAGUGAGUGGAAAACACAAGAUAAGAAGCACUUCUUUGCAAAAAUUCAUGUCUACUAUUGGGAAGAGUCAUUUCUACUCAAGUAUUGUGCGGAUCAGAUAAUAAGGAAGUACAUUCCUGAAGAAGAGCAACAGGGGAUCCUUAGGCAUUGCCAUGAAAAUGCAUGUGGAGGCCACUUUGCUUCUCAGAAGACAGCCAUGAGGGUAUUGCAAUUAGGUUUAUGUUGGCCAUCACUUUUCAAAGAUGCCCACACCAUGUGCAAGAGUUGUGAUCGAUGCCAGAGACUUGGGAAGUUGACACGCAAGAACAUGAUGCCUUUGAACCCCAUUUUGAUAGUUGAUCUUUUUUAUGUUUGGCGCAUUAACUUCAUGGGACCUUUCCCUAUGUCUUUUGGCUACUCUUACAUCUUGGUGAGAGUAGAUUACGUGUAUAAGUGGGUUGAGGCAGUCCCAUGCAAGCACAAUGACCAUAGAGUGGUUCUCAAGUUUCUCAAGGAGAACAUCUUCUCAAGAUUUGGGGUGCCCAAAGCCAUAAUUAGUGAUGGUGGUACUCAUUUUUGCAACAAGCCUUUUGAAACUCUCCUAGCCAAGUAUGGGGUGAAGCAUAAGGUAGCUACACCUUACCACCCUCAAACUAGUGGGCAAGUUGAGCUAGCAAACCAGGAGAUUAAAAACAUAUUGAUGAAGGUGGUGAACACGAACAGAAAAGAUUGGCCAGUCAAGCUCCUUGAUUCACUGUGGGCAUAUAGAACAACUUACAAGACCAUUCUCGGGAUGUCUCCUUAUCGCCUAGUCUAUGGCAAAGCAUGUCAUCUCCUUGUAGAAUUGGAAUACAAAGCUUGGUGGGCAAUCAAGAAGCUCAACAUGGAUUUGAGUAGAGCUGGGUUGAAGAGGCUCUUAAACCUCAAUGAAAUGGAGGAAUUGGGAAAUAAUGCCUACCUCAAUUCAAAAUUUGCAAAGAGAAAUUGAAGAGGUGGCAUGAUUAUUUGAUUUCUCGCAAGGAUUUUAAAAAGGGACAAAUAGUCUUGCUCUAUGACUCUAAGCUCCACAUCUUUCUGGGCAAGCUGAAAUCAAGGUGGAUAGAUCCUUUUACCAUUCACCAAGUGCAUUCAAAUGGAGUAGUGGAACUACUCAACUCCAACAACACUGGGAGCUUCAAAGUGAAUGACCACCGUCUCAAGCCCUUUGUAGAGCCUUUUUCUCGCGAGAAGGAGGAAUUCAUCGUCUUUGAUCCACAUCAAGCUUGACAAUACCAGUUUUCUUGAUGGACUUAGUCUUUCUAAAGACUAUUGAGUUCAUAUUUUUUUGUUUUAUUUUUAUUUAAGAGUUUUCCUGUAUUAUUACUUGUUUUGAUUUUGAUUUCUCGUUUUAAUUUUAUUUUAGUUUGAUUUAACUUAGGUUUUUUAUGAUCAAUUGCAGGGGGACUUCAAAGCAGUUGUCUGUGUCCUUAAAGAGGAAAAAUCAAGAUAAUUCACACACCCUACGAAAUUUUCACAGGCCAUGCCAAAUUCAUGGUUCAUUUCACAUGGGGUGCGAAAUUUCGCACAUCUUGCGAACCCAUUUCGCACACCCAGCGAAAAUAAAAACACCCUGCGAAAUCAUUUCAAACACUCUACGAAAUUUUCGCAGACUAUGUGAAAAUUUUCGUAGACCCAACACUAUUUCGCACGUUGUGCGAAACCAUUUCUCACACCCAAAGCCAUUUUGCACGCUGUGCGAAAACGAAAGGUCACCAUGCUCUCCAUUUUUAAACCCAAAGCCCCAACUUCUCCAUUUCGCAAACACCAAACACCCUACGAAUCCCUUAUUUUUCUUUGCCACCUUGCAACCUUGUCCCUCUCCAUUCGACAUCUCGCCCCGCUCAUCUCAUUUCGAAGACUCGCCCCUUCUGAGCGCAGACCCGAGGCUCAUCUUCCAUUUUCGACAUGGCACGGACCAAAAGAGCCCUUCCCAUCCCUUCACCGAGACGCACUCCAAGGUAGAAAGCCUCCUCUACUCAGGUGCAUAGUGAUUCUCCAUCUUAGGCCAUAGAGGCCCCGUAGAUUCCACCUUUCGAGGAAGGAGCAGCCACUGGUACUUCCUCUCCUGCUCUUCAGCACAGAUACGAGACGAGGAGACCACCUACUACACCAGGGGCGACUACUUCGCACCCUAAGAGUUCAGUACAGUGCUCUCAUACCAAGAGGGCCAGGACUUCAAGCCCAGGCAAGUCAUCUAGAGCUUCAUAGCCUGAACCUCCUAUAGAUUCUGAGGUUCCUUCGGACCUGUCACCGGAGUUUAUUGUCAGACGUCCGAUGCUCACAGCACCGCCCAUUGAGGGCAACUCAGAUUGCAGAGCGAGACCUUUCCACUCGGAGCUAUAUUUUGAUCAGGAGGCCAUGCGACAGCAGCUUGAGCUCCGAGACUCUUACGGCCUACUACAGAGGUACCACCUUGAGCACCUCAUGACUCCUUGUGAGUUCUUUUAUCCCAUAGUAGCACUAAACUUUUACCAGUCCAUGACUACUUGUGGCGUCUUGAGUCCUACUGCGAUUCACUUCACCAUUGAUGGACGUCAUGGUAUCCUCGAGGCUAGACAUAUUGUAGAGGCUCUUCAGAUUCCUUUCGAGCCAGUGGAUCCAUCUGCUUCCUACCAGUGGUCCCCAAUAUCUCAGAGGGACAUGGUCAGCAUUUUAUCCAAGGGGACCUCUACAGAUUCGAUCCCUCUAGGAAGGAGCUUCCACCUAGGAUACUCCUCGUAGAUGUGGUGCUACGCUCUAACCUCUUUCCCUUACAGCAUUCAAUACAAAGGCGAUGACUAUUUUGGACGCUUUAUUCCAUAUAUCAAAGGGCUUCUACUUUGGCCCGCACCACUUGAUUAUGACCUACCUCGUCCACUUUGAGGAAAAGUCCAUAGGAAGAAGCUUCAGAGGAAGGACACCAUUCCAUUACUAUUCCCGAGGUUACUAUGCCAAAUCUUGGAGUAUAUGGGCUUUCCUACUGAGCCUCGGCUCGAGCGUCGUCGCCUUUGUCGAGAGCGAUUCACUCUCGACAAAUGGAAUCAGUUGGCGGGCUAUUCUGCACCUCCAAGAGCCCCUCCCAUGGUAUCACCUCCAAUGCCCCCACAACCAGAGCAGGGCAAGCUCCUGGCAGAGACUACACCUCCAAUGCCCACACCUGAGGCUACUUCUGCUGCUCCGCUUACGACUCCUACUAUUCCACCAAUCACGCCUACUACAUCCGAGCCUUCCAUCACCAUAUCGGCUUCGGAGUUUCGCGCCUUUGUGCAUACCUUUCAAACACUCACCACCACACUUGCUGCUCUCUUCCAGCAGAUGGCUGAGAUGUGUGCCCAUCAGGACCAGCAGACUGCUAUGCUCUACCAAAUUCAACAGCACCUAGGACUUCUGCCUCCGCCUCAGCCUGAUGUUCCCGCAUCAUCAGAGCCUUUAGCUCCAGUUGAGGAUACUAUUCCACCUGAGGACACUACCACAGUAUAGGUCCGGAUUCCGCCACCUCAGGAUGCCACCACAGCUACACCAGAGAAUGCAUCAUCUCCACCUGAGGCUCCCACUACUUUAUCAUCGAACAUCUCUUUAUCUUAUUGUAUUUACAUAUUAUAUUACUAGAGAUUUGUCCUUGUUUUGAUACUUUAUAUUCUGGGAUUGGAUGUAUUACCUGAUCAUAUCUCAUAUUGUACUUUCUCAGAUAAUAUAUAUACAUCAUAUUUUUUUUUUUAUAUUUAACAUUUUUCUAUUUCCUCUACUUAUCACAAUUUUGUUUUUUGACUCAUAUGGUUUCCCCUAUACGACUCAAACUCCAUUUCAUUCAAGAGGUACCAUUUCCUCUCUUUAUUUUCACUUGCUCUUGAAACAUUAAGGGCAAUGUUGAGCUCGGUUGGGAGGAAAGUUGAGGAAGGAAGUUUUGUUAAUAAUGCUAGGUUAAUUUGUUAAUUUAGUUACUUUUUGCUUAAUUUUAAAAGUUUUUUUUACUCUACUUUCCAUGGUUAUUAAGGAAAAAUUCUCAAAAGGAAAUGGGAGAAAUCGAAUUCUUACCUUUUUACUUGAAUCUUAGAGUUUGUAUUAUGCUUAUUGAAGUUGAUGAAUUAUUAAAACUCCUAUGGAAUUCAACCUUAUUUCUUCCACUUUAAUCUUAUCACAGACUGUGCACAUUAGGUUCCGAUUAUAAGACGAAAAACUAUCUCACCCCCUAAACUUAGGAAAAUUUCGACUUGGUACCUUUGACUUUGUUUUAAUAGUGUUGGGACACCUUAUAAAAGGCCAAUGAGCCUUUGAAAAAAAAAAAAAAAAAGAACAAAGUGUUUCACUUGCCUUGAAACCCGAGCAAGGUCCGAGGGGUAUACGGCGAAAGUCUUUAAAACCUAGUGCCCUAAGCCUUUAUUGGUUGGGAGUCACCGACCUCAAUGCUCGUUAAAAGGGUGAAUAGGUGGAGUUUAACAUAUUGUAGGUGCUUGGGUAUUGAAUUUCAAUCUCAAAAGUCUGGGGUAAAAUCUGAGAAGUUAGUGGUCGAAAGAUCCUUAAAGCUUGAUGCCCUAAACCUUUAUUGGUUGGGAGUCAUCGAUGGAUCCCUGUUACAUGGACAUUUUAAAAAACAAUACCUUUAGCAUUGCACUCCUACAAUGAAAAAAAAUUGUGGAAAUAAAAGAAGUGUGUUCUUAGCCUAUUGGAGGUUGGUUAGUUUGCUAAGGUUUGAGAAAGAACUAGGCUGGGGGGAGAGAAUAGUUCGACAUACUAUAAUCGAAAGCUAUUAAGCUUAACACUUAGAUUUUUGUGAAAAAAAUAAGGUUUGGAUCUUUGGGAGUGAAAAUUCUUUUGUUGCUUAAAUGUUCAUAAUGCCCACUUUUUAUAAAUUGUGAUUAAGCAAGGUAUUUGAUGACUCUUGUUGAAGGUUGGGUUUUGCCUCUUUGAUGUUCCAUGAGAGAGUAUAAUCUGCAUCAUGCCACUUGAAAUUUUUUUGGAGUGAUUAGCAUGAUUUUGUAAAUUAUUUUACUGUUCAUGUUUCUUUAUCUCUCCUUCAUUGCUAAGGGACUAGCAAUAUGUCGGUUAGGGGGAGUGAUUACUACUCACUAAGUACUCUUUUAUAGCUUGAAACUAACUAUUUUAAACACUUUUGAGUAGUAGCUAAUAACUUUUAACUCAAUUGGCACAUUAAGGAACCUAGCAAGGGUUACUAAUAAGUUUUUGGCAAGUUUUGGUGUUUUUGGUAGCUAUUUGAUCAUUGAAACAAGCCAAGAAUGAGGGAGAAUUUUGUGAAAUCCAUGGUAAUGUAAGCUAAAGUUCAAAUACAUGAAGAAUCCAAACUUUGGAGCACUUCAUAGCCCUUUGCCAAGCCAAUCAGAGAUGCAAAGAAGAAAACCAGAGGAAGAAAUCCAACAACCAGCAUUUUCGCAUUGCUGUGCGAAAUUUCGCACACCAUGUGAAACCGCUUGAAGCAGCCAAAGAAUUUCGCAUACCAUGUGAAAUUUCGCAUGGUGUGCGAAAUCUUCCUGUGCAUCGACUCCGUUAGAUUUUUAUCUCUAGAUAUUUUGUGUAAUUUCCUAUUUUCUCCUUGUAAUCAACUUAGAUAUUUUCAUAUAUAUAUAUUUUUUAUAUAUUUGGUGUGUGUAACAUCUUUUGAUAUAGACACACAAGAAUGUAAUCAAAAAGAGGUUGUAAAAUUCCCCAUAGUAAGAAAUAUACGGAGCUUUUGUUCUACCUUUCCUUCUCACUUUGUUUUCACUCUUCUUUCUAACCAAAGAACCUCUGAGGAUGAUUUCUCAGGGGAUGAGUGGCUAGGUUUUACGUUUCUUGGAGUGAUGGAAGCUAGGUAAAGGACCCGAAUGCAAAGAUGAGAGUUGUCCUUGCUUUAAAUGAAAGUAGUUGUUAACCAUUAAUGGUUUUUAUUUCAAGGUUUAGCUUUAAAUCCCUUAAAAUCACCUUGAAUGUCCAAUACUUGGUAAGCUUUUCGGAUUCUAUGGAUGCUUAUUGCUAGAUCCAUGGAUGUCUAUUAGUUAUCAUUUACGAGCCAUUGGAAUGUGGUUCAAGGUGAGGGUCUUUAGUGUUUGAAGCCAUUAAUGGGAAGCAACUAUCAUUUUCCAUGAACCCUUCGAAUCAAAUCUUAAUUGCUAAAUAUAAAACCGGUUCGGGAGAUAACCAUCCUUUAUGUUAUUGUCCCCAACGUGAGGAGAAGAUCCGAAAUCUCCUCUUUUGUCUAAGGAACCCGAUCCUAGUGACCUAAAGCUCUAAGAGACCUUUUCUCAGUAGUUAACUUCACUUAUUAUUUUUUCUUAACUUAAAAUCAAUCUUUGCAACCACAAUUCCAUUUUCUUUAAAAGCUAAUUUUCAUAAGGAAAAACACCAUUUUAUUUCUUUCACUAAAGUCAAUUGUACGAUGAAACCCCAUCCUUGUGGACGAUCCUAGAGCCACUAUACUAUGUUAGCUAUGCUACCCUAGUGUGAGGUGAUUUAGGUUUUAUAAAUUUUGUUGAUAACACCCGUCUGAGUCAGAAUCAAAUGGCAUGACUGCAAUGGGGACGAAUCAACUAUGCAAUGAAUCUUAAAACAUAUAUUUUUAUUUUUAUUAAAUAACUCACUACAUAACAAUAUGUCAACAAUUCAAUCUCAGUUUUUCAGUAUAGUUAUAUAAAAACGGAGUUUUGCUUUGAAUAGAAACACAUAAACUCAACUUAUGUUAAGUUAAACCUGACAAAUAGCAAAAAUUGUUAUUCAAUGCAACAAUGCAACACUUCCCAUAAAUCAAAUAUCCAAACGAACAAUAUAUAACUACAAUGGGUAUUAAUCAUACGAGCAAUACUAAAACCGUAAUAAUUCUCUAUGCAUGUGAUUUAUUGCUUACCAUCAUAGGACCUUGCCAUAUGGAUAAAUCUUUUCAACUUCUUUUGAACAAACUUUUCACUUUUUUAGAACUAACAAUGGAGUCUCUAUUUUUUACCUACAAUGUUGAAGUGAGAUUUUGAAUUUUCAAGAAACAAAAAGAAAUAAAAUGAUAAUAUAAAAAAUAAAUUGUUGGUUGCUUACAUUUUUUUCACAUUUUCGUGACCAAGAAUGAAGAAUAGAUGAAACAAAGGUAAGAAGUUAAACUUGUUCUCUGCAAGAACAUAAUCUGCUAUAAAACAAAGGGAAAGGGAAAGUUGUCUUAAAGAGAAAAAUAAGGGGUAUUUUUGUCUCAACCAGGUCAACUUUUUUGCUUUUUGACUGGUGGGUUAUAUUUGCAAAUAUGGGGGGGGGUUGGGUUAUUUUGACCCCUUUAACCAAAUAACCCAUUAAUUUUUAUUUUACUAUUUUAUAGAUAAUAAUAAAAUAUUUUUUAAUAAAAUAAGUUAUAAAAAAAUAUAAUAAUUUAAUUAUUUAUAAAAUAUAUUUAUUUUAAUGUAAUUAAAAAAAUAUAAAAGUAAUUUAAAAAAAAAAAAAAAGUUGAACAGGGCGGGGCGAGACGAGUAUGGGAAUUUCUCAUACCUACCCUGUCCUACCUCGCCCUGUUUAAUUUUUAAAAUGAGACAAGGAUGAGAAUUAUUUUAAAUAAAUGGAAUGAGAUUGAGAUGGGGGCAACCUGUCCCAAACCCGCCUCAUUGUCAUCCCUAAUCAUUUAUGAAACUCUCUUGUCAUUAUUGCACCACAUUUCACAUGCCUAGCACAAUUCUUCCUUAUUUUAAUCGUUGUUUGGAUUUUUCAUUGCUUUUUAAACUCUUUUAUAAAUAAUUGAAAAUUGGCAUUAUUUUCUAUUUUUAAAUUAUAAAUAAACAAAAAUUACAUUAAUGAUUCAAAAUCUAUUUUGAAAAAUACUUUCUAAAAAAUAUGUUAUUUAAAUGAAUAAAAACUAUCUUUUACAAUUUAGAAGUAAAUAAUUUAAUGAUUAAAAUACUAUUUAAAAUAAACAUAUUCAUUGUUUUCUUUUCUUUUAUACUAAAAAGCAUUUAAAGGUUUAAUUUUUUUUUAAUAUUCCCAAAAUAAAAAGUUUAAAUUUUCUUUUAAUUUCUUCUUUCCUUGUUUUAAUAACUUUCUGAACAAAACUUCUAACGAUAACAUAUAUGAAAUGUUACGAAUUUGUCUAGUAAGGAAUUUUUUUUAAUGAUUUGAAUUAAUUGAAAAUUUAUCAAAAUAAGAAAAAAAAAAAAGGAUAGAGAGUUUUUAAUUUAAAAAUUCAACUAAAAUGUUUUCGUAUAACCUAAUUUUAGAAGUGGUUUGUGUCAGUACAUAGUAUAGUAAAGAUUGAAUUUUUCUUUUAUAAAAGAGUUGAAUGAUAUAAUUGCUCAUUUUAGAUUAAAACAAGUAGUACAAAAUUAUCUACACUAUGUUUGAGUUUGGUUUGAAAACAUUUUUCUAGUUUUUAUUUUUUUAUUUUUAAAAAAAAUAAAUUUUAUUUUCUAUAUUUUCUCUUUUCGAAAAUACAUUUCAGUGAAAAAAUAAAAACUAAUUUUAAAAAUGAAAAUUGAAAACCUAGUUUUGUACUAUUUUUUUUUUUUGUAUAAAAAUAAAAAAAAUUCAUUUAUUGAUUAUCCUUUUUAGUUUUUUUCAUUAGUUAUUUUAAUAAUAAACUAAAAAAAUAUAGUGUGUUUACAAUUAAACAAAGGAAUUGGUCAAUUGUGUGUGUUUUUGUAUUACUAUCUUUUACAUAAAAAAAUAAUGAAAUAACUAAAUUAUAUAUAUUUAUUACUCUUUUUAAUUUUAUUUUCUAUAUUAGUUCUUUUUUUGUGUAAUAUAAAAUUUUAAUAUAUCCAUAAUUAACAAAGUAAUGGAUUAAUUGUACACAUUUGGACCCAUUAAAAUAAAUUACUUUAUAAUUUAAAUAAAUAAAAUAAGAUAAAUUUGGAGUUAUUUCUAUUUGCUAACAUAUCUUACAUUUAUAUUUUUUAUGGUUAAAUAAAUUUUUUAUUCUUUUUUUUUUUUACUUCCAAAAAUAAAAUGAAAUAAAUAAAUGAAUUUGGGCUUAUUUCUCUUUUCUAACAUAUCUUAUAUUUAUAUUUUUUAUGGUUAAAUAAAAUUUUUAUUUUUUUCUUUAUUUCCUAAAAUAAAAUGAAAUAAAUAAAUAAAUUUGGGCUUAUUUCUAUUUUCUAACAUAUCUUAUAUUUAUAUUUUUUUUAUGAAUAAAUAAAUUUUUUUAUUCUUUUGUUCUAUAUUUCUAAAAAUAAAAUGAAAUAAAAAAAAUUGGUGAGAUAAUAGUUUUUAAAUAAUUUCUGCCUUAUUUUUAAUUACAUUUUGCAUUGAAAAUAAAAUAAAAGUGUUUUAUUUGUUUUACUUAUGUAAAAUGUCAAACCAUUGAAAACAUAGUUCAUAAACCCAUAUGGACAUAGUUUAUGCAUGUAUAUGCAAUUUAUAUCAUUGUACAAGGGUGUUAUACUAAUUAUAUAAAGCAAAUACGCUAAUUGCACAAGGGAUGUACAAGGCUACCCUUUGUAAAGGAUUUCAAUUGAUUUUGAAUAACUUUUUUUUUUUUUUUUCUGAUCAUCCAGGGACUACACCCUCUCCAACCCAUGGACGAAAAUGUUGGGAUAUAUCGACGAUAUAUCAUGUAUCAGAGGCUGACAACACGAUUGUGGAGAAAAAUCGGAUGGGGGAAAAUUCGGCAAAAUAUCGUCAAUAUAUCACUAAUUUAUCGACGCAAGGCAAUAAAUCAUCGAUUUUUUCAAUAAAUCGGCUGUAACGGGAGAAAAUCACUGAUAAAUCGUAGAUUUUUUGGCGAUUUUUUUUCUCCUCUCUAGCGUGAUCAGACAACACAAAUCACGUCUGCGUUAAUCUAACAACCCAAAUCACGCCCGCCAUGUUUGCCUACAAUGGUCAUCCAUCCAAUGCCCCAGAUUCAAUCUGGGUUUGAUCCAACGGCUAGGAUGAGAUUCGAAUAGUAAAAUCAUGAUCCAACGGUUAGAUUUCGCCCAGAUUUUGAUCCAACGACCAAACUUGUUUUUCAAUGGUAAAAUCAUCUUCCAACGGCUAUUUUGGCCCAAAUUUUUCCUAUAAAUAUCCCAUUUUGCAUCCAUUUCAUCCACCUCUGAUUUCAUUCUUCCUUUGCUCCCUCAUUACUCCAAAUUUUUCUAAGGUUACUCAAUUGUUCAAUUAUUUUAAGGUAUGCUUGUUUUAAAUUGUAAUUAAUUUUGUUUUCAAUUGUAAUUAAUUCAUGUAUUUUCAAUUAAUUGGUAUAUUUGCAAUAUGGAUAAUUUAAUGUUAUUUUUACAUUCAAUUGUAAUUAAUUUGUAUAUUUUUAUUGGAUUAAAUUAGGUUAAUUUGAUUAUUUAAUUAUAAAUGGAUAUGUUUAUUUUAGAUGAUUAUUUAAUUUUAUUUUCACAUUCAAUCUAGUUAGAAUUAGAUUCAACUAGUUAACUUAGCUUAAUUAUUUAAUUAAUCUAAUUAACAUGAACUAGUAUAUUUGAAAUAUCAAAUAUGUUCAUUUUUUAUGAUUAUUGUGAUUUAUUUUCACAUUCAAUUAUAGUUAAUUUCUAUAUUUAGUAAAUUUUUUCAUAGAAUUAAAUUUAGAUUCAAAAAAUUAACUUAUCUUAACUAUUUAAUUAAUUUAAUUAACAUGAGCUAGUAUAUUUGGACUAUCAAAUAUGUUCAUUUUUUAUGAUUACUGUAUUUAUUUUCACAUUCAAUUAUAGUUAGGUUUUAUAUUUAGUAAAUUUUUCAUAGAAUUAGAUUUAGAUUCAAAAAAUUAACUUAGGUUAAUUAUUUAAUUAAUUUAAUUAACAUGAACUAGUAUAUUUGGAAUAUCAAAUAUAUUCAUUUUUUAUGAUUAUUGUAUUUAUUUUCACAUUCAAUUAUAGUUAGUUUCUAUAUUUAGUAAAAUUUUCAUAUAAUUACAUUUAAAUUCAAAAAAUUAACUUAGCUUAAUUAUUUCAUUAAUUUAAUUAACAUGAACUAGUAUAUUUGAAAUAUCAAAUAUAUUCAUUUUUUAUGAUUAUUGUGAUUUAUUUUCACAUUCAAUUAUAGUUAAUUCCUAUAUUUAGUAAAGUUUUCAUAGAAUUAGAUUUAGAUUCAAAAAAUUAACUUAGCUAAUGAUUAUGUAAUUUUAUUUUCACAUUCAAUUAUAAUUAAUUAGUAUAUUUUGUAGAUUUCUCAUGGAUUUAAAUUUAGUAAACUAACUUAGCUAAAUUAUUUAAUUAAUUUAGCUAUUAGCAUAAAUUAGUAUAUUUUGAAUAUGCUCAUUUUACAUGAUUAUUUAAUUUUCUUUUCACAUUCCAUUGCAACAUGUUAAAUUUAAAUGUUUACUUAAUUUUUGUUUACAUUGAAAUCACUUUCAAGUAUAUUUUUUUUGCAAUAGAUUUAGCAUGGCUAGUGGAGGUGGUUCUCCCAUGCCAAGGCGAGAUCCAGCUUAGAAGUAUUGUUCACUAGUUGAAGGGAACAUAAAUGAGACAAUUUGUAAUUUAUGUGGGUUGUUGAUGACAAGUGGAGGCAUCAUGCAAUUUAAGUUCCAUUUAACGUAUAAUGACCCACAUAACAACACCAAAAAGUGUCCGAGAGUGCCUCCCAAAGUGAAAGAAGAGAUAAGAUUGAUGGUGCAUGACAAAAAUAAAGCAAAAGUAAAGAAAACUGCAGAUAUUCAAGAGAUUCAUGCUCAAUUACGUGGCACAAUGUGGACUAGUGAUACACAUUUGAUAGACGAAGAUGAUGAUGAUGAAGAUGUUGAAGAUGGAUUUGUGUAUAUCUAUUUGACAAAUAUGCACCCAAAUAAGCGGGAUGCAUAUCAAUUUGUAGUGUGUACCUCGAAAGCGACAUAAUGGGAAUGUCAAUAAUAUGAGAAUAUUGUAGGAAGCAAAUGUAAAAUGGGGAAGUCUUCACAGUCUACUGGUACACCAACGACGAUGCAAAAAUCACAAAGUAUGCGACAUUCGAACCAAUCACCCCCUAUUGCCCUUUCGCUCUACAAGUCUUCUACAGACAAAAAAAAUAUUAAAUAUAUAUUGAAGGGUGGUUCAAUUCAAGAAACGAUGGGAUGCUUAAUUAGCAAAUUCUUCAUUUAUGAGAGUGUCACACCCCAAAAAGCAAAGUAUCAUCACUUCAAGAAUAUCAUAAUUGGUGCACAACAAGUAGGGAAUUACUAAUUUUUGAAUUGUUAUAUUGUUUUAGACUUUUAGUAAGUAUAAUGUUUUGUGACAUGUUUUAAAUAUUUGUUACAUAUGAAUUGCAGGAAUGGGAAUCGAACUUUCAUCUCCAUACGAAAUAAAGAACAAGAACUUGGGAAUGGAGUAGAAAGAAAUGGAAGCUUAUGUGAACCAACAAAGAGAAAAAUGGAAGACAUAUGGGUGCACAAUAAUGUCAGAUGGAUAGACAGGGCCCAUACAAUUAAGUAUUAUUAAUUUCAUAGUUUAUUCAAAAUGGACCACGGUGUUCCUUAAGUCAAUCGAUGCAUCGAACAAUAUCAAAGACCACAAGUAUAUAUAUGAGCUAUUGAGGACUAUUAUAAAAAAAGUCGGUCAAGAAAUGGUGAUCCAAAUUGUCACAGAUAACGGGUUGGCGUUCGUGAAAGCAGGGAAACUAUUGAUGAAGAAGUUUAACUUAUAUUGGAAUUUGUGUGCGGCGCACUGCAUCGACUUACUCUUUAAAGACAUUGGUAAAAACCCUAGUAUUACAGAUAUGAUAAACAAUGCUCGCAAGAUAACCAACUUCAUUUACAACCAUGGUUGGUUACUUGCACAGAUGAGAAAGUAUUGUGGUGGAGACAUUGUUCAACUAGGAGUUACAAGGUUUGCUACUAAUUAUAUUGCUAUUGAUAGUCUUCUUAAAAAAAAAAAAAUUGUUUAUGAGUGAUGAAUGGGCACAACACAAGCUCAGUUGGACAAAAACUAGAUGAGAUUUGGAACAAUUAUUGUUUGACCAUGCGUAUUGGGACAAAGUGGCAAAAAUAGUUUCAUUAUAUGAGCCAUUAUACGUGGUGCUUCAACUUAUGAAUUCUGAAGUUGUUCCCACAAUGUCAUUUGUGUACGAGCUUAUGCUCGUGAUGAAAAAGAACCUUAUUCAUCAAGGAGCUAGAGAUUGGAUCUUCAAAAUAAUAAAAGAUCGUUGGAAGAAAACAUUAAAACAUCCACUUCAUGCAACAAGUACUUAAGUACUAUCUAUCUUUAUAAGUUUUUACUAUGUAUUUAAUUUUCUCUAACAAAAUACUAAAUCUACUUAAUUUUAUUGUAUCAUACUUCUUAAAUCCAAGAUUUCAAUAUAGGUGUGGAGUUGGUAGUAAUCCAAAACUACUGCAAGUGGUCCAUAAUGUUUUUGUAAAAUUAGACCCAACUACUGAAUCGCUUGGUCAAAUGAGGUAAAUAAAAAAUUGUUAUUUUUGUCAAUAAAACAAUAAUUUUAUUCAUCAAUUUAUUUGAACAUUUACUAAAAAAAUAUGAUAUUAACAAAUUAAAUGUUGAAUGCAUAGCUUGUAUUUUUUCAAGAUGCAAAAAGAGGAUUGGGUGAUCAAGCGGCGAUUGCACCAAGGUCAACCAUGGUGUCCGGUGAGUAUUUAUUAGAAAAAAUUGAUUAUCAUUAUUUUCAAUUCACCAUAAGUAUUUAUAUAAUUAUCAAAUUGGUUGCAACUAAAUGGUGGUUCAUGUAUGGGAAUCAAACUCCUACAUUGAGAAAGUUAACCAUCAAAGUUCUCUCACAAAUUGCGUCAUCUUUUGCCUGUGAGAAAUAUUGAAGCACAUUUGCUCUCAUCCACACAAAGCAACGAAAUCGUUUGGCUUACCCUCAACUGGAGUAAUUAGUUUUUUGUUACUAUAAUAUGAGGCUAAAGUUACGCAAUAUGGAGACAAAAAAUGAUUGAGUUGCUGAAAAAGAUUACCUUAAUCUUCUUGACAUUUCAACCGAGAUGGGUGAAGAAGAAGAUAAUCAGUUGUUCCAAUGGGUUAGGCCUAUACACUUGGAUGAUGAAGUUGGAAAUCUUGAUCCACAAAUUGCUGCUCAUGGUCAAGAAUUUGGAGUUAAUGUUGAACGUGUGUUGUCCGAUCAAGUUUACUCUAAAAUUUUUAGCAAAGAUACUGAUGAUUCAUUUUAGGCUGCAUUGAAUUCCCACCAAGAGGUUGACUCCACAAGUGUUGGCCAUAGUAGUAGACCUAGUGCUGUAGGUACUUCUGCUUCUGGUUACGAUGGUUCAAGAGGUGGUUCUGAUGAUGGAGGUGAUAAUGCGAGAUGAGAUAUUUGGGAACGUCAACAAAGUCAAUACCCAAUCAGCCAAUUUACAUGUGAAAAUGAUUUUACAUACUGGACACAAAAUGAAGACCAUGACUCUAGAAGAGCUGGUUUAGGCAUAAGAGCUAUUGGGAAGCCCUAUAGAGGAAGAGAACGAACAAUGGAACCAUAUAACGAGGAGUCACUUUCAGGGAGUUAUGAAUCUAUGAGUAUUGGGACUCAAUUUAAUGACUUCUCAAAUGAGGCUAACGUUUACCUUCCUCAUGUGAUGAGUUAUGGUCAACCUUCAAGUUCAACCGAUGAAGAGUAUGGUAUGUCACAUUGCUCCCCUUCCACACAAAUUUCAUACCAAGUUCCAUAUCAAAUGGAAUGAGGAUUUAACAUUAACACAUGGGUGAACCUUGAGUAUCCUAUCCAUGUAGAGGCAUUGGGCAAGACUCAAGAGAUAUAUGCAUGACAUGUUAGAAUUUUUAACCAAUAUUAUCGAGGCUCAUUGAGUUGGUACCAAUAUUGUCUCCAACAGCAAGAUGAGUUUCCUUCAUCUACCAAUUCCAUUGAACCACAUCGAUCCUCAUUUUGGUACUAAAGGGACAUUGCAAUGUAAUGUGUAAAAAUUAUUGAUAUUUAACUAAAUGAAGUAUUUUAUGUGACUUCAUAAUGAGUGUACAAUUACAAACUUAACAUUUCUUAUAGAUCGACAUAAUAUAAUUACAUCUAAUAUCGCAAAUUAUAUCAUACAUAUAUCAAAUUCUUCAAUAAAAUAACUUUAUAAUGUCUAUUAUACUUCUAAUUAUAUUGUUAUAAGGUUUUUCUUGCAUUUCCAUGAGUUUUUAGCAAUUUUAGGCAUACCAAUUUUUUUUCCAAAAUAUCCGUCGAUAUAUCUAUAAAAUCGAAGUACCGAUAUAUCCAUGAUUACCAAUAUUUUUAUCCUUACUCCUACCACGCAUUCUUCCAUCAUGUACUCAUCUCAUGUAUUUUAUUUAACUCACAUAUGGCAACUCGAAUACUUACCCCAAUAAUGAUGUUUGGGGAAAAUUUUUGUUUUUACGUCUUAUAAUCUUUUCUAAACCAAACCAUUAGAAACAUAGUUCACACAUCCUAUGUGGGCACAUAAUGUAUGUAUGUGGAUUGAAUUUGCACCAUUAUACAAGGAUGUUAUACUAACUAUACAAGACAAAUGUACUAACUAUACAAAGAGUACACAAGGCUACCCUUUGUGAAGAAUUUCAAUCAAUUUUGAUUAACUUUUUUUUUAAUCAUUCAAUGAUUGUGCACUCUCAUUCCUCCAUCACACACUUAUCUCAUGCAUUUUAUUUGACUCACAUAUAACAAUUCAAAUACUUAUCCCAAUAAUGAUGUUUGGGGAAAAUUUUUUGUUUUUACGUCUUCCAUCAUUUUUUAAAUCAAACCAUUGGAAACACGAUUCACAAAUCUUAUGUGGACACAUAAUUUAUGCAUGUGUAUAGAAUUGACAUCAUUGUACAAGGGUGUUAUACUAAUUGUACAAGACAAAUGUACUAAUUAUACAAAUGGUGUACAAGGCUACCAUUUGUGGAAGAUUUCAUUCGAUUUUGAGCAACUUUUUUUUUUCUUGUCAUUUAAGGAUUGCACACUCUCAUGACACAUAGUCAUCUCUUGCACUUUAUUUAAUUCACACAUGACAAUUCGAAUACUUACCCCACUAAUAAUGUUUGAAGAGAAAAAAAAAAUGUCUUCCACCAUUUUAUAAACCAAACCAAUGGAAACAUGGUUAACCUACCUAUUGGCACACAUCAAGUAAGGGGUAUAUGGAAUUUGCACUAUUGUACAAGGUAUUUACACUAAGUGUACAACGUAAAUAUACUAACUGUACAAGGGGUGUACAAGGCUAUCAUUUGUAAAGGAUUUCAACUGAUUUUAAAAAACUCACUUGCUUAUUUCCCUCGGCCAAGGAUGGAGGAUAUUCUUCACACACAUUGGUUAAUCAUACAUUCAUCUCAUGCACUUUAUUUAACACGUAUAUUGUCAUUUGAAUACCUACCCCACUAAUGAUGAUCGUGAAACAAAAUUGUACAACAAUUUUUCCCUUAUUUAAAAUUAAACCAAUGCAAACAUGAUUAACUAAUCUAGGGGUAGAUAUUCACAAGGCAAUGCAUGGAAUCUAAGUCAUUAUACAAGGGUACAUGCAAGGAGGAAAAUGUCGUUCGACACAAUAUUUCAUGGAGAAAUAUCGGUCCGACGAUAUCUCGCAAUAUAUCAGUGAUUUUCCUCGAUAUAUCGCAUGGUCAACAUGGGUCAACGAAGUCAAACGCACUACAGUGAAGUCAAAUGUGUUACAGUGCCCCUCCCCUUUUGCUUGAAAUUGCUUCUGAGGGGAUUUGAACCCUAAACCUUUUGGUUUGGGGUUCACUCCACUUGCCAUCUGGGCUAACUUGCCCUUGUAAUAUAAAGUGCACCAAACAUAUAUAUACUUAAACUCAUUAUAUAAAGAAAAUAUUAAAAGAAUAUUUUAAAGAGCAAAUUAAUUAUAAUUAUUUUAUAAUUAAAUGCAAAAUUUUCUUUUAAUUAAUUACCAAAAAUAUAAAAAUUAUAUAAUUUUCUUCAUAAUGUUUUGAAUAUCAUUAAUAAUUAAUUAAAAAUUAAAAAAUUAUAUAUAUAUAUAUAUAUAUAUAUAUAUAUAUAUAUAUAUCAUAAUUUAUUUUAUAUUGUUUAAUACAAUUGAAUUAAAUGGAUCAUAUUUUAAUAUUAAUAUAUAUUUUAAAAUUAGACAUAUUAUAAUCAAAUAUCAUAAUAUUAUAUAUAAUUUAAUAAUAAAUGUACACUUAUAAAAUUCAUAUUUUUAUCGAUGCAUACAAUAGUAUUAUCAAAUAUGAUAAAUCAUGUUAUACACAUAUCAAAAUUUUCAAUAAAAUAACUUUAAAAUGUCUAUUAUACUUCUAAUUAUAUUAUUUUGAGGUUUUCCUUACAUUUUCAUGAGUUUUUAACAAUUUUAAGUUUACCGAUAUUUUUUUCCAAAAUAUCCGUAAAAUCAAAGUACCGAUAUAUCCGUGAUUACCGAUAUUUUUAUCCUUGGGUACAUGUUACACUAACUAUACAAAACAAAUUUACUAAUUGUACAAGAGGUAUACAAGACUAUUUUUUGUUAAGGAUUUCAAAUGAUUUUAAAAAACUCUCCUGUUUUUUUCUUGUCACCCAAGGAGUACUAUACAAUCUCUCCACUCAAAUUCCCUCACCUAAGAAUUGUUUUGACUCUUAUUUUUAAAUUUCAUUAUCAAAAUUUUGUAAUUAUAUAUUUUGUUUUUAUAGUUUUAGCAAUAUUCUUUCUUUCCACUCCUUUUUUGUGAAAUUUUAUCCAAAUGAAUCUAUAUUUAAAAUUAUAAUCAUAUUUAUCAUUUGUUUUUACUUAGAUUAUCUUAAAUUCUUUUAAUAUAUUUAUACUCAUUUAUUUAAAAAAUGAAAAACUAAUUUUCUUUAAACAUGUUCUAUUACCUUUCAAAUAAAAAAUUAAAUAAGUUGGAAAGUCAAUAAAAGAAAAAUUAAAUACCACUUUCAAUAAUUUUUAAAUAAGAUUUUAUAUAACACAUUUUAUUUGAAAUUUCAUUUCCAAAGUUUCAUUAAAAAAAUUUGUGUUGACAAUUUUCUUGCUAUUAGUUAAAAUACUUUGCAAUAGUUUAUUUAGAUAAGAAAAAAUAUUAAUAUAAUAUUAAAACUUUAUAUUUUAGUUAUUUUCAAUAAAUUUAUCUUUUAAAAUUUUUUAAAAUUAAACAAAUUUAAAUUUUAAAAACUAAAGGGAAAUAUUAAAAAAAAAAAAUUAAGAGUGAAGUGAUAGUCAAUUAAAGAGGAAUAGAAGAGGAAAACGUGUAUCCACUUGCAAUGCUUAAUUGGAAUUGGAAGAAGAGUUUGAAUUUAGAAAGGGGCAAUUGUAGAGGAAAAUAUAAAAUCAUAAACUAAUAGCAAUUAAUACAAUUGUCAAUGAUAUAAUAAUUGAAUGAAAAUGGGAAUAUAAUUAUGAAAGAUUGUUAUAAAAUAUAAAUGUAGAUUGGAAAAAAAAAACUAUAAAAAGAAAACAAAAAACAAAACAAAAAGGCAUAAAUGGAUAAUGGGGAAUAGAAAAGGAAAAAGAAAAUACAAAGAAAUAGAAAUUCACACUCACUAUGUGUAGGGAUUAAUGAAGGAUAAUAUUUUUCAACUUAAUUUUUAUACUUUAUUUGGAUCUUAAGUUUAAAUGUGGGUGAUAAGAGGAUGUUGGACCAAUUUUCAGAUCCAUUUAACUUAAAGCCUAAUUCUCCAUAGCUUUUGAAAAUUUAAUUAAAAUAUUUUAAAAAAUGAUUGAUUCAAUUUCUUUUAUAUUUAAAUAGUUGAAUGUACAAGGUUUUCUACAUUUUUGUUAUGAAAGUCAUUUUAUUAUAUAAAAUUAAUCGCCAAAUUUAGAUUUGUCUUACAUAAUUAUAAUGUAGAAAAUGCUACUUAUCUUUACUUAUUUCAUAAUUUAUUUUUCCCCAUAUUGUUAUGGAAUAAAUUAGUGAAUGCCAAUAAUUCUUUUUUGUAUUAAUAAUGUAAGUUAAUUAAGUUACAAAAUAUUAUAAGAACAUACUUGCCUAAACAAAUAUCAUAAUUAAAAGUUUUUUUUUUUUUUUUUUUUUUGCAAUACUAUGAGCUUUGGGCCCAAAAAUUAUAAAUAACAGUUCACUAGCUAGAAAGAUAUAUAUCCUGCUUAAAAGUGAUGUGGCAUUAUAAAUACAAAUUUUGUGGCUAAUUUUUUUUUUUUUAAAUAUACAUUUACUACAAAUGUAUGUGAUUGUUAAAUGUCAUCCAUUUGCUAUGAACAAUAAUUUUUCACUGAAAAAUUGUUUUGCUAUGAAAUAAACUGUCAUUGCAAAAAGCCACUUCUUACCAUAAAAAUAUCUUCAUAGCUAAAAGCGUAACGGAAAAUGGAGAAAUUUGUUGCAGUGAAUUUUCCAAAAGCUUGCCGGAUCAGUUUAAUCCAAGAUCGUAUUGAAAAGGAUGAUCGAAGUGAACUGAAUUAGUCAACGGUUCAUGGCAGGACUAGGACAGGGCGGUCCGGUUUUCAAACCACCCGCAGAUAUGACGCAUAAUAUUGUUUUAGAAUCUAAAUUAGUCAACGGUUCCUACAUUUUUUACAGGACAUAGAUGUAAAAUUCACGAAUUUAAUGCUGCCUGACACAACAGGUCAACUUCCUGUGUCUUAUCUGCAUCCAAAAAAAUCAACAUUUUUAAAGAGUGUCCUUACACUAGCUACGUGGUGGACAUUGCUUCCCCACACGCAAGAUCUUCGCCAAUGAGGGGAAUGCAAGGACCGAAUUCAUUUUCAUGGUUAUUCUUUAGUGCCGAUAAACCACUAAUUCUGAAGGAUGUAAUUUUUUGUGAGAAUAAAUACUUUAUAUUUUAAAAAUUAUCAUUUUCAACUCAAGGGUUGCCACGUAUCAUCAUAAACCUAUUAAAUUCCACACGCCCGAGAUCACCAUGUGAAUGCAAUACUGCCAACUGCCACCCAACACAUGGUUGUCAUGGCUGCACUAUUGAAUAUUUCAACUAUAUGCUACAGGCGAUGAAUAGCGACAUGGAGUUCAACAAGAAAACCCGUGUCUCGUGACUUUACUAAUACUGGGUCAAAAGCAAACGCAGGAAGUAAGCUAAAAUGUGUGUUUUCGUGGAAGAAUAUUUAGAAGGAUACAUUCUUAUCAUGAUUUCAUCAUUAUAAGUUAGGUUUUCUUAUAUAAUUAAUAUUUUAAGAGAUUCAAUCUUUUGAUCGCCUCAACUCGCCCAAGAAGUGUCGGCUGGGUUUUGUUUUCACUACUAUGCAUCUGGGUCUUGUUACAGUGCCUUCGGUUCUAGGCUUCUAAUUCUUACUUUUUCAAAUUCUAGACCCAAUAAAUGAACUGUAUUCUGCAUUAUUGUGAAUCACCAAGCUUCCCAAAAGUAGCUCAAAGAUGAGAAACGACCCUGCCCAACUGGGGUUCUUCCUCUUUUUUCUCUCCCUAUGGAGACUCUUUAUAGAAAUGGCCAUGGCACAGAACACAGCAAUCCCAGUUAAUGCGGGAGUGGUCCUUGACUUUGAUACAUCACUUGGAAAGAUGGGUCUGAGCUGCAUCCCCCUGGCCCUCUCAGAUUUCUAUGCCUCUCAUGGUAACUACAAGGCUAGGCUCGUUCUGAAGACUAGAGACUCCAGAGAUGUUGGUACAACUGCAGCAGGUACUCUUAUCUCUGUUCUUCUUGCUCUCUCACAGUAGUAAUUAAGUGUUAUUUAAGUGUUAUCUGACCUAAUCUAUUAGAGUUUCUUCAUAUAAAUAUACCUUAUUUUGUUAAAACAAACACACAUUAAAUUGUUACUACCAUUAUUCUUAUGUGUAUUAAUAAUACUCUUGAGAAUGUAACUUUAUUUGAAGUUGAAUCAUAGUGUUGACCACAUCCCUCAAAACGUUGAAGAGUUCACUAAGGGCUAUGAGGUGUUAUGUCCUGGAUGUGAACGAUGUAGGUGUUGAUCAUUACAAGACCUCGGGGAGAAACAUCCACUCUAGGUAAAUCUAUGUACUUAGUUCUUUUAGAAUUAAUAGAUUUGCUCUAUGAUCACUUAAAUCCAUGAAUUUUAUACUUAUAGAGUUUCUAGUAUAUUUUAUAUGUGGUUUUCCAUGUACAUCACAUGCCCCUUGUGUGAUUGAAUUUUAUUUUGAUAUUUGAUUAUCACAUAUUCAUUACAAAAAAAUUAUAAAUGAGAAAAAAAAAAAUCAAAAUUUGGGGUUUAAAACUUAUGACUUCUUAUUUACCUCUCUCUAAGUAGUUUCAAGAAUCAAGAUAUAUAAGAAGUAUCAAAUUAUAUUAAUUCAAUUUACUAAUCCUAAUGUGAAGAAGUUUCAAUUUAUAGAUUUUGUUUUAAACCUAUAUUUCUACUUAUCCAUCUAUAUAUGCACACUCAAAUGAAAAAAUAGCAUGGGACUUUGAGGAAACAAACAAACUUCGUCUUUGGGGUGGUUAAUUGCUUACUAGUUUUGGACACAGGUUCAUCUCUAUCCAUCUUAAAAACUUCUGUUUGAAAGAAGAAUCAUCUCCACUUGAUUUGAAAGAAGAUAAAGGAAAAAGGCAAAUGCUGAAUUUUCAUUCUCUCAAGUUGUAUUUUCUGGUGGGCCUUCAACAUGAGAAUAACAAGGAAAUCAAAAGCUUUAAUUUCUUGUGACCCCUUUAAAUCUAUAGCUUCAAGAUGGAUGAAAUGAUAAAAAUAUUUUUAUAAAUUUCCUCCAAGUAGAGAAAAUGAAAACAAAGGGUUUAUUCUCCGUCCCUUCCCUUUCUUUCUCCUUUUUGUUCAAGUAUAAUGACUAAAGCAAAGCAGUGAUUUGAAUUUUUUUUUUUUUUUUAUCAGUUAAUGCUCUUACAUCUAAUGACACAUGAGACCCUUUAAAUUCCAAGACCAAGACAUUACUUGCAUUUUAUUACUGUUUUUUUUUUUUUUGGGAAUAAUUCAAAUUCAACUCUCUCCUACCAUGACUUUGCCCUAAUGGUCAUAAAUUUUGAGAGCCAAGCAUAUACCUCAUGACCUAGAAUUUUUUACUAUAUUGUUGUUGUACCUAUCACUAGAAUUUAGAGAGAGAGAGAGAACUACUCUAAUGCUUAUUAAUUAGGAUUUAGGCCCAUUGAAAUUGGAGCAUGUGUAAUGCAGGUAGAAAAAGACAAAAUUCCAAGCUGAUGUGAUGUGAAUUUCACUUAUAAUUUGUUCAAUCUUAUCUUCAAGAUAGAAAAUUGUAAGAAAAUAUUUGUCAUUCAUUUUGUACAAACAUAACCAAAAUGCAUGUGAAGCACUACUAUCAAAUGCUAGUAAAUUUGAAAUAACUUGUAGUUUGACUGUUGAAGAUGUGAACUUCUACAUGUUCCAUACUAUUGCCAACCAACACAUGAUUUCAUGGUGAAGUUGAGGAUUGGAAUUCCACUAUAUAGAAUACAGGAAAAAUACUAUUGGAUGGUAAAGCUUGAAUUAAUCUUAUGACCCUACAUAGAAGAUGUUCGAGAGAAAAGAUGUUCGAGAUUCUCCGGUGAGUUUGCAAUGAUUGAGCUUGUAGCUGUUAAAAGAAAAUUAAUUAGUUUUCAUUAGUGAGAGAAAAGAAAAAGUGUACGAUUGCAAUUGAGAGGAAAUUUCAUUAGUGAGUGAAGUAAAAAAAAAAAGUUUAUCCGAAAAGAAAAUGAAUUAUUGAUGUAAUUUUUGUGUGAAGUUGAUAGACUUCUAACCCAAAUGGCCCUAUUUUAUUAAAUGAAUUGCAGGAUGUACCUUGUUGAGCAUACAAUAAAUAGGUCGUCUUCCUCUUAAAUUAUAAUAUCAUAUCAUAUUUUAUUAUUAUAUUCGAAAAAUAUCUGAUAAACAAGAGGUUUUGUACCCUCGUUUGAUUGCUGACAGUAGAGUAUAAAUUUAUUCAUUCAUUUAAAUGUUUGUUUAUCGUUUGAACCUGCAUGCUCCUGAACUCAGCUGUAGACCUCUUACAAAAUGAAGAAGUGGAAGCCAUAAUAGGGCCCGGAUCAUCGAUGCAGGCCAACUUCAUGAUUGGUCUUGGAAGCAAAGCUCGGGUGCCCAUCAUUUCAUUUCUGCAACAAGUCCCUCUCUUUCUUCGCUUCAGAGCCAAUAUUUUAUCCGAGCUACCCUAAAUGACUCAACUCAAGUGCCGGCAAUAAGGGCAAUAGUCCAGGCCUUUGGAUGGAGAGAAGUUGUGCUUAUUUACGUGGACAACGAGUAUGGCAAUGAAGUCGUACCGUCUCUGACUAGUGCCUUGCAGGAGGUGGACACCCAUGUGACCUACCGGAGCGCCAUUCAUCCAUCGGCAACUGACGAUCAAAUCGUUAAAGAACUUUACAAGUUGAUGACGAUGUCAACUAGGGUUUUCUUUGUGCAUAUGCUUACGCCUCUUGGCUCCCAGCUUUUUACCAAAGAGCUUGUAAAGUUUUAAAAUCGGAUGGAAAAAGAAAAUCCAAGAAGAAUAUCCAACCAAUGAAAUCUCUGAGCUGAAUAUUUUUGGACUAUGGGCCUACGAUGCUGCUUCUGCACUAGCCAUGGCAGUUGAAAAACUUGGCGCGGGAAACUUCAGCUUCCAAAAGACCACCAUUUCCAGAGAUUCAACUGGUCUUGAGAGUAUUAGAGUUUCCCCAGUUGGCCCAAAUAUUCUCCAUUCACUAUUAGGUACUCGAUUCAGAGGCCUUACCGGAGAUUUUAAAAUUAUAGAUGGGCAACUACACACAUCAGCUUUCCAGAUAGUUAAUGUGAUCGGUGAAGGGGAAAGAGGGGUUGGAUUUUGGACAACAGAGAAUGGAAUUGUAAGACGAUCGAAUACUACUUCUAUGGCCAAUCUAAGAGCCAUUAUGUGGCCAGGAGAAUCUACUUCUGUUCCUAAAGGUUGGGUGUUUCCUACCAAUGGAAAGAAGUUGAAGAUAGGGGUUCCAGAGAAAAAGGGUUUUUGUGAAUUUGUAAAGGUGACGCGAGAUCCUAUCACUAAUAAAACAAAGGCCACUGGUUACUGCAUAGCUAUCUUCGAUGCCGUAAUGGCAACAUUACCAUAUGCUGUUCCUUAUGAGUACGUUCCCUUCAAGAUGCCUGAUAGAAAGGCUGCUAGUAACAAAGAUGAAUUGUUUCAAGGACAUGUUCUGGUCAGUCAUACUCUUUAGAUUCCCUAAUACAUAACAAUUUUCAUUCAACUGUAGCCAUCAACUGUCAAAUAGAGGGAAAACUGCCAUCCUUUUGCAAUGAAAUAUCUCACCGCCAAUUUUACCUUUACUUUUAUCAUGAACAGAAGUAUGACGCUCUGGUGGGAGAUUUUACUAUUCUAGCGAGCAGGUCCUUGUAUCUAGACUUUACAUUGCCUUACACCGAUUCUGGCGUAUCAAUGAUCGUGCCGAUCAUCGAUAACAGAAGUAAAAGAGCAUGGGUCUUUUUGAAGCCAUUAACUUGGGACCUUUGGGUGACAAGCGCUUGUUUCUUUGUCUUCAUUGGCUUUGUGAUUUGGACUCUUGAACAUCGAACAAAUGAAGAUUUCAGAGGGCCUCGUUCACAUCAAGUUGGCACAAUGUUCUGGUUCUCCUUCUCAACAUUGGUGUUUGCUCAGAGUAAUUACUCUUCCACCUCCUUCAAUUUUAUCUAGCAAUUUAUCUACUCUUGUAAUAUUCAAAUACAAAGCAUAUUCAGUACAUCUCAAACAAAUCGAAACUAACUUCUAGUAUAGCCUGCUUGCUUGUUUCCAUACAAUAUGCAAGUAAAUUUUAGGAUAAUUGUUAUGUUUCAGAAACUAUAUAUUUGCCUUUAUAUUGCUUUUCUGGAUUGGAUUUUCUUUUUCAUUCUUAAAUUACGUUAACAGAGGAGAGAAUUGUCAGUGACUUGGCUCGGAUCGCGGUGAUCAUAUGGUUAUUUGUGGUGCUGAUUCUUACUCAAAGUUACACAGCCAGCUUGACUUCAAUGUUAACAGUUCAACAGUUCAACAGCUUAACCCAACUAUCACUGAUAUAAAUGAGCUCAUAAAGAAGGGGGAGCGUGUAGGUUACCAAUAUGGCUCUUUCGUUUAUGAAUUCUUGAUCAAGUCGAUGAAAUUUGAUGAGUCCAAGCUUGUAAAGUAUGAGUCACCAGAAGAACUGGAUGAAUUAUUUUCAAAAGGUGGAAUUGCUGCUGCAUUUGAUGAAAUCCCUUACAUGAAGGUUUUCCUUGCAAAAUAUUGCUCCAAAUACACUGCAGUUGGACCAACAUACAAGUUUGAUGGGUUUGGAUUUGUAAGUGUUCUCUCUUAAAGUGUACAAAUUUUCAUGCAGCGGUUUCUGAUUUUUUAUCAUUUCAGGUCUUUCCAAAGGGUUCACCCCUUGUAGCGGAUGUUUCAAGGAAAGUUUUAAGCGUGACCGAGGGAGCUAAAUUGUUAGAAUUUGAGAAGGCAUGGUUUGGGCAAACAACCAGUUGUCCAGAGCUCACCAGCUCAGUUUCUUCAAACAGUAUCGGCCUUAAUAGCUUUUGGGGCCUAUUCCUCAUUGCUGGAGUCGCUUCAUUUGUAGCUCUCGUCGCAUGCAUCACCACAUUCCUUUAUGAAAAUAGAGACGCCAUAAUAAACUUGAAUCCCCCAUCUUCCAUAUGGAGAAAAAUUAAAGCCAUGGCUACACGCUUUGAUGACAAAGAUCUCAGGUCCCAUACCUUUAGAAAAAGUGAUCAACUUCCAGACAAGGGGCAUCAAAGCCAUGGAUGCAGUUACAGCCUCGCCAGCUACACCAACUUCCCUCCAAGUCCAUCAAGCCUUCUGAUCCCAACACACAGCGAUUUUGCCUUCUUUGGAGAACAAGGAACACCUUCUUCUGGACAUGGUGAUCCAGUCAGUCCAAAUCGGCCGAUGUCUCCUCACAUAUUGUUUGAAUAUGAGCUUGCUAAUUUAAAUCACGAGCAAACAAGACCGCCUGUAAUUGAAUAACUGAUCGAUUACUUCGUUUUUCUUUCCUGUGUAUUUUAUGCCGGUGGCACCAUUACCCACAACCAUGAAUUUCAAAAGAAAAAAAAUGUAGUUGUACCCCAUAGGCAUUUUAGUUAACACGGUGAUGUACAUUUAAUUUGCGGCUAAAAUUAAAAAUAAUAAAUAAAUAAAUAAUUAUUUACUACAAAUUUAUGUGAUUGUUAAAUGCCAUCUAUUUGCUAUGAACAAUAAUUCAUCACUGAGAAAUUGAUUUGUUAUGAAAUAAAAUGUUAUUGCAAAAAGCCAUUUCUUACCAUAAAAAUACCUUCUUUAGCGUUACGGAAAAUUGAGAAAUUUGUUGUAAAGAAUUUUCCGAAAAUUGAGAAAUAAUCGAAGUGGGACUGAAUGUCCAGGACUAGGACAGGGAGGUCCAGUUUUCAAACCAUCGCAGAUAUGACGCAAAACAUUAUUUUAAAAUCUAUAUUAGUCAACGGUUCCUACAAUUUUGACAGGACACGGAAGACCCAUUACUCAAGCCAUUACUUGCGCAUGCUUUUCUUUUUUUUUCUUUUUUUUUUGGCUUUUUAAAUGAAAAUCAAACUCAACCUUCCCACAUUGAUUAUUGCCUUAGAUUCCGUCAAAAUCACGAAUUUAUUGCUGCCCAACGCAACAGGUCAACUUCCUGCAUCCAAAAAAAAUCAAUAUUUUUAAAGAUUGUCCUUACACUAGCUACGUGGUUGACAUUGCUACGGAGGGAAUGUAAGGAUAGAUAUUCAUUUUCAUGGUUAUUCUUUUGUGCAGAUAAUCCAUUAAUUCUAAAUGAUGUAAUCUCUGGUGAAAAUAAAUAUUUUUUAUUUUAAAAAUUAUAAUUUUCAACUGAGUGGUAGUCACGUAUCAUCAUUAAACCUAUUAAACUCCAUUUCCACGCACCCGAGUGCAGAAGAUGAUAAGUUGACCAUGUGCCACCUAACACACAGCUGGGGAUUAUUGGAAUUCUGCUACAGGCGAUGAGUAGCUCCGUGGAGUUCAUCGUGAAAACCUCUCUCUUAUGAAUUUUAUGAGUCAAAUGCUAACGCAAGAAGGAAGCUAAAAUGUGUGUUUCCAUGGAAGAAUAUUUAUAAGGAUAUAUUCUGAUCAUGAUUUUAUCAUUAUAAGUUACACUUUCUAAUUUAAUUAAUAUUGUAAGAGAUUCUAUCUUUGACCGCCUCAACUCGCCCAAGAAGUGUUGGUUGGGUUUUGUAUUCACAACUAUCCAUCUGGGUCCUCUUGUUACAGUGCCUUCUCUUCUAGGCUUCUAAUUCUUACUUUUUCAAAUUCUAGACCCUAUAAAUGAGCUGUAUUCUGCAUUAUUGUGAAUCACCAAGCUUCCCAAAAGUAGUUCAAAGAUGAGAAACGACCUUGCCCAACAGGGGUUCGCCCUCUUCUUUCUCUCCCUAUGGGUUCUCUUCAUAGAAAUGGGCAUGGCGCAGAACACAACAAUCCCAGUUAACGUGGGAGUGGUCCUUGACUUUGAUACAUCGUUUGGAAAGAUGGGUCUGAGCUGCAUCCCCAUGGCCCUCUCAGAUUUCUAUGCCUCUCAUGGUAACUACAAGACUAGGCUCGUUCUGAAGACUAGAGACUCCAGAAGAGAUGUUGUUGGUGCAGCUGCAGCAGGUACUCCAUCCCUGUCUCUCUCGCUCUCUCACUUUCUCCUUCAUCAAUGUUUAUGAUUAAUCAUCUCGUUUGGAGCAUUGUUGAUGGAAUGAGAUUAGAAUUGCAUUAGUAUUACUGAGAAAAAUGAAAGCAAGUGAUCUUUAUCAGUCACCCCCAUUUGGUUUUCAGGAAAAAUCCCCUUACUCUUUGAGAAUUAGAAAGCAUAAUUCGAAGUAGUUCAUCAUUUGGGAAGUAAUUUUUUGAGAUACCUGCUCUGAUAAAGUGAGAAAAUUAUGAAAUUGACAUUGAAUCUUCAGCCCGUAAUUUUUUUGACAUUGAACAUUUUCUAUCUCAGCUUAGAGACCCAAAUGAAAGUUUUGAAAUAUAAAAUAUACUAGUAUACCCAAUUAAUUCUCAGCACAGCUCUUCACCAGAUGAAGAAGAUGGUUGGUCGUUUAACAAACCACAUUGUCAACUGCCGAUGGCAAAAGGUCUCCAUAAAUUGUGCCAUGGUCUUUUAACAAGGCAACUUUUCGUGACCAUAUGGCUGAUGAAGAGGUCAGCUGACAGUUCAAUGGCGGCUAAAAGUCUGUCGAAAAUUGCGGAUGGGAUUUAAAAAAAAUCAGGCAAGAAUUGGGUUUUGAGCCCAACUAGCCCAAAAAUUGACCAAAUAUCCAUAUAUCAUUCACAUUUAAACCCAAUACUCAAUUAAAGCGUAAAAAUUAAGUUAAGGAUAUUAUUCUUCAUUAAUCAGUAAAAUACCCUUAACUCGUACAUAUAGUUAGUGUAAUUUUUUUUUUUUCCCUUUUCUAUUCCCAAUUAAGUAUUACUUAUUUUUAAUUUUUUUUUUUCCUUUUAAAGAUAUUGAAUCUUUUUACUCUUAUUAUAAGUAAGGAUAAAAAAAUUUCAUAUAAAAUUUAAUGGAUAAUCAAUUAAUGAAAUUUAAUUCUUUUUAUUAUUUUCAUAUAAAAAAUAGUACUAAACAAAGUUUUCAAUUUUUCUUUUUAAAAAUAGUUUUCAUUUUUUAAUUAAAUGUUUUUUCUAAAAGAAAAUAUAAAAAAUAUAAAUCAUAUUACCAUUUUUUUAGAAAGUAUUUUUUAAAAUAGUUUUUGAACGUAAUUUUUCUUUAUUUAUAAUUUAAAAUAAAAAAUAAUGCUGAUUUUUAAUUAUUAAUAAAAAAAGUCCUAAAAAAUAAUGAAAAAUUCAAAUGGUUGAAAUAAAAUUAUUAUGAUUAUAUGAAUAAUGGUACAAUAAAUAUUGAAAAAGCUUAUGUGAAAGGUCAAUGGGUAUUUUGGUCUUUUAAUAUCUUAUAUCAUUUUUAUCAAUUAUGUAAGUUAUAUGGACCAAACCUUAAUUUUUGGGUCCAGCUGAUCCAAAACACAGUUGUCUCAAAAAUCACCCCCAUACUGUGGCUGCAGUAGGUCGUAGAGAAUAUAUAUUUGACUUUGCACUGAUAUAUAUAAAUAUUACCGUGUCUUCACGAGUUAAGGCAAAGUAGGAAGUUACCAAAGGUCAAACACGUUGCCUCUGAUCCAUGAUGAUAAGAUGUCAGUUUUUUCAUCUGAUGAACAUGAUCUGUUGUUUGAUCUACUGGAAAAGAUCCCUUUGUUAAUGUCUCAUAACAGAGUAGGAAGAUUAUUGGUAAUCUGUUGGUGAAAUUUUAUAUCUAUUUUGUUAUGUUUGCAUGUCUGAUUGCUGAGAAGGAUGUUAGAAAUUAAGAAUAUAUUAGAGUUUGCUUCUGUGUUUUUUAUUAUUUUGAACAUUUUGUGGUACUCAGCUCUAGAUCUAAUACAAAAUGAGGAAGUGCAAGCCAUCAUAGGGCCAGGGUCAUCCAUGCAGGCCAACUUCCUGAUUGUCCUGGGACAAAAAGCCCAGGUUCCCAUUAUUUCAUUUUCUGCAUCAAGCCCUUCUCUUUCUUCCCUCAGGAGUCAAUACUUUAUCCGAGCCACUCUAAAUGACUCAGCUCAAGUACCAGCAAUAAUAGCAAUUUUCCAAGCCUUUGAGUGGAGAGAAGCUGUGCUUAUUUACGUAGACAAUGAGUAUGGGGAUGGAAUUAUACCUUAUAUGACCGAUGCCUUGCAAGGGAUUGAUGUCCGUGUCACCUACCGUAGUGUAAUUUCUCCAUCAGCCACUGAUGAUCAAAUUGGUGAAGAGCUUUACAAGCUGAUGACAAUGCAAACUAGAGUUUUCAUUGUACACAUGGUUACGCCUCUCGGCUCUCGCUUUUUUACCAAAGCAGAUGAGAUUGGAAUGAUGGAAGAAGGCUAUGUUUGGAUACUAACUGAUGGGCUAACUGACCUCUUGAGUACUUUGGAUCCCUUAGUCAUUGACUCAAUGCAGGGGGUGCUGGGCAUAAAGCCUCAUGUUCCAAGAACAAAAGAGCUCGAAAAUUUCAGAGUCCGAUGGAAAAGGAAGUUCCAGCAAGAUCAUCCAAAAGAUGAGACCUCUGAGCUGAACAUUUUUGGAUUAUGGGCG
rnacentral:lncRNA from 1 species